AUUACACAAAGUGCAGCAUCUCUGGAAGGAAAAUGACGAAUCCAACAAAGCGUUUGCAAACUUGGGAAGUCUAGAAAUAUCGGAAUGUAGUAAGUUGCAAAAAUUAGUACCACCUUCGUGGCAUUUGGAAAAUCUUGCGACUCUGGAAGUAUCGAAGUGUCACGGGUUGAUAAAUUUAUUGACGCUCUCAGCAUCUGAAAGUCUAGUGAAUCUUGAAAGAAUGAAGGUAGCUGAUUGCAAAAUGAUAGAAGAAAUCAUACAAUUGCAGGUUGGAGAAGAAGUGAAAGGCUCCAUUGUCUUCGAGAAAAUGAACUACUUGACACUUGAUUGUUUGCCAAGCCUAACAAGCUUUUGUUCGAGUAAUUACACUCUUCAAUUCCCAUUCUUGCAAAAAGUAGUUGUGAGACAGUGCCCAAAGAAGAAGAUUUUCUCUCAAGGAGUCGUAGACACACCAAAUCUAAACAAAGUGAAACUCACCGAAGAAAAAGAUGAUGAUGAUGAUGAAGAAGAUGAUGAUGAUGAAGGAUGUUGGGAAGGCAACCUCAAUGACACCAUAAAAAAAUUGUUCAAUGAAAUGGUGAGUAUCAAUUAAGUUUUGGUGCUAUUUAGCAAAUUAUUUUAUAGAAACUAGUGUGACAUAAUAUGAUUGGUUGACUGAAAAUAUAUAAUAAUAAUAGUAAAUAAAUAAAUUAUGAGGAGCAUGUAAUGUUUUUGUUUAACCAAUCAUAUUAUGUCGCAUUAGUUUAUACAAUAUUAUUUGUGCACAAGAGGUGGUGGUCAUAUCAUUACUCUAGUUUUAUUAUUCUUAUGGUGGCAAUGUAUGCUUGCUUACACGAGUAAUUACAAAAUCUGCAGAAUUCUAAAGAAGAGAUUGAGCCAAUCCUUCAGGUACAGUGAAGAAGCUAUCCCGAACCAGGCCAAUCUCUUAUACAUGAUUUAGCUUGCUCGUUCUUCUGUACUUGAAUAAUUUGGCUCUACAUAUUUACAAUUUUUUGCUCAUGCUACAGACUUGCAAGACACUUUGGAUUUUGUUUGAUGCAUUCUCCGUUUAAGAAAGGACUUGAAUUGAUGUUUCAUGUUUCAUGCAAUAUUCGAUUAGAUUCUGUCUAAAUUUCUGUAUUAUUCGUUCAAUUGGUCUUUUAAGCAUUUGAUUUCUAACCUCUCCUAAUAGAAUAUCAUUAGCCGAUGAAAACAGCAUAACAUUUGUGGUUGUGGCAUUAUCAGAAUAAGAAUAUUUUUUAGUAUAGUAAAAUUAUCUCGACCACUGUUAAAAAGAAUUAAACAGUCAAACUGACCUUCUCACACCAGCACGCUUUAAAUUAAAAGAAUUUCAUGAAGUCAAGACCAUGUUAUAGAUCUUGUGGAAAUAAGUGAACCCGUAAUUUUUUUCACACCAUCAUAAGAAAAAUCAUUUUUUUUAAGUAUUUUUGUUAGCUGUUGAGUUUUAAUAGUAGUAGCUAUUAAACAAUAACAAUUAGUGUAUAUUAAAAAGUUGGAAACUGGUUGAUACCACUCGGGAAUCGAGCAGUUCACUUGUUUGCGAGUAGAAACCAACUUUACUACUAAUUACACUCAUACCAAAAAUAGUGACGAAAGAAUCAGGGAAUUUCCUAUUCACUAUUCUUCAUUUUUUAAUGCAAAAUUCCCAUUCGAAAACACCAAUGACUUUCAUUCAAAGUAAAUGAGAAAUUACAAUGAAAAUAGAAUCAAAAUACAUAUAUGUAUACCUAAAACAAAUGAUUUUUUUAAUUAAAAAAAAAAUACAGUUGAGGUGAAAUGAAACCAGAGUCAUGAUAUCUCUGGUUCCAACUUUGGGACAACAGCAGACUUGAGUUCUAUAUGAGAAACACGUACAGCACCAAUCAGCCGCUCCAGUAAUUCAUCUGUAGUAUUUGCCUGCAUACAGAAGAGCAAGAUAAAGAAGACAAACACAGAAGCAUUAUAUCAUUCUGAGAACAUUCAAGUAUGCAAAAAUGCAAGUUGCAGUGCAAUAUCUCAAAAUCAUGUCUUUUCCCUUGUGUCCAUUUAGCAGUGGGGGAAAAAAACAAUCAUACAUACCUGUACAAGGAAAGCCAUGUCAACCACCAAUGUCGUAAUUACACCAAUUACAAGGCCCAAAACUCCAUUAGCAACAGUAGAAGAAUCGAUGUCAACAUCAAUCUACAGAAAGAUGAACAAUGUUAAACCAUGUUAAAGGUAUUGGACGCUAUUUGAAAGGGGAACAUCUCAUGUACUAUAGAAAUUCCAAGAGCAUUUACUUCUAAGUACUUGGGACCGCGAAUAUAGUUACAAUCAACUGCCUUCCCCAAUAAACAAGGGGUGCUUCCAACACUCUGGCGCACUAUCCAUGACCCCUGCAUGAUUCAGUGCUUAAAAUCAAGAACAAGUGCAAAACAAAUUCAAGAGGGUAAAAAGGACAUAGUUUGAAUCUGAAUCCAAAUCCAUUAAUCCAGAGUUCAUAGCUUGGAUGAAGACUGAUCAACUUCUGUUGAGUUGGAUGAUGUCGUCGAUACAGCAAAAUCUACUUGCUACUGUGAUUGACUCCACAACUUCAAAACAGCUUUGGGAGACUCUUACUAGUAUGUUUAUUUCUUAAUCACAAGCUAGAAUCCAAACACUUAGAAUGCAGAUUCAAACUAUUAAGAAAAGUGCAAUGCAUAUGUCUGAUUACUUUGCAAAAGUAAAACGUAUAGCUGAUACUUUAGCUCUAGCUGGAAAACCUGUUGAGUUAAGUGACCUUGUGAUGCAUGUAUUAACCGGUCUUGAUUCAUCAGAUUAUGAAUCUUUAGUCACAGCUAUUUUAGCUCGAGGUGAGAAGAUAACAUUAGAUGAACUAUAUCCUUUGCUGUUGAAUCAUGAAAAUAGAGUUGAGCAAAAGAAAGGAAAAAUUGCUGGUGAUGUGAUGCACAAUAUAACAGCAAAUAUUGCUCAGAAGAACUCAUGCUGGAAAGAAUAAUGGCAAUUUUCAAAAAAAUUAUGGAAAUAAUUCUGGAGGUGGAAAUAAUUCUAGGUAUGGAGGUUUUAAUGGAUAUGGAUAGGGUCAGUUUAAUAAUGGUGGUAAUUCCUUUGAAAUUGUUUGUCAAAUCUGCUUAAUACCUGGUCAUGCAGCCAAUAGAUGCAAAAAUAGGUACAAUUCAUCUUUUGUUCCACAAAGAAACUAUGGCAGAGGUAAUAUGAAUGGUGUCAGAGGUUUUAAUCAAGGGCAAUAUGGUAGAGGAAGAGCUUUUAAUGGUAAUGGUGGCAGAGGUUUUGGAGGUUUUGGUUUAAAUGCCGGUUUUGGCUAUGCACCCAGGGGUUUUGGCUAUCAAGGAAAUAUAGUGUAUCCAGAUAGGAAUCCUUCUGCUUAUUACUCAUUCACCCUUGGACCAUCUACUUUUGUUUCUGGUCAAGGAAAUAAUAAUCCUGGACAGUCAAGUGCUUCAUCUUCCUCAGCUAUGCCUUCUUCACUUCCACCAGAACACAUUGAAGAUCCUUCAUGGUAUAUUGAUAGUGGAGCAACAAAUCACAUUACAAAUUAUCUAGGUAAACUUCUGGAUUCACAAGUUUAUACUAGUACUGAAAAAUUGUUUGUUGGAGAUGGAAAUGCAUGAGCUAUUACACAUGCAGGAUCAGUUGUGCUAAAUACUUCAACUUCUAAACCUUUAAGAACCAUCUUCUGCAUGUCCCUUUUAUUACUAAGAAUUUGCUUAGCAUUUCAAAAUUAUUGGCUGACAAUCCAGUUAUUGUUGAAUUUCUUGGUGAUUUGUGUUUUAUAAAGGCUAGGAACACAGGGAAAAUUUUACUUGAAGGUGUUGCUAAAGGUGACUUGUAUAGAGUCUCUUCACAUGUUGCUGCUCAUUCAGUCUUUCUCAUUUCAGUUGGUCAAAAUAAAACUCACUCUCUUUGCUUGUUCUCCUGUUUUCAAUUCUGAUCAGCUCACUGCUGUUAGUUCUUAUGAAUUGAAUAAAAAGUCAUGUCUGUCAGUUGUUACAAAGAGUUCUAUUGAUGUAAAUCUUCUUCAUAGAAGAUUAAGACACCCAGCAUCUUAUACUCUCAAAACUAUACUCAAAACUUGUAACAACUCUACUGCUUAUAAUAAAAUUGAAAGCUUGAAAUUUUGUUCAGCAUGUCAAUAUGGGAAAAAUCAUAUGCUGCAUUUUGAUUCAGUUGAAACAAAAACUUCAGCACCCUUACAAGUGAUAUAUGCAGAUCUUUGGGGUCCUUCUCAUGUCUAUUCUACCCAAGGAUAUAAUUACUACUUAUCAAUCUUAGAUGAUUAUAGUAGAUUUACCUGGAUAUUUCCAUUGUCAGCCAAAUCUGAUGCUCUUGAAGUGUUUACCAAUUUCAAAAUUUUUAUUGAAAAGCAUCUUCAACUUCAAAUCAAAACUGUCCAAACUGACUGGGGAGGAGAGUUCAGAACACUUUCCUCAUUACUCACUGCUUCUGGUAUCCAUUUUAGACACCCUUGCCCACAUAUUCAUCAUCAAAAUGGAAGAAUUGAGAGGAAACAUAGACACAUAGUUGAUGUAGGUCUGACCUUAUUAGCUCAAGCACAUUCACCACUCAAAUUUUGGUGGAAUGCAUUCCACACAGCUGUCUAUUUGAUAAACAGACUUCCAACUCCAGUUCUAAACAACAUUUCUCCUUUCCAAAAGUUAUUUCAUCAUCAACUAGAUUAUUCAACACUUAAAACCUUCGGUUGUGCUUGUUAUCCAACACUCAGACCAUACAAUAGACAUAAGUUUGAUUUCAGAACUGCCAGAUGUAUAUUCAUUGGCUACAAUUCACAACACAAGGGAUAUCAGUGUCUUCACUCUUCUAAGAGGGUUUACAUUUCAAAUCAUGUCACCUUUGAUGAAAAUUCUUUUCCUUGUGAGUCUGGAGCAGAUUUUUCUUCACUCUCUUCAAGUUGUCAGUCAACAAAAAACUAUAAGUCUUCUUUCAAUUCCUCUGUUCCUUCUGUUACUCAGUUACAAGCACCUUUAGCAGCAUCAUCAGAACACCAUCAAAAUGUUCAUCAUUUAGAUGCUCCUACUCCCUCACCAAAUUCUACUCCACUUUAUUUUUCUGAUAAUUCCAACUCAGCUUCUUCUUCUUCACCACCACAUAAUUCACCUCCACAUACAUUGCCACAACCUGCAUCAACUGGUCAUCCAAUGAUAACCAGGUCAAAAGCAGGUAUUUUCAAGCCAAAAAUUUAUUUGUCAGCUUUAUUAGCCCAAAAAUCAGAACCAACUUCUGUUUCCCAAGCACUUUCUGAUCCUAUGUGGUAUAAGGCUAUGCAAGAAGAGUAUCUAGCACUUAAAACUAAUCACACCUGGGAUUUAGUUUUACCUGCUACUCCAGUGAAGAUAGUUGGCAGCAAAUGGGUGUUUCGAAUAAAGUAUAACUCAGAUGGUUCAGUUUCAAGAUAUAAAGUCAGGCUUGUUGCAAAGGGGUUUCAUCAGACACAUGGGAUUGACCAUACAUAAACUUUUAGUCCAGUGGUUAAAGCUUCAACUGUUAGAGUUAUUCUUAGCUUAGCAGUAUUGAAUCAAUGGGUGAUUAGGCAAGUAGAUGUUAAUAAUGCCUUUCUAAAUGGCAUUUUAAUUGAAGAGGUGUACAUGGCUCAACCUGAAGGUUUUGUUGACUCAACUAAACCUAAUCAUAUCUGCAAGCUGAAUAAAGCUUUGUAUGGCUUAAAACAGGCACCCAGAGCCUGGUUUGAUAGAUUCAAGGAUGCAAUGAUCUCUAAACAGCAUUUCCAACAUUCAAGGUCUGAUAACUCUCUGUUUCAUGCCUGGAACAGUGGUCAUCUAACUCUUGUUUUGGUCUAUGUUGAUGAUAUUAUCAUCACUAGUUCCAGUCCAACACUAAUUCAGCAAGUUAUUCAGAGUAUGAAUCAAGCCUUUGCUUUAAAAGACAUGGGGGAACUUAGCUAUUUUCUGGGGAUUGAAGUCAGCAAGUCUUCAUAAGGGGUUUCCUUGACACAAGCAAAGUAUAUUACUGACAUUCUAGAUAAACAUGGCAUGACAGAUUGCAGUCGUGUGCCUACUCCAAUGUCUACUGGUUAUUAUCUCACAAAAGAAUCAGGAGAGCUAAUUGAUAAUGUUUCUCAAUAUAGGAGUGUUAUAGGAGCUCUUCAAUAUGUUACUCUUACCAGACCUGACAUUGCUUUCUCUGUAAACAAGCUAAGUCAAUUCCUUUCAAGUCCUAGAACACAACAUUGGGAAGCAUGCAAAAGGUUAUUGAGGUACUUAAAAGGCACUAUACAUCUUGGGCUGCAAUUUAAUAACAAAGGAGCUUUGCAACUACAUUGUUUUUCAGAUUCUGACUAGGCUUGUGAUCGUGAUGAUAAGAAGUCACUGGUUGGCUUUGCUGUUUACCUAGGCCUUAAUCUAGUCUCAUGGUCAUCAAAGAAACAAGCUGUUGUUUCCAGGUCCAACACAGAGGCUGAGUAUAGAUCUCUUGCUCAUGCUGCUUCAGAGGUUCCCUGGAUACAAUCUUUACUUGGUGAACUUAACAUCAAAUUGAGCUCUACUCCUAUGAUGUGGUGUGAUAAUCAAGAAGCAAUUGCUUUAGCUUACAAUCCAGUCUAUCAUGCUAAAACUAAGCAUGUCGAAUUGGAUAUACAUUUUAUCCGAGAUAAAGUUACUGCUAAAGAGAUUGAAGUAUGUUUUGUGCCCAGUCAAGAUCAAACAGCAGAUGUGUUGACUAAGGCUUACUUUCAAACAGUUUAGUUACUUAAGAAGCAAGCUGAAUGUUCAUCCUAAACAUUUCAGCUUGAGGGGGGAUGUAGUGAAUUGAAUGAAGUUGGAGCAAAGCAUGAUGUUGCUGUGUAGCUGACUGUAGCAGAUCAACUCACUAGGCUGACCUGGCAAAGUUAGUUAGCUGGUUGAGCUGAUGUGUCAAAUUAGUUAUGCAGCAAAUGGUUAUGUGAUGUAAAAAACUUGUGUGUGUGUUGAGCAAAUUGUAGCUUAAUAUAAAUAUCAGUCUGUAUUCAUUUAGUUGUAAUGCUAGAGUAAUAAAGGUUCUACAAACUUCUUUACAGCGCUUUCUUUUAUUUUCUUUCAUUUUCUAGCUUGCCAAACAAUACAAAACUAAGUUUCUUUCGGAAAAGGAAAAAUAAAAAGAAAAGAAUAGUUACUUGUGCAGUACAGCCUUGACGCCUAGCUACAUGGUCCAUUCUCUGUGUCUUUGAACCAAUCAACAGCAACAAGAUCCAUUAAAUGUUUUCCCGCAGGUAUCUGCAGUUACAAAUUGCACAAAGCACAAGAGCCAACCAAACUACAUCAUAACCUGUCGACCUAGCAUAUGCAGGAUAUAUAACUACCAUAACAAACAACCAAAAUAUGGGGGAACCUUUGUUUUGUCAUAACAAAAAUGCUUGCUACGAACUCUAAAGUUAUUUCCACCAGAAAGUUUCCAGCAGUCACGAGCAUUAUCACAGUCAUCGUGUCGCAGAUUGCCUGAAAAAUAAGAAAAAUCAAUUUGAUCAGCCUGCUCUUCCUCUAGGGUAGCAACUAAUUGAAAAUUAUAAACCAAAAAAAAAAAUCAAUACCAUAAAAAUCCACUAAUGAGGACAUUAGCCAAAUAUACAAAAAUGAAUACUUAUCAUCCACCUGUCCUCUUGAAAUCAUUCUCAAUCUUUUUUUCAUUUGAUGGCAGGAAUUAUUGAAAUUGGAGCCAUUUUUUUUGUGGGAAUUGAAAUAUAUUCUUUAAAUUAUUACAUAAAUAGCAAAAUGUACAUACACACACAUAUAUAUAAUUCAUAUAUAAAAAUUCUCUAAUUUGUUCACAAGUACCAUAGAUUAUAAUUCAGUUAUGAAAUAAAAUAACUACAAUAAUUAUAGUUAAAUGAAUACUUCAUUAAUUCUUAAUUUGCUUCCUAACAUUAAAUGAACAACUUGAGUCAGCCACCUGAAUCAACCAGUAACAACGCCUGAGUCAACCAUCUGAAAAAACCAGCAACCCUAGCUGAUUCAAGCACCUGCAAUUAACAUCAACACAACAGGAACAAUCAUAAAUCAGCACCAAGAACAGACCAAACUGCCAUCAAAUGCCACAAAACCAAACAGUCUGCUACUGCCAUCAAAUGCAAGCAAACAUAUGCAACAAAACCAGAUGCAAGUGAAAUUCUGGAGAAUAUCGGAUAAACCAAACCAAAUGCCACACUUCUAGUAAUUAGACUAGAUGCAGUGUUCAAUUAAACUAAAUGUAGUCUCAUAUUACAUUCAAAUUUUCUAAAAAAACCAGUGUUCCAUCAGAGAAGCACCAAAACCAAACCAAUCUAAUCCAGCAUAAUUACCAGCUCAACCCAAAACAAUUACACAUUAUAUUGACAUAUCAAAAUUCGCUAUCAAAACAUAGCCAAAUAAAUGACAAUAAACUGAAAACAGACCCGAACCAACUGAUGUUGCAGCCCUAGUAGUCAUUGUGCGUUCCACUGCCAUAGGAGCGAGGGUAGGCUCCGUUGUUGAUGAGUGAGUAAGAUAAGGCUCCAAAUCAAUAGUUCCACCUCCUUUCUGCAAUUCAAAAAACAGAAAUUCAUAUAUGUAAAACUAUUAAAAAGUGUGAAACAACCUGUAAGUAUUCAACUUCUGUCAACUCAAUAGCACUUACUAAAGUUUUUAUACAGAAGAAAAAGGCAUUUUAAGUCCAAAAAAUUAGAAUUAUUGGUUGAACUCCAACUCCAUCAAUCCAUGCAACCAUCCAACCUUUAACGAAAAAAUGAAGCAUAAUUAACAAGACAUCUGAAUCAGAAAGAUUGUGCUUUGAUUUGGCACGAGGUGUUGGAAACAACUUAACAAAUCUAGACACAAUCUAUAACCAUCAAGUCCAAACAAAAGUCAGGAUCUAAAAUACUUUGAAAAAUCAGAAAAACCGCAAAAUAUCAGUUUCAAUUUCUUUUUCACCCAUUGUAAGCUCAAACUGAAGGUAGCGGCGCUACCUUUAAACAUCAUUUGGGCUUAUACAUGUGACAUUUGCUCAUGAACAACUAAAGUUGAAUAAGAUUUUUAUAUGAAACGGAAUAUAAAAAGUCAAAGUAGAAUAUGACAGGACCAACAAUAUAUUAUUCAGCAUUAGCAUUAUGUAUAAAAUAAAUUUAGAGGCAUCAUAUUCAUUCACAAUCUUGCAGAGGUAAUACCAGAUUAUGGCACGCAACUCUUGAAUAGCAGAUAAAGGAGGAGAUGCAGUGGGAAGGUAGUAACUUGCUUGCAUGAGAACUAAAAAGUAAUAUCCCAAGAUCAAUUAUAGAUCUCAUAAAACAAAAACAGUGAGGCAAACACAAUUAUUGUGAACAAUUAUUCAUAGAACCACAUAGCAGCAACAAGAUCAAAGUCAUCUGUGUAUAAAUCGAUUCCCCACAGCUGACUGCCUCUGACCUAAACAUAAUGAAAUUACAUAACUAAGAAGUAGAGUCAUAAAAUAUGCUGCUGUAACAGCUAUCAAUAAAUUUCCAGACAAAUGGAAUUUGAUAUGUAAGGCUAUAACUAGCAACACUUCAAAAUAAUUUGAAGUAGCAUGAUCUUACUUUAAGGAUCAAUACUACAAUCUUUCAGAAAAAUUAAAGUCUAACCAAAAUUAAAACCUUAAACAUACUAAAAUCUGGUAAAUAGACCUAUAGGAAUUCCAAUGACCUCCAAAAUAUUUGAAAGAAAAAUUAAUUUACAGCAAAAAAUGUUAAAGAUUUGUAAAAUGGAGGCCCAUACUACUAUUCAAAUUACAAAAGAGGAAAGGGAGCUGGCCAUUAAAUGAUAAAGGCAUGCAUAAAGAAAUACGAGCACCACAUUAAAUGAUAAAGGCAUGCAUCGAGAAAUACAAAAAAUAUGCCCAUAAAGACGUCCACUCAAGCCUUAUAAGCGGCUUUAUGCAAAGGAAAGCCAAUUAGUUAACAGUAAAUGAAUUUCAAGGUGCAAUAAUUAAACUCCCUGAUCAGCACAUUUAAGGUUCAUGCAUUUCUACAAAACAUGUAAAUCAUAAGAACUUUUUUGGUCCAAAUGCUAACCAGUAAUUAAGUAGAUUAUCAAAGUAGUCACAGAACAAGCACCACAUUGAUUGCUAUGCAAAAGAUGAAAGUAAAAGUUAAUACUUUAUUUUAUUUUACUUUUCGAGAGUUUUGAUCAUCAUGUGCAAAAUAGUAGUAUAACUUGCUCAGUGUUAUCUCAAAAAGCUUGCUUAAAAUACCUAUUAGCACCAGUCCAAGUUGUCAAAUAAAUCCUUAUCUAUCCAUUCAUCUCUGACCUUGCCAAAAAGAUUUAAACGAGCAUCUAUAUUCUCACUCCAAUCUUUCACAAUCAUAGGCUUUAACUUAGACCAGUUCUUCAAUAUCCCUUCCACUGUGAGCCCCUCGAAAACCUUGUAAAUUGAAUCACAUUUGUCGUCAGUUUCAAAUCCAUCUGUCAAAAGGCUAAGCAAAUGAAUAUACAAUCAACACCAUUCUUCCAAACGAAUAUACAGUCAACACCAUUCUUCUAAACACAAACAAAGUUUGAACGUAUGACAGAUUUUUAGCCAUUUAAUAUUCCAUCAAAUAUAAUUAGAUCACACCUACCAAGGAUUUUUGAAAAGAAUGCAUUCUCAUCUUAAGCAGCAACCUCACUAGUAACACAUUUUCAUACCCUGUUUCCACCUCUGGUCGCACCACCAAAAAAAAUUCAGUACUAAUUAGCUUUAAUAUGUAAAUUUUCGCUUAGUUUAAGCUAGGGUUUUCUUUCGAUUGAAACAGAGGAAAGCUUUUGGGUUAUUAAAGUGAAAGAUAUGGAAUAAUACAAAAAAUUAUUGAAGUGAAAGAGCAGGAAUACAAAAAAUCAGCAGAUGAGAUCGUUGAAAGAUGCGGAGGUUUGUAUAUAAAUAUUAAAUUGAUCGUUGAAAGAUGUAUAAACCUCCAUAAAAUUGAGUUACGACUUGAAGGAUUGUAUAUAAACAUUAAAUUGAUCUAAUUUAACUUGUAUGUAAACACUAAAUUGUAUAUAAAUACACAAAACAGAACCAUAUCAGUGUUGGAAAAAAAAUAAGAAUCCAGAGUUAUAUAAAUUCAAUAAAAAAGUAUUGAAUUUUUUAUUACUAACUUUGAACACUCUAAUUUCAAUAAAAAAAAUAUAUUACUAAAAUAGUCUUAAUUGAAUUUAAUAUUAAAGAUAUUAGAAUAACUCAACACUAAUAUUCUCAAAUAUAUUUCUCUCCAUAGUCUAAUCUAAUCCAUUCUAAGAAUCCUAUAGAAAAUCUAUUAUUUACUUUUUCCUUAUUAAACACAAAAACAUGUCAUUUUGUUGCUAACUAAAAUUUUGGAACUAACAACAGCAGAUUAACUAAAAUUAUCAGGAAAAGAAAUCAAACAGGAUUUUAAUCGUCAUCAUCUUCACUCUUGCCUUUUUCUUUUUCUUCACACAUGUGGCUUGCACACGCAUUCCCCUCUCUCAUCCUUAGGGCCGCCCUUCAACAAUAUCCAAUCAUCGAUUAUAAUUAUUUAGAUUGACCAAAUCAAGCUUUGAUCAUAUAUCGGUUGAGGUUAGAAGUAGGCAGGCAGCAACGACAAUACUAAUUAAUAUCUCAUGAGAAUUUUAAAAAAGAAUCUAACGUUGCCCAAUUCGUUUGAUUUCAAUGAAAUCUUUCUCCUACCUAUACUUUCGCAUAUUCUCUUUUAUUUCCAAAGUUAAGGUUAUGGAUGUUGUAGAGUAAAAAGAUGAACAUUGCUAGGAAAGCAAUAAAAGGAAAUAAAUAAAAAUUAAAAAUAUAAAAAGAGUUAAGUCAUUUUUUUUGUCUAUUAGUGUUUUUGUAUUUAAUAACGAAAGAUAAAAAUGAAGUAAAUAUUAUCUGUUAGAUUAUUAAAAUACAUACUUAAAAUGUUUUAGUGACAAUCUAAUUAUAAAUUAAGGGUCUAUUUGAGAUUGAGAUUGAACAGUUAAAAUGUUAUAGUUGUUGUAGUUUAGAAGUUAAGAUGAUUUGAUUUUACACUUAUAUGAUAAAAAAUUAUUAUAUCUUUAUUAAUUUUAUCAAAAUUAUUAUUAAAAAAACUAAAUUUAUUAUAUACUAUUAAUUUUUAUUUUAUACUUAAAAUUUUUUUUUUCUUACGGCAAAAGUUUUAGCACCUCAAUACCCAACCAAGUCUAAAACUGCACAAUAAUAAUUAUGAGUGUGCAUGUUAAAAUCUACACACAUUCUUUAAUUUCAAUCAACAGUGUUACAAACUUAGUUAAAAUAUUAUAUCUGAAAUUAUUGAGGGGAAAAAAAAAGAAAAAAGAAUGUUGUUUUCAUGAUAGUGACAUGCGUCGUGCACAUUUUGCUGUUGGCUCUUUGGUCUCUAACCUAGCGAAUAGGUUGCUGUGUCCUCGUUGUUAGAUGCCCGAACCCAGCGCAAGAACUUUGUACGAUACCAUAUAUUUUGUAUGAAUUUAAGCUGAAGUUGGUACCUUUUAUUGUUUUAUAUCAUGACAUCAGGGAAAUUUUUAAUAGAUCUUCAUUUUAGGCUAAAGUACCCGAACAAUAGUUCCCAUGCACUUUGUGAUCUUUUUACAAAAUAUUAAACUAAAUAGCUGUGGAAGUAACAAAGAGGGCAACUUUUUACCAUAAUGUGAUGAAAAUAAUUUAUUUGUUGUCAUCACGAACUAACCAAAUCAAAACAAAAAACUAACUCAAAUCUGUGCGUCUAGUAACUUAUAUGAUGAUCAUUAGAUCUUGUUCUUGUUAAUGCGUCUAGUAACUUAUAUGAUGAUCUGAUGAUAUCCGUAACAUUAACAUACCCAUAAUCCAUUAUUUUAUAAUUAUAAAAAUUGAAGAUUCGGUCAUGCAAUUUUGUAUGAUGAACAGUGUUUCAUUUUUCUGUGAAACAUAAGAACAAUUUGUAAAUAAUGUCCAUGCGGACCUUGUAAUAGCGAAGCAUCAUUAUUGAUCUUACUUUGAUGAUCGCACUUUAGUUUCUUUUUAAAGUGCCUUUUGUUUAUUUUAUCGGCAUCCGCUUUUACAAAAGUUUUGGUCCUCGUUCAUUCAUCAAAGCUUCUACUUUUAUCUUUUAUUAGGCAUCUUAUAAAAAGCUUAAUUUAAUUGGAUUCAUGUUCGAUAUGAAGAUUGUUUUACUUACUUCAAUCUUUCAAUCAACCGAAUUUAUUCUUUUCUGAUCUGGAAAUUAUUCAUGAAAAAAUAGGCGCGUCAGUAGGACAACAGGGACCAAGUACAUAAUAUGAAAAUUCAUUUGUAUUGCUUACUCUAAUAAGCUCUUAAACUCACACAUUCCUCUGCAGUUACCAGUGAUCUUUUGCUCACUAAAAUUGUUAAUAUAUAUUCAAGGUGAAUAAAGAAACUCAUCAUCCCAGAUAAUUAAAGAGGUGAACUUGUUCUAAAUCCUUUAAUAAUUUCUAUUAAUAGCAUAUAUAAUCUCUAAUCCUUGAUCUUGAUAGUAGUUCUUUCUUAAUGUCCAAGAAAAAUAUCUCUCAUUUGUCUUAAUCUUGUCAUUUAAUUUUCUUGAAUUCUGAGUUAGUGUUUAUUGUUAAAUUCGGUUUUCGGUUAGUAGCUGUUGGUUAAUAGCUUCGGUUAAUCCUUGAAUUAAACAUAUUAAAAUCUAAUCAUAAACCCGCCUUUCCCUAUUUUACGACACCCUUUGUGUAAUAGUGACUUCAAAAGUGUAACAUAUUUUUGAACAAUUGCAAGGAAAGAACAUAUUUGACACUUCACGAAACGGUAAAUAUAUAAGCUUCAAUUCUUGUACAACAAAUUAAUAUAACCAACAUCAACCGUCAAUUGAUCAAUAAUUCAGUAACAAAAAGGGACAGAUAUCCUAGUCUUUCUUUACUAAUGAAGCAAGCCAUUAAACUUCGAAAGCUAUUUCUAUUUCCACAUUCUUCAUGUACCAAAGCCAAAAAAAAAAAAAAGCAACAAAAAUUUGGAAGUAAUCAUCUUUAUUCAGCAGCAUGCAUAUUAAUUAAAACAUAUUCAAAAAGAGAUAUACAAUAUCAGGUCUGGAGACGAAAUGAGCCCACAGAGACUACCAAUAAUGUAGUGGCUUGAUUAAAAAUAUUAAUCAAGCCACUACAUUAGAAGAACAAGAGUUAAUCAUGCAUAUUAAUUAAAAAUAUUUUUGCUAUCAUCCACCUGUUCUCUCUAAAUAGUUGCCACUUUUUUUUUUCGUUUGUCUGAAAUUCCAAGCAAAAAUAUAAUUAGAAGAACAAGAGUUAAGGGUUAAAAAAAUGGAAAAAUAGGGCUCCUCUGUUUUCAUUCCCCUGUUUUUCUGUUCGGUGAUUACAAAGAUUUAAAUCAAAAUUUAUGAUGCAGGCUACACGGCACCUGGUGGAAGACUGCUAGGGUUUACCUUUUAUUGUUAGUUAGAAAUUUAAUUUAGAAUUUGUAGUGUUUGCCUUAUAUAAGUAGGUUUCCUAAUAGUAAAAUUAAAUAAUCAAGUUUAUGAUGCACUAGGAUAUGGUUGUGAUAAAUGAGCUUUUUAUGUAUCCUGUGAGGCUGAUUAUUAUUUUAUUACAUUGAAGAUUCAGUCAUCUCUUGGUAGUCUUGUGAAUCAAGCGGAUUUAGUUAGUAGUAGGUAAUACUCUGGACUUCACAUAGUAAACGGAAUGGAGCAUUAUUUUAUCCCGCUAAAUCAGUUUUUUUUUUAAUUAAAAAAUAAUUCAUCAAACACUUUAUAGCUCUGGUUUUAAGUUGGUAAACACUUUAAGCCGCAACUUUAAAUUCAGUUUACGAGAACUCCUAACAGUCACUGUGGCUUGGGUAGAAAUGAAUAUACUAGCAUAAGUAAUGCUACCCAGGAAAUGUAGUUGAACCUAACCAAACUAAAACCAGAUGAUGAAAGCUUAUAUACGCCAAGAGAUUUAUUCGUUUCUGAGUUUGUUUCCAGAAACCCGGAACCUCCCCUGUUUCUACAAACACGGCACCUUUGUUUUCAUUCCCCUGUUUUUCCAUUUGGUGAUUGUAAAAAUCUAAAUCUAAAUUCUUGAUGCAGUCUACACGGCACCUGCUAGAUGAUUGUUUGGGUUUAUCUUUUAUUCUUAAUUAUCAAUUUAAUUUAGAUUCGUAGUGUGCACCUUAUGAAAGAUUAAAUAGAAUAAUGUGAAAAAAAAAGAAUGCCUUUGUUAAUUUUGACUUCAUAAUGUUGCAGUAACCGUCCUCUCUUAUCAUUCCCCUGUUCUUUGGUUUAGUGAUUGCAAAUAACAUUCUUUUCAUCUACUCUUUAUUUAUUUAUUUUUAAUUUUUAACUCAUUAAUUCUUGUUCUUCUUAAAGCGUUUAGUAAAUUAUAUGAUCACCUGAUCAAAUCCCUCACAUUAACAUACAACAUAACUAACAAAGUGUUGGCUCCACUGGCAAUGGAGUCUCCUCAAGUGGCUUAACUGGAUUUGCUCUCCAGUUCGACUCGCAAGGAAGUCGCCUUUGUUGGGAAAACUUGUACCAAAAACUCUGAUCUGUUGGCUUUGUAUCAGUAUUGCUUGUUUGUUGUCUUUUAUUUCAUUAUUUGUAUCUAAGUUUAUUUGAAGAUUACAGAUCAGCAGGAAAAGCCCUUUUUCUAAAGCUAACUAUACAGAUUUUAGAAUAGGGCUCAACCACAUGAAAAUAUUUACGUUGUAAUAUCUCAUAUUAAUAAUCUAAAAACAACCAAUCCAACAAGUUCAAAUUCAGUCAAAUCUAAAAAAAAAUUGCUUUUAAGGAGUACAUGAUAGCUAUUAAACUUUGGUUAAAGAUCUUUUGGGCAAACGUGAAAUUCAGUCAAUCAUAAAUCAACCAAUCCAACGAGUUCAAAUUCAUCACUUGCAAAAUUAAGUUUUCUUCCGAAAUUGAGUUUUUUCCAGUAGAAAUUUUCCCGCAGUCACGAGCACUAUCAUCAAAACAAGAUUAUUAACAUAAGAACAAGAGUUGAGGAAAAAAAUAUCUGUUUAUAUGGACACGGGGUGCACGCUUUAAGUCUUGUUCUUUUACAAUUCAAUUGUAUUGCUUACUCCCAUAAACUCCUUACUCACAUUCUUCUGCAGUUAACAGUGAUCUUUUGCUCAUUAAAAUUUUUCUUAUAUAUCGAAGGCCAAGAGUGAAGCUCAUAAACUCUGUGAUCCUAGAUAACCGAAGAGGUGCGUUUGUUCUAAAUACUUUAAUAAUUUCUUUCAAUCGCAUAAUUUCUAAUCUUUGAUCUUGAUAGCAGUUGUUUCUUAAUGUCCAACAAAAACUAUCUCUUGUUUGUCUUAAUCUUGUCAUUUAAUUUUCUUGAGUUUUAAGUUACUGUUUAUUGUUAACUUCUGUGUUCUUAUGCAGUAUUAUUAAUGGUUAAUUUGCAUCCAUCUUCCAAAAAAGUUUUCUUUCUUCAUAAAAUUGUUGGUUUUCCAUUCAGGCCCCUGAAACCUUUUUCUAAAAAGUUUUUUGUUGUCGUUUCUUUCUUUUUCUUCCCCGCUAGUUCAUUUAAUUUAUUUGAAUCCAUUUUUUUUUCAACAGCCAAAAACUAGAUAUUUAUAGUUAAGCAACAGGCAAUGGCUAUAGAAGCGUGUCUGGCUUUUUUAACCAACUGUGUAUCAGAAGGUGCAAAGUCACUGUUCAACCCUAUUACACGGCAGAUAUCUUAUGUGUUCAAGUACCAGAGCUACAUAGAUGAGCUAAAAGAUCAAGUGAAGCAGCUGGGAUAUAAGAGAGAAAUGGUGCAGCAACCAGUUAAUCAUGCUAGGCUACAAGGGGAUGAGCUUUUUGAGGGUGUCACAGACUGGCUACAUAGCGUUGAUGAAUUCAUCAGUGAAGGGGUUGCAAAAUCCAUUAUUGAUGAUGAAGAUAGAGCUAAGAAGUCCUGCUUCAAAGGAUUAUGCCCAAACUUGAUUUCUCGUUACAAGCUUAGUAAACAAGCAGCAAAGGCGGCAGAAGCUGCCGCUAGUCUCGUGGGAAAAGGCAACUUCUCCAAUGUUUCCUACCGUCCUGCUCCAAAGCGGGCAGAACAUAUGCAAGUGAAAGAUUUCGAGGCGUUUGAUUCAAGAAUGAAAGUAUUUCAAGAUGUUGUGGAGGCGGUGAAGGAUGACAAGGUCAACAUAAUUGGGGUCUAUGGGAUGGGCGGCGUGGGCAAAACCACGCUGGUCAAACAAGUUGCAAACCAAGUGAUGGAAGAUAAGUUGUUCGAUAAGUUCGUUAUGGCCGAGAUAACACAGACCCCAGAUCAUCAUAAAAUUCAAGACAAACUUGCUUUUGAUUUAGGCAUGGAAUUUGACUUGAAUGAGAAUGAAUUUCAAAGAGCUUCUCGACUGUGUCAAAGGUUGAAGCAAGAGAAGCGGCUCCUCAUUAUACUGGAUAAUAUUUGGACAAAACUUGAGUUGGAUGCGGUUGGAAUUCCUUCUGGAGAUGUGGAUGAGAAAGAUAGAGAGGACGAUCGGAGAAGACUCACAAUAAUAUUGACGUCUAGAAGUCGAGAUUUAUUGCGCAAUGAUAUGAAAUCUCAGAAGGAUUUCUCAAUUGAAGUUUUAUCAAAGGAAGAAGCAUUGCAAUUGUUUGGAAAGAUAGUGUGUAAUUCUGCAAAAGCAUCUGCUUUUCAACCUUUAGCAGAUGAGAUCGUUGAAAAAUGCGGAGGAUUGCCUGUUGCACUGAUUACCCUUGCAAAAGCUUUGAAAAAUGAGAGGCUUGACACUUGGAAGGAUGUGCUGCGUCAGCUAAGAAGUUCCAAUGCAAAAGAAAUUGAUGGAAUGGAAAGAAAUGUGUACAUCUCCAUAAAAUUGAGUUACGACUUACUGGGAAAUAAGGAAGCAAAAUCUCUGUUCCUUCUUUGUGGUCUAUAUACUGAAGGUGAUGUCAUACACGUUUCUGACUUAUUGAGAUAUGGUAUGGGUAUGGGCUAUUUUAAAAACGUUUACACACUGGAAGAAGCAAGGAGUAGAGUGCAUACGUUGAUCGGUAAACUCAAAUCUUCAUGCUUAUUGUUGGACGGUGAUGCCGAAGAUGAAGUUAAAAUGCAUGACAUCAUUCAUGCUGUUGCUGUAUCAAUUGCAGAAGAGGAGCUCAUGUUUAAUAUUCCAAAUGUUGCCUACGUGGAGAAAAAGAUGGAAGAGACAAUACGGGAAGGUCCAAUAGCUAUUUCUUUACCUUAUAGAGAUAUUCAAGAGCUUCCCGAAAGGUUGGAAUGUCCCCGUCUCGAGUUACUUUUGUUGUUUUCAAAGCGUGAUAGCUCUUUGCAAAUUUCAGACCUCUUUUUUCAAGGGACAGAAGAACUCAAAGUUUUAGAUUUUACUGGAAUAUUUUUCUCUUCAUUACCUUCAUCACUUGGUUGCCUCAUUAACGUUCAAACAUUAUGUUUAGAUGGUUGCCGACUGAACGAUGUAACUAUAAUUGGACAGCUAAGGAAAUUAGAGAUUCUCAGCUUCCGAGAUUCUGAUGUUAACGAGUUGCCACUUGUAAUUGGACAAUUGACGAGAUUACAGUUGCUAGAUUUGAGCAAUUGUAGCAGCCUUGUGGUGAUAGCUCCAAAUGUCAUAUCAAAAUUAUCUCGAUUAGAAGAACUAUAUAUUGGUAACAGCUUUUCACAGUGGGAGAACGUUGAAGGAGGAAGUAACGCCAGUCUUGUUGAGUUGAAGGGGUUGUCAAAGCUAACUACUUUGGAGAUACACGUUCGGGAUGCCGAAAUUCUACCGCAGGAUUUGGUCUCUGUGGAAUUGCAAAGCUAUAGGAUAUGUAUAGGAAAUAAGUGGUGGAGCAGCUGGUCCGUUAAAUCUGGAUUAUCAAGAUUGAUGAAGCUCCAGGGGCUAGAAAAGUUUGGCAUUCUUUUGCAGAAUUACAGGAUGAAACUGUUGUUGAAGAGAACUGAAUAUCUCUAUCUAGGAGAACUGAAGGGUGUUCAGAAUGUUGUUCAUGAAUUAGAUGAUGGGGAAGGUUUUCCACGAUUGAACCAUCUUUCUGUAAAAAGUUGUUCUGAGAUUUUGCAUAUUGUCUGUUCAGUUGGACGGGUUCGUCGCAAAGUCUUCCCCUUGCUGGAGUCAUUGUCUCUUCGUCGUUUGAUCAAUUUGGAGACAAUAUGUGACAGCCAACUCACAGAAGAUCAAUCUUUCAGCAACUUAAGGAUUAUAAAAGUAUCAGACUGUCACGAAUUGAAGCAUCUUUUCUCAUUCUACAUGGCCAAAAACCUACUGUGGCUUCAAAAGGUAGAAGUGUUUUUUUGCGAUGAUCUGGAAAUGAUUGUUGGUAAGUGUUGAAAUUAAGUGUUGGUGGAUUUAUGGACUUCGCCUCAAUUAUUUUGAAAAAAAAAAAAGACAACGACAAAGAUUAAUUAUGUAUAUUGUUUUAGUUUGUUUAUAGGACCCGACAUGGACAAACCAACAACUUCUUUGGGAUUCAACGAAAUCAUUGCUGAUGAUGAUCCUGCUCCAAAGGUGAUAAUUUUCUGUUCAAUAAUUAAUUGAUUAAUUUAUUAUCACGAUUAAUCUUCGAUCAUCAAAAGAAUAUUAUACUAGACGGUUGUACUUGAAGGAACAAAAAUGUACGGGUUUUCUUUGCAGGUUAUUCUUCCGAGCUUAGAGGAAUUGAAUCUCAUGUCAUUAAGAAACAUCAAAAAAUUAUGGGCCGAUCAUAAUCAAGGAAUGUACUGUUGUCAAAAUCUAACAAAGCUGCACGUGGUCGGUUGUCAUCGUAUGAAGUAUCUGUUUUCAUAUUCUAUGGUUAAUAGUCUUGCGAAACUCCAACAUCUUGAGAUAAGCUAUUGUGAGUCAAUGGAAGGGGUAGUCGACACCACGGGAUGGUCAGAAAGAGAUGAAGGAAAGUUGAUUGAAUUAAAGGUUUUUCCUAAGCUACACUCCCUGCAGCUAGAAUGGCUUCCAAGACUAAGUAGCUUUGCCAAUAUGGGACAUAUUCAUUCAGAUUUAGUUGUUGAAUUCCCUUCUUUGCUAAACCUCAUGAUUGGUUGUUGCAGUAAUAUGUUAAGAUUCAUCUCUACGAGCUCACCAGAAGACACCAUUCAUUCUGAAAUGCAACCUCCUCCUCUCUUUGAUGAAAAGGUUUUUUUUUUUUUUUUUAAUUAAAAAAAAUAAUUUUAGUCACAAUACUUGAUUUGUCUUUUCCUUGAGUCUUCAAAUUUAGUUAAUAUCCGCCUCUAAUUUAGUUAUCAAUUGAUUAUGCCAUUAAUUGAUUAACUAGUUAUUUAAUCUUUAACUGCCAGGUACGAGUUCCUAGGUUGGAGGUAUUAUAUAUUGCGUGGAUGGAUAACCUAAGAACAAUAUGGCACCACCAGCUUGCUUCGGAGUCUUUCAGGAAAUUGAAGAAUUUGGAGAUAGAAGAGUGUGAUAACCUAAUGAAUAUUUUUCCUCCAUUGGUAAGGUUGCUGUAUUCAUUUCGAUUUUUUUUUUCAAAUAACAUUCAACAAUUUUUUAAUCUUUUCUGUGUUUACAAAUGAUAUUCAGCCACUAAUUAUUUAUUUCAAAUAUUGUACUUCAAACCACCACUCUAAAAUCUACGUUUUAAGUCUAGUUUUUAGGUUCACCAGCAUUAGAAUCAACAAUAUAAUUUUUUUAAACACGAUUCAAUAGCAUAAUAUAAUUCAAUUUAAUUGUUUUUGCUCAUAUCUUAAUAAGUACGAUUUUCAAAAAUUAAAGGAUAGUCACUCAUCUUAUAAGUUCACAAAUUCAUCUAUAUAUUUCUCUUUUCCUUAGUUCUUCACAUUUCGAUUGGGAAAAAAAAAAAGAAAGUCUUCAAAUUUAAUUAAUAUCUCCAGUUUAGUUAAGAAUUGAUUAUGCCAUUACUUAACCACAAAUUCAUGAUUGUUUACAACUGACCCUUGAUUGUAAAGAAAUUUCCUCGAGUCUGGAAGUACUUAAUAAAGAUCCACUUUAUAGCAAUCCCUUGUUGACAGUACUGGGAAGUCUUUUCCAAAUUUUUUUUUUCCAUUUUUAUACAUACAUAAAAAAAAGGGGACCAAGGAAAAGGGAAAAAGAGGCAUUUUAGUUGAGUUUUUUUUAAAGGAAUAGUUGAAAUGUGCAAAUUUAUGCUUAAAAACUUAUAUCAAGAUGCAAAAUAAGUCUAAAGUAUUUAGAAAUUGCCUUAAAUUCUUUCUACGUCCCUAAUACUAAAUAGUGUAAAUACAUUUUUAUCAUCUUUGUUUAUCUGGCUUUUAUUUAUUUAUCUUGUUACCUUUUUUGUUUAACAAAAAAUUAUCUAGUAGACAUUUCACAGUUUGUUAUGUUCAUAAAACGUAUAAUUGUAUGAUUAAACAUACUUUGAGCCUAGUUGAAUGAUACUCUUACAUUUUUACUUUUUUAAUAUACACACACACACACACUCUCUCUGCUUAUUUUCAGGUUGGAAUUCCUACUAGUCUGGUGAAUCUUUAUGUAUGGAACUGCAAAAAAUUAGAAGAAAUCGUAGGACAUGCUGGAGAAGAAGUGAAGGAGAAUCGUAUUGCUUUCAGUGAAUUAAAACUUUUGGAACUUGAUGAUUUACCAAGGCUUACCAGCUUUUGUUUGGAGAAUUACACUCUUGAAUUCCCAUCAUUGGAACGAGUAUUUGUGACACAUUGUCCGAACAUGAAGACUUUUUCUCUGGGAAUCUUAUCCACACCAAAGCUGCACAAAGUGCAAGUGACUGUAAAGGAAGAUGGUGAAUUGCACCAUCGGGACGACAAUCUUAAUUCCACCAUACAAGAACACUAUACAAGAUCUCAUGGAAAUAAGUAAACCCGUAAUUUUUUUCACAGCAUCAUAAGAAAAAAUCAUUUUUUUUUUAGUAUUUUUGUUGGCUGUUGAGUUUUAACAGUAGUAGCUAUUAAACAAGAACAAUCAGUGUAUAUUAAAAAGUUGGAAACUGGUUGAUACCACUUGGGAAUCGAGCAGCUCACUUGUUUGCGAGUAGAAACCAACUUUACUACUAAUUACACUCAUUCCAAAAAUAGUAACUAAAGAAUCAGGAAAUUUCCUAUUCACUAUUCUUCAUUUUUUAAUGCAAAAUUCCCAUGAAAAUGGGAUCAAAAUACAUGUAUGUAUACCUAAAACAAAUUAUUAUUUUUAAUUAAAAAAAAACACAGUUGAGGUGAAAUGAAACCAGAGUCAUGAUAUCUCUGGUUCCAACUUUGGGACAACAGCAGACUUGAGUUCUAUAUGAGAAACACGUACAGCACCAAUCAGCCGCUCCAAGACACACGAAGCGUUAUGCCAUUCCGAGAACAUUCAAGCGUUAUAUCUCAAAAUCAUGUCUUUUCCCUUGUGUCUGUUAAGGAAGCACACUGAGCACGUGUGAACUAAGAGUAGCUGCACGAUAAGCAUGUGUUAGUUAAAGAAGUAUAUGCCAGCUCAGCCAAUUAGUUAAGCAGGCUUUUGAUUCUGUUAUAGUUGUGUACCUUGCUUUAAUUCUGUUUUUAUGAUGUAAGCAACGAGUAUAAACACUGCUACGUUUGUCAUUUGUAUGUUAUGGAAAGAAAAGAAAUCCAGAAUAUUCUAUUUCACUUUCUCAUGAAUUUUCUGAGCUUCCAAACAAAAUUAUCAGUUCAAUUUUAAGCUUUUCAACAGUGUCCAUUUAGACGUGCAAAAAAAACAAUCAUACAUACCUGUACAAGGAAAGCCAUGUCAACCACCGACCGAUGUUGUAAUUACACCAAUUACGACAAGGCCCAAAACUCCACUAGCAAAAGUAGAAUAACAUCUAUGCCAACAUCAAUCUAUAGAGAGAUGAACAUGUUAAUGGUAUCGGACGAGCUAUUUGAACGGGAAACAUCUCAUGUACUAUAAUAGAAAUUUUAAGAGCAUUUACUUCUAAGUACUGGGGACCGCGGAUAUAGUUACAACCAACUGCAUUUAGAAACAAAAAUUUGCGCUUGCGACAAGAGCUGAUCUCUUCAUUCCCCUGUUUAGUAAUAAAAAAAAAUCAAAAUAGCGGAGAAACAGGGCCCUCUUUUCAUUCCCCUGUUUGAUAACAAUAAAAACAAAACAGAGGAGAAACGUGGGCUCUCUUUUCAUUCCCCUGUUUUUCUUUUCGGUUUGGCGAUUUUAAAAUUUUAUAUCCACAUUCAUUAAAAAAAAAAAAAAAAGUUAUUCCAAAAAGAUUUUCUAUUUUCAUAUAGACGUUUAUUUAUUAACCAAAAUUUAAAAAGUGUAAUUCUAAACUUAUCCUUGUGCUUUGAUCUUGGAGGGGUUUUUCAUUUUUUCUACACUGGCCAUAUCAAUUAAUGAUGAAAGUUCUUAUCCUUAAUUGCUUUUGAAAUGAGUGAGCACGGUAUGACCCUUAAGAGAAUUAAUUAAUUGGACAAGUUAUAUAACGCCUUUGAUAUGGCUCCUAGACAUGUAUGCAAUUUGUAUCUUUCCUCAAGUAUGCAUGAGAAUACUUGAGGAAAGCUUCACAAUAGUUACGGCCGGAUCUGCACUUCACAAGUCCUAAUAGGGAAGUAUAAAUAUAUGCUUCUGGAACAGUGCAACUCUCCAUAAUAAGUACCUAAGAAUAGACAAAUUUUCAUUACAAUAGAAUGAUAAAUUAUAAUAAUAUUGACACAAUGAUGCCAAUAAUAAGAAUCUUAACAAAUCUACUAAUUUUAGAAUAUGGCUUAGAGUGCUACAAUGAACCACAACAAGUUAUCGAUAUUAUAAUAUCUAUAAUUAAUAUUCCAAUAAUAACUGGGGCUCCUUUGUUUUCAUUCCCCUACUUUUCUGUUAAGUGAUUGCCAAAUUUUUAUAUCUAAAAUUCUUCUAAUUUUAAACUAAGGUUUAUUUAGAAAAAAAAAGGGAGAGAGAGAGAGAGACUCGAAGAGCAUUAAAAAAUGUAAUUUUUAAUUUUCACUUAAGCAUUGUGUGACUUUUAUCAUUUUUUAAAGUUGGCCAUUUGUACUGAAUAAAUAAAAUAAUGGAUAGACUUAUGGACCACUUUUUUUCUGUUAUAUUAAAACAUGAGAUGUCUUUUCUUGAUGUUUUCAUCACACAAGAAUCUGUUUAUGUCAUCAUGCAUCAUGGGUUUAAAUGGGGUAAAUAAAUUAAGAUCGAGGGCAAGUUUGUUUAAGUUCUAAAGUUGCUGAAUAUAAAAAGGGCUGAUAUGAAAAUUACCUAAAGUUUCAAAUAUUGUUAUUCAGCAACCACUUUUAGGUUGCAUUAGUUUCUACACAAAUUUUAUAUAAAUAAUUUAUAACUCCCAUUAUUAUUUAAAAAACUGUAGCAAUUGUUGAAAAAAAAUUCUAAUUAAAGAAAUUGACAUUAUAAUUUAAGGGAUAGUUGCUGUUUUAAUCAUUAGAACUUAAGUCAAUUAUCCAGCUUAUCCUUGUAUUCUUAAAAACUAUAUAAAAUACCAUUAUCUCUUCUUUUGUAGCUAUUGAAUUCGACUUUCACAACAUAAAUAUUUAUUAGCAACAACUUAAAAUUCAAACAAAUAUAAUAUGUAAUGUAUGAAAUACAAAUAAUAGUUAAACAAAUUUUGAUUAUUUACUAUUAAAAUACAUUCACAUUAAUAUCUUAAGGAUAGGUGGUACUCAAAUAAUUUUUUAAAAAUCAGACCCAAAUUAUAUGCAUUGUUAAUAUGUAUUAUUGUCUAAUAUUUGGAUUUUGUUAAGUUACAACUGUUGUAACUUACGAUCUCUUCAAAAAAGAAAAUUGAGUCCCACCACCUAUUAAAUUUUUUACAUUAUUUUUUAAAAGACUGUAAGUUACAUCAGUUGUAACUUAACAGCACCCUUAAUAUUUUACUUUACUUUUAUAUCUUUACAAAACAAUACCAACAAGACAAUAAUGUAUGAAAUAAAUAAAAUAAAUAAAUAAAGAACUGAUAGCGAAAUUAAGUCUAUCAUUAGUUUCUUGUGGUGUGAACUCUUGACAAUUCUCCCACCUAAAACUCUCUAGUGGUGUGAACUUUUGACGAUUCUCCAAAAAUUUGUCAUAUUGCAAAAAGCAAUGUCAAUUGUAAUGUCAUUUCCAUUAGUCAUAGUGGCAGAUAGGACUAGAAAUUGUUGAAACCCAUUGACUUAUUUUUCUUUCUAAAAAUAAGAAAAGCACACCCGUCCGGGGAAAUAAUUUUGUAGUACCUCAUGUCGUGAAUAAGGGACAAUACGAUCCUUUUUUUAUUAUAGUAUUUUUAAAUUUAUUAACUAAAAAAUUAAUUCUAAUAUUUUAUAAUAAAUAUAAGUAGGAUAUUAAAAUGAAUAUAAUAAUGUAUACAUAUUAAAAUAAUUUCAAUAUCUAAAAAUAUUUUAAUAUUUUAAAAUCUCGUAGUCUAUUAAACCAAAUAAUAAUAAAUAGAGACAUAAUAUUCAAAUAAAUACAUAAAAAUUUAAAUUGUUUUCAAUAUCACAUAAAAUAAUUUUAAUAUUAUUAAUACAUGAGAAAUAUUAUAUUAAUUGUAAAAUCUAUUUAACCUAAGGAUUCAUUUAAAAUUUUUUGUAAUAAUUACAAGUAUUUUAUAGAUACAAAUAUAUUAAUUCACAUUUUAAAAAUUAAUAUUGAAAUUAAUUAUUUAAAUUUUAUAAAAAAUUUUGAAGUCUUUUUUUUUUUUUUGGCUACCAUCUACUAAGAGUAGUAUUAUGAUCAAAAGGGGUAUUGGUAUCCUAUAUUAAAAAUUUGAGGUCUACGUGACUAUUUUUCUAAAUUUUUAGGGUAUCAUUUUGUUUUUGACAAAAGUAAAAUUUCAUUUUUGACAAAAAUAAAAUUUCAUUUAAAUGGCUAAAAUGGUGAAUAAAAUAAUACUACAGUGGGCGUAAAUGGAAGGUAAGAAACAAUGAAAAUGAAUAGUCUAAUGUCACCACAGGCACAUAAGGCCAAAGUUUGUUACAUCUGAUCAAGGACAAUUUAGUAUGUGGAGUGGGUCCUGCGUGUCAUUUUUUGGGCAUCUACCUUCUUCAGCAUUGAAGAUUUGAUGUUGACGACAUUUUAAAAAUUUGGAAGACCCAUCAUACAUUUGGAUGGUUGUCAUUAUUUGAUAUUAUCAUUAUCUCGUGGUGAUCCUAUUAUUUAUGUGGCAAAAGAGGUAAUUAAAUAAAAUUUAAUUGGAUGUAACACUUGUUUCGCGUUGUGAACUUUUGACAAUUCCCCUAUAUCCCUCCAAAAACUUUCGUCAUUUUGCCAAGAUACCUAACGAUUGUAAUGUAAUUUUCAUUAUUCAUAGUGCCAGAUAAUGGAGGUCCAGGAACGGACCAGAAAUUAUUGCUACCCGUGGACUUUUCCAAUUUAUUUUUUUUCUUUUGGAUGGUUGACGUUAUUUGAUAGGAGGACGAGAUAGAGAUAGAGUUCUUAAUCGAACACCCGUUUUAUUUAAUGGGGAAAUUAUCAUUUCACCACUACUCUUUUGCCUUAUGCUCAUUCAAUUACUACAAAAUUUUAACAUGUUCUCUGCACUACUUUUCUUUUUUAAAUUUGUAUCAAUUACUCACUUUUAUACUAACACCAUUAAAUAAUUUAAACAAAAUAAUAAAUUUACCCCUAAAUAAAUUAAAAGACCAUUUUAUUUUAUAAAAACUUAAAAAAUAAAAAAUAAAAAUUAUAAUUAUAAUUAUAAAAAUACCCCUAAAUUUAAUAAAGAAAUAAAUCCCCAAAUUAGAAUUUUUAUUUUAAUAAAAAUUAUAAUUAUAAAAUAAUUGCAAAAUUUUGGGAUUUAAUAAACAUCCCCUAAAAUAUUAAAUUUUGGGAUUUAUUUUUAAUAAAUAAAUUUAGUUAUUUUAAUAAAAUUUUACAAAAUUAUAAAUUUGUAAUAAAAAUAAGCUGAGCGCCUCUAUUUUGGAUUAUUUUUUAUUAAAUUUAGGGGUAUUUUUGUAAUUCUAAUAUUUUUUUUCAAAGCUUUUAUAAGAUAAAAUGGCAUUUUAAUUUAUUUAGGAGUAAAAUUAUCAUUUCGUUUAAAUUAUUUAACAGUAUUAGUGUAAAAGUGGCUAAUCGAUUCAAAUUUAAAAAGAAAGAUAGUGCAGAAAACAUGUUGAAAUUUUGUGGUGGUUAAAUGAACAUAAGUCAAAAGAAAGAUGGUAGAAUGAUAAUUUCCCUAUUUAAUAUGGAAGAAGAUCUUUAAACUCUCAGUGAGGCUAUGGCUUCAACAGAUGCAGCCUUGUGGAAAGAGGCAACAAGUAAUGAGAUAGACUCAUUAUUAUCUAAUCAACUAGAUGCAUCAACAAGAUCUUAACUUAGAUUGGAACUUGAAGCAUUGUUGUUUGAAACAUUGGCUCAAGCCUUUAGAGCGAGGUUGGAUGCAAAAUGAUUUACAACAAAGAAAGGAAAAAAUAAAUUUACUAAUUUACAAAAUAAAUUUAGUAAAUUAAUAAAGUCAUUAUAUGAUCUUAAAUAAGCACUAAAGCAACAGCAUGAAAAUUUUGAUUCUAUGAUCAUGUUGCAUGGAUUUUAACAUAAUAACGAUGAUAAAUGCAUUUAUUCUAAAUUAAUGGAUAAAUAUGGUAUGAUAAUUUUCCUCAUUUGAGAAAGAAUUCUUAAAUAAUGUCCCAUAUUAAUUAGUAAAAGAGAGUCACUUGGGCUUAUAAGUAGUAGAGAUGGGCAAAAUUGGAUGCAGAUGAUAUUCGGGUUAAUAUGAUCAGAUUUUGGAUUGUUCGGAUUGAUAAAAAGUCAUAUGAAUGCAAUAUGAACUUGCAUCCAAUCCGAUUAUGUACGGAUCAUAUUCAAAUUGGAUGAAUAGUGCAGAUUAAUUUGGAUUCGGAUCAGAUCGAUAAUAUCAAACUGAAAUCGGAAUCAGAUGUGUUCGAAUAAAUCAGAUGAAUUUCAAUCACUUGCAAGUUGAAAUACAAAAUUGAAAAAUCAUAGAAAUUAAGAAAAAAAUGCAGCAAGCUAGCAAAUGGAAGAACAAAGGCAAAAAAUUAUAUUAUAAAUUAAUCGUAAAAAGGUGCUAUUAGCAAUUGUUGCACAAUGCGAAAAUGUCCUGGAACUCGCUGUGUAGACAUGCAAAAGUUCCGUAAGUGCAUUAACAAUUAUUUUCCAAAAAAAGGUUGUUGCGUCAAUAUUAAAGGAAUUGACAUCCAGGGACCCAGUUUAGUUGCUUAAUGAUUAAUUAAUUAAUCAAUUUAUAAUAUAUUAAUCUUUUAAGUUGAAUACUUAAAAUCUUAGACCCCAAACAAUAAAUCAUCUGAGUAAUAUAAAAGAGAAAUUAUCAUCCUAUUUUUUAUUUGACUUCUUGUAGCUUAUAAAAGAGAAAUUAUCAGUCAUUUACUCAAAGUUUAUUCAGUUAUUAAAAUUAAUAUAAAAUUUAAAUUUAUUUAAUUUUACACUCAAUGUAUGCAAUUUGUAUUAAACAUCCGUUAAAAACAUAAAGUUAUUCCAUCAAAGUGACAAAAUAGAAGCGAACACAAAAUUGUAUUGGUGAUUAUGUUUUAAGAGUAAUUUUAUCUUUUUAGUAAACAGUUAUCCACAUUGUAACAAUGGGUAUAAAAUUAAGUAUAUUUAAAUUUUUAUAACUUUUAGGAUAAUAAGAUAAUUUUUAGGUGGAUGACUGAAAAUUUUUCUUUUCAAAAUAUUUUGAAAACAAUACCAAAUGUACCAAAACAUUGUUUACUUACACUCUAUAUAUAUAUAUAUAUAUAUAUAUAUAUAUAUAUAUAUUUAAUUUCUUAACUCAUUCUUAUCCUUAUUCUUGCUAACAUAUCCACAAUCUGUCAAUGAAAUUUACUUUUAUAAAUUUGAAGAUUCUUUCAUGCAAUUUUGUACGAUAAUGAGUUCUCAUGUCUCUGUUAAAAAAGAAUUCGUAAAUAAUACAAAUGAAAAAAAAACAAAAAGUAGCAGGGCUGGCAAUACAAACCAUAACUUUUUUUCUUUGAAAUAUGCAUAAAUAAAGUUAAUAGUGAUGUGUCAGCACGAUCUUGAGAGCACGGCUUGGAGUCUCAAUAAUUAUUGACACUCAUAUUUGAAAACUUUUGAAAAGAUAAAAUCCAAUAUGAAAGGUGAAAUGUUAUAAUCAUAGUAACUAGAAAAUUGAUUGAUUUACAAAUAUCAAUUUAAACAAUUUUCAUGUUGAUCGACAAUUUAAGUAGAUUGACAAAGAUUGAAGUAAUUACUGUUGGUGAUUGAUUGACUUUGUCCUUAUCCUUGCCUUCUUCUUAUCAAAAAUCGAGUGUCAAUUAAAUUGGGCCAGGGCUUCUGAUUGCAACUAAUAGACUUCAUAUACGCAUAAUGCUCCCUACGGACAUACGUACCAGUAUUUGAUUGAAAAAGGGAUGCGUGCUUAAUGCUCAAGUCGUCUUCUUCUGGAAAUUCAUUGUUAUUACUCUCAUCAACUCGUUACUCACAUUCCUCUUUAGUCAACAGAGAUCUUUUGCUCAAUAAAAUUUUUCUUCUAUAUUCAAGGUGAAUACAGCAGCUCAUCAACUCUGAUCCCAGACAGGUAAAGAGGCGCACUUGUUCUAAAACCUUUAAUAUUCUUUUAGUAACAGAAUCUCUGAUACUUGUUCUUCAUAGCGGUUCUUUCUUAAUUUCCAUCACCUUUCCUAGGAAAAAAUUCUUUGGUUUUUCUUAAUCAUAUCAUUUAUUUUUCUGAAGUCAUAUAAUUUAGUUUUAGUAGCAGAAUACUUGAUAUUGAUAGCGGUUCUUUCUUAAUUUCCAUCAACUUUCCUUGAAGGAUACCUUUCUGUUAAUAGCAAAACAUCUGAUCCUUAAGAUAGAAAAAGAAAUUCUCUAUUUAGGUAUCAGUUGGUUCAAGAUCAAUAUCGCGAUGUUGUUUGCGGUCUUUUCUUUCUCCGUCUUUCCCUUUAGUUCAGUUUAAUUUAUUUGUUUUCCUUUCUUUGAUAUAUUAUUAGAUUUGUUAAGUAGCAGACAAUGGCAGAAGUUGGUCUGGCUGCUUUUUCCAGCAUUGUAUCAGAAGGUGCAAAGUCACUGUUCAAACCGAUUAUACGGCAGAUAUCUUAUGUGUUCAAGUACCAGAGCUACAUAGAUGAGCUAAAAGAUAAAGUGAAGCGGCUGGAACAUAAAAGAGAAAGGGUGGAAAUACCCGUUCAUCAGGCAACUCAACAAGGAGAUGAGAUUUAUAAGGAUGUUGCAGACUGGCUUAAUAGCGUCAAGGAAUUCACUCAGGGAGCUGCAAAAUCCAUCACUGAUGAUGAAGAUAGAGCUAAGAAGUUCUGUUUCAAAGGAUUGUGCCCAAACUUGAUCUCUCGUUACAAGCUCAGUAAACAAGCAGCAAAGGCUGCAGAAGCUGCCGCUAGUCUCGUGGGAAAAGGCAACUUCUCCAAUGUUUCCCACCGUCCUACUCCAAAGCUGGUAGAACAUAUGCAAGUGAAAGAUUUCGAGGCCUUUGACUCAAGAAUGAAAGUAUUUCAAGAUGUUUUGGAGGCGUUGAAGGAUGAUAAGCUCAAGAUAAUUGGGGUCUACGGGAUGGGCGGCGUGGGUAAAACCACGCUUGUCAAGCAAGUUGCGAAGCAAGUGAUGGAAGAUAAGUUGUUCGAUAAGGUCGCUAUGGCUGAGGUAACAGAGAACCCAGAUCAUCAGAAAAUUCAAGACAAACUAGCUUCUGAUUUAGGCAUAAAGUUUGAGUUGAAUGAGAGUAUAUUCGACAGAGCAAAUCGACUAUGUGGAGUAUUGAAGAACAAGGAGCGGCAUCUCAUUAUAUUGGAUAAUAUUUGGAGAGAACUGGAGUUCGAUAAAGUUGGAAUUCCUUCCAGGGAUGUCGAGAAAGAAAGAAUGGAUGAUCAGAGACGAUGCACAAUAAUACUGACGUCUAGACGUCAAGAUUUAUUGCGCAAUAUUAUGAAUUCUCAGAAAGAAAUCCAGAUCGAUGCUUUAUCAAAAGAAGAAGCAUUGCAUUUAUUUAAGAAGAUAGUGGGUGAUUCAAUGAAAACAUUUGCUUUUCAAUCUAUAGCAGAUGAGAUCGUUGAAAGAUGCGGAGGACUGCCUGUUGCACUGAUUACACUUGCAAAAGCUUUGAAAAAUGAGAGGCUUGACACUUGGAAAGAUGUGUUGAAUCAGCUAAGAAGUUCCAAUGCAAAAGAAAUUGAUGGAAUGGAAAUAAAUGUGUACAUCUCCAUAAAAUUGAGUUACGACUUAUUGGGAAGUAAGGAAGCAAAAUCUCUGUUCCUUCUUUGUGGUCUAUUUAGUGAAGGUCAUGCUAUACCAGUUUCUUCCUUAUUGAGAUAUGGUAUGGGUAUGGGCUAUUUUAAAAACGUUUACACACCGGAAGAAGCAAGAAGUAGAGUGCAUACGUUGAUCGGCAAACUCAAAUCUUCAUGCUUAUUGUUGGACGGUGAUACUGAAGCUAAAGUUAAAAUGCAUGACGUCAUUCAUGCUGUUGCUGUAUCAAUUGCAGAAGAGGAGCUCAUGUUUAAUAUUCCAAAUGUUGCCGACUUGGAGAAAAAGAUGGAAGAGACAGUACAGGAAGGUCCAAUUGCUAUUUCUUUACCUUAUAGAGGUAUUCAAGUGCUUCCUGAAAGGUUGCAAUGUCCCUGUCUUGAGCUAUUGCAUACGGAGGGUGAUGGCUCUAUGCAAGUUUCAGACCACCUUUUUAAAGGGACGGAAGGACUCAAAGUUUUGAAUUUUAAUCGAAUUCACUUCUCUUCAUUACCUUCAUCACUUGGUUGCCUCAUUAACCUUCAAACAUUGUGCUUAGACUAUUGCCGACUAAAAGAUAUAGCAAUAGUUGGACAGCUAAAGAAAUUAGAGAUUCUCAGCCUUGUAUAUUCCGAUAUCAAGCAGUUACCACUUGAAAUUGGACGAUUGACGCGGUUACAGUUGCUAGAUUUGAGCAAUUGUUGGAGCCUUGAGUUGAUACCACCAAAUGUCAUAUCAAAAUUAUCUCGAUUAGAAGAAUUGUUUAUGCAUAACAGCUUUUCACAGUGGGAUAAGGUAGAAGGAGGAAGUAAUGCCAGUCUUGUCGAGUUGAAGGGGUUGUCAAAGCUAACUACUUUGGAGAUACAUGUUUCGGAUUCCGAAAUUCUGCCGCUGGAUUUUGUCUCUGUGGAAUUGGAAAGAUAUAAGAUAUUUAUAGGACAAAUGUCUGUCCGGUGGCUCGUCGAAUCUAAAACAUCAACAUUGAUGGUGCUCAAGGGGCCAGAACAAGUUAGCCUUCUUUUGGGGAAUGAUGGGACGAAAAUGUUGCUGAAGAGAACUGAAGAUCUCCGUCUAUGCUCACAGAAGGGUGUUCAGAAUAUUGUUCAUGAAUUAGACGAUGGGGAAGGUUUUCCACGAUUGAAGCAUCUUCAUGUAAAAAGUUGUUCUGAGAUUUUACAUAUUGUCGGUUCAGUUGGACGGGUUCGUUGCGAAGUCUUUCCCUUGCUGGAGUCAUUGGAUCUUAUUAAUUUAACUAAUUUGGAGACGAUAUGCUACAGCCAACUCAGAGAAGAUCAAUCUUUCAGCAACUUAAGGAAAAUAAACGUAGAUUUCUGUCCAAAAUUGAAGUAUCUCUUCUCAUUCUCUAUGGCCAAAAACCUAUUGCGGCUUCAAAAAGUAAAAGUGGAAAACUGCGAUGAUUUGAAAAUGAUUAUUGGUAAGUGUUGAAAUUAAUUAUUGGUAGGAUUAUUGACAUUGACUCAUUCUUUUUUUCUUUUCUUUUUUUUUUUUUGGUGAAAAAAACAACGGAUGUUUAUUAUAUAUUGUUUUUGUUCAUUUAUAGGGCCCGACAUGGAGAAACCAACAACAACUCAGGGAUUCACAGAAAUCAUUGCAGAGGAUGAUCCUGUUCACCAAGUAAUAAUUUUCUGUUUAAUAAUUAAUUAAUUAAUAUAUUAUCACGAUUGAUCUUCAAUCAUCGAAAGAAUAUUAUAUUAGAAGUUGUAGUUGAAGGAACAAAAAUGUAUGGUUUUUCUUUGCAGGUUACUUUUCCACGCUUGGAGGAACUGAAACUUGUCAGUUUAACAAACAUCAAAAAAUUAUGGCCCGAUCAAUUUCAUGGAAUGUAUUGUUGUCAAAAUUUAACAGAAGUGACCGUGUUCGGUUGUGAUCGUCUGAAGUAUCUGUUUUCAUAUUCUAUGGUUAAUAGUCUUGGGCAACUCCAACAUCUUGAGAUACGAAAUUGCUGGUCAAUUGAAGGGGUAGUCAACACCACGGGGUUAGGAGGAAGAGAUGAAUUGAAGGUUUUUCCCAAACUACACUACCUGUCGCUCCAUUGGCUUCCAAAACUAAGUAGCUUUGCCUCACCAGAAGACGUCAUUCACACUGAAAUGCAACCUCAAUCCCUCUUUGAUGAAAAGGUUUUUUUUCAUUGAAUUUUUAAAUUCUCUUUUCGUUGAGUCUUCAAAUUUAAUUAAUAUCCAUCUCUAACUGCAUUGAAUUUUCAACUUCAGGUACGACUCCCAAGUCUGGAGGUAUUACAUAUUAAGAGGCUGGAUAAGUUGAGAAAAAUAUGGCACCACCAGCUUGCUUCGAAGUCAUUUAACAAAUUGAAAAAAUUUGAGAUAUCAGGGUGUCAUAAUCUACUGAAUAUUUUUCCUCCAUUGGUAAGAUUGCUAUAUUCAUUUUGAAUUUUUAUUUCAAAUAACAUUCAACAAUUAUUUUAAUCAUUUUUGUGUUUACAAAUAAUUUUCAUUCACAAAUUAUUUAUUGCAAGUAUUGUACUUCAAACUUCUGGAGGGAAAAAAAGUAGUGUACUUCAAAUCACCAUUCUGAACUCUGCAUUUUCAAUCUAAUUUAUAGGUUCACCUGCAUUAAAGUCAACAAUAUAAUUGUUUUAAACACGAUUCAACAGCAUAAUAUGAUUCAAUUUAAUUGUUUUUUUUCUUAAAUCCUAAUAAAUAAGAUUUCCAGAAAUUAAAAGAUACUUAGUUACUCAGCUUUUAAGUUCACAAAUUCAUAUAUAUUUCUCUUUUCCUUGGGUCUUUAGAUUUCGAUUUUAAAAAUAAAAUAAAGAAAAGUGUUCAAAUGUAGUUAAUAUCUCUAGUUUAGUUAUGAAUUGAUUACGCCAUUGAUUAAGCACAAAUUCAUGAUGGUCAUUUUGAAUCGACCGUUGAUUAAAAAAUUUCCUCAAAUAUUCACUCUAUAACAGUCCCAUGUUGAUGGCGUUGGGAAGUGUUUUCCAGAAAUGUUUUCCAUUUUUAAAAGCAUGAAUAUCGGGAAAAAAAAAAAUGGGAAAUACAGCGUUUUAGUUUAGUUAUUUUAAAAAUAGGCAUGUUUGAAAAUUAAAAAUUUUUAAAAACUAGCAUCAAGAUGAAAAAUGAAUUUAGAAUAUUUAAAAAUUACCUGAAAUUCUUUCUCUGUUCCUAAUACUAAAUAGUGUAAAUGCAUUUUCAUUAUCUUUGUUUUUCUGGUCUUCUAUUUAUUUAUUUUUGUUUUAAUUUUUUCCUUUUUUUCUUUAACAAAAAAUAUCUAGUAGACAUUCAUGGUUUGUUAUUUUUCAUAAAACAAUUGUAUGAUUUUGACAUACUUUGAAUCUAGUUGAAUGCUACUCUUUAUUUUCAGGUUGGAAUUCCCAAUAGUCUAGUGAAUCUUAAUGUAUCAUACUGUGAAAAAAUAGAAGAAAUCAUAGGACAUGUUGGAGAAGAAGCGAAGGAGAAUCGUAUUGCUUUCAACGAAUUAAAACAUUUGGAACUUGAUCAUUUACUAAGGCUUACCAGCUUUUGUUUGGAGAAUUACACUCUUGAAUUCCCAUCAUUGGAACGAGUAUCUGUGACACAUUGUCCGAACAUGAAGACUUUUUCUCAGGGAAUCGUAUCCACACCAAAGUUGCACGAAGUGCAGGUGAGUAAAAAGGAAGUAUUAAGUUUUAUAUGAAACUGUGAUGUUGUUUGGUUACUAAGAAAAUAGGAAGAAAGAAAACUUCUGUAAGCUGAGAAUUCUGUUAUUAUUGACCUAAUGAAUCUGGAAAUUACAAGCCUUUUUAUAUGUGCAUAGAAGAUUCUACACACAUUGCACACACGCACAGUUUAAUACUAACAACCUCUAUAACAACCUUUAGCUGACUCAGCUGCCAUGUCAGCAUACUCAUUAACUAACUAAUUCUAUUCUUAACAGGAAGAGGGUGAAUUGCGCCGUUGGGAAGGCAACCUUAAUUCCACUAUACAAAAGUGUUACGAAGAAAUGGUAUGUGUUAAAUCGAUUCGUCGAAAUUACUUAUGCAUCUCCCUUGCACUUGCACAUUUAAGUAUAUACACCUGCCUUGUAUAUAUAGUUUUAGAAGUUAAAACACAAAACAUGUAAGUUUAAUGUAUAUAUAUCUAAUGCCUUUCAAAAAGAAAAAAAAUUGUAUAUAUCCAGUGCAAUUGUUUUGGUUUGUGCAGAUUGGAUUUCGUGACAUAAUGCGUUUGCAACUUUCGCAUUUUCCACGUUUGCAAGAAAUAUGGCAUGGCCAAGCACUGCCUGUCAGCUUCUUCAACAAUUUAAGAGAGCUGGUGGUGGAUGACUGCACGAAUAUGUCGAGUGCUAUUCCUGCCAAUCUGCUACGGUGCUUGAACAAUUUGGAAUACCUGGCAGUGAGGAAUUGUGAUUCACUAGAAGAGGUGCUUCAUUUGGAAGAACUAAUUAAUGCUGAGGAAGAACAUUUUGGCCAACUGUUCCCUAAUCUUUACGAGCUAAAGCUCAUUGAUCUUCCAAAACUCAAAAGAUUCUGCAACUUCACUGGGAAUAUAAUUGAACUGCCUAAGUUGGACAAUCUAACUAUUGAGAAUUGCCCUAGUAUGGAAACACUGCCUGUCAGCUUCUUCAACAAUUUAAGAGACCUGGUGGUGGAUGACUGCACGAAUAUGUCGAGUGCUAUUCCUGCCAAUCUGCUACGGUGCUUGAACAAUUUGGCAUGGCUGAAAGUGAGGAAUUGUGAUUCACUAGAAGAGGUGCUUCAUUUGGAAGAGCUAAGUGCUAAGGAAGAACAUAUAGGCCCCAUGUUUCCUGAGCUUUCCCUGCUAGGGCUCAUUGAUCUUCCAAAACUCAAAAGAUUCUGCAACUUCACUGGGAAUAUAAUUGAAAUGCCUAAGUUGGAAUAUCUCAUUAUUGAGAAUUGCCCUGAUAUGGAAACAUUCAUAUCCAACUCUGUAGUGCACGUGACAACAGAUAACAAGGAACCUCAAAAAUUAACAUCAGAAGAGAACUUCUUGCUGGCUCAUCAAGUACAACCUCUCUUUGAUGAAAAGGUGAUUAUUAUUAUUAUUAUUAUUUUUCCCUUCACUUUCGUUUCAUAGAUGUAAUUUCAUUAGAAUCAAAUCAAAUUUAAUGACUCAUCUUUUUGCACGUCGUCUUAAUUUUUAUAUGAUUUAACAAUAUAACUGCAGUUAUUAACUAUCUUUAUAGUAUGAAUUAUAAAAAUGUCUGAAAUUAAUUGGAUGCCUGAUAACACGAGGUGAUCUAUUAAUUAUGUGUAUUACAUCUCUGUUUUCCUAGCUAAUUCAUAUUGGAUUUAGCAUCAGAUUUCAUUUAUGUGUUUCAAAGGGUAAUCGAUUUGAUACUUAUAUUUGGGAUCCUACUGCAAAGCAUACUAAUUUGGAAAUAAAAUAUAAAAUGCCGUGAUUAAUCUUGUCCAUAAAAUAUGCAGGGGAAGACUGCAGAGAUUGGAUACAUAUUUUCAUUUACAACUUAAUUUUGUUGAUUUUUAGGUUGCAUUCCCUCAAUUGAGUUGGUUAACGCUAUCUGGAUUACACAAAGUGCAGCAUCUCUGGAAGGAAAAUGACGAAUCCAACAAAGCGUUUGCAAACUUGGCAAGUCUAGAAAUAUCGGAAUGUAUUCAGUUGCAAAAAUUAGUACCACCUUCGUGGCAUUUGGAAAAUAUGUGGGGACUGGAAGUAUCGAAGUGUCACGGGUUGAUAAAUGUGUUGACGCUCUCAGCAUCUAAAAAUCUAGUGAACCUUGAAAGAAUGAAGAUAGCUGAUUGCAAAAGGAUAGAAGAAAUCAUACAGUCGCCGGUUGCAGAAGAAGCGAAAGAUUGCACUGUUUUCAAGAAAUUGAAGUACUUGACACUUGAUUGUUUGCCAAGCCUAACAAGCUUUUGUUUAGGUAAUUACGCUCUUGAAUUCCCGUCCUUGAAACAAGUAGUUGUGAGACAGUGUCCAAAAAUGAAGAUCUUCUCUCAAGGAGUCUUAGACACACCAAUGCUAAACAAAGUGAACGUCACCGAAGAAGAAAAAGAUGAUGAUGAUGAAGGAUGUUGGGAAGGCAACCUCAAUGACACCAUAAAAAAAUUGUUCAAUGAAAUGGUGAGUAUCAAUUAAGUUUUGAUGCUAUUUAGCAAAUUAUUUUAUAGAAACUAAUGUGAUAUAAUAUGAUUGGUUGACUGAAAAUAUAUAAUAAUAAUAAUAAUAAUAAAUAAAUAAAUAAAUAAAUUAUGAGGACCAUGUAAUGUUUUUGUUUAAUCAAUCAUAUUAUGUCGCAUUAGUUUAUACAAUAUUAUUUGUGCACAAGAGGUGGUGGUCAUAUCAUUACUCUAGCUUUAUUAUUCUUAUGGUGGCAAUGUAUGCUUGCUUACACGAGUAAUUACAAAAUCUGCAGAAUUCUAAAGAAGAGAUUGAGCCAACCCUUCAGGUACAGUGAAGAAGCUAUCCCGAACCAGGCCAAUCUCUUAUACAUGAUUCAGCUUGCUCGUUCUUCUGUACUUGAAUAAUUUGGUUCUAUAUAUUUACAAUUUUUCGCUCAUGCUACAGACUUGCAAGACACUUUGGAUUUUGUUUGAUGCAUUCUCCGUUUAAGAAAGGACUUGAAUUGAUGUUUCAUGUUUCAUGCAAUAUUCAAUUAGAUUCUGCCUAAAUUUCUGUAUUAUUCGUUCAAUUGGUCUUUUAAGCAUUUGAUUUCUAACCUCUCCUAAUGGAAGAUCAUUAUCUGAAGAAAACAGCAUAACAUUUGUGGCAUUAUCAGAAUAAGAAUAUUUUUGAGUAUAGUAAAAUUAUCUCCACCACUGUUAAAAAGAAUUAAUCAGUCAAACUGACCUCACACCAGCACGCUUUAAAUUAAAAGAAUUUCGUGAAGUCGAGACCAUGUUAUAGAUCUCAUGGAAAGAAGUAAACCCGUAAUUUUUUUCACAGCAUCAUAAGAAAAAUCAUUUUUUUUAAGUAUUUUUGCUAGCUGUUGAGUUUUAAUAGUAGUAGCUAUUAAACAAUAACAAUUAGUGUAUAUUAAAAAGUUGGAAACUGGUUGAUACCACUCGGGAAUCGAGCAGUUCACUUGUUUGCGAGUAGAAACCUACUUUACUACUAAUUACACUCAUACCAAAAAUAGUAACUAAAGAAUCAGGAAAUUUCCUAUUCACUAUUCUUCAUUUUUUAAUGCAAAAUUCCCAUUCGAAAACACCAAUGACUUUCAUUCAAAGUAAAUGAGAAAUUACAAUGAAAAUAGAAUCAAAAUACAUGUAUGUAUACCUAAAACAAAUGAUUUUUUUAAUUAAAAAAAAAACACAGUUGAGGUGAAAUGAAACCAGAGUCAUGAUAUCUCUGGUUCCAGCUUUGGGACAACAGCAGACUUGAGUUCUCUAUGAGAAACACGUACAACACCAAUCAGCCGCUCCGGUAAUUCAUCUGUAGUAUUUGCCUGCAUACAGAAGAGCAAGAUAAAGAAGACACACACAGAAGCAUUAUAUCAUUCUGAGAACAUUCAAGUAUGCAAAAAUGCAAGUUGCAGUGCAAUAUCUCAAAAUCAUGUCUUUUCCCUUGUGUCCAUUUAGCAGUGGGGGAAAAAAACAAUCAUACAUACCUGUACAAGGAAAGCCAUGUCAACCACCAAUGUCGUAAUUACACCAAUUACAAGGCCCAAAACUCCAUUAGCAACAGUAGAAGAAUCGAUGUCAACAUCAAUCUACAGAAAGAUGAACAAUGUUAAACCAUGUUAAAGGUAUUGGACGCUAUUUGAAAGGGGAACAUCUCAUGUACUAUAGAAAUUCCAAGAGCAUUUACUUCUAAGUACUUGGGACCGCGAAUAUAGUUACAAUCAACUGCCUUCCCCAAUAAACAAGGGGUGCUUCCAACACUCUGGCGCACUAUCCAUGACCCCUGCAUGAUUCAGUGCUGAAAAUCAAGAACAAGUGCAAAACAAAUUCAAGAGGGUAAAAAGGAGAUAAAGUUUGAAGGUACAACCCAUCAAUACAUUCACACCUAAAUGCAUGCCUUCUUUGUACAAAUUGAAGUGUACCAUGCAGUAAAGGGUAAGUAUACGUUAAUAUAGUCCUACUACAUGAAGGCCAAGAUGGAUACCUUAGGAACAGAUGGAAUAAGUUUCAACCUACUAUUGCGAAAUUCAUCAUCGCCAUCAACAAACCGUUGCAAAAGUGAUCCCGUAACCAAUUGCCUUGUGACAAAAUAAAAUACCAUACUAUAAUGUGUUGAACCAGGAACCUGCAGAUGCUUAGGUUACAACUAUACAACCUCCCAAUACAAUAAGUUUGAAACUUAUACCUUCUGAAAUGAAACAAACUUUCUUGAAGAUUAAAGAUCAGUGAGAAAAGCCCUUUUUCAGAAGCAACCUACAUAUUUUAGAAUAGGGCUCAGUGCGUUAUAGAUUCAAUGAACCAUGAGAAGUUAUUUACAUUGUUGUAUCUCACAGGCAGUCUUUUCUCCUAAUGUAUCAAGGGAAAAUGCUAGUGAAUUGAAUGAAGCUAGAGCAGAGCAUGAUGUUGCUGUGUAGCUGACUUUAGCAGAUCAACUCACUAAGCUAACCUGGCAAAGUUAUUUAGCUGGUUGAGCUGAUGUGUCAAAUUAGUUAUGCAGCAAAUGGUUAUGUGAUGUAACAAACUCGUGUGUGUGUUGAGCAAAUUGUAGCUUAAUAUAAAUAUCAGUCUGUAUUCAUUCAGUUGUAAUGCUAAAGUAAUAAAGGUUCUACAAACUUCUUUACAGAGCUUUCUUUUAUUUUCUUCAUUUUCUAGCUUGCCAAACAAUGCAAAACUAAGUUUCUUUCAUGGUAUUAGAGCCAUAAAUGGCGAAUACAGUUCAAAAUAACAACUCUUUUAGUUUUGUUACGCCUGUAAAGCUAGACCAAAACAACUUCAUUUUAUGGCGGGCACAAAUUUUAGCAUCGAUCAAAGGAAACGGUCUGGAAGGGUUUAUCAAUGGUGAUCAAGAAUGUCCUGAGCAGUUUCUUUCUUCUGGAAACAACAAUGGAGCUGAAAUUUUUACUGAAUCUGAAUCCAAAUCUAUUAAUCCAGAGUUCAUAGCUUGGAUGAAGACUGAUCAACUUCUGUUGAGUUAGAUGAUGUCGUCGAUACAGCAAAAUCUACUUGCUACUGUGAUUGACUCCACAACUUCAAAACAGCUUUGGAAGACUCUUACUAGUAUGUUUAUUUCUUAAUCACAAGCUAGAAUUCAAACACUUAGAAUGCAGAUUCAAACUAUUAAGAAAGGUGCAAUGCAUAUGUCUGAUUACUUUGCAAAAGUAAAACGUAUAGCUGAUACUUUAGCUCUAGCUGGAAAACCUGUUGAGUUAAGUGAUCUUGUGAUGCAUGUAUUAACUGGUCUUGAUUCAUCAGAUUAUGAAUCUUUAGUCACAGGUGUUUUAGCUCGAGGUGAGAAGAUAACAUUAGAUGAACUAUAUCCUUUGCUAUUGAAUCAUGAAAAUAGAGUUGAACAAAAGAAAGGAAAAAUUGCUGGUGAUGUGAUGCACAAUAUGACAGCAAAUAUUGCUCAAAAGAACUCAUAUGCUGGAAAGAAUAAUGGCAAUUUUCAAAAAAAUUAUGGAAAUAAUUCUAGGUAUGGAGGUUUUAAUGGAUAUGGAUAGGGUCAGUUUAAUAAUGGUGGUAAUUCCUCUGAAAUUGUUUGUCAAAUCUGCUUCAUACCUGGUCAUGCAGCCAAUAGAUGCAAAAAUAGGUACAAUUCAUCUUUUGUUCCACAGAGAAACUAUGGCAGAGGUAAUAUGAAUGGUGGCAGAGGUUUUAAUCAAGGGCAAUAUGGUAGAGGAAGAGCUUUUAAUAGUAAUGGUGGCAGAGGUUUUGGAGGUUUUGGUUUAAAUGCUGGUUUUGGCUAUGCACCCAGGGGUUUUGGCUAUCAAGGAAAUAUGGUGUAUCCAGAUAGUAAUCCUUCUGCUUAUUACUCAUUCACCCCUGGACCAUCUACUUUUGUUUCUGGUCAAGGAAAUAAUAAUCCUGGACAGUCAAGUGCUUCAUCUUCCUCAGCUAUGCCUUCUUCACUUCCACCAGAACACAUUGAAGAUCCUUCAUGGUAUAUUGAUAGUGGAGCAACAAAUCACAUUACAAAUGAUCUAGGUAAACUUCUGGAUUCACAAAUUUAUACUAGUACUGAAAAAUUAUUUGUUGGAGAUGGAAAUGCAUUAGCUAUUACACAUGUAGGAUCAGUUGUGCUAAAUACUUCAACUUCUAAACCUUUAAAAACCAUGUUCUUCAUGUCCCUUUUAUUACUAAGAAUUUGCUUAGCAUUUCAAAAUUAUUGGCUGACAAUCCAGUUACUGUUGGAAUUUCUUGGUGAUUUGUUUUUUAUAAAGGCUAGGAACACAAGGAAAAUUUUACUUGAAGGUGUUGCUAAAGGUGACUUGUAUAGAGUCUCUUCACAUGUUGCUGCUCAUUCAGUCUUUCUCAAUUCAGUUGGUCAAAAUAAAAUUCACUCUCUUUGCUUGUUCUCCUGUUUUCAAUUCUGAUCAGCUCACUGCUGUUAGUUCUUAUGAAUUGAAUAAAAAGCCAUGUCUGUCAGUUGUUACAAAGAGUUCUAUUGAUGUAAAUCUUCUUCAUAGAAGAUUAGGACACCCAGCAUCUUAUACUCUCAAAACUAUACUCAAAACUUGUAACAACUCUACUGCUUAUAAUAAAAUUGAAAGCUUGAAAUUUUGUUCAGCAUGUCAAUAUGGGAAAAAUCAUAUGCUGCAUUUUGAUUCAGUUGAAACAAAAACUUCAGCACCCUUACAAGUGAUAUAUGCAGAUCUUUGGGGUCCUUCUCAUGUCUGUUCUACCCAAGGAUAUAAUUACUACUUAUCAAUCUUAGAUGAUUAUAGUAGAUUUACCUGGAUAUUUCCAUUGUCAGCCAAAUCUGAUGCUCUUGAAGUGUUUACCAAUUUCAAAAUUUUUAUUGAAAAGCAUCUUCAACUUCAAAUCAAAACUGUCCAAACUGAUUGGGGAGAAGAGUUCAGAACAUUUUCCUCAUUACUCACUGCUUCUGGUAUCCAUUUUAGACACCCUUGCCCACAUAUUCAUCAUCAAAAUGGAAGAAUUGAGAGGAAACAUAGACACAUAGUUGAUGUAGGUCUGACCUUAUUAGCUCAAGCACAUUUACCACUCAAAUUUUGGUGGAAUGCAUUCCACACAGCUGUCUAUUUGAUAAACAGACUUCCAACUCCAAUUCUAAACAACAUUUCUCCUUUCCAAAAGUUAUUUCAUCAUCAACCAGAUUAUUCAACACUUAAAACCUUCGGUUGUGCUUGUUAUCCAACACUCAGACCAUACAAUAGACAUAAGUUUGAUUUCAGAACUGCCAGAUGUAUAUUCAUUGGCUACAAUUCACAACACAAGGGAUAUCAGUGUCUUCACUCUUCUAAGAGGGUUUACAUUUCAAAUCAUGUCACCUUUGAUGAAAAUUCUUUUCCUUAUGAGUCUGGAGCAGAUUUUUCUUCACUCUCUUCAAGUUGUCAGUCAACAAAAAAUUAUAAGUCUUCUUUCAAUUCCUCUGUUCCUUCUAUUACUCAGUUACAAGCACCUUUAGCAGCAUCAUCAGAACACCAUCAAAAUGUUCAUCAUUCAGAUGCUCCUACUCCCUCACCAAAUUCUACUCCACUUUAUUUUUCUGAUAAUUCCAACUCAGCUUCUUCUUCUUCACCACCACAUAAUUCACCUCCACAUACAUUGCCACAACCUGCAUCAACUGGUCAUCCAAUGAUAACCAGGUCAAAAGCAGGUAUUUUCAACCCAAAAAUUUAUUUGUCAGCUUUAUUAGCCCAGAAAUCAGAACCAACUUCUGUUUCCCAAGCACUUUCUGAUCCUAUGUGGUAUAAGGCUAUGCAAGAAGAGUAUCUAGCACUUAAAACUAAUCACACCUAGGAUUUAGUUUUACAUGCUACUCCAGUGAAGAUAGUUGGCAGCAAAUGGGUGUUUUGAAUAAAGUAUAACUCAGAUGGUUCAGUUUCAAGAUAUAAAGUCAGGCUUGUUGCAAAGGGGUUUCAUCAGACACAUGGGAUUGACCAUACAGAAACUUUUAGUCCAGUGGUUAAAGCUUCAACUGUUAGAGUUAUUCUUAGCUUAGCAGUAUUGAAUCAAUGGGUGAUUAGGCAAGUAGAUGUUAAUAAUGCCUUUCUAAAUGGCAUUUUAAUUGAAGAGGUGUACAUGGCUCAACCUGAAGGUUUUGUUGACUCAACUAAACCUAAUCAUAUCUGCAAGCUGAAUAAAGCUUUGUAUGGCUUAAAACAGGCACCUAGAGCCUGGUUUGAUAGAUUCAAGGAUGCAAUGAUCUCUAAACGGCAUUUCCAGCAUUCAAGGUCUGAUAACUCUCUGUUUCAUGCCUGGAACAGUGGUCAUCUAACUCUUGUUUCGGUCUAUGUUGAUGAUAUUAUCAUCACUAGUUCCAGUCCAACACUAAUUCAGCAAGUUAUUAAGAUUAUGAAUUUGCUUUAAAAGACAUGGGGGAACUUAGCUAUUUUCUGGGGAUUGAAGUCAGCAAGUCUUCACAAGGGGUUUCCUUGACACAAGCAAAGUAUAUUACUGACAUUCUGGAUAAACAUGGCAUGACAGAUUGCAGUCCUGUGCCUACUCCAAUGUCUACUGGUUAUUAUCUCACAAAAGAAUCAGGAGAGCUAAUUGAUAAUGUUUCUCAAUAUAGGAGUGUUAUAGGAGCUCUUCAAUAUGUUACUCUUACCAGACCUGACAUUGCUUUCUCUGUAAACAACCUAAGUCAAUUCCUUUCAAGUCCUAGAACACAACAUUGGGAAACAUGCAAAAGGUUAUUGAGGUACUUAAAAGGCACUAUACAUCUUGGGCUGCAAUUUAAUAACAAAGGAGCUUUGCAACUACAUUGUUUUUCAAAUUCUGACUGGGCUUGUGAUCGUGAUGAUAAGAAGUCAGUGGCUGGCUUUGCUGUUUACCUAGGCCCUAAUCUAGUCUCAUGGUCAUCAAAGAAACAAGCUGUUGUUUCCAGGUCCAGCACAGAGGCUGAGUAUAGAUCUCUUGCUCAUGCUGAUUCAGAGGUUCCCUGGUUACAAUCUUUACUUGGUGAACUUAACAUCAAAUUGAGCUCUACUCCUAUGAUGUGGUGUGAUAAUCAAGAAGCAAUUGCUUUAGCUUACAAUCCAGUCUAUCAUGCUAAAACUAAGCAUGUCGAAUUGGAUAUACAUUUUAUCCGAGAUAAAGUUACUGCUAAAGAGAUUGAAGUAUGUUUUGUGCCCAGUCAAGAUCAAACAGCAGAUGUGUUGACUAAGGCUUACUUUCAAACAGUUUAGUUACUUAAGAAGCAAGCUGAAUGUUCAUCCUAAACAUUUCAGCUUGAGGGGGGAUGUUAGUGAAUUGAAUGAAGUUGGAGCAGAGCAUGAUGUUGCUGUGUAGCUGACUGUAGCAGAUCAACUCACUAGGCUGACCUGGCAAAGUUAGUUAGCUGGUUGAGCUGAUGUGUCAAAUUAGUUAUGCAGCAAAUGGUUAUGUGAUGUAACAAACUUGUGUGUGUGUUGAGCAAAUUGUAGCUUAAUAGAAAUAUCAGUCUGUAUUCAUUCAGUUGUAAUGCUAGAGUAAUAAAGGUUCUACAAACUUCUUUACAGCGCUUUCUUUUAUUUUCUUUCAUUUUCUAGCUUGCCAAACAAUACAAAACUAAGUUUCUUUCAGAAAAGGAAAAAUAAAAAGAAAAGAAUAGUUACUGUUGAAAAUAAAGAUUCAAAGUUAUGAUUUCUUUGUAAUCUAGGCUAUUUUAGGAAUAAGUUAAAUUAUAAUGGGAAGAUUCAUUAGGAUUUUUUCCAGAUUUUGUUUCCUAUUAUUUAGGAAAGGAUAGAUGUAGUCUCCUAUUUUCUCUCCUAUUUUGCUGUAUAUAUUCCCUGUACAUACUGUUCUGGAAAGUAAGAAAAAGAGGAACCAAUUCACAUUUUUCUUCAUGGUAUCAGAGCCUGGCUCUAAACCCUAGUUCUCCUAUCAGCCGCCAUUUCCUUCUUCUCUCAUAAAUUGAACAAUCUACCUUCCUUCCUCUCCCAUCAAUUGUAUUCUCUGUGGCAAAAUACGGGAUGGCUUCCUCAUCAACCUCUGUUACAGUAUCACAGUCUAAAGGAAACGUGGAGACUGCAACUCAUGGUGGAAUUGAUUCUUCACCGAUCUUAAUUACCAGUCAUAAAUUGAACGGCCACAAUUAUCUCCAGUGGUCACAAUCUGUCAUGAUGUUCAUCUGUGGCAAGGGUAAGGAUGAUUAUCUCACGGGUGAGGCGGCCAUGCCAAAGGUAUCAGACCCUAGUUUCAAAAGGUGGAAGUCAGAGAACAACAUGAUCAUGUCAUGGCUUAUCAAUUCCAUGAACAAUGAUAUUGGUGAGAAUUUUCUUCUGUUUGGGACUGCAAAGGACAUAUGGGAUGCUGCAAAGGAAACCUAUUCUAGCUCUGAGAACACAUCAGAGUUAUUCCAGAUUGAAACCAUCCUCCAUGACUUCCGCCAAGGAGAACAAUCUGUCACUCAGUACUUUAAUACUCUGACUAGGCAUUGGCAACACCUUGAUCUAUUUGAAACAUACCCUUGGAAGUGCACCGACGAUACAACCUUGUACAAGAAGAUUGUGGAACAGAAGAGAACGUUUAAAUUUCUCCUCGGACUCAAUAAAGAUCUUGAUCAGGUUAGGAGCCGUGUACUCGGGACAAAGCCUCUACCACGCCCUCGUGAAGCCUUUUCUGAAGUUAGGCAUGAAGAAAGUAGGAAAAAGGUGAUGAUGGGGUCAUCAGAACCAACACUGGACGCCUCUGCACUUGCUGCCCGUGCAUCCAACUCUGUAGGGGUUAGUGAAAAUCGUACAAAGAAAGAAAGACCAUGGUGCGAUCACUGUCGUAAGGCAGGCCACUAUAAGGAGAGUUGCUGGAAAAUUUAUGGCAAGCCUGCUGAUUGGAAACCUCGUUCCAAAGGUGACCGUGAAUCUCGUGCUCAUGCAGCAUCCACCACGGACAAUCAGGCCCUACCCGAGCCAAAUCCAUUCAGCAAGGAGCAAAUGGAGAUUCUUCAAAAGCUUUUCGAUCAAGCCACUUUGAACUCCAAUGCAGGGACAAGUCUAGUGGCUCAGAAAGAGACUCAUUCAGCAUUUGCAGCCACUAAUGGAGCAAGCAAACCUUGGAUAAUUGACACUGGUGCUUCUGAUCACAUGACUGGAGAUGCCUCAAUGUUGCAGGAUUAUAAAGCUAGCAUCAACAGCACUUCAGUCUGGAUCGCAGAUGGCUCUCACACAAAAAUAGCAGGGACAGGUUCCAUCAGACUCACUAAGGAGUUACACCUUAAUUCUGUACUUUAUGUGCCUAAUUUGGCUUGCAAUUUACUUUCAAUCAGUAAAUUCACUCGUGAUCAGAAUUGUGUAACUAAAUUCUAUCCAAAUAUGUGCGUUUUUCAGGACUUGGAUUCGCGAAGACGAUUGGCAGUGCUGAGCUAUGUUCUGGACUCUAUCUACUCAAAAGCGAUCAAUCCUCCUUCAUACAAGAUUCGAGAGCAAACUGUGCCAAGUCCAAUAGUCUGUCAACUAGUUAUCCUCAUUCUAUUGUUAGUCCAAAUGUCAAUAACGAUAGUGAAAUUGUUCUGUUACACUAUCGAUUAGGUCAUUCUAGUUUCAUGUAUCUCGCAAAAAUUUUUCCCAAUCUAUUCAUCAAUAAAAACCCUUUAUCAUUUCAUUGUGAAAUUUGUCAAUUUGCAAAACAUACUCGAAAUGUUUAUUCAAGUGUUAAGUAUAAGCCUUCUCGUCCAUUUGCUUUAAUUCACAGUGAUGUGUGGGGUCCCUCAAGAAUUAAAAAUGUUUCUGGGGCUCGCUGGUUUUUGUCAUUUGUGGAUGAUCAUACUCGUCUCACUUGGGUGUUUCUCAUGAAAAACAAAUCCGAAGUUAGUCAAAUCUUCCAAAACUUUAACGCCAUGAUUCAAACCCAAUUCAAUACCAAAAUCCAAGUCCUUAAAACCGACAAUGCCAAGGAAUAUUUCAAAGACUCCCUCAGCUCAUAUCUUCUCCAUCAAGGCAUUCUUCACAUCAGUUCUUGUGUUGACACCCCGCAACAAAAUGGGGUCGCUGAACGCAAAAACAGACACCUUCUUGAAGUGGCUCGCUGUCUUUUGUUCUCAUCUCAUGUUCCUAAUUUUUUCUGGGGUGAAGCUGUUCUCACUGCAGCCUACUUAAUCAACCGAAUGCCUUCUAGAGUCUUGGGGUUUCAUUGCCCAAGAAAAGUUCUUCUCAAUUUCUUUCCACACACUAGGAUUGUUUCAGCAGAUUUACCACAAAAAAUAUUCGGUUGCACAGCAUAUGUCCAUGUUCACUCUCAACACAGGACUAAACUUGAUCCCCGAUCUCUCAAGUGUAUAUUUUUAGGCUAUUCUCCACAUAAAAAAGGAUACAAAUGCUAUUCUCCUCAUACCAGAAAAAUAUACAUUUCCAGAGAUGUAACAUUUGUUGAAAACCUGCCUUUAUAUUCCAAAACUGUUGUUCAGGGAGAGAGUAUGAGCGAACAUCAGCCUUGGGAAUCUUCUUGGCAAUCUUGGCUGGAAACCCCUCAUGAAAACCCUCAUAACUCAACCACCACACAUGAUCAAUCUAUCCAACAGCCACAAUCAGCAAUCCUCCCAACAUCUUCACAACCUUUUGAGUCAUCUGAGUCCUCCCAACCACAAUCAGCCGAGUCACCCCGUCAUCCAUCAGCCCAUCAACUACAGCCUCUAAUCUCACCUCUUCCACAGCUUGCUGUUGAUAAUCUUAAUGUUUAUAGGAGGAGAAGAACUGGAGAGCAGAUAGAGCACAGAACUCAGCCACAUGUCCAAGAAACUGAACCAAAUCCAAGCUCUUAUGAAGACAACACAGGUAUGGAUAGUCUUGCCUCGGUUGAGUUCAUGGUUCCAAGUGUGGAUGAUUCUAAUAAAUCAAUUGCAGAAAGAAAGGGGGUUCAAAGUUGUACCACUCAUCCAAUUGCCAAAUAUGUCUCAUAUGAUGGUUUGUCCCCAUCAUACCGAGCCUUUGUUUCUUCUUUAGAUAAUCUACAUGUUCCCAACAAUAUACAAGAGGCUCUCGGUCAUCCUGAGUGGAAGAGAGCUGUUCAUGAAGAAAUAAAUGCUCUUGAGAAAAAUGAUACAUGGGUUAUAACAGAUCUUCCUGCAGGGAAACGACCAGUUGGAUGUAAGUGGAUUUUUACUGUUAAAUACAAGGCAGAUGGAAGUGUUGAGAGCCUCAAAGCUCGUCUUGUAGCUAAAGGGUUCACACAGUCAUAUGGGAUUGAUUAUCUUGAAACCUUUGCUCCGGUUGCGAAGCUCAACACCAUUAGAAUCUUGCUCUCCUUAGCAGUAAAUCUAGAUUGGUACUUAUACCAACUAGAUAUAAAAAAUGCGUUUCUCAAUGGCGAUCUUGAAGAAGAAGUGUUUAUGGAAGUUCCCCAGGGUCUUGAUCUGAAUCUUACUAGAAAUAAAGUGUGCAAGCUCAAGAAAUCUUUGUAUGGGCUUAAACAAUCCCCUCGAGCAUGGUUUGAUAGAUUUGCGAAGGCAGUUGUGAGACUUGGUUACACUCAGUGUCAGGCAGAUCACACUUUAUUCCUCCGAACAUCACAAGCAAAGAAGAUCUCUCUCCUAAUCGUAUAUGUUGAUGACAUCAUUCUCUCAGGAAAUGAUGAGGAAGAACUGCAGAAGUUGAAGAAACAGCUAGCUCAGGAAUUCGAAGUUAAAGAUCUAGGGAAUCUGAAAUAUUUUCUUGGGAUGGAGGUGGCAAGAUCUAGGAAGGGAAUUGUUGUCUCCCAAAGGAAAUACACCCUGGACUUACUAAAGGAGACUGGUAUGAUUGGGUGCAAACCAGUAGAUACUCCUAUGGAUCCCUACAAGAAACUAGGCUCAGUUGAGAAUAGUGUUCCAGUCAAUAGAGGGAGAUAUCAAAGACUGGUUGGUCGUUUAAUUUAUCUCUCACAUACCCGUCCGGACAUAGGCUUUGUUGUUAGUGUUGUGAGCCAAUUCAUGCACAAUCCUACAGAGGAACACAUGGAUGCAGUCUUUAGAAUUUUGAAGUAUCUAAAGAUGACACCUGGAAAAGGAUUGUUUUUCAAGAAAUCAGAAUAUAGGAAUAUUGAGAUCUACUCUGAUGCAGACUGGGCUGGAGACAUCACAAAUAGAAGAUCAACAUCUGCUUACUGUUCCUAUGUCUGGGGAAAUCUAGUAACCUGGAGGAGUAAGAAACAAUCAGUUGUAGCUAGGAGUAGUGCAGAAGCAGAGUUCAGAGCUUUGGCAAAUGGAAUCUGUGAAGGAAUUUGGAUAAAGCGUGUACUCAAGGAACUCGGUGUGUGCAGCCCUUCAUCCAUUCUAAUGAGGUGUGACAAUCAAGCAGCAAUCAGCAUCGCAAAAAACCCAGUGCAUCAUGAUCGAACCAAACAUGUCGAGAUUGAUAGGCACUUCAUCUCAGAGAAGGUCACUAGUGGAAGUGUGGAACUAAAGUACAUUCCAACUAGACAACAAAUUGCAGACAUCCUUACUAAAGCACUGCCAAGACCUAACUUUGAAGACUUAAGUAACAAGCUGGGUUUGUAUGAUAUACACACACCAGCUUGAGGGGGAGUGUUGAAAAUAAAGAUUCAAAGUUAUGAUUUAUUUGUAAUCUAGGCUAUUUUAGGAAUAAGUUAAAUUAUAAUGGGAAGAUUCAUUAGGAUUCUUUCUAGAUUUUGUUUCCUAUUAUUUAGGAAAGGAUAGAUGUAGUCUCCUAUUUUCUCUCCUAUUUUGCUGUAUAUAUUCCCUGUACAUACUGUUCUGGAAAGUAAGAAAAAGAGGAACCAAUUCACAUUUUUCUUCAGUUACUUGUGCAGUACAGCCUUGACGCCUAGCUACAUGGUCCAUUCUCUUUGUGUCUUUGAACCAAUCAACAGCAACAAGAUCCAUUAAAUGUUUUCCCGCAGGUGUCUGCAGUUACAAAUUGCACAAAGCACAAGAGCCAACCAAACUACAUCAUAACAUGUCGACCUAGCAUAUGCAGGAUAUAUAAAUACCAUAACAAACAACCAAAAUAUGGGGGAACCUUUGUUUUGUCAUAACAAAAAUGCUUGCUACGAACUCUAAAGUUAUUUCCACCAGAAAGUUUCCAGCAGUCACGAGCAUUAUCACAGUCAUCGUGUCGCAGAUUGCCGGAAAAAUAAGACAAAUCAAUUUGAUCAGCCUGCUCUUCCUCUAGGGUAACAACUAAUUGAAAAUUAUAAACCAAAAAAAAAAAAUCAAUACCAUAAAAAUCCACUAAUGAGGACAUUAGCCAAAUAUACAAAAAUGAAUACUUAUCAUCCACCUGUCCUCUUGAAAUCAUUCUCAAUCUUUUUUUCAUUUGCCUGAAAUCCCAAGGAAAAAUAUGGAACUAAUACUUCCCAUUCAUGACUAUUGUCUGUCAUAUAAACAUGACAUUUAAUUGAAAUAGUAAAAUUAUUUAAUUAUUUUAAUUAAAUGUUAAUCCUAUAAAUUAUUUUUGUUAAAUCUAGCAAGAAUAACUAACAUUUCUUUAAGAUAUAUUUUGGCGGUAAAUUAAAAAAAAUUAAUUAUUUGGCGGGAAUUAUUGAAAUUGGAGCCAUUUUUUUGUGGGAAUUGAAAUAUAUUCUUUAAAUUAUUAUAUAAAAAGAAAAAUGUACAUACACACACAUAUAUAUAAUUUAUAUAUAAAAAUUCUCUAAUUUGUUCACAAGUAUCAUAGAUUAUAAUUCAGUUAUGAAAUAAAAUAACUACAAGGAAAAAUAUGUAACUAAUACUUCCCAUUCAUGACUAUUGUCUGUCAUAUAAACAUGACAUUUAAUUGAAAUAGUAAAAUUAUUUAAUUAUUUUAAUUAAAUGUUAAUCCUAUAAAUUAUUUUUGUUAAAUCUAGCAAGAAUAACUAACAUUUCUUUAAGAUAUAUUUUGGCGGUAAAUUAAAAAAAAUUAAUUAUUUGGCAGGAAUUAUUGAAAUUGGAGCCAUUUUUUUGUGGGAAUUGAAAUAUAUUCUUUAAAUUAUUAUAUAAAAAGCAAAAUGUACAUACACACACAUAUAUAUAAUUUAUAUAUAAAAAUUCUCUAAUUUGUUCACAAGUAUCAUAGAUUAUAAUUCAGUUAUGAAAUAAAAUAACUACAAUAAUUAUAGUUAAAUGAAUACUUCAUUAAUUCUUAAUUUGCUUCCUAACAUUAAAUGAACAACUUGAGCCAACCACCUGAAUCAACCAGUAACAACGCCUGAGUCAACCAUCUGAAAAAACCAGCAACCCUAGCUGAUUCAAGCACCUGCAAUUAACAUCAACACAUCAGGAACAAUCGUAAAUCAGCACCAAGAACAGACCAAACUGCCAUCAAAUGCCACAAAACCAAACAGUCUGCUACUGCCAUCAAAUGCAAGCAAACAUAUGCAACAAAACCAGAUGCAAGUGAAAAUCUGGAGAAUAUCGGAUAAACCAAACCAAAUGCCACACUUCUAGUAAUUAGACUAGAUGCAGUGUUCAAUUAAACUAAAUGUAGUCUCAUAUUACAUUCAAAGGUGAAAACACUGUAAAAAAAAAUACAGCCAAAACAAUUGUUUACUUUUAAGUUCUAACAAAGCGUAACAGUCCAAAACCAAAACAUCUUAACUACCAAGCAAACAUCUAACAUAAUUAUUAAAAUUAAAAAGGAAAAAACAUAGGAAUCUCAGUUCUUAUACAUUUUGUAUGCAUUUAGUAAGCACACGCACAUAGACCAUCUAUGCAUAACCUUCUUCUAGCCCACCUGCAGAUGUCACAGAGAAGAGACAUUUUUUGCAGCUUGAAGUGCUCCAAUUGCUUUGUGAAGGUCCAAUUGUAAGCCUAAAUAUUGAAUCCAUGAGUCCAUAUAAUUGAAGGCUGGUGGCGACUUUUGAGUACAAAUCAAGAGAGAGUGAAGUGUGAAUUUCUGCAUGGCCCAUAACUUCAUCCACGUAGCUAUUCACUUCUUUGCAGUGAAAAGUUCCUUAAUCCUGGCACUAAUGUUGGGCAUCAUUUUGAUUUUUCAAGCCCUUUUAGAACACUUAUUGAUUUAGGAAAUUAAGGGAGCCAUUGAAAGGUGACUAAAACGGAGUGAGUUAGGGGUCCUACCUCUCUGUAGGGCUCUCGAAUCGCGGGAAAUGAGCUCCAUUGUGACCUUCAUUUCCUCCUUUUCGGAAAAAUUAGUUCAUGGCGCUUACGAUGUGAGCAAUUACUCUUUCUGGUGUCCUGAUGGUUGAUAACAGAGACUUUCAGCCUCGCUGCCUCAGGUAAGCUUGAUGGGAGGACCAGAUGUCAUACAAAAAAUAAAAGCUUUCUUUUCUCGGUAAAAGCAUGCGCAUUUUUCUGUAAGUGGGGAAGAGGCCGCGCCGUCAACACUGCAUCGGUGAAGAUGGGUGGUGGUUGUUGGUGGAGAAACGGAGGGAGGUGGCGAUUCUGAGACUUGUUGCGAUUUAGGGUUGGCCGGUUGGGUUUGGGGGAAAUUGGGUAAAGCAAAAUGCAUUUUUGUUGUUAUAUAUAUAUAUAUAUAGAUAUAUAUAUAGUAGUUGGAUUAGCUAAAAGACAAAAAAAUUUAAAUUUUACUACACUACAUGAUAAAAUACAGUGCAUUGGAGUAUGUGUUUAUUUUGUCUUUUAACUAAUCCCUGAUUGGAAAACUACUAUAUAUAUAUAUAUAUAUAUUUUUUUUUUACUUAAUAAAAAAGUGGGCACGGGUCCGGGUUCCGGAUUCUUGGUGCUGUGACCGGACCCGUGCCCGGAUCCGCUUUUUCCAUGCAUCCGAUCCGGGUUUUACCCGGACCGUAUGCACCAGGUCCAGUCCGGAUCCGGUCUGAGCGGGCUUUUCUGCCAUCUCUACAGUGGAGAGAGGGAUUAAUUCAACGCUUAGCCAAAAUUUGGCUGCGAGUGUUAAUGGGUUUUAAGUUAUACAAAACGGUGUCGUUAAUUUAAACGGCAUUGUUUUACAAUCUUAUAAGUUCACAAAACUUAAGCAUGACUUAUAUGUAUAAUUUAUUUACGAUGGUUAAGUUAUAAGUCAUGAAUAUGUCAUAUACUCUGGACAUGAAUAUAUAUCACGAAUCUAUCAUAUUUUCAUGACACAUUCGUGACAUAACGAUAUAUGUUAUAAAAUUUCUGUCAUUAUUUAGUAUUUUUCUAGUAAUGUCAGGUCUUUAAAACCUUUCUAUUAAUAACAAAAACUCUAAUCCUUUAGCAAAAGACUAAAAAUUUUAAAAAAAUCUGUUUAAAUAUCAGUUGGCUCAUAAUCAACACUUCAAUAUUGUUUGUUGUAUUUUCUUUCUUUCUUUUUUUGUCAUUUUAUUAGAUUUGCUUUGUAUCAUGGUUUGUUUUGCUUAAGUAAUUGUUCAUUAUUUACGUCUGUGUUCUUACUAGCUUUUGAUAAUUUAUGGUUGGUUUUUUAUUCAGACCCUCGAAGUACCUUUUUGUUAAUAGCAAAACCUCUGAUCCUCAAGAAAGAAAAAGAAAUUCUCUAUUUAAUUAUUAGUUAGUUCAAGAUCAAUAUCGCAAUAUUGUUUGCAGUCUUUUCAUUCUCUGUCUUUCCCACUAGUUCAUUUUAAUUUAUCUGUAUUCCUUUCUUUGACACUUGUAUUUAUUUAUAUAGAUUGUUAAGCAACAGGCAAUGGCUGCAGAAGGGUGUCUCCCUACUUUUUCUAGCAUUGUAUCACAAGGUUCAAAAGCAUUAUUCAAACCGAUUAUGUGGCACAUAUCUUAUGUGUUCCGAGUACCAGAGCUACAUAGAUGGGCUAAAAGAUUGAGUGAAGGAGCUGGAAUAUAUAAGAGAAAGGGUGCAAAUGCUGGUUAGAGAGGCUACUCUACAAGGAGAUGAGAUUUAUAAGGGUGUCAGAGACUGGCUAAAUAGAGUUGCUGAAUUCAGUGAAGGGGUUGCAAAAUCAAUCAUUGAUGAUAAAGAUAGAGCUAAGAUGUUCUGCUUCAAAAGGUUGUGCCCAAAUUUGAUUUCUUGUUACAAGCUUGGUAAACAAGCAGCAGAGGCCGCAAACGAAGCUGAUAAACUUGUGAAGAAAGGCGAAUUUAACAUUUGUAAUCAUGUUUCCUACCGUCCUGCUCCAGAGAGUACAGAAUAUGUGCAAGUGAAAGAUUACGUAGCCUUUUAUUAUAAUAUCUUUUCACUCUAUUAACUUAAAAAAGAUUGACUUCAAUAUUAAAAAUGUAACAGUAUAUACAUUUUAUAAUAAUUUCAAUAUUUAAAAAAUAUUUGAAUACUUUACAAUCUUAUAUUAUAUUAAACUACAUUUUAUAAUAAAUAGAAACAUAAUAUUAAAAUAAAUAUAUAAAAUUUUAAGUUAGGCUUAAUAUUAUUUAAAAUAAUUUAAAUAUCAUUAAUACAUGAGAUAUAUUAUAUUAAUUAUAAAUUCUAUUUAAUCUAAAUAUAUAUUUAAAGUUUUAUACUAAAAAUAGAUAUAUUAUUAAAAUAAAUAUAACAACUAACAUUUUAAAGAUUAAUACUGAAAUUAAAAUUAUAAAUUAUAUUAAUCUACUAAAAAGAUUCAUCUAUUUGACACUAGCAGCGGACAAUGAGGUCACGGCAUAGGACAAGCAGUUAUCGUGACCCAUGGACUUUUCUACUUCUUUUGAAAAAAAAAAAAAUAUCAAAGUCAUUGAAGUGCGUUUGAUGAUAUGCUGUGUAGCUUCUCUCUCAAAUGCUUUUCGAGUGCCUCCAGUAUCUGCUUUUAUAUAAGCUUUUGUCUUUAAUCAUUCAUUCAAGCUUUCGCUAAGAGUGAUGCAGCACAGCACGUAAAUAUAGAAGCAUUGACAGCCGUAGUCAGGAGCUCUUCGGUAUUUGAAGCAAGAAUGGUUGUUUGGCUUUGUGCAUUGAAAGAGAAAAGAAAAAAGAAAGACUAAUUUCAAUAAUACAAUUUAAUUAAUUAAUUUAAAAUAAUAAGCAAAUAAUAAUGAUGAAAUUAAUUAAUAAAAAGAAGAAAAUGAAAAUUGCACGUGCUACUAGCAUAAACCAAUUGCCGGAAUGAGGUCACUUUGUAGACAAAUGAUUCUGGAAUCAGAACUUGGGCCAGCUUUGGGUUAUGGAUCCAAAAUAAAAAUAAGGUGGGCCACAUGGUCUCUUAUGAUCAAUAAAAAUCGAUUGAAAAGGAUGGUAUAGUGAGUGGAAGAGAAAUGCCGAUGGCAGAUCAAGGGAUGAAGAUACGAGCUCACUUGCAACGUGGUAUAGUUCAUCAUGGCUGGCUUUCCUAUAAGUUCAGGUCCUUUGAAUACUUUCAAUGACCUUAUUAGUCAGGAAUUUAACAAUAAUUUUUAUUUUUUACAUCCAGGAACGGUUUUAAGCAUAGGCAAAUUAGGCCUAUAAUAGCAAAUCCUCUUUUUUAACAAUUAAACAAUUAGGAAGUCUCCCUUUUUUAUUUUUGGUAUUACUUAUAAUAGCAAAUCUUCUUUUUUAGGCCUCUUUUUAGUUAGUAAUUAUCUUAUAAUUAAGAAUUUUUAUACACAUUCUAUCUUUGAUAACCUUAAUAUUAAAGAUCUCUAAUUAAUAGUAUUAUCUAAUUGUUAAUUUAUUAUUAGUUUUUCCAAGAAAAAAAUUAAAAUCUUUAUCUAUUUAAUACUUCAGUUUUUUUUUCGUCAGUGGCAGAUAAAAGAGUCGGUUUUUCCGUUACUAAGCUUUUUAUGGAUGAAUUUUUUUUUAUAAUUUCUUUGUUUUAUAGGUUCUCUGUGAAUGCCAUUAGAAAUGAGAUUGACUAAUUCAAACUUCCUUUUUCCCCUUAGCAUCCAAACGUGUGAGGCAAGGGCAACUAAUGAGUCCAUUGUGAUGAGAACCUUUGUCUAAGCAAAAGCAGAGGUCAAUUGCUAAUACCGUACUGUUAUUAGUUUCAGUGCUUAAAUUGCUCCAUAAGUUUGCAUUUUAAAGUCUCUGUCUUAAUUUCUGAGGUAUACUGCUAAUGAGACCUCCUGCCAAGUUCAAGUUUGUUGUGAUGGCUACUUUGUCAUAUAACUGACUGUGAGAGGCCAUCAAUCAGCUCUGUUUUGUAAUUUUGUACCUUUUUUUUUCAUAUAAUGAUCAAUCAAAUGUUAGCCCUUAGAUUGCAACCAAUAUUUACUGAUUGUCUUAUAUAGGAUAUAAACUAAAUUCAUAAGACAUUCCCUUAUUGAUAUUCAUUCCGACACGUCCUAGUCUUUUGCCUUGUAGAAAUGCUUGUGGUUGAAGAGCUUUACAGAGAAGCUGUCGUCAGUACUGCGCGGAAAUUGAUUAUAUUGAAUCAGAAAACUUGACCAGAUAAGGUCUGUGUGCAUGAGAAUACUUGAGGAAAGCUUCACAAUACUGAGGGCCGGAUCUGCACUCUUUCCUCUAUAUGUGUCUUCAAUAUCAAUGGCUCAAAUACAUGUGUUAUGGUCUUUUAAUAUAUAUAAAAUACCAUUAUCUCAUGCGUUAUGGUCUUAUCCUUGUAUUCUUAAAAACUACAUAAAAUACCGUUAUCUCUGCUUUUGUAGCUAUUGAAUUCGACUUUCACAACAUAAAUAUUUAUUAGCAACAACUUAAAAUCCAAACAAAUCUAACAUGCAAUGUAUCAAUUACAUAUUAUGAUUAAACAGAUUUUGAUUAUUUAUUAUUAAAAUAUAUUCUCAUUAAUAUCUUAAGGAUAGGUAAUACUCACAUAAUUUUUUUAAAAAUCAAACCCAAAUUAUAUGCAUUGUUAAUGUGUAUUAUUGUCUAAUAUUUGGAUUUUACUAAUUUACAACUGCUAUAAUGUACGGCCUCUUCAAACAUAAUGUGGGUCCCACCACGUGUUAAAUUUUUUACAUUAUUUUUGAAGGAAUUGUAAGUUACAGCAGCUGUAAAUUAGCAGCACCUCCAAUAUUUUACUUUACUUCCCCUAAUAUUUUACUUGUACUUUUAUAUCUUUACAAAACAAUACCAACAAGACAAUAAUGUAUGAAAUAAAUAAAAUAAAUAAAUAAAGAACUGACAACGAAAUUAGGCCUAUCAUUAAUUUCUCUUGGUGUGAACUCUUGACAAUUCUCCCAUAUCCCACCUAAAGCUCUCGCAUGGUGUGAACGCUUGACGAUUCUCCCAUAUCCCUCCAAAAAUUUGUCAUAUUGCGAAAAACAAUGUCAAUUCAAUAUCGUCUCCAUUAGUCAUAGUGGCAGAUAGGACUAGAAUUUGUUGAAACCCUUGGACUUAUUUUUCCUUUUGAAAAUAAUUUUGUAGAAUCUCAUAUCGUGAAUAACGGACAAUGAGACUCUUUUUUUUAACUAUAAUAUUUUUUUAAAAUUAUUAACUAAAAAAAUUAAUUUUAAUAUUUUAUAAUAAAUAUAAGUAGGAUAUUAAAAUAAAUAUAAUAAUAUAUACAUAUUAAAAUAAUUUCAAUACCAAAAAAUAUUUUAAUAGUUUACAAUCUCGUAUUCUAUUAAACCAAAUUAUAAUAAAUAGAGACAUAAUAUUAAAAUAAAUAUAUAAAAUUUUAAAUUAUUUUCAAUAUCAUAUAAAAUAACUUUAAUAUUAUUAAAACGUGAGAAAUAUUAUAUUAAUUAUAAAAACUAUUUAACCCAAGGAUUUGUUUAAAAUUUUUAUAAUAAAUAUAUUAAAUUACAUUUUAAAAAUUAAGUAUUUAAAUUAUACAUACUAGUCUACUAGAAAAUUUAAACUAUUUAAAUCAUAUUUACAUUUAGUAAAAAAUUUUGAAGUCAUUUUUUUUUUUGUGAAUACCAUAAGAGUGCUAUAGUCAAAAAGGGUAUUGGUGUUCUUUAUUAAAAGUUUGGGGUCUACAUGACUAUUUUCUAAAAUUUUAAGGGUGUCAUUUUAUUUUUGAAAAAAAUAAAAAUUUCAUUUAAACAGCUAAAAUGGUGAAUAGUACAAUGCUACAGUGGGCGUAAAUGGAAGGUAAAAAGCAAUCAGAUUUUGAUUAAACAUGCAAUGUAUGAAAUAUAUAUUAUAAUUAUACAGAUUUUGAUUAUUUAAUAUUAAAUUAUAUUCACAUUAAUAUCUUAAGGAUAGUUAAUACUCAAAUAAUUUUUCAAAAAAUCAAACCCAAAUUAUAUGCAUUGUUAAUGUGCGUUAUUGUCUAAUAUUUGGAUUUUGCUAUGUCACAACUACUGUAACUUAAAGCCUCUUCAAACAUAUGUCGAUCCCACCACGUGUUAAAUUUUUUACAUUAUUUUUUAAGGGAUUGUAAGUUACAACAGCUUAACUUAGCAGCACCCUAAUAGUUUAUUUUACUUUUAUAUCUUUACAAAACAAUGCCAACAAGACAACAAUGUAUGAAAUAAAUAAAAUAAAUAAACAAAGAUCUGACAGCAAAAUUAUGGCUAUCAUUGGUUUCUUGUGGUGUGAACUCUUGACAAUCCUCCCCAAUCCCAUCCAAAACUCCCGCGUAGUGUGAACAUUUGACGAUUCUCCCAUAUCCCUCCAAAAAUUUGUCAUAUUGCGAAAAGUAAUGUCAAUUGCAAUGUCGUUUUCAUUAGUCAUAGUGGCAAAUAGGACUAGAAUUUAUUGAAACCCCUCGACUUAUUUUUCCUUUUGAAAAUAAUUUUGUAGAACCUCAUAUCGUGAAUAAAAGACAAUAAGACUCUUUUUUUUAAUUAUAAUAUUUUUUAAAUUUAUUAACUAAAAAAAUUAAUUUUAAUAUUUUAUAAUAAAUAUAAGUAGGAUAUUAAAAUAAAUAUAAUAAUAUGUACAUAUUAAAAUAAUUUCAAUACCUAAAAAUAUUUUAAUAUUUUACAAUCUCGUAUUCUAUUAAACCAAAUUAUAAUAAAUAGAGACAUAAUAUUCAAAUAAAUAUAUAAAAUUUUUAAUUAUUUUCAAUAUCAUAUAAAAUAAUUUUAAUAUUAUUAAAACAUGAGAAAUAUUAUAUUAAUUAUAAAAUCCAUUUAACCCAAGGAUUUGUUUAAAAUUUUUAUAAUAAAUAUAUUAUUAAAAUAAAUAUAUUAAAUUACAUUUUAAAAAUUAAUUAUUUAAAUUAUACAUACUAGUCUACUAGAAAAUUUAAACUAUUUAAAUCAUAUAUACAUUUAGUAAAAAAUUUUGAAGUCAUUUUUUUUUUGUGGCUACCAUAAGAGUACUAUAGUCAAAAAGGGUAUUGGUGUUCUUUAUUAAAAUUUUGGGGUCUACAUGAUUAUUUUCUAAAAUUUUAAGGGUGUCAUUUUAUUUUUGGAAAAAAAAAUUCAUUUAAACAGCUAAAAUGGUAAAUAGUACAAUGCUACAAUGGCGUAAAUGGAAUGUAAAAAGCAAUCAAAAUGACCAACAGUCUAACGCCUCAUCAGGGACAUAAAGUCAAAGUUUGUUGCAUGUGGUCAGGGCCAUUUAGUCUGUGAGUGGGUCCUGCAUGUCAUUUUUGGGCAUUUCAUCUUCUUUAGCAUUGAAGAUUAAAUGUUGACGACAUUUUCAAAAUUUUGGAAGACCCAUUAUACUUUUGGAUGGCUGUCAUUACUUGAUAUUAUCAUUAUAUGAUGAAAUAAAAUUGGAUGUAACACUUGUUUCGCGUUGUGGGAACUUUUGACAAUUCCCCAUAUCUCCUAAAAAUCUUUCGCCAUUUUGGGAAGAUGCCAUUUAUUUUCAUUUUCAUCAUUGAUAUUGGCAGAUAAUGGGGUCCGAGGACAGACCAUAAAUUAUUGCGACCCAUGGACUUUUCUAAUUUUUUUUUUUCCUUUGGAUAGUUUUCGUUAUUUGAUAGAAGGAGAUAGAGAUAAAGUUUUUUAAUCAAAUGCCCAUUUUAUUUAACAUGGAAGAAGAUCUUUAAACUCUAAGCGAGGCUAUCACUUCAACAGAUGCAGCUUCAAAAAAGAGGUAACAAGUGAUGAGAUAGACUCAUUAUUGUCUAAUCAAACAAGGACAUCGGUAGAUGUAUCAGGAUCUUAAGUUAGAUUGGAAUUUGAUACAUUGUUGUUCGUAACGUUGGUUCAAACCUUUAAAGCAAGGUUGGAUGCAAAAUGGUUUACACCAAAGACGUGAUUUAGGAAGUUAAUUAACGUUAUUUUAGAUAAUUUAUAAUUCUAAAAUAUUUAUUAUUUUAUGGUUUUCUAUUUUUGUUUGAGUCAAUUAUGGUAUGUAUCUUAAUCUUUUAUUUCCAUUAUAAUUAUAAUUUAAAUUUUCUUUUUAGGUUAACUUAGGAAAGUGGAUUUCUUUUAUUAUAAAUAAAGAUGUCUGUAAUAAAAAAAAUAAAGAUGUCUUGUCAUUGUUUUCAGGACUUCAAAUUCAAUUAUUAAAUAAAACUCUUUUUUUUAUAAUUUCCUCUAGUAUUAUUUAUCAAAAUCUCUCUUAUAGAGUUAUUUAAAUUAGAGUGUCAUCUAAUCUCGUAUUACGCGUUAUUAAAAAUCUCAUUGAAUCAUUUAGAUUAAAACAAUAUCUAAUCACGCUUUGAUUAAAGCGUAAGUUAAUUGUGUUGGCUUGAUCCAGUACUAGAAUGAUAUUUAGUAUUUCUUACCUUAUCAAUUCCACUUCCGCUACGCUCGCUCCAUCAAUUGGUAUCAAAGCAAUUCUGUGCGAAUCACACAUCUUUCCUAGAUACACCAUACCCAUCCAAACCAAAUCCAUCAAAAAAAAAAAUUACAAAUUUGAAAACCCUACCCGUCAGACCAACCCCCACCGCCGCCCACCACCGCCAAUCAGCCAGCCAACACCACCACAAACCUCACUAGCCACCGUCGACCAAGCCUCAGUCAUCGCUGCCUCAACCGCCGCUUGAACAGCCGCAAAUCACCAACCCAAACCUGCGGCUCCACCAAGCAACCCACCACCAUUCAGCCACUUUCUCCACCAGCCACCUCCACCAACAAACUCGCCGGCCUUCGUUGACCAAAAACUGACCGACUUCGGCCCUUGAUCGCCGCCCUCUGUCACCACACGAAACGACAACCCACGAGUGCUUCCUACACGCGCCGCCACCAAAACACCUUCUUUUUCCGUCAAUUUACACCACCACCAUAAUCCCUAGCAGUCGGCAACCGUAAAUCCAGUCUUCCGCCACUGUAAAGCCGCCAUAAACCAAAAGCCACAUCACCAAAAUCAACCGCCAAUUCAAGUCGGAUUUUCCCCAAUUCAGGUUGCUGAAUAUAAAAAGGACUCAUGAAAAUUACCUAAAGUUUCAAAUAUUGUUAUUCAGCAACCACUUUUAUGGUACAUUAGUUUCAACCCAAAUUUUAUAUAAAUAAUUUAUAACUCCCAUUAUUAUUAUAAAAAAAAAUUGUAGCAAUUGUGGUUAUAUCACAUGAAAAAAAAAAUCUAAUUAAAGAAAUUAACAUUAUAAUUUAAGGGAUAGUUGCUCUUUUAAUCAUUAGAAUUUAUGUCAAUUAUCCAGCUUAUCCUUGCAUUCUUAAAAACUAUAUACAAUACCAUUAUCUCUGCUUUUGUAGCUAUUGAAUUUGACUUUGACAACAUAAAUAUUUAUUAGCAACAACUUAAAAUUCAAACAAAUCUAAUAUGUAAUGUAUGAAAUACAAAUAAUAAUUAAACAAAUUUUGAUUAUUUAAUAUUAAGAUAUAAUCACAUUAAUAUCAUAAGGAUAGGUGGUACUCAAAUAAUCUUUUAAAAAUCAAACCCAAAUUAUAUGCAUUAUUAAUAUGCAUUAUUGUAUAAUAUUUAGAUUUUGUUAAGUUACAACUACUAUAACUUAAGUCUCUUAAAAAAUAUGUGAGUCCCACCACCUAUUAAAUUUUUUACAUUAUUUUUGAAAAAAUUACAAGUUACAUCAGUUGUAACUUAACAGCACCCCUAGUAUUUUACUUUACUUUUAUACCUUUACAAGAACAAUAAUGUAUGAAAUAAAAAAAAUAAAUAAAUAAAGAACUGACAACGAAAUUAGACCUAUCAUUAGUUUCUUGUGGUGUGAACUCUUGACAAUCCUCCCCUAUCCCACCUAAAGCUCUCGCGUGGUGUGAAUGUUUGACAAUUCUCCCAUAUCCCUCCAUAAUAUGUCAUAUUGCGAAAAGCAAUGUCAAUUGCAAUGCCGUUUCCCAUUAGUCAUAGUGAUAGAUAGGACCAGAAUUUUUUGAAACCCCCGAGGCCCUAAACUUGUUUUUCCUUUUGAAAAUAAGAAAAUGGCACCUGUCUAGAGAAAUAAUUUAUUAGAACCUUAUAUCAUGAAUAACGGCCAAUAAGACUUUUUUUAAAUUAUAAUAUUUUUAAAUUUAUUAACUAAAAAAAUUAACUCUAAUAAUUUAUGAUAAAUAUAAAUAGGAUAUUAAAAUAAAUAUAAUAAUAUAUAGAUAUUAAAAUAAUUUCAAUAUCUAAAAUAUUAAUAUUUUACAAUCUCGUAUUCUAUUAAACCAAAUUAUAAUAAAUAGAGACAUAAUAUUCAAAUAAAUAUAUAAAAAUUUAGGUUAUUUUCAAUGUCAUAUAAAAUAGUUUUAAUAUUAUUAAUACCUGAGAAAUAUUAUAUUAAUUGUAAAAUCUAUUUAACCUAAGGAUUUAGUUAAAAUUUUAAAAUAAUUACAAAUAUUUUAUAAGUACAAAUAAAUUAAUUUACAUUUUAAAAAUUAAUAUUGAAAUUAAUUAUUUAAAUUAUAUAUAUUAGUCUUCUGGAAAAUUUAAAUUAUUUAAAUCAUAUUUACAUUUCGUAAAAAAUUUUAAGUCAAUUUGUUUGAUUACCACCUGCUAAGGGUAUUGUAGUCAAGGGGAAUAUUGGUAUUCUUUAUUAAAAAUUUGGGAUCUACAUGAUUAUUUUUCUAAAUUUUAAUGGUGUCAUUUUAUUUUUGACAAAAAUAAAAUUUCAUUUAAACAACUAAAAUGAUGAAUAAUACAGUGCUACAGUGGCGCAAGUGGAAGGUAGGAAACAAUCAAAAUGAACAGUCUAACGUCACAGCAGGCAUAUAAGGCCAAAGUUUGUUACAUCCCAAUACAAAAAGUUUGAAACUUUGCACCUUCUGAAAUGAAACAAACUUACUUGGAUAUUGGUGAUCAGUGAGAAAAGCCCUUUUUCAAAAGCAACCUUAGGGUACCGAGUGUUACAGAUUCAAUGAACCACAAAUACUUAUUUACAUUGUAGUAUCUCAAAGGCACCGAUUUCUUCUGAUCCGUUAAGGAAAACAAGAAAAAUAAAAAGAAAAGAAAAAGGGUACUUGUGCCACACAACCUUGACGCCUAGCUACAUGGUACAUUCUCUUUGUGUGUUUGAACCAAUUAACAAUAAUGGUGCCUUUACUUCUUGGACUGGAGAAUCGAAAUCCGAAAUCGAAAUCAUUAAUGAUGUUUACUUCAUAAAAUGGAGGCUGGGAUCCGAAUCAGAACUAUGGGGACCACCCAAAUUAGGAGUGAGGAAUGGAAGAUUGAUUCCUAAGGAAGGUGGUGGGAAUCAAUCCCCCAUUCCCAAGAUUGAUCAUUUUGCCCCCUCUCACAAACUAUAAAAUAUCUAUUUUGUCCUCAAUUAAAAAAUUAUUAUGAUUAAUUAAUAUAUGUUUAUAAUUUAUUAAUAUAACUAUUCUAAUCAAUUUAUAUAUAUUUUAAAUAUAUUAUUAUUAAAUAAUUAAUAUAUUAUUAUAAUUAAUUAAUAUAUUUUGAAUUUUUAUUAUUAUCGUCAUCAUCAUCAUUAUUAUUGUUAUGAAUGAUAAAUUUUUUUACAAUUAAUUAGUAUAUUAAUAUAUUAUUGACAAUAAUUAAUAAUAAUAAUAAUUUUUGAAUAAAUAAAUAAAUAAAAUUAAUUACUGAAUUUGAACAUUUUACAAUUAUUCUAUUAUUUGGACUUAUCGAGAACUUACAUGCAGCGUAGCUAGUUUGCUAGCAUAUGUAAGGUUUAAUUUGAAUGCAUGCAGCAUUGAGAAGAGACAACGCAGAAACAAAAUUUCCGCUUGCAAUCUUUUCAUUUCCCUUUUUAAUAACAAGCAAAAUAGAGGAUAAACAGGGACUUUGUUUUAAUUCUCCUGUUUUUCUGUUUGGUGAUUUUAAAAUUUUAUGUCUAUAUUUAUCAAAAAAAGUUAUCCAAAAUUAUUAUCUAUUUUUGAUACACGUUGAUUUAUUAAAAAAAAAUUAAAAACUUCAUUUCUAAAUUUAUCGUUGUGCUUUGACCUUGGGGUGGUUUUUUUCUGUUUUUUUACGUAGGCCAGAACCUUAAUGAAGAAAGUUUUCAUCGUUAAUUGCUUUUGACCUAGGAGAAUUUAUUCUUGGACAAAUUAACACCUUUGUCUUUUGAUGCGGCUCCUAGAUAUCUAUGCAAUUUGUGUCAUUUACUUUUGCUUUGUAUUCUUUUUUAAAUGAGUCCCGAUUGGUUCAUUUGCAGAUAAAUGAGUCAGUUUUUCUGUUUUUAUUUUUUGAAAGACGGUUUUUCUGUUACGAAGCUUUUCAUGGAUGAAUAUUUUUUUUUUAAUUUUAUAGAUUCUCUGCGAGUUUUGUUAGGUAGAAGGGUAUUUAAGUAUUUUCAUUUCAUAUUUUGACAUUUCCUUGACCUUUGAAGUAUUGAAUCAUUGUGCAGGUAUUUAAGUAAAUCUGCCCACAAUGAAGAAUAGUUCAGAACAGUUGCGGAAGAUAAAUGGCUCAAAUAUAUGCGUUAUGAUCUUUUAAUAUUUCGCCUCUGAUAUUGUCCACAUUGCUUACUGCAAUAGAUAAAGCACUUCGUUUACCCCAAAUCCUGAUAGGGAAGUAUAAAUAUGUGCUUCCGAAAUAGUGCAACUCUCCAUAAUUAUUUAAUAUGCCUCUCAAUGAAGCAAUCACCUUCAUUUACAAUUCUUCGAUUAUUAAUCCUACAUACACGUGUUUCUUUUGUCUCUAAAAGUAUCCUCAAUUAAUUUACAUAAUUUAAUAUAAUAAGUACCUAAGACUAGACAAAUUAUCAUUAUAAUAGUAUUGACACAAUAAUGUCAAUAAUAAAUGCCUUAACAAACCUAUAAAUUUUAGAAUAUGGCUCAGAGUGCUACAAUGAACCACAACAAGUUAUUAUAUUGUCUAUAAUCAAUAUUCCAAUGGUAAUAGAGUUUUUUUAUUUUCAAUCCGCUGCUUUUCUGUUUAGCGAUUGCCAAAUUUUAUAUCUAAAAUUCUUCUAAUUUUAUAUCUAAAAUUCUUCUAAUUUUACACUAAGGUUUAUUUUUUCAAAAAAGGGGGGGGGGGGGGGGGGGGGGGGGGGCAGGAGAGAGAGACUUAGAGAGUAUUAAAAAAUGUAAUUCUAAAUUUUUACUUGAGUGUUGUGUGAUUUUGAUCAUUUUUUUAAAGUUGGCCAUUUAUAUUGAAUAAAUAAAAUAACGAAUAGACGUUUGGACCACUUCUUUUCUGUUAUAAUAAAACAUGAGAUGUCUUCUCUUGAUGUUUUCGUCACAAAAGAAUAUGUUUAAUUAUGUCAUCAUAGGCUUAAAUGGGAUGCCUUUUCUGUUAUAAGAUCGAGAACAAGUUUGUUUAAGCACUAGAGCCGCUAAAUAAAAGAAAGGCUCAUAUAAAAAUUACCUAAAGCACCAAAUAUUGUUAUUCAGCUACUUCUUUUAUGUUACAUUAGUUUCUACGCAAAUUUAUAUAAAUAAUUUAUAACUCCCAUCAUUAUUUAAAAAAUAAAAACCAUAGCAAUUGUGGUUAUAUCAUGUGGUGUGAUCUUUUGACAAUCCUCCCACAUCCCACCAAAAACUCUCACAUGGCGUGAACUUUUGACAAUUCUUCCAUAUCCCACCAAAAAUUUGUCAUGUUGCGAAAGGCAAUGUCAAUUGUAUUGUCAUUUCCAUUAGUUAUAGUGGCAGACAAUGUAGUCCCGGGAUAAGACUAGAAGUUUUUGAAACCCAUGGACUUAUUCUUACUUUAUUUUUUCUUUUGAAAAUGAGAAAAGGACACCCGUUUCGGGAAAUAAUUUUGUAGAAUCUCAUAUCGUGAAUAAGAGAUAAUAAGACUUUUCUUUUUUACUUUACUGCAAUACUCUUUAAUUUUAUUAAUUUUAUAUUUUAUAAUAAAUAUAAAUAUGAUACUAAAAUAAAUGUAAUGAUAUAUACAUAUUAAAAUAAUUGGAUAUUGAAAAAUAUUUUAAUAUUUUACAAUCCCGUAUAAUAUUAAACCAUAUUAUAAUAAAUAGACAUAAUAUUAAUAUAUAUAUAAGUUUAAAUUAUUUUGAAUAUCAUAUAAAAUAAUUUUAAUAUUAUUAAUAAAUCAGAAGUAUUACAUUAAUUGUAAAAUCUAUUUAAUCCAAGGAUUUAUUUAAAAUUUUUAUAAUAAAUUAAAAAUAUAUUGGUUAACAUUUUAACAAUUAAUAAUGAAAUUAAUUAUUUAAGUUAUAUAUAUUAGUCUACUAGAAAAAUUUAAACUACUUCAAUCAGAUUUACAUUUAAUGAAAAAAUUUGAAGUUAAUUUUCUUUUUAUCAUCUACUACGAAUCUUGUAGUUAAAAGAGGUAUUGACAUUCUUUAUUAAAAAUUUGAGGUCUACAUAACUAUUUUUUUUUUUAUUUUAAGGGUGUCAUUUUAUUUUUGACAAAAAUAAAAUUUCAUUUAAAUGGCUAAAAUGGUGAAUAAUACAAUGUUACAGCUGGCGUAAAUGGAAGGUAGGAAACAAUCAAAAUGACCAACAGUCUAAUGCCACAGCAAGGACAUGAGGUCAAAAAAUUCCCUUAUUAAUUAGUAAAAGAGAGUCACUUGGGCUUAUGGCGGGCAAAAUCGGAUAUAGAUCAGAUUCAAAUUAAUCCGAUAAAUUUGAUAUUGUUUGCAUUGAUAAAAAAAGUCACCCAAAUGCAAUCUAAACAUGUGUGUGUGUGUAUACAUAUUUGUUAUAAAUUAAAGUUACAAAAGUCUUUAACCAAGGCCAUUCAUAGUAAGUUUCAAAUUUUUAGGUUAAUAUCUGUAACUUCAUCAUGCUGGCCAUAAAUAAAGCUUGCAGGUCUAGGCGGGAUUGACUCGAGUUUUUUUGCCAAUCCUACGCAUGACGGGCGGUGUUAGGAAUAAUAUCCUGCAUCAAUUGAGUAUUGAACUUGGGUUCAGCAUAUAAGAUUUGGACAACUCUUAACUCUUGAGCUAACUUACUAAGUUUUGGAUUGAGUUAAGCAUGUAUGCUUCAAUAUCACAAAUUAGUCUUUCGUUACCAUUACUUAUUUUUUCUAUUGUUUAAUCCUAACACAAUAAAUGACCUUUCAUCCCAAAAGAACUAAAGUAAUCAUUUUAGACGAAUUAAGACACCAUAAAGUAAAUCUGCACACUAUGAAAAAUACUUUGGAACAGUUAAGGAAGCGUGAGAAUACUUGGGGAAAGCUUCAUAAUUGUUACGGCCGGAUCUACACUCUUUCCUCUAUAUGCAAUAAAUAUAUGCGUUAAUGAUCUCUCAAUAUUUUGCAUCCGAUAUUGCCCACAUCGCUUACCACAAUAUAUUCACUUUAUAAACAAAGUUUACAACCCAAAUACUAAUAGAGAAUAUAAAUAUGUACUUGUCAAUGAAGCAAUCACCUUUAUUUAGAAAUUUUUUAUUAUUAAUCCUACGUACACACACCUCUUUUGUCUCCAAAAAUAUUCUUAAUUAAUCCACACAAUUUAAUACAAUAAAUACCUAAGAUUACACAAAUUUUCAUUACAAUAGAAUAUAUAAUUUAUAAUAUUAUUGAUACAAUGAUGCCAAUAAUAAAAAUCCUAUAAACCUUACAAAUUUUAGAAAAUGGCUUAGAGUGUGACAGGUUGAAUGAACCACAACAAAUCAUUUACAUUAUAGUAUCUAUGAUCAAUAUUCUAAUGAUAAUAGGGCUCCUCCAUUUUCAUUUCCCUACAUUUUCUGUUUGGUGAUUGUCAAAUUUUAUGUCUAAAAUUUUUCUAAUUUUACAGUGAGGUUUAUUUUUUAAAGAGAGAGAGAGAGAGACUCAAAGAGAAUUAAAAAAAAUGUAAUUCUAAAAUUUUACUUGUGCAUUUUGUGAUUUUUACCAUUUUUUAAGUUGGCAAUUUGUAUUGAAUAAAUAAAAUAAUAAAUAGACUUAUGGACCACUUUUUUCUGUUAUAAUAAAAAUCAGAGGUCCUUUCUUGAUGUUUUCUUUCCAUAUGAAUAAAUUAGAAUUUUAUUGGUACAGUAAUGUCAAUAAUAAAAUUCCUAACAAACAUACAAAUUUUAGAAUAUGGAUUAAAGUGUUACAAGUUGAGUGGAUCACAACAAGUUAUUUAUAUUGUAGUGUCUAUGAUCAGUAUUUCAAUGAUAUCAAGGGUCCUCUAUUUUCUUUCCCUUGCAAUUUUUGUUUGGUCAUCGCCAAAGUUUAUAUCUAAAAUUUUUCUAAUUUUACACUGACAUUUAUUUUUUUUUUAAAAAAAAGAGAAAGAGAGACACGGAGAGAACUAAAAAAUGUAAAUCUAAAUUUUUGCUUGUGCGUUAUGUGAUUUUUAUCAUUUUUUAAGUUGGCCAUUUGUAUUGAAUAAAAAAAGUAAUAAAUAGACUUAUGGACCACUUGUUUUUUUAUUAUAAUAAAACAUUUUCUUCUCCUGAUGUUUUUCAUCUCACAGGAAUAUAUUUAUCUCAUCGUGGGCCCAAAUGGGGUAAAUAAAUUGGGAUCAAGGACAAGUCUGUUUAAGUGUUGAAAUUGCAAGAAGACCUCAUAAAAAAAAUUGCCUAAAGCCCCAUUAUUGUUAUUCAACUAUUACUUUCAUGACACUUACACAAAUAAUUUAUAACUCCAUCUUUAUUUAGGGAAAAAACUGUAGCAAUUGUUGUUAUAUCACAGGAACAAAUUCCAAUUAAAAAUAUAAUAAGAAUUAAUUGCAAAUUUUGUAAUAAAUAUCAAUAUAAUUUAAUAGUUUAAUUUUUUUUGGUAGAGUAAUAUAAUUUAAAAAAUUAAUAUUUAAAAAAAUAAUAUCAGUAUUACUUUUUAAAAUGCAAAUUAUUAAAAUUAUAUUAAUAAUGUAUUUUUAUUUAUUAUAAAAUUUAUUUUAAUAAAAUCUUAAAUUUUUUUAAAUAUUUGUAUAUAUUGUUAUAUGUUAUUAUAAUAUUAUAUUUAUAUUUAUUAAAAUAUAAGAGUUAAUAUUUUUAAAUUAAUAAAGACAAAAAGUAUUAUAAUAAAAAAGAAUUCUUUUAUUAAAAAUAUAAUCAUUCUCCCAAACUUAUCCUUGUCCCUUUUUGAAAGGAAAAAAUAAAUUAGAAAAGUCUAUGGUCAUGAUAACUUCUAGCCUUGUCCCGUGGGACAUGGCUACGGUGCAGAAGCUGAAAGUAACAGCUUCGAACUUUCCCAUUUCCAUCACCUUGUUGAUGGUUGUUGAAGCCAAUAAAAAUAAAUUCCUACUCUAAAUAAAUUGUGUAUAGUGAUUGAGCAGGGUCGUGUCCACAGAGAUCGGUAAUUAUUUAAAUUCUUUUGAAACGUAAAACGUAAAAUGGGAGAAUUGUUGACAAUAAUAAAAAAUCAAAUUAAAAUAACAAAAAUGCAAAUUAAAGUUGUAAUUCAAAUUGGAGAAAGCUUUGGUUGAAGGAAUUAACUCAGUUUGAUUCGACUACUGAUCAUUGAUUCAAAAAUAGAUUAUUAUUACUUAUGAAUAAACUGGUUAUAGCUAUUGAGACCCUCUAAUAGCCAAUCUCUCCUUAACUAGUCGAUAACCAAGGUACGACUAUUGGAUAUUUCCCUAAUCAAUAGACAACCCUAGAUACGAUCAUAGGAUUUAAUCAAUUGACAGCCUGAAAAACCAGAGCGACCCAAAUCCUAAUCAACACAUAUGAUGAUUCAUUUAAAUUAGAUUGUUUAUUCCCAUAACACAACUCACUGCUAUGUUAUUUGUCACAAACAUUAAACUCGUCAUACGAUGAAUUCUUUAAUUGACAAUAGAUUAAGUUGAUAAUUAAAUAGUGGCCAAUUACCUAAUUAACAAACAUAAUCAUGAAACUAAUUCAGAGAAUAAACAAAUACCCAAAAAGUAAUAAAACAAUUAAAGCAUAAGAAAGAUCUCACAGUAGUGAUGAAUCAAAAAUUCAUUAACCUUCAACUAGAAAAAAUAAGUUUAGUUUUUCAUAGAGAGAAGAGAAAAAUUAGAUCUAGGGUUUCUUUCUUUUUCUCCAAUUAAAAUCCCCCCUUUUUCACAAUAGAUUCCUCCCUUAAAUACUCUCUCUCUCUUCUCUUUUAAAGUUCUAUUUAAAAUAAAAUAAUAAUAUUUGAAAUAUUAAAUUCGUAAUUACAAAAAUAGCCAAAAAUACAAAACACAUUAAACUAAAAACUGCAGGUCCGCAGUUGACAGCACGCGCCCACGCCUUAUCUAUAAAGUUCUUCUGACGCUCUAAAUUUCUCCAAGAGAACAAUCAUCUUUAAACAUCAUCUUAUACCUCAAUUCUAUCACAAAUCAAUAGAAUUGCACUUACAAAAGUAAAACACAAGUAAAUCAUUAUUAUUAAAUGCAAAACAUCGAUAUUAAGGGAAGUAAACAAUGCAAAACUAGUGUAUAAAUUGUACUCUAACACUUGUAUUGGGACCUCUUUCUCUCUCCUAUAGCCCCCAUGGAAGUUCCCCAUUGGCUGCUGUUACUUACAGAAGCCGUAACAUAGACUUCUAGCCAUGUCCCGUGAUGUCCAUUGUCUGCCACUAUGAAUAAUGGCAAUGACAUUGCAAUUGAAACAUUGAAAAGGUAUUUUCGCAAUAUGACAAAGCUUUUGUUAGGAUAUGGGAGGAUUGUCAAAAGUUCACACCACUUGAAACUAGAAUUAGAUCUAAUUUCAUUUAUUUCAUAAAUUAGAAAAGUCUAUGGUCGUGAUAACUUCUAGCCGUGUCCCGUGAUGUCCAUUGUCUGCCACUAUGAAUAAUGGAAAUGACAUUACUAUAAUAAAAUGACAUUGCAAUUCCAAUAUGCAAUUGAAAAGUCUAUGGUCGUGAUAACUUUUGUAAUAUGACAAAGUUUUUGUUGGGGUAUGAGAGGAUUGUCAAAAGUUCACACACCACAUGAAACUAGUGUUAGAUCUAAUUUUAUUUCGUCCGUUCCUUAUAUAUUUAUUUCAUACAUAUAUGUCUUAGGGUGAUAUUGUUUUGUAAAGAUAUAAUAGUAAGGUACUAUAAAAAGAAAAGAACUGUGUGUAUACUUCCCAGUGUAAUAAUUAUAUGUAGAAGAAAACUAACAAGAGGAAAAAUGACAAAGAGCAAGGCGCUGGUUGUUGGGAGAAGAGGACAUGUCGGCAGAGGAUAGAGAAGCCAAUCUUAGCCUUGUUGAUUGAGGGCUCAUCUUCUGAUCAUCGUAGCCUUGUUGGAGCUGUCAAACAAGUCGAUGUUGUCAUUUAAGGAGCCACAACAUUUUGAUGCUGCUUAAACUUGUUGGGGCCAUCAAAUAAGCUGUAAAUAUUAAGGUACGUAAGCCUUAAUUUUUAUGUAAUUUUAAUUUCAGAUCCAAAAUUGCAUGCAAGCCAUUAAUUUCUUUCCUUUUUUAUUUUUGAUUUGAUGAGGUGCUUGAUUUGGUCGGGUGUGUAUUUUUUCUUUGUUCUUUUUUUUUUUAAAACAUAAAUCUCCAAAUCGGGUUGGAGCGGGGAUUCUAACCCUACGAUGGCCAUAUUAAAAUUUAAAAUUUUUUAAUUUAUUUUUCUACAUCUCAAUAUUUGAAAAAAUGAUUAUAUAGAUCUAUAUAUUUUCAAUAAGAGAUACUAAGAUACUCUUUUUUACUAUAACACCUACUAGCUCUAUUAACUCAAAAAAUUAGCUUCAAUGUUAAUAUAUAUAUUUUAAAAUAAUUUUAAUAUUUUAAAAAAAAUGAAAAAAAUAUUUUAAUACUUUACAAGCUUAUACUAUAUUAAACUAAAUUUUGUAAUAAAUAGAAACUUAAUAUAAAAUAAAUGUCUAAAAAUUUAAAUUAUUUUCAAUAGCAUAUAGAAUAAUUAUAAUAUUAUUAAUACCUAAGAUAUAUUAAAUUAAUUAUAAAUUCUAUUUAACACAAAUAUUUAACUAAAUUUUUUAUAAUAAAUAUAAAUAUAUUAUUAAAAUAAAUCUAAUAAUUAACAUUUUAAAAAAUAAUACUGAAAUUAAUUUUUUAAAUUAUACUAACACUAGUUUCACGCUGUGCGAACUUUUGACAAAAACUGUUAAUUGCAAUUUCUUUUGAAAACAAUAGAUCAAAUCAUUAAAGUGCAUGUGAUGAUUUGCUGUUUAAUUAUUUCUUUAGAAUAUAUCCAAACGUAAGGUUGUGAACUAGUGCUUUCUUCAACUUAAUUGGGUCCAACAAUACACUGCAGCUUCCUCUUUUGGUCAUUCCAAGUUUAAUUCUUCAUGAAAAUCUUAGACACUAAUACAAGGAUAUCGAAUCCAAAAUUAUAAUAAUACAUGUAAUUAUUCUAUACAUGCGUCAACAAGGCAACAGUAACCAAAUACAUGAUAUGCAAAGGGGGUGCAUGAUUAAGUCCUUUUUUUAUUCAAUUCAUUGUUAUUAUUCUCAUCAACUCUUUUCUCACUUAUUUUUCAGCAGUUACCAGUGAUCUUUUUGCUCUUUAAAAUUAUUCUUAAAUAUUCAAGGCUAAAUAGAGAAGCUCAUCAACUAUCUGAUCCCGGAUAAUUAAAGAGGUGAACUUGUUCUAAAUCCUUUGAUAAUUUCUAUUAAUAGCAUAAUCUCCUUGAUCUUGACCGCAGUUAUUUCUUAAUGUCCAAGAAAAAAAUAUCUCCUGUUUGUCUUAAUCUUGUCAUUUAAUUUUCUUGAUUUAAGUUACUGUUCAUUGUUAACUUCUGUGUUCUUGUUAUUAGCAUUUGUUAAUUUGCAUCUCUCCUCUAAAAUAGUUUCUAAAAAAGAAUGUUGCUUUUCAUUCAUACCCUUGAAACCUUUCAGUUAAUAGUCAAAACUCUAAUCUUUCAGUUAAUUUAUUUGAAUCCAAUUUUUUCAACAGCAAAUACACACACACAUUGUUAAGCAACAGCCAAAAAAGUGCAGAAAAACCAGUCAAAUUUAUACAUGCGUCAACAGGGAAACAGUAACCAAAUAGGUGAUACAAAAAGGGGUGAAUGAUUCUGUCUUUUCCUUUUGCAAGUCGCUGUUAUUACUCUCAUCAACUUCUUUCUCGCACAUUUCUCAGCAGUUACCAGUAAUAUUUAAAAUCGCUGUGUAGAUAUGCAAAAGUUCCGUAAGUGCAUUAAUAAUUAUUUGCCAGAAAAAAAUAGUUGCGUCAAUAUUAAAGGAAUUGACAUCCAGGGGACCCAAUUUAGUUGCUUAAUGAUUAUUUAAUUAAUUAAUUUAUAAUAUAUUAAUCUUUUAAGUUGAAUAAUUAAAAUCUUAGACCCGAAACAAUAAAUCAUCUGAGGCAUAUAAAAGAGAAAUUAUCAUCCUAUUUUUUCUUUUUUCUUUUUAACUUCUUGUAGCUUAUAAAAGAGAAAUUAUCAGUCAUUUACUCAAAGUUUAUUCAAUUAUUAAAAUUAUUAUAAAAAUUUAAAUUUAUUUAAUUUUACAUCCAAUGUAUGCAAUUUGUAUGAAACAUCUGUUAAAAAUAUAAAGUUAUUCGUUCAAAGUGACAAAAUAGAACCGAACACAAAAUUGUAGUGGUGAUUAUGUUUUAGGAGUAACUUUAUUUUUUUAGUAAACAGUUGAUACACAUUGUAAUAAUGGGUAUAAAAUUAAAUAUUUUUAAAUUUUUAUAACUUUUUGGAUAAUAAGAUAAUUCUUAGAUGGAUAAUUGAAAAUUUUUCUUUUCAAAAUAUUUUGAAAACAAUACCAAAUGUACCAAAACAUUGUUUACUUUCACUCUCUCUCUCUCUCUCUCUCUCUCUCUAUCUAUCUAUCUAUAUAUAUAUAUAUAUAUAUAUAUAUAUAUAUAUAUUAUUUCUUAACUCAUUCUUAUCCUUAUUCUUUCUAACAUAUCCACAAUCUGUCAAUGAAAUUUACUUUUAUAAAUUUGAAGAUUUUUUCAUGCAAUUUUAUACGAUGAUGAGUUCUCAUGUUUCUGUUAAAAAAUAAUUCGUAAAUAAUACAAAUGAAAAAAACAAAAAGUAGCAGGGCUGGCAAUACAAAACCAUAACUUUUUUUCUUUGAAUUUUGCAUAAACAAAGUCAAUAGUGAUUUGUCAGCACGAUCUUGAGAGCACGGCUUGGAGUCUCAAUAAUUAUUGACACUCAUAUUUGAAAACUUUCGAAAAGAUAAAAUCCAAUAUGAAAGGUGAAACGUUAUAAUCAUAGUAACUAGAAAAUGGAUUGAUUUACAAAUAUCAAUUUAAACAAUUUUCAUGUUGAUCGACAAUUUAAGUAGAUUGACAAAGAUUGAAGUAAUUACUGUUGGUGAUUGAUUGACUUUGUCCUUAUCCUUGCCUUCUUCUUAUCAAAAAUCGAGUGUCAAUUAAAUUGGGCCAGGGUUUCUGAUUGCAACUAAUGGACUUCAUAUACGCAUAAUGGUCCCUACGUACAUACGUACCAAUAUUUGAUUGAUAAAGGGGGUGCAUGCUUAAUGCUCAAGUCGUCUUCUUUUGGAAAUUCAUUGUUAUUACUCUCAUCAACUCGUUCCUCACAUUCCUCUUUAGUCAAAACCUGUAAUAUUUCUUCUAUAUUCAAGGUGAAUACAGCAGCUCAUCGACUCUGAUCCCAGACAGGUAAAGAGGUGCACUUGUUCUAAAACCUGUAAUAUUCUUUUAGUAGCAGAAUCUCUGAUACUUGAUCUUCAUAGCGGUUCUUUCUUAAUUUCCAUCAACUUUCCUAGGAAAAAAUUCUCUGGUUUUUCUUAAUCAUAUCAUUUACUUUUCUUAAGUCAUAUCAUUUAUUUUUAGUAGCAGAAUACUUGAUCUUGAUAGCCAUUCUUUCUUAAUUUCCAUCAACUUUCCUUAAAGGAUACCUUUCUGUUAAUAGCGAAACCUCUGAUCCUUAAGAUAGAAAAAGAAAUUCUCUACUUAUGUAUCAGUUGGUUCAAAAUCAAUAUCGCGAUGUUGUUUGCGGUCUUUUCUUUCUCUGUCUUUCCCUCUAGUUCAUUUUAAUUUAUUUGUAUUCCUUUCUUUGACAUUUUUAUUCAUUUUAUUCAUAUAUAUACAUAUAUUGUUAAGCAACAGGCAAUGGUUGCAGAAGUGGGUCUGGCUGCUUUUUCCAGCAUCGUAUCAGAAGAUGCAAAGUCACUGUUCAAACCGAUUAUACGGCAGAUCUCUUAUGUGUUCAAGUACCAGAGCUACAUAGAUGGCCUAAAAGAUCAAGUGAAACAGUUGGGAUAUAAAAGAGAAAGGGUGGAAAUACCCGUUCAUCAGGCUACUCAACAAGGAGAUGAGAUUUAUAAGGAUGUUGCAGACUGGCUUAAUAGCGUCAAGGAAUUCACUCAGGGAGCUGCGAAAUCCAUCACUGAUGAUGAAGAUAGAGCUAAGAAGUUCUGUUUCAAAGGAUUGUGCCCAAACUUGAUUUCUCGUUACAAGCUCAGUAGACAAGCAGCAAAGGCCGCAGAAGCUGCUGCUAGUCUCAUGGGAAAAUGUAACUUCUCUAAUGUUUCCUACCGUCCUGCUCCAAAGCGGGCAGAACAUAUGCAAGUGAAAGAUUUCGAGGCCUUUGAUUCAAGAAUGAAAGUAUUUGAAGAUGUUGUGGAGGCGUUGAAGGAUGAUAAGCUCAAGAUAAUUGGGGUCUACGGGAUGGGCGGCGUGGGUAAAACCACGCUAGUCAAGCAAGUUGCAAGGCAAGUUAUGGAAGAUAAGGUGUUCGACAAGGUCGUUAUGGCUGAGGUAACACAGACCCCAGAUCAUCAGGAAAUUCAAAAGAAACUUGCUUUUGACUUAGGCAUGAAAUUUGGCUCGGAUGAGAAUAAAUUCGAAAGAGCAGAUCGAUUACGUGAAAGAUUGAAGAACGAGAAGCAGGUCCUCGUUAUAUUGGAUAAUAUUUGGAAAAAACUCGAGUUCGAAAAAGUUGGAAUUCCUUGUGGGGAUGUUGAUGAGAAAGAUACAAAGGAUGAUCAGAGACGAUGCACAAUAAUAUUGACGUCUAGAAGUCGAGAUUUAUUGCGCAUUGAUAUGAAUUCUCAGAAAAAUUUCCCGAUCGAUGCUUUGCCACCAAAAGAAGCAUUGCAGUUAUUUGAAAAGAUAGUGGGUGAUUCAACUAAAAUAUCUGCUUUUCAAAGUAUAGCAAAUGAGAUCGUUGAAAGAUGCGGAGGUUUGCCUGUUGCACUGAGUACAGUUGCAAAUGCUCUGAAAACUAAGGAUAGUUACUUUUGGAAAGAUGCAUUGAAUCAGCUAAGAAGAUCGGAUGCUAGAGAAAUUCAUGGCAUGCAAGCAAAUGUGUACACCUCCAUAAAAUUGAGUUAUGACUUCUUGGAAAGUGAGGAGGCAAAAUCUCUGUUCCGUCUUUGUAGUCUAUACAGUGAAGGUAAUGUCAUACAAGUUUCUGACUUAUUGAGAUGUGGUGUGGGUUGGGGUUUGUUUGAAAAUGUUUACACAUUGGAAGAAGCAAGGAGUAGAGUGCAUCGGUUGAUCGACAACCUCAAAUCUUCAUGCUUAUUGUUGGACGGUGAUGCUGAAGAUGAAGUUAAAAUGCAUGACGUCAUUCAUGUUGUUGCCGUAUCAAUUGCCAGAGAGGAGCGCAUGUUUAAUGUUCCAAAUGUUGCUGACUUGGAGAAAAAGAUGGAAGAGACAAUACAGAAAGAUCCAAUUGCUAUUUCAUUACCUCAUAGAGAUAUUCAAGAGCUCCCUGAAAGGUUGCAAUGUCCCAAUCUCCAGUUAUUUUUGUUGUAUACGGAGGGUAAUGGCCCUAUGCAAGUUUCAGACCACUUUUUUGAAGGGAUGGAAGGACUCAAAGUUUUACAGUUUCCUGGAAUUGGCUCUUCUUCAUUACCUUCAUCACUUGGUCGCCUCAUUAACCUUCAAACAUUGUGUUUAGACUGGUGCGAACUAGCAGAUAUAGCGGCAAUUGGACAACUAAAGAAAUUAGAGAUUCUCAGCCUCGCAUAUUCCAAUAUCAACCAGCUACCAGUUGAAAUUGGACAAUUGACGCGGUUACAAUUGCUAGAUUUGAGCAAUUGUUGGUGGCUUGAGGUGAUAGCACCGAAUGUCAUAUCAAAAUUAUCUCAAUUAGAAGAAUUGUAUAUGGGUAACGGUUUUUCAGGGUGGGAGAAGGUUGAAGGAGGAAGUAAUGCCAGUCUUGUCGAAUUGGAGAGGUUGACAGAGCUAACUACUUUGGAGAUAGAAGUUCCGGAUGCCGAAAUUCUGCCGCCGGAUUUUGUCUCUGUGGAAUUGCAAAGAUAUAAGAUACGUAUAGGAGAUGGGCCCGAAGAUGAGUUUGACCCAUUGCUCGUCAAAUCUGAAGCAUCAAGAUUGAUGAUGCUCAAGGGGAUAAAAAAAGUUAGCAUUCUUCAGGAGAAUGAUGGGACAAAAAUGUUGCUGCAGAGAACUGAAGAUCUCUGGCUAGAAACAUUGGAGGGUGUUCAAAGUGUUGUUCAUGAAUUAGACGAUGGGGAAGGUUUUCCACGAUUGAAGCGUCUUCUCGUAACAGACUGUUCUGAGAUUUUACAUAUUGUCGGUUCAGUUAGGGUUCGUUGCGAAGUCUUUCCCUUGCUGGAGGCAUUGUCUCUUAUGUUUUUAACUAAUUUGGAGACGAUAUGCUACAGCCAACUCAGAGAAGAUCAAUCCUUCAGCAACUUAAGGAUUAUAAACGUAGAUUCCUGUCGAAAAUUGAAGUAUCUCUUCUCAUUCUCUAUGGCCAAAAACCUAUUGCGGCUUCAAAAAGUAAAAGUGGAAGACUGCGAUGAUUUGAAAAUGAUUAUUGGUAAGUGUUGAAAUUAAUUAUUGGUAGGAUUAUUGACAUUGACUCUUUCUUUUUUUCUUUUUCUUUUUUUGGGGAAAAAAACAACGGAUGUUUAUUAUAUAUUGUUUUGGUUCAUUUAUAGGGCCCGACAUGGAGAAACCAACAACAACUCAGGGAUUCAUAGAAAUCAAUGCAGAGGAUGAUCCUGUUCACCAGGUAAUAAUUUUCUGUUUAAUAAUUAAUUAAUUAAUAUAUUAUCACGAUUGAGCUUCAAUCAUCGAAAGAAUAUUAUAUUAGAAGUUGUAGUUGAAGGAACAAAAAUGUAUGGUUUUUCUUUGCAGGUUACUUUUCCACGCUUGGAGGAACUGGAACUUGUCAGUUUAACAAAUAUCAAAAAAUUAUGGUCCGAUCAAUUUCAGGGAAUAUAUUGUUGUCAAAAUUUAACAAAAGUGACCGUGUGGAGUUGUCAUCGUCUGAAGUAUUUGUUUUCAUAUUCUAUGGUUAAUAGUCUUGGGCAACUCCAACAUCUUGAGAUUCGUAAUUGCCGGUCAAUUGAAGGGGUAGUCAACACCACGACGUUAGGAGGAAGAGAUGAAUUUAAGGUUUUUCCCAAACUACACUACCUGUCGCUCCAUUGGCUUCCAAAACUAAGUAGCUUUGCCUCACCAGAAGACGUCAUUCACACUGAAAUGCAACCUCAAUCCCUCUUUGAUGAAAAGGUUUUUUUUCAUUGAAUUUUUAAAUUCUCUUUUCGUUGAGUCUUCAAAUUUAAUUAAUAUACAUCUCUAAUUGCAUUGAAUUUUUAACUUCAGGUACGACUCCCAAGUCUGGAGGUAUUAAAUAUUAGUGAGGCGGAUAAGUUGAGAAAAAUAUGGCACCACCAGCUUGCUUCGAAGUCUUUUAGCAAAUUGAAAAAAUUGAAGAUAUCUGGGUGUAAUAAUCUACUGAAUAUUUUUCCUCCAUUGGUAAGAUUGCUAUAUUCAUUUUGAAUUUUUAUUUCAAGUAACAUUCAACAAUUAUUUUAAUCAUUUUUGUGUUUACAAAUAAUUUUCAUUCACAAAUUAUUUAUUGCAAGUAUUUUACUUCAAACUUCAGGAGGGCAAAAAAGUAGUGUACUUCAAAUCACCAUUCUGAACUCUGCAUUGUCAAUCUAAUUUAUAGGUUCACCCGCAUUAAAGUCAACGAUAUAAUUGUUUUAAACACGAUUUAACAGCAUAAUAUAAUUCAAUUUAAUUGUUUUUUUCCUUAAAUCCUAAUAAAUAAGAUUUUUAGAAAUUAAAAGAUACUUAGUUACUCAGCUUUUAAGCUCACAAAUUCAUAUAUAUUUCUCUUUUCCUUGGGUCUUCAAAUUUCGAUUUAAAAAAAAAUAAAAGAAAAGUGUUCAAAUGUAGUUAAUAUCUCUAGUUUAGUUAUGAAUUGAUUACGCCAUUGAUUAAGCACAAAUUCAUGAUGGUCAUUUUGAAUCGACCGUUGAUUAAAAAAAUUCCUCAAAUAUUCACUCUAUAACAGUCCCAUGUUGAUGGCGUUGGGAAGUGUUUUCCAGAAAUGUUUUUCCAUUUUUAAAAGCAUGAAUAUCGGGAAAAAAAAAAGGGAAAUACAGCGUUUUAGUUUAGUUAUUUUAAAAAUAGGCAUGUUUGAAAAUUAAAAAUUUUAAAAAACUAGCAUCAAGAUGAAAAAUGAAUUUAGAAUAUUUAAAAAUUACCUGAAAUUCUUUCUCCGUUCCUAAUACUAAAUAGUGUAAAUGCAUUUUCAUUAUCUUUGUUUUUCUGGACUUCUAUUUAUUUAUUUUUAUUUUUUCUUUUUUUUCUUUAACAAAAAAUAUCUAGUAGACAUUCAUGGUUUGUUAUUUUUCAUAAAACAAUUGUAUGAUUUUGACAUACUUUGAAUCUAGUUGAAUGCUACUCUUUAUUUUCAGGUUGGAAUUCCCAAUAGUCUAGUGAAUCUUGAUGUAUCAGACUGUGCAAAAAUAGAAGAAAUCAUAGGACAUGUUGGAGAAGAAGCGAAGGAGAAUCGUAUUGCUUUCAACGAAUUAAAACUUUUGGAACUUGAUGAUUUACCAAGGCUUACCAGCUUUUGUUUGGAGAAUUACACUCUUGAAUUCCCAUCAUUGGAACAAGUUUCUAUGACACAUUGUCCGAACAUGAAGACUUUUUCUCGGGGAAUCUCAUCCACACCAAAGCUAUACGUAGUGCAAGUGACUGAAAGGGAAGAGGGUGAACACCAUUGGGAAGGCAAUAAGCUUAAUUCCACUAUACAAAAGUGUUACGAAGUAAUGGUAUGUGUUAAUCGAUUCACUUUACGAAGUAAUGGUGUUACGAACACCAUUACGAAGUAAUGGCAAUAAGCUUAAUUCCACUAUACCACAUUUAAACAUAUACACCUGCGUUGUAAAUAUAUUUUUAGAAGUUAAAGCACAAAACAUGUAAGUUUAAUGUAUAUAUAUAUCUAAUGCCUUUCAAAAAAAGAAAUUUAUAUAUAUCCAGUGCAAUUGUUUUGGUUUAUGCAGAUUGGAUUCCGUGACAUAGAGCAUUUGCAACUCUCACAUUUUCCACGCUUGAGAGAAAUAUGGCACGGCCAAGCAGUGCCUGUCAGCUUCUUCAACAAUUUACGACAACUGGCUGUGGAUGACUGCACGAAUAUGUCGAGUGCUAUUCCUACCAAUCUGCUACGUUGCUUGAACAAUUUGAGAUGCCUGGAAGUGAGGAAUUGUGAUUUAAUAGAAGAGGUGCUUCAUUUAGAAGAGCUAAAUGCUAAGGAAGAACAUAUAGGCCCCCGGUUUCCUAGGCUUAACAGACUAAGGCUCAUUGAUCUUCCAAAACUCAAAAGAUUCUGCAACUUCACUGGGAAUAUAAUUGAACUGUCUGAGUUGGAGAAUCUAACUAUUGAGAAUUGCCCUGAUAUGGAAACAUUCAUAUCCAACUCUGUAGUGCAUGUGACAACAAAUAACAAGGAACCUCAAAAAUUAACAUCAGAAGAGAACUUUUUGCUGGCUCAUCAAGUACAACCCCUCUUCGAUGAAAAGGUGAUUAUUAUUAUUAUUAUUAUUAUUAUUAUUAUUUUCCCCUUCACUUUUGUUCGCACAGAUGUAAUUUCAUUAGAAUCAAAUCAAAUUUUAUGACUCAUCUUUUUGCAUGUCAUCUUGAUUCAUAUAUGAAUUAACAAUACAACUACAGUUAUGAACUAACUUUAUAGUAUGAAUUAAAAAAAUGUCUUAAAUUAUUUCGAUGACUGGUAACAUGAGGUGAUGAACUAUAUCAAUUAUGCUUGUCGCAUCUCUGUUUUCCUAGCUAAUUCAUAUUGGAUUUAGUAUCAGAUUUCAUUUAUGUGUUUCAAAGGGUAAUCGAUUUGAUACUUAUAUUUGGGAUCCUACUGCAAAGCAUACUAAUUUGGAAAUAAAAUAUAAAAUGCCGUGAUUAAUCUUGUCCAUAAAAUAUGCAGGGGAAGACUGCAGAGAUUGGAUACAUACUUUCAUUUACAACUUAAUUUUGUUGAUUUUCAGCUUACAUUCCCUCAAUUGAAGGAGUUAAAGCUAUCUAGAUUACACAAAGUGCAGCAUCUCUGGAAGGAAAAUGACGAAUCCAACAAAGCGUUUGCAAACUUGAAAAGUCUAGAAAUAUUUGAAUGUAGUAAGUUACAGAAAUUAGUACCAGCUUCGUGGCAUUUGGAAAAUCUUGAGGCUUUGAAAGUAUCGAAGUGUCACAGGUUGAUAAAUUUGUUGACGCUCUCAACAUCUAGAAGUCUGAUAAUUCUUCAAAGUAUGACGAUAGCUGAUUGCAAAAGGAUAGAAGAAAUCAUACAGUCGCCGGUUGCAGAAGAAGCGAAAGAUUGCAUUGUUUUCAAGGAAUUAAAGUACUUGGGACUUGAUUGUUUGCCAAGCCUAACAAGCUUUUGUUUAGGUAAUUACGCUCUUGAAUUCCCGUCCUUGAAACAAGUAGUUGUGAGAGAGUGUCCAAAAAUGAUGAUCUUCUCUCAAGGAGUCUUAGACACACCAAUGCUAAACAAAGUGAACGUCACCGAAGAAGAAAAAGAUGAUGAUGAUGAAGGAUGUUGGGAAGGCAACCUCAAUGACACCAUAAAAAAAUUGUUCAAUGAAAUGGUGAGUAUCAAUUAAGUUUUGGUGCUAUUUAGAAAAUUAUUUUAUAGAAACUAAUGUAAUAUAAUAUGAUUGGUUGACUGAAAAUAUAUAAUAAUAAAUAAAUAAAUAAAUUAUGAGGGCUAUGUAAUGUUUUUGUUUAACCAAUCAUAUUAUGUCGCAUUAGUUUAUACAAUAUUGUUUGUGUACAAGAGUUGUAAUGUAUGCUUGCUUACACGAGUAAUUACAAAAUGUGCAUAAUUCUAAAGAAAAGAUUGAGCCAACCCUUCAGGUACAGUGAAGAAGCUAUCUCGAACCAGGCCAAUCUCGUGUACAUGAUUCAACUUGCUCGUUCUCCUGUACUUGAAUAAUUUGGUUCUAAACGCAUUUACAACUUUUUUGUCAUGCUAUAGACAUGCAAGACACUUUGGAUUUGUUUGAUGCAUUCUUUGUUUAAGGAAGGACUUGAAUUGAUGUUUCAUGUUUCAUGCAAUUUUCAAUUAGAUACUGUUUAAACUUCUGCAUUAUUCAUUCAAUCGGUGUUUUAAGCAUUUGAUUUCUAACUAGUCCUGAUAGAAGAUCAUUAGCUGAAGAAAACAUCAUAACAUUUGUGGCAUUAUCAGAAUAAGAAUAGUUUUAUGAGUAUAGUAAAAUUAACUAGACCAUUAUUAAAAGGAAUUAAUCCGUCAACUUUAAGUAAACUUUAGAUGAUGGUUCUGACCUAAACCAUUUUAAUGCUUGGCAAAAUCACAUCCUGAGCAUAGAGUAAAGAAAGUGGCAUACAUGGUAAUCAACUUCAAGAAGCUCUUCGAAAUGCAUAAUACUGUUGGGGAGAAAAGAAAAAGAAAGAAUACAAAUAAAAAGAAGUCACACAUCAUCAGCAGUUUUUCGGGAACACAAAAAUGUUAUAAUAACUUUUCUUGAUUGCCACCCACAUGCUAAACUGAUCAAAUACAAAACAGGAUACAGAAAAUCUCUAACCUUUUUGGCACUGAAGAAGACGCCAGUGCUUUCAAAAGAAAAUGCUUGAUUGUUGGCAUUCUGGUUUGAAAAAUAUGAGUCCAAUUCCUGUGUCCAGUCAUGUACCAAAUCAGGACGACGUGCAAGUCAUACAAAGAUGACAAAAAUACAGUAUAAAUUGCGUCAAACCAAUUCAAGUCAAUUGGAGAAGUAAAUCAAGGACCAUUUGCAAUAGUUGUUCUCCACAUCAAAUUUGGGUGUCCAUCGUCUUCAUCCUCUUGUGCACUGAACCUGAGAGUCCACGAGAAAUACAUAUAAAAAUUAGGCAUGAUUGAAAUUGAUAGUAGUACAAAAUGGAUAUAAACAUCACGAUGAACAAAUUAAAUUGUUCCCUGUCAGACAAAUCCAACCUGCAAGCUUAAGCUCUUAAGCUAGACCAAAUCACACUGCAAAUAACAAGACAUAAGGCCAAAAAAAGAUAAUAUGUAUCAUUCAUAUGCUUCGCCCUAUAGAAAUGAUUUGGGCCAUAGGUCAAUUAUGUUAAAAGCAGCGAUACUAAACCCAAAAGAAGAGAGGUGAGGCGAGGGAGUGGUGGGUUUUUUUUUUUUUUUUUUCAUUUAUAUAUUUUUACCUUAAACCAAAUGACCGGUUUUACAGGUUUCUGGUUGUUUCAAAUUUUUUUAUUGCUUAAUAAUGAAACAAAUCUCAGCCAUUAGAUCACUCCAUUUAAUCCAAUGGUCAGUUUUUGUGCAUGUAUCAGAUGCACGCAUGUAUUGUAGCCGCCCCAUUUUCCUUUUUAGUUGCAAAACCUCGUUCGAAAGCAACAAUGACUUUCACUCAAAGUAAAUGAGAAAUUACAAUGAAAAUGGGAUCAGAAAAAGGUUGAGGUGAAAUAAAACCAAAGGGAUGAUGUUUCUGCUUUCCAGCUUUGGGAAACGGCGUGGAUGGAGCACGUUCAAUACGAAAAACUUCAUUAGCUCACGCGCUGCUCAGCUGAUUCUUAACAGAAAAUGAUUUAGUGGAAACGGCGUGGAUGGAGCACGUUUAACAUAUCAGUUUAAGUAACCACGUGAGAAAGCAUGUGAUGAAGGUUGUUCCGAGUUCGUUGAAGGUUGUUAACCACGUGUCAAAACAAAGUGUUCAUACUGGAAAGAAACAAAAUAUUAAUAAAUAAACCAUUAAAAAGAUUAUCUGAAAAUUAUGUUUAACUAGGCCAAUUCAAUUAUCGAGCAGUUUGAUAUAUUAAAUGAGCUAGAACAGUAGCCUUUUAAUUAUUUCACUUACUAUUAUCGAACAGUUUUAUAUCAUUCCCUAUCUUAUAGUAAAGGUAAAAGAACAGAAAAGGUAUAUUGCAUUAGAGUUCGUGUACUUCUACCUUUUAGUUUAUUCUUCAUUUUAUUAAAAUGACAGAUUCCUCAUUAAAAAAGGUCACUCUACAUAGUAUGUGGGUGUAUGUUCUUUUAAAAAGGACUGAGAGAAAAAUAAAUGUGAAAAACAAGUAACAUCUGAAGAAGAAAGUGAUGCUGACACAUUAACGACCACUUGAUUUUGUAGGGACUGCACAUAAUUGAUAAUUUCAUCCAACAUGAGACCUUUCCAAUUACCUAAUUUUAUACCAAACAACAUGAAGUUUAUAAGAAAUAUUAAAAACACAAAAACUCGUUAUUUGUUUUAAGACAGGAAAAAGUGAAUAAAAAACAAUAACAAAAAAAAGAACUCAAAUUACUUAAUUACCAUAGCUAUGAACAAGUUUUUGCAAAAUUUUCAUCCUCUCACUAACUUUCUCUCUUCUUACCUAAAACCAAAUAAUGACAAGACAACUGCCCAUUAGACUAUGACAAAAGUUGGAAAUUAAAAUAAUAUAGUAGGUUAUUUUGGAUAAAAUUAGAAAAAGAAAGUUUGAAUUUGUAUUAAUAUACUCACCCUUUCUGUUAACCCCUAUUUGAAGGGCCGAAAGAGUAGUAACAGUAGCAAAAAAUUCAAAUAAUAGAAAUCAGAGUGCCCACUACAUAUAAAUGGAUCUAAAGAAUAGAUUAUAUAAUAGCUUGUUUCUUAUGAAUGAUACAUGUGAUUCCACAGAUAAAAAGAAAAUAAAAAUCAAGUAUGUGAAUUAAAAAAAACACCUAACCAAUAGGGGUUAGUGAGAUAUUUUAGCUAAAUAUCAGUUGACAGAAUCUGACCCACAAUAAAAAUUGCUAUCUUUUCACAAUGGGAAUCUGAAUUAUAAAAUUACUGAACAAAACUUUUAACACCUACAAGUCCAAAUAACAUCAAAUAAAAUGCCUAACCAGCUGUUAAAUAUAAAAUGUCCAUGUAGGACUAAAGCCCUGUGGCUAAUCCUUCAAAGUUCCAAGCAACAAUAUGAUAAAAACAUAAUGCAUAAUAUAUAAGGAGCUUAUCUGUAAAACUUCCAUACAAUACUUAUCAUAUUAAACAAUGUACAUAAUGAAAUAUUGGCUUAUUUCUACAGAAUAUUACGAUCUAAGUACACCAAUUUCUCAAGCAAUGCCAUAUAGAAAGAUACCGAAGAAAAAAGGAAAAUAAAAAAUCGAAGUAUGUUAGUUAUGAUUUCAACUUUUGAACUAAAAGUCUGUGACAAAUUUUGCUUCGGGAAAUACUAACAAACACUUGAGAAAAACUAAAGUGUAUCACACUUGAACCGUAUAUAAAGCACAAGAAUAAAAACAACAAGGGGCAAAAAGAGGCUAGAUGUAUCAUCUUCAUUAGUUAAACAACAUAAAUAGAAUCAAAAUAUUAAUGCAUACACCAAAACCUUCAAAAUUCUCUAAACAUUCAAUUUUUUUCAGAGUAAGAAAAUAAAUUUAUAAGAAAUCGAGAAUGCGUAUUUGUUGCGGUAUUUUAUCAAGCAAUUAGCAUGCAGCAAUGUAAAUGACAAUUAAAACAUGUAAAUCUCUGUACUUUGAAAGCUCACCUUCGUUAUUCAUCCAAAGAGAAUAUAUAGGGCAUGUAAGCUCCUUCUUUGAUAUUUAUCCCUAUCGUUCAAUUAUUUUGUUUUCAUCAAAUUCCGUUAGCUCAAGUGGAGACAAAGCAAUACAAAUGGUGCAUUUAGAAGGUACAACUUUAGAAACCGAAUUUGUGCUUGCAACAUAGGAGAAACAGGGGCUCUCCUUCCAUUUUCCUGGUUUUGUGUUUGGUGAUUUUAAAAUUUUAUAUCUAUAUUUACGAAAAAAGAAAAGAAGUUUUCAAAACUAUUUUUUUUAUACAAGUUCUGUGUCAACUCAAAAAUUGCUCAUGACCAAAAAACAUCUAUGGUUCUUCAGUUACUCAAAAAUUCCUCGUUUUUGAGUUACUUUUUUUUUUUUUUUUAAUUUUUAUUCUCAAGUAAUUUUAUCAUGGAAUUGUUAAUUUUUAUUGAAUGUUGAACAAGCCUUUAUUUCUUUUCUUUCCCUUUUAAUGAAAUUAAAUAAAUGGUGGGGAUAUACCCUACAAAUUAUUGUCUCCACCCCAUAUUUAGUAUUGCUUUUACCACAUGAAAAAUUAAUUUUAUACGAUAAAUUUAUUUACUUGAAUAUUAAACCAUAUCAUGAACCAAUUGACAGGUUGAAGAAUUAACUUUCAAGUUUCAACAUUAUAAGAUUAAUAAAUAGCAUAAACAAAUUUUUAUUUUCAUUUAAAUUAAUCUAAUCCUACCAACUUCAUUUGGAUUUCAUAGUUGUUGGUUUCAUGUAUCACACGAAUUGUUAGGCACCAACUAACACAAGUAUAUGUUACUCAAGCAUCUCACUUGAAUAAUAGUCUAAGGAACUUUGAUUCGGAUGGUAGAUAUUUAACUAACUAAAACUAACAUUCUUAACUCAAAGCUCAUUUACUAGUAAAAGUAGAACCUUCUCCGUCAGCUUAUCUUGUUCAUUAUAUAACAAAAGAUAUUUAGUGAAAAAAAAAAAUUGGAGGGGGGGGGGGGAGGGGGAGACUAUGAUAAUAAUUAUGUUCAAGAUCUAGCCGCUAGGGAUAGAUUUGGCUAUGACUAUUUGUUGAUCCAGUAAUUAAUUUGAACAAUAUUGUUAAUUUUAGUUGAAACUGGAAUGAAUUUUGUGAAAGAUGCUUUCUCAUAACUAACCAACUAAAACUAACAAUCAAAUUAUCAAAAUCAGAGCUCAACUACUAGUAAAACUAUAAAAGUAAAACACUUGCUUCUCCAUCAAGUCAUCUCUUUAUAUAUAACAAAGAAUGUUUUAUGAAAGAUGGCAAAAGCAGUCAAUAACAAUUAAGUCUCAAAUAAUUCAUAAAAGAUGUCAAGCUCUGUUGCGAAUGCUGCUGAGGCUGAGAUUUGGAUUGUCCCAUUCUUCGGUAAGGGACAUAUGUUUCCAUGCAUUGAAUUAUGCAAGCAAAUCACUUCUCGUAAUUACAAAUCUACCCUCAUUAUUCCCUCUCACGUUUCCGCCACCAGCAUCACCCCUUCUUUUGUUCACCAAUACCCUCUAUUUGAAAUUACUGAAAUACCCUCCUCAUCUCCACUACUACCAUCGCCUCCUUCUUACCUCCAUGUUGUCAUGCACAACCAAAUGCUUCAGGGUCUUCGAAACCUCCUUUCAACCCGGAACCCGAAAGCCGACCUGUUUGCGUAGUCAUCGGCGUUAUGAUGGGCUGGACGGCUGAUGUUUUCAAGAAUUUUGAAGUUCCCAUUGUUGGGUUCUUCACUUCUGAUGCUUGCUCAGCAGCUGUGGAGUGUGCCAUGUGGCAGGCUCGCAUCCAGGAUGUCAAACCGGGAGAGGCCCAUUUACUUCUUGGGUUACCCAAGGAUGUUGCUUUAUUCCAAUCAGAUCUUAAACGCAGGCCUCACGGGUCCCUUCCUGGUGGCCCACAACCUUUGUGAGGUGCACCCGGUUCAGAGAAAAUAGGUCCAUCAGAACCGAGUGAUCAACCACACUGGAUGAAGCAAGUGGAGGGAUCGAUGGUGUUGAUGCUAGUGUGGGGAGUGGGCCCAUUGUUACCUGAACAAUUUUACAAAUCGACCGGUUCAGUGCUUCGUGAUUGUGAGAUGAGAACCAACCGGCGGAGUUCUAACAUGACCAAAGAUGAGAUCAUUCAAUGGUUAGAUUUGAAAUCAUGUGGAUCAGUGUUAUACAUGUCAUUUGGUACCGAAAUGGGUCCCACCUUAAAUGAUUAUUCAACAUUAGCCAAUGAUUUAGAAGCAUCAAAUCCACCGAUUAUUUAGGUAAUUCAAACUGAUGUAAAUAGAUUGGAUCCUCCACGUCAUUUAACCAGCUUAUUUUCAUAGUGGUUUAGAUAGUAAAGCCGGUAAAAAGGGUUUGAUAAUAGAUGGAAUGGCACCACAAUUAUUGAUGCCGAGUUAUCAAUUAAUAGGUGGAUUUUUAUCUCACUGUGGAUAAAAUUCAACUGUAGAAGCAAUUGGCUGUGGGGUCUCAAUUUUAGCAUGGGCAAUUAGAGGUGAUCAACGUUACAAUGCCAAAUUGGUGAUCAAUCAUCUCAAGGUGGGGUGCAUGAUCUCUGAUGAUCAGUCGAAAUUGACUUAAAAGGAUGAUAUAGUGAGUGGUAUAGAAAAGCUUAUGAGUAGGGUUGGGCAAAAUAUCCGACCCGAUCCGAUCCGAUCUGACCCAAAAAAUAUCGGGUUCAGAUCGGAUCGGAUUGUUAACAAAAUCCAAUCGGAUGUAACUUUGCCAACCCGAUCGGAUCAUGAUCGGAUCGGAUGAAACCCGAUCCGAUCCGAAAACCCGAUCGGGUUGGCUUAAAAAAAAAACUGUGUAACAAACUAACAAAGUGGCAAACACAACAAAAUCGGAUUCACACCACACAAAAAGCAAAUCUUAGAUCUAAAUUAAAAUAAUCUGUAAGUGCACACACACACACUCACAUCACACACGGUCACACACAAAUAGAGGUUUGGCCUCGGAGAUCGGAAAUGUUGAGAUGCCAAACAACGAAGCAGCAGCCAACAGAUUGGAGAUACAACCGCAAGAAGCAGCAACCAGCAGACCGGAGAUGCGGCCGCGCGAAGCCGCGAACCAGCAGCCAGCAAUCACCGACGUGAUCGUGCGAAGCCAAACCAUCGGAGAUCGGAGAUGUCAGCGAAGCAGCGGUGAGCAGAUCGGAGAUGCAACCGCAAGAAGCAGCAGCCAGCAAAUCGGAGAUGCAACUGCGUGAACCAGCAGCCAUCAGUCACCGACGCGAUCGUUCAAAGCUAAGCCAUCGCUGCAACCGCAACGUGCCGAUGGAAUCUACUACACCUCGACUGCUACCGCUUGCUGCCACUAGCUUCACCGGUUACCACAACUGCUACAACUAAAUUCACCUCCACAUUCACUGUCACCAAGUUUUUGGUGGUAUUGACUAUAUUGUUUUAAAUAAUUUAAUUUAAAAAGCUUAAAACAAAACUAUAUCUUGAGAAAAGGUUGAUUGUUUUACUUGAUUGCUUCUGAAAUUAACCCAGAAAUAUAGAAUGGAUAUAUAACCCGAAUGCUUUUAAAUCUGAAUCUAAUCCGAAUUAAUCCGAAUUUUCGAUCCAAUCCGAUCCGAAUUAUAUUCGGAUCGGAUUGGAUCGGGUUAAUAAUUCGGAUUGAGUUCGGAUGAUUUUUUCCCCAACCCGAUUGAUCCGAAAUUGAUCAAAUCAACCCGAACCCAAUCCGAAUCCGAUUUUGCCCACCCCUACUUAUGAGUGAUCAAAGAAAUUGAAAAACGAGCUCACAUGCUUCGCCGUGUAUUUAAUCAUGGCUUUCUUAUAAGUCAAUGACUUCUUUAAUAUAGUGUUUACUUUUUGGAGUGAGAGUGAGGAGUGUGGAUUCCUCUUACUCCAGUGUUUACUUACAAUUUUCAAAGGGGAAGUGAGAAUUCCACUCCGUGGAUCCCACCUAAUUUUGGAGUGGGGGAGUGAGAUUCCCACUCCCAUGGAGGAAGGUGGGAGUGGAAAUUCACUCGCCUCUCUUCCUUUUUCACCCUUAUAUUUAAUAAAAUAAAAUAAAUAAUAUCAUAUUUAUUUAACUUAUAUUAUUAUUUUAUUUUAUAAAUUACAUUUAUUAAAAAUAAUAAUAUUAAACAUAUUUAUUUUAUUAAAUUUAAUAAAAUAAGUAAAAUCAUAUUUAUUUAAAUAAUAAUAUUUUAUUAUUUUAUAAAUUAAAUUUAUUAAAAAUAAUAAUAUUAAACAUAUUUAAAAUAAUAUUAAUUUUUUGGUUAAAAAUAAUAAUUUACAUUGAUUCUAAGUUAAAAUUACUUAAAAAUAAUAUCAUUAUAUUCAUAAAGAAUUAAUAAUAUUACUAUAUUCUAUUUUUAUUUGAAAAUAUAAUAUUAUUAUACUUAUUUAAAAAUAAUACUAUUAUAUUUAUUUAAUAUUAGUAAUUAAUAAUAAUAAAUAUUUUAUUCUAAAAAAAUUAAUUUUGUACUAUAUUAUCAAUAAUAAUGUUUCAUUUGUAUUGUUGUUAUUAAUAAUUUUUUAUUUAUAUAAUUAAAAUUAAAAUUAAUAAAAUAAUUGUGAUUUACAUAGUUAAGAAUAUUAAUAAUUAUUAUUAAUUUAAAAAUAUAAUUUUUAUUAAUUUUGUAAUUAAUAACUAUAAUUCUUUAAGAGUAAAGCUGUAAUUUAAAAUCAUUACUCACAAUCUAAGACAAUGUAAACAAAUAAAUUGGAUUCUGAUUUCAAUUCCAUACUUCCAUUUCAGUGUAAGUAAACAACAUACUUCGACUCCCACUCCACACUCCUAAUCCCAGGAUUCUCACUUCUCACGAUUCUCACUCCAACGCAAAAUGUAAACGCUACCUAAAUGCUUUCAAAUAUCUUGUUAACCAGAAAUCAAUUUAACAAAAACAAUUACCGUGUAUAUUAUUAACGAAAAGGCUUUGAUUCCGUUGGCUUGGGUGUAAAUAAAUCGACUUUAUCAAGAACAGACAUCUCAGCAACUACAUAAUAAUAUAUGUAAGCUUUUGUUAAUUGACUGCAUUAAAUCAUUAAAUCAAAAGCCUUACAAAGCAUCUACAAUAAAAAGAUGGCACAUCCUCCAUCCAAACGACAAAAACAUGGACUCGCAACGCAAUUCUUGCUAAUUAAUUAAUAGGUAGUCAUAUUCCUCCGAGCAACAAAAUGAACAUCAAAUUGUUGAUGAGGCACCAUAUGCACAAAAUGUUGAUAUUGUUUAAUGUUUAAUAUUAUGGGAAAGUUUUAAUAGAUCUUCAUUUCCCUUACAUAUUGUGAGCUUAUAACCAAAAAUGGGACUAUAUGGUUGUGUGACAAACAAAAAGGGAAAUUUUUUACUAUUCGGCUAAAUUUUAAUGUCAAUAAUAUAGGAUCUGAAUUCACUUUAAUAUGAUAUCGACAUGUGUAGAAAAUUCCUUAAGUAAAUAGAUUUUGCAUAAAAGGUAUCGACCCAGAGUCAGAGGAAAAUUAAAUAGAAUGUCUUUUAAUACAACAAUCACUGGUGACCCUGUUUGGGCAUAGUUUGAGAGUACUAAAAUAUCUACUGCCAACUCUAUUCUAGUUGAAAGGCUAUCAAGGCAAAUUGGUCGCAUUGUUGAUGAUGAGGAAAUAGAGGUUGGAUUCAAGAAGAAGAAGAUUAUGGUAGUAAUGUUCUUGAAGGUCGAGAGAUGGAGAGAUUGAGAAAUAAUAGUGCAGCAAGUUUAAUGAGUGGAUAAUAUUAUGGUCAUAUGUUUUUUUUUUUUACACACAUGUAUAUAAUAUUAUAUUUCUAUGAACUAGUUUGAUUACAAUGAUUUUAUGUACAUAAAAGUUUAUAUAAAGAUUAAAUUUUUGCAUUUUCUUUUUUGCACUUAAUUUAUUAAUCAAACUAAUGAUAUGUUAGUAUUUGUUAUAUCACGAACUACAUAACAAAUUUUUUAGUUAAAAAGAUAUUGAAGUUAAUUUUAUUGCAAAUUAAAAUAGUUAAUAAAAAAUUAUUUAAAUAUGUAAUAAAGAAAAUAGAAUAUGCUCUUAAAAAAUCUUGUAAAUAAAAAAAGAUUUAAAUAAUAAUAUUCUAAAUAAAUUACAAACAAGUAAACAAGUACAUUUUUGUCAUUGUACAUGAACAUUUUACACUUUUAAUUUUCAUUUACCAGAUUUGUAUAGUAAACCGUUUAAAAAUUGAUUGUCAAAUAAUCAUCAUUUACCAAACACCCUAAUAGAUUAUUUGUAAAAUUAUUUUUUUGUUCAGAAUCAAGGUAGAAAUUAAUUCUUGGAAAGUAAAGGAAAUCUCAAACAUACCCUCAAUCAACCAUGGGAAGUUAUUUAAGUUGUAGUAUCUAAUAAGUUCUAUUAAUAGUGAGCGCACAUAUCAAAUAUAUAAAAAUAAGUAUUUUAGUUAUUAUCCACCUGUUCCCUUGAAAUCAAUCUCAGUUUUUUUUUUCUUUUACCUAAAAUUCCAAGAAAAAUAUAUAAAAGAAGAAGAACUUUUUUUUGGGGGGGGGGGGGGGGGGGGGGGGGCGGGGAUUGGGGUGGGGGAGGGGGGAGCUCCUCUGUUUUCAUUCCAUUGUUUUGAAAUUAUCUAUCAUCAGUAUAAAGUUAUACUUUUGAAUCAAUAUGCUUUGUGACUCGAUAAUUUAGCAUAAUAAAAAAAGAAAAACACACUUACUCACAUCCCGAUUGAAUCUUAUCUCUAAGGAUAAGUAAAAAAUUAUUGUUCCUCUUUUUCUUUUACGGUUUGUUUACGAAAAGAAAACACUCACACCUUCAAGAUAUUUAUAAGUAGAACACUUAAGUUUUAAGAAUAAUACACCCUAAUUUGAAAAAAAAUGAAUACAUGUAUCAUAUUUUAUGUUUUUUUUUUAAAAAAAUUAUUUGAUGACAUUAUGAGACUCUAUAUGCCAAGAUCUAUGUGAUGGUGAGAAUGGUUUCAUAAAAGAAGCAAUAGUAUAACCGCACACAUGGCAUUGUUUGUAAUGACUAAAAUUAGAAGAGAGUCUAUGUAUCUACUCCUGAAACAUUAAGAAUUUAACUAUUUAUUAAUUAAAUCAAAAUUUCAAGAUCAUAGUGUCGUUUUACAUAAAGAACCCAAAUACUAAAUCUAGCUAAUAAAGGAGAACGGUUUAGAUUAGUUGCUUGGACUUCCUUGUCUCGGGGCUGUGUGGUCAAGCCUGUCCAUCAGGCGGAUUCAGAUUUUGAAAGUUAUCUGAAUCUUCUUCUCUAUGUAAGCCUAUACAAUGAUUUUGUGAAAGACAUAUGCAAAAACAGUACCAGUAAGCAUAUUUAUUUAUCAAAGAUGUCAAGCUCUGAUGCUCAGAUAUGGAUAUCAAAGAGAGAGAUUGAAAAAGAGAGAGAGAGAGAGAGGAUAAUCAGGGACUCGUCUGUUAUCAUUCCCCUGUUUUUCAGUUUGGUGAUUGGAAGUAACAUUAUUUGCGUGUACUCUUUAUUUAAUUUAUUUUUCAAUUUUUUAAAAAUUAAUUAUUGUUCUUCUCAAAGCGUUUAGUAAAUUAUAUGAUAAUCUGAUCAAAUCUCUAACAUUAAUGUCCGCAUAAUCUAGUAAUGAAACUUAUAAUUUUAUAAUAAUCAAAUUGAAGAUUUCUUCACGCUGUUUUGUAUGAUGACGAGUUUUUAUUUUUCUGUUAAACAUAAGAUCAUUUUCUAAUAAUGUCCAUCUGGAAUUAGUAAUAACGAAGCAUCAUUUGUGGACAGAACAAUUGAAAUAUCAAGUCACUAUUGAUCCCACUUUGAUGAUUGCACUUUAGUUUCUUUCUAAAAUGUCAUUCUUCAUUCAAGCUUUUACUUUAUCUUUUAUCAGGUAUCUUACAAAGCUUUUCCCUCCUAAUAAGCUCUAAUAAACCAAUGUGCUUUUCAAUUUCGCAGGAUACAAGUAACGUAUAUGCCAAAAUUAUUCAAGCACAACAAGUAUUUAUUCGUCGAAAACUUCAACUUAAUUAUUUCAUUAGAAAAUAUGAAACGCAGAGCCAUAAACUAGUGUUUUCUUCAACUUACUUGGGUUAAAUAAAAUUUUUUCAGUAUUUUUCCCGAUCCAUUUCUUGUAUCUCACUGCAUGCUUUAUUAAAGCUUCGUCUUUGUUCUUGAUUGUGAACUUCAAGAUUAAAUCUUAAAAAUCGGGUAUAAAAGGGGUGCUUGAUUAAGUCUUCUUCUUUUGCAAUUCAUUGUUACGGCUCUUUUCAGCUUUUUACUCACAAAUUCCUCUGACGUUAACAGUGAUCUAUCGCUCACUAAAAUUGUUCUUCAUAAUUUCUUUCAAUACCAGUUCUUAAUAUUCAAGGCGAAUAGAGAGCUCAUCAACUCUCUGAUCCCAAAUAAUUAAAGAGGUACACAUGCUCCUAAAUCCUCUAAUAAUUUCUUUUAACAGCAGUUCUUAUUUAAUUUAAUUUCCGUCUAUUUUCCAAGAAAAAUUUCUCCGGUUUGUCUUAAUCUUAUCAUUUAUUUUGCUUGAGUUGUAAGUUAUUGUUCAUUUGUAAGGUCUGUGUUCUUAUUACUAGCUUUGGUUAAUUUGAAUCUAUCUUCCCCAAUAAAAAAAAAAAAGAAGUUUUUAAAAAAAGCGCGGGUUUUUAUUCGGACCCUUAAAACCUCUCUGUUAAUAGCAAAGAAAGACUCUAAUCCUCGAGCCAGGGGGAGUAAAAAAAGAACAAAGAAUUCUCUGUUUAAGUAUCAAUUGUCUCAAGAUCAACAUUGUUUUUUUUCUUUUUCUUUUUUUUGUUAAUUUGUUUGUUAUUUUAUUAGAUUUGCUUUUAAUCUAAUUGUGCUUGAGGAUUGAAGAUGAGUGAGAAAUACCCUUUUUUUCUGAAGCAACCUACAAAUUUUAGAAUAGGGUAAGAGUAUUAGAGAUUCAAUUAAUCAAAAAAAGUUAUUUACAUUCGUCAUUUGCAAAAAUGUUUGCAUUAGAAUUUUUCUAGCAUUCAAGAGCAUUACAUAUCAUCAUGUCACAAAAUAGCCUGAAAAACAAGAUAAAUCAAUUAGAGCAACUUGCUCUUUAUUGAAUUUUUUUUUUUUUUGUUUGGUUUGCCCGAAAUCCCAGGGAAAAUAUUAUAUAAGAACAAGAGUUAAGAUCAAAAAAAUGUAAAACAAGUUUCCUCUGUUUUCGUCCCCCCCCCCCCCCCCCCCCGGUUUGAUGAUUGAAAUUUUUUUUAUCUAAAUUUUAUGAUUUUCCGUUGGGGUUUUAUUAAAUAAAAAAUAAUUAGAAAAUGUAAUUCUAGAUUUACCCUUGUGCAUCGAGUGAUUAUUAUUAUGUUCUCUUAAGAUUUGAUAGUGCAAUUUUGUGUGAUGUGAAUUUCAUGUUUCUGUUAAUCAAUACAAACACAAUUUGUAAGUAAUGGCCAUGUGGAACUUAAUUAUAACCAAGCAUCAUUUGUGGAAAGAACAAAUGAAAUAACAAAAAAGCAGCGUUGGCAAUACAAUAUCAAACUUUAUUUAUUUAUUUAUUUUUGUUUUUGUUCUUGAAUAUGCAUUAAUCAAAUCAUAUAUUGUUGAUCUUACUUUGAUGAUUUGCUGUUCAGUUUCUCUCUCAAAUGAUUUUUGUGUGUUUCCGGUAUCUGCUUUUAUGAAAGAAGCCCUAAAGUGCAUGUGGAUUUUUAAAAAAAGAUUGCAUAUAAUUAUCCUAUACGUGCGUAAACAGGGCAACAAUAACCAAAUACAUGAUAUAAAAAAGGGGUGCUUGAUUAAUGCUUUUUCUUCUGCAAGUCAAUGUUAUUAUUCUCAUCAACCCUUUUCUUACACAUUCCUCGGCAGUUACCGGUGAUCUUUUUGCUCUUUGAGGUUGUUCUUAAAUAUUCAAGGCCAAAUAGAGAAUCUCACCAACUCUCUAAUCCCAGAUAAUUAAAGAGGUGCACAUUUUCCAAAUCCUCUAAUGUGUGUGUUUGUGUAUAGUAGAUCUUUGAUCUUGACAUCUGUUCUUUCAUAAUUUCCAUCUAUUUUCCAAGAAAAAAAAUUUCUCUGGUUUGUUUUAAUAUUGAAUUUACUUUGCAUGAGUUUUAAGUUAUUGUUCAUUGUUAAAGCCUGUGCUCUUAUUAUUUCGUUUGGUUAACUUGCAUUCUUCCCCCCCCCCCCCCCCCCCCCCCCCCCCCCCCCCCCCCCCCCAAAAAAAGAAAAAAGAAAAAAGAAAAAGAAAGUUUUUAAAAAGAUUAUAGGUUUCUACUCAGACCCUUGAAACCUUUUAGCUUUCCGGUAAUACCAAAAUCUCUAAUCCUCCAACAAAUGAAAGCUAGGAAAAAAAUGUCCUAAAGUUUAAUAUCUGUUGCCUUUGUAUCAAUAUUGCCAGUUUGUUGUCUUUUAUUAUAUUGCUUGUUUGUCAUUUUAUUUGAUUUACUUUAUAUCUAAGUUUACUUGAAGAUUAAAUAUCAGUAGGAAAAGCCCUUUUUCUAAAGCAACAUACAGAUUUUAGAAUAGGGCUCAGCCACAUGAAAAUGUUUACAUUGUAGUAUCUCAUAUCAAUAAUCUAAAAACAGCCAAUCCAACAAGUUCAAAUUCAGUCAAAUCUAAAAAUGAUUGCUUUUAAGGAGUACAUGAUAGCUAUUAAAAAGAUCUUUUAGGCAGAAUUGAAAUGCAGUCAAUCGUAAAUCAACCAAUCCAACGAGUUCAAGUACAGAGUCAAUUGAACAAAUUCAUCACUUGCAGAAUUAAGCUUAUCUUCCGAAAUUGAGUUGUUUCCAUUAGAAAUUUUCCCAUAGUCACGAGCACUAUCAUCAAAACAAGAUUAUUUGUAUAGGAACAAGAGUUAAGGAAAAAAAAAAAAAGGUAAAACAAGAUUCCUCUGUUUUCAUUCCCAUUUUUUUUCCUUGGUGAUUGAAAAAUUUUAUCUCUAAAUUUUUAUAAUUUUCCAUUAAGAUUUAUAUUUAAAUAAAGAAUUAAAAAAAUCUAAUUUUAAAUUUAUGCAUUGAAUGAUUAUUAUUAAAUUCCCUUAAAAUUGGUUACAAUAUCAAUUAAAUAACGCAUAGAGUUAUUGAUCACUUUGUUAAAAAUGAUCAUGUGUUCUAUUUAUAUAAUAAAACAAAAGAUGGGGUCACACUUAAGUCUUGUUCUUUUACAAUUCAUUUGUAUUACUCACUCUCAUGAACUCUUUACUUACAUUCGUCUGCAGUUAAUAUUCAUCUUCUGGUCGUUCUUAUAUAUUCAAGGCCAGCAGUGAAGGUCAUUAACUCUUUAAUAAUUAAAUAGGUACAAUUGUCCAAGAAAAAAUAGCCCUUGUUUGUUUUAAUCUUGUCAUUUAAUUUUCUACGUACUGUUCAUUGUUAACUUCUGUGUUCUUAUGUAAUAUUAGCAAUGGUUAAUCUGCAUCCAUCUUACAAUUUUUUUUUUAAAUUGUUGGUUUUCCAUUCAGGCCCUUGAAACCUUUUUUUAAAAAGUUGUUGGUUGUCAUUUCUUUCUCCGUCUUUCCCCUAGUUCAUUUUAAUUUAUUUGAAUCUAAUUUUUCCAACAGCUAAUAUAUAUAUAUAUAUAUGUAUGUAUGUAUGUAUGAAAGCAACAGGCUAGGCAAUGGCUGCAGACCUGGUUUCCACUACUUUUUCCGGCAUUGUAACAGAAGGUGCAAAGGCAUUGUUCGAACCGAUUAUGCGGCAGAUCUCUUAUGUGUUCAAGUACCAGAGCUACAUAGCUGAGCUAAAAGUUCAAGUGAAGGAGCUAGAAUAUAAAAGAGAAAGGGUGGGAAUACCCGUUCGUGAGGCUACUCAACAAAGAGAUGAGAUUUACAAGGAUGUUGCAGACUGGCUUAAUAACGUUGAUGAAUUCAUCAGUGAAGGGGUUGCAAAAUCCAUCAUUGAUGAUGAAGAUAGAGCUAAGAAGUCCUGCUUCAAAGGAUUUUGCCCCAACUUGAUUUCUCGUUAUAAACUUAGUAAACAAGCAGCAAAGGCCGCAGAAGCUGCCGCUAGUCUCGUGGGAAAAGGCAACUUCUCUAGUGUUUCCCACCGUCCUGCUCCAGAGAGUACAGAACAUAUGCAAGCGAAAGAUUUCGAGGCCUUUGAUUCAAGAAUGAAAUUAUUUCAAGAUGUUGUGGAGGCAUUGAGGAAUGAUAAGCUCAACAUAAUUGGGGUCCACGGUAUGGGCGGCGUGGGUAAAACCACGCUAGUCAAGCAAAUUGCAAAGCAAGUUAUGGAAGAUAAGGUGUUCGAUAAGGUCGUUAUGGCUGAGGUAACAGAGAACCCAGAUGUUCAGAAAAUUCAAGACAAGCUCGCUUCCGAUUUAGACUUGAACUUUGACUUGAAUGAUAGCAAACCCCACAGAGCAAAACAACUUUGUCAAAGAUUGACGAAAGAGAAGCGAGUCCUCAUUAUAUUAGAUAAUAUUUGGAAAAAACUUGGGUUGGAAGAAAUUGGAAUUCCUUUUGGGGAUGUUGAUGAGAAAGAUAGAAAGCAAGAUCUAAGGAGACGCAUGAUAAUAUUGACGUCUAGAAGUAAACAUUUAUUGACCAAUGACAUGAAUUCUCAGAAGAUUUUCCUAAUUGAAGUUUUAUCAAAGGAAGAAGCAUUGCAAUUUUUUGAAAAGAUCGUGGGCAAUUCCGCAAAAGCAUCUGCUUUUCAACCUUUAGCAGAUGAGAUUGUUGGAAAAUGUGGAGGAUUGCCUGUUGCACUGAGUACAGUUGCAAAUGCUCUGAAAAAUAAGAAGCUUCCCGUUUGGAAGGAUGCGUUGACUCAGCUGCGAAAUUCUAAUCCAAGAGAAAUUCAUGGAAUGGAUGCAAAUGUCUGCUCUUCCAUAGAAUUGAGUUACAACUUCUUGGAAAGUGAUGAAGCAAAAUCUUUGUUCCUUCUUUGUACUCUAUUUGGUGAAGGUACUCCUAUACAAGUUGCUUCCUUGUUGAGAUAUGGUAAGGGUUUGUUUAAAAAUGUUCGCACAUUGGAAAAUGCAAGGAAUAGAGUGGACGCAUUGAUCGACAAUCUCAAAGCUUCAUGCUUAUUGUUGGACGGCGAUGCUGAAGAUGAAGUUAAAAUGCAUGACGUCAUUCAUGUUGUUGCCGUAUCAAUUGCCUCAGAGAAGCUCAUGUUUAGUAUCCCAAAUGUUACCAACUUGAAGGAAGAGAUAGAAAAGAUCAUACAGAAAGGUGCAAUUGCUAUUUCUAUACCUUAUGGAGAUAUUCAAGAGCUUCCCGAAAGGUUGGAAUGUCCCCAACUCAAGUUAUUACUGUUGCUUGCAAAUGGUGAUAGCUAUUUGGAAAUUUCACACCUCUUUUUUGAAGGGACGGAAGAUCUCAAAGUUUUAAGUCUUAGCGGAAUUCAUUUCUCUUCAUUAUCUUCAUCACUUGGUCACCUCAUUAACCUUCAAACAUUGUGUUUAGACUGGUGCCAACUAGAAGAUGUAGCGGCAAUUGGACAGCUAAAGAAAUUAGAGAUUCUUAGCUUUCGAUAUUCCGACAUUAAGCAGUUGCCACUUGAAAUUGGUCAAUUGGCGCAGUUACAAUUGCUAGAUUUGAGCAAUUGUAGCAGCCUUGUAGUGAUAGCACCAAAUGUCAUAUCAAAAUUUUCUCGAUUGGAAGAACUAUAUAUGGGUGACAGCUUUCCGCAGUGGGAUAAGGUUGAAGGAGGAAGUAACGCCAGUCUUGCUGAAUUGAAGGGGCUGUCAAAGCUAACUACUUUGGAGAUACAAGUUCAGGAUGCCCAAAUGCUGCCGCAGGAUUUGGUCUUUGUCGAAUUGCCAAGAUAUAGGAUAUGUAUAGGAGAAGCGUGGGGCAUCUGGCGCGCUAAUUCUGAAACAUCAAGAUUGGUGCAGCUCCAUGGGUUAGAAAAUGUUAGCACUCUUUUGGAGAAUUAUGGGAUGAAAAUGUUGCUGAAGUUAACUGAAGAUAUCCGUCUAGAGGAACUGACGGGUGUUCAGAAUGUUGUUCAUGAAUUAGAUGAUGGGGAAGGUUUUCCACGAUUGAAGCAUCUUUGGGUAGAAAGGUGUUCUGAGAUUUUACACAUUGUCGGUUCAGUUGGACGGGUUCAUCGCAAAGUCUUCCCCUUGCUGGAGUCAUUGUCUCUCUAUAAAUUGAUCAAUUUGGAGGCCAUAUGCCACAGCCAACUCAGAGAAGAUCAAUUUUUCAGCAACUUAAAGAUUAUAGAAGUAGAAUCCUGUGAUAAAUUGAAGCAUCUUUUCUCAUUUUCCAUAGCCAGAAACCUACUGCGGCUUCAAAAGGUCAAAGUGGCUUCCUGCAAUAAACUGGAAAUGACUGUUGGUAAGUGUUGAAAUUAAGUGUUGGUGGAUUUAUGGACUUCGCCUCAAUUAUUUUGAAAAAAAAAAGACAACGACAAAGAUUAAUUAUGUAUAUUGUUUUUGUUUGUUUACAGGACCCGACAGGGAGAAACCAACAACUUCUUUGGGAUUCAACGAAAUCAUUGCUGAUGAUGAUACUGCUCCAAAGGUGAUAAUUUUCUGUUCAAUAAUUAAUUGAUUAAUUUAUUAUCACGAUUAAUCUUCGAUCAUCAACAGAAUAUUAUACUAGACGGUUGUACUUGAAGGAACAAAAAUGUACGGCUUUUCUUUGCAGGUUCUUCUUCCGAGCUUAGAGGAAUUGAAUCUCACGGAAUUAAGAAACAUCAAAAAAUUAUGGGCCGAUCAUAAUCAAGGAAUGUACUGUUGUCAAAAUUUAACAAAGCUGUACGUGAGAAGUUGUGAUCGUAUGAAGUAUCUGUUUUCGUAUUCUAUGGUUAAUAGUCUUUUGCAACUCCAACAUCUUGAAAUAUGGUCUUGUGAGUCAAUGGAAGGGGUAGUCGACACCACGGGGUGGUCAGAAAGAGAUGAAGGAAAGUUGAUUGAAUUAAAGGUUUUUCCUAAACUACACUCCCUGCAGCUCUAUUGGCUUACAGAACUGACAAGCUUCGCCAAUACAGGACAUAUUCAUUCAGAUUUAGUUGUUGAAUUCCCUUCUUUGCUAAACCUCGAGAUUGGUAAUUGCAGUAAUAUGUUAAGAUUCAUCUCUACGAGCUCACCAGAAGACACCAAUCAUUCUGAAAUGCAACCUCCUCCUCUCUUUGACGAAAAGGUUUUUUUUUUAAUAAAUAAAAUUAAUUUUAGUCACAAUACUUAAUUUGUCUUUUCCUUGAGUCUUCAAAUUUAGUUAAUAUCCGCCUCUAAUUUAGUUAUCAAUUGAUUAUGCCAUUAAUUGAUUAAUUAGUUAUUUAAUCUUUAACUUCCAGGUACGACUUCCUAGGUUGGAGGUAUUAGAUAUUAGCUGGAUGAAUAAUUUGAGAAAAAUAUGGCACCACCAGCUUCCUUCGGAGUCUUUCAGCAAAUUGAAGAAUUUGGAGAUAUAUAAGUGUCAUAACCUAAUGAAUAUUUUUCCUCCAUUGGUAAGGUCGUUGUAUUCAUUUCGAAUCUUUUUUUUUUUAAAUUACAUCCAACAAUAUUUUAACCAUUUUUGGGUUUACAAAUGAUAUUCAGCCACUGAUUAUUUAUUUCAAGUAUUGUAUUUCGAACCACCACUCUCAAAUCUACAUUUUAAGUCCAUUUUUUAGGUUCGCCAGCAUUAGAAUCAACAAUAUAAUUUUUUUAAUCACGAUUCAACAUCAUAAUAUAAUUCAAUUUAAUUGUUUCUGCUCAUAUCUUAAUAAGUACAAUUUUCAAAAAUUAAAGGAUAGUCACUCAUCUUAUAGGUUCACAAAUUCAUCUAUAUAUUUCUCUUUUCCUUAAUUCUUCACAUUUCGAUUGGAAAAAGAAAAAAAGAAAAGAAAAGUCUUCAAAUUUAAUUAAUAUCUCUUGUUUAGUUACGAACUGAUUAUGCCAUUAAUUAACCACAAAUUCACGAUUAUUUACAACUGAUCCUUGAUUGUAAAGAAAUUUCCUCGAGUCUGGAAGUACUUAAUAAAGAUCCACUUUAAUUUUGUUUCCAAAAUUAAAUAUACAUAAAAAAAAGGGACCAAGGGAAAAGGGAAAAAGCGGCAUUUUGGUUGAUUUUUUUUUCCCAAAAGGAAUAGUUGAAAUUUGCAAAUUUUGUUUAAAAACUGGCAUCAAGAUGCAAAAUAAGUCUAAAAUAUUUAGAAAUUGCCUUAAAUUCUUCGUACGUUCCUAAUACUAAAUAGUGUAAAUGCAUUUAAUAUCUUUGUUUAUCUGGCUUUUAUUUAUUUAUUUAUCUUGUUGCUUUUUUUGUUUAACAAAAAAUUAUCUUGUAGACAUUUCAUGGUUUGUUAUCUUUAUAAAACGUAUAAUUGUAUGAUUAAACAUACUUUGAACCUAGUUGAAUGAUAUUCUUACAUUUUUACUUUUUUAAUAUACACACACUUUUGCUUAUUUUCAGGUUGGAAUUCCUAGUAGUUUGGUGAAUCUUAAAGUAUCGAAGUGCCAAAAAAUAGAAGAAAUCGUAGGACAUGUUGGAGAAGAAGUGAAGGAGAAUCGUAUUGCUUUCAGCGAAUUAAAAGUUUUGAUACUUAAUUAUUUAUCAAGGCUUACCAGCUUUUGUUUGGAGAAUUACACUCUUGAAUUCCCAUCACUGGAACGAGUUUCUAUGAUACGUUGUCCAAAUAUGAAGACUUUUUCUCAGGGAAUCUUAUCCAUUCCAAAGCCAUGCAAAGUGCAAGUGACUGAAAAGGAAGAGGGUGAACUGCACCAUUGGGAAGGCAAUAACCUUAAUUCCAUUAUGCAAAAGUAUUACAAAGAAAUGGUAUGUGUUAAUCGAUUCACCCAAAUUGUUUAUGCAUCUCCCCUGCAAUUGCACAUUUAAGCAUAUACCCCGGUCUUGUAUAUAUAUUUUUAGAAGUUAAAACACAAAACAUGUAAGUUUAAUGUGUAUAUAUAUAAUGCCUUUCAAAAAAAAAAUUGUAUAUAUCCGGUGCAAUUGUUUUGGUUUGUGCAGAUUGGAUUCCGUGACAUAUGGUAUUUGCAACUCUCACAUUUUCCACGUUUGAAAGAAAUAUGGCAUGGCCAAGCACUGCCUGUCAGCUUCUUCAACAAUUUAGCACGGCUGGUGGUGGAUGACUGCACGAAUAUGUCGAGUGCUAUUCCUGCCAAUCUGCUACGAUGCUUGAACAAUUUGCGACGGCUGGAAGUGAGGAAUUGUGAUUCACUAGAAGAGGUGCUUCGUUUGGAAGAGCUAAAUGCUGACAAAGAACAUAUAGGCCCCAUGUUUCCUAAGCUUUCCAAUCUAAGGCUCAUUGAUCUUCCAAAACUCAAAAGAUUCUGCAACUUCACUGGGAAUAUAAUUGAACUGCCUGAGUUGAGAUAUCUAACUAUUGAGAAUUGCCCUGACAUGGAAACAUUCAUAUCCAAUUCUACAUCUGUAUUGCACAUGACAGCAGAUAAUAAGGAAGCUCAAAAAUUAAAAUCAGAAGAGAACCUCUUGGUAGCUAAUCAAAUACAACAUCUCUUCGAUAAAAAGGUAAUCAUUAUUAUUAUUUUUCCCUUCACUUUCAUUCGCAUAGAUGUAAUUUCAUUAGAAUCAAAUCAAAUUUAAUGACUUAUCUUUUUGCACGUCGUCUUAAUUUAUAUCUGAUUUAACAAUAUAAUUGUAGUUAUUAACUAACUUUAUAGUAUGAAUUAAAAAAAUGUCUCAAAUUAAUUAGAUGCCUAGUGACAGGAGGUGAUGAACUAUAUCGCAUAAAUUAUGCGUGUUAGAUCUUUGUUUUCCUAGCUAAUUCAUAUUGGAUUUAUGAUCAGAUUUCAUUUAUGUGUUUCAAAGGGUAAUCGAUUUGAUACUUAUAUUUGGGAUCCUACUGCAAAGCAUACUAAUUUGGAAAUAAAAUAUAAAAUGCCGUGAUUAAUCUUGUCCAUAAAAUAUGUAGGGGAAGACUGUAGAGAUUGGAUACAUAUUUUCAUUUACAACUUAAUUUUGUUGAUUUUCAGGUUGCAUUCCCUCAAUUGAUGAAGUUAAAGCUAUCUGGAUUACACAAAGUGCAGCAUCUCUGGAAGGAAAAUGCCGAAUCCAACAAAGUGUUUGCAAACUUGAAAAGUCUAGAAAUAUUUGAAUGUAGUAAGUUGCAGAAAUUAGUACCAGCUUUGUGGCAUUUGGAAAAUCUUGCGACUCUGGAAGUAUCGAAGUGUCAUGGGUUGAUAAAUUUAUUGACACUCUCAACAUCUGAAAGUCUAGUGAAUCUUGAAAGAAUGAAGAUAACUGAUUGCAAAAUGAUGGAAGAAAUUAUACAGUCGCAGGUUGGAGAAGAAGCGGAAGAUUGCAUUGUUUUCAGGAAAUUGGAGUACUUGGGAAUUGAUUGUUUGCCAAGCCUAACAAGCUUUAGUUUGGGUAAUUACGCUCUUGAGUUCCCGUCCUUGGCACACGUAGUUGUGAGACAAUGCCCAACGAUGAAGAUUUUCUCUCCAGGAGUCGUAGACGCACCAAAGCUAAACAAAGUGAAACCCACCGAAGAUGAAGAUGGUGAUGAUGAAGGAUGUUGGGAAGGCAACCUCAAUGACACUAUAAAAAAAUUGUUCAAUGAAAUGGUGAGUAUCAAUGAAGUGUUGGCACUAUCUAGUAAAUUAUUUCUAUUUAAUGUGGCAUAAUAUGAUUGCUUGACUGAAAAUAUAAAAUAAUAAUAAAUAAAUUAUGAGGGUCAUGUUAUGUUUUUGUUUAAUCAAUCAUAUUAUGUCAUAUUAGUUUGUACAAUAUUAUUUGUGCACAAGAGGCUGUGGUCGUAUCAUUACUCUUGCCUUAUUAUUAUUAUGGUUGUAAUGUAUGCUUGCUUACACGAGUAAUUACAAAAUGUGCAGAAUUCUAAAGAAAAGAUUGAGCCAACCCUUCAGGUACUGUGAAGAAGCUAUCUCGAACCAGGCCAACCUCUUGUACAUGAUUCAACUUGCUUGUUCUCCUGUACUUGAAUAAUCUAAACGCAUUUACAAUUAUUUACAGACAUGCAAGACACUUUGGAUUUGUUUGAUGCAUUCUCUGUUUAAGGAAGGACUUGAAUUGAUGUUUCAUGCUUCAUGCAAUUUUCAAUUAGAUACUGUUUAAACUUCUGCAUUAUUCAUUCAAUUGGUGUUUUAAGCAUUUGAUUUCUAACUAGUCCUAAUAGAAGAUUAUUGGCUGAAGAAAACAUCAUAACAUUUGUGGCAUUAUCAGAAUAAUAAUAGUUUUACGAGUAUAGUAAAAUUAACUCGACCAUUAUUAAAAGGAAUUAAUCCGUCAAAUUAACUUUCUCAGACCAGAACCCUUUAAGUUAAAAGAAUUUCGUGAAGUCAAGACCAUGUUAUAGAUCUUGUGGAAAUAAGUGAACCCAUAAAUGUUUUCACAGCAUCAUAAGAAAAUCAUUUUUUUAGUUGUUGAGUUUUAAAAGUAGUAGGCUAUUAAACAAUGACAAUUAGUGCGGUCGCAGUUGGGGAUCGAGUAGUUCACUUGAUUGCGAGUAGAAACCAACUUCAAUACUAUUACACUCAUUCCAAAAAUAGUAACUAAAGAAUUAUUAAGUUUCCUAUUAAGUAUUCUUUAUUUUUUAAUGCAAAAUUCCUAUUCGAAAACACCAGUGACUUUCUUUCAAAGUAAAUGAGAAAUUACAAUGAAAACGGGAUCAAAAUACAUGUAUGCAUACCUAAAACAAAUGAUUUUUUUUUUCAAUUAAAAAAAAAACAGUUGAGGUGAAAUGAAACCAGAGUCAUGAUGUCUCUGGUUCCAACUUUGGGACAAUAGCAGACUUGAGUUCUAUAUAAGAAACACGUACAGCUCCAAUCAGCCGCUCCGGUAAUUCAUCUGUAGUAUUUGCCUGCAUACACGAAGCAUUAUACCAUUCUGAAAAUGAUUCUUGAGUUACUAUUCAAGUAUGCAAAUAUGCAAAUUGCAGUACAAUAUCUCAAAAUCAUGUCUCUUCCCUCGUGUCAUUUAGAAGUGGGGGAAAAAAACAAUCAUACAUACCUGCACAAGGAAAGCCAUGUCAACCACCAAUGCCGUAAUUACACCAAUUACAAGGCCCAAAACUCCAUUAGCAACUCUAGAAGAACACGUCAACAUCAAUCUACAGAAAGAUGAACAAUGUUAAACCAUGUUAAUGGUAUUGAACAAGCUAUUUGAAAGGGAACACAUCCCAUGUACUAUAGGAAUUCGAAGAGCAUUUAUUUCUAACUACUUAGGACCGCGGAUAUAGUUACAAUCAACUGCUUUUCCUAAUAAACAAGGGGUGCUUCCAUCACUCUGGUGCAUGAUCCAUGACUAAGCCCUAUAUUUAAGUCAUAUUGAGGAAACAUAAGAAAAAAAUUCCAGAAAAAGUAUCAGCUAAGAAUUAAAAUUAAAUUCAUCAAAAUGAUCUCAAUCACUAGAUUUUUUACUGUCACAGUAUGUUUAAAAACUUGCAGAAGGCCCAAAGAGAACUUAGGACUGAACCGAGGGAAAAACAAGACGGUGUAUUUAUUUUAUUUCUGAAUGCCAACAAUUACAUUGGGAUACAGAAAUUUUAGGUAAUUUCCUCACAUAUUACAUCAGAAGAGAGGAAAGGGGAAAGAAGAACAAUAAAUGUUCUAUUCUGACCAAAGCAUAAAUGAGAUGAUUGAAUCAAGAGACUAUUACAUUGGAAGCCAGUCCAGCUGAAGCCUAUGAUAGAGAAUAGCCGUAUGACCAUCUACCUCUUCAACUAAGCUGCGAUACAGAAGACUACAAUCCCACCUGCACAAAACAUGAAAAACGGUGUACGUGCGGCAAGAACUUUGAGAAAGGUACAUAAAAAAGAUCUGAUGGCCAAGAAAUACAACAAUUGUACAACCAAAAGAGGUAGAAAUCCAUGUCUAGUACACUGCCCUCUUCAAGACCUCUAAAUACUGAGUCAAAUUGAUAGGAAUUUCAUGGAAAUAACUAUUCGACAAAUGAUCAGCCUUGCUGGCCUUUAUAAGCCAACGCACAGAGAUUAUGGAACAAUGCAAUGGUGCAAACCAAGAAUUAUUAGGGUACAGACAGUAAAAUUAAAUAGAAUAAUUUGAACACAUUACUAGCAAACCUUGCCAAGAGACUUGUUAAAAUCUAAUUCGCAAACCAGCUAGAUUUGCUAGGAAACAGGUAAUUUCAGGCAGCACGCCUUCUCCUGUUUUAGAACACUCUUUUAUGUAAUAGUGACUUCAAAAGUGUAACAUGUUUCGAAAAAAAAAAAAAAAGAGGAAAGAACGUAUUUGACACUUCAUGAAAUGGCUAAGAUACAAGCUUUAAUCUAGUACAACAAAUUAAUAUAACUAACUUCAACCAUCAAUUGAUCUAUAGUUCAGCAACAAAAAAUAUAGAUAGCUACAUCUAUUUUGUCUUCAUCAAAUACCAUUAGCUAAGUGGAGAAAAGUUAUAAAAAUGAGUCCUAGUCUUUCUUUAUUAAUGAAGCAAUCCAUCAAACUUCAAAAGCUAUUUUCAUUUCCACAUUCUUCAUAUACUUAAGCAACAAAAGUUUGUAAUAAUCUUUAGAAAGCACCAUGCAGAUUAAUUAAAUAUAUUCAAAAAGGCACAUACAGAAUCGGGACUGGAGACAAUGUGAAUUUCACAGCAUACAAGAGGAAAUAUAAUACUCAGCUUACACAGACAGCCAAUAUAGUCUUGAUUAUGUUAAAGUAACUAAAAAUAAAAAAUAGAAAAGAAGCAUACUCGUAUCGUGUCCCAUCCAUGCUCAUUACAAGUUCAAAUAUUUCUUCACAGCUGGCCUUCAUAACACCAACAGCCUUCAUUGCUCUACUACAGCUUCUCGGCAGCAUUAAGUAAACUUUAGAUGAUGGUUCUGACCUAAACAAAAUCACAUCCUGAGCAUAGAGUAAAGAAAGUGGCAUACAUGGUAAUCAACUUCAAGAAGCUCUUCAGAAAUACAUAAUUCUGUUGGGGAGAAAAGAAAAAAGAAAGAAUACAAAUAAAAAGAAGUCACAAACAAUUCAUUUCCUGCACUACACAUCAGCAGCAGUUUUUCGGGAACACAAAAAUGUUAUAAUAACUUUUCUUGAUUGCCACCCACAUGCUAAACUGAUCAAAUACAAAACAGGAUACAGAAAAUCUCUAACCUUUUUGGCACUGAAGAAGACGCCAGUGCUUUCAAAAGAAAAUGCUUGAUUGUUGGCAUUCUGGUUUGAAAAAUAUGAGUCCAAUUCCUGUGUCCAGUCAUGUACCAAAUCAGGACGACCUGCCAGUCAUACAAAGAUGACAAAAAUACACUAUAAAUUGCGUCAAACCAAUUCAAGUCAAUUGGAGAAGUAAAUCAAGGACCAUUUGCAAUAGUUGUUCUCCACAUCAAAUUUGGGUGUCCAUCGUCUUCAUCCUCUUGUGCACUGAACCUGAGAGUCCACGAGAAAUACAUAUAAAAAUUAGCCAUGAUUGAAAUUGAUAGUAGUACAAAAUGGAUAUAAACAUCACGAUGAACAAAUUAAAUUGUUCCAUGUCAGACAAAUCCAGCCUGCAAGCUUAAGCUCUUAAGCUAGACCAAAUCACACUGCAAAUAACAAUACAUAAGGCCAAAAAAAGAUAAUAUGUAUCAUUCAUAUGCUUCGCCCUAUAGAAAUGAUUUGAGUCUACAUAAGAAAAUUUUUUGAGCUUCCCGAUCCACGAAUAAUAAUAAAUCUCCUUAAAAUAAUCUUUUGUAAAUAAUUUUAUUUUUCUUGACACAUGACAAGCACCUUCAUAUAGAGAAGAAAGGAGAAUCUCAAAUUCCACCCGCUCUCAGAACACCACAUCAAAGCUUCGUAUCAGUGAACAUGGAAGAAGAAUAAAAGAAGUAGCUCAAAUCCUGUAAAAAAGAACCUUGGACUUCGACUCUUGUCAAACAGUUGACUCCGACUGAAUAUAGGAAGAGUAAUUGAGCAAGCAUAGAUCGGCCAAGCUUAAGCAAGCGCAUAGAUCGGCCAAAUUUGAGCAAAGCCGAGAGAGAGAGAUGAUUGUGGUCAAUUUACAGCCGCAGUUGAUCGUUGCCGACUCGUGCCGCCGUUGAUGGCCGUGGAACAAGAAGAGAGGUGAGGUGAGGCGAGGGAGUGGUAAGGCGCGUGACGCGAGGGCGUGGGAGUGGGAGUGGGAGUGGGAGUGGGAGUGGUGGUUUUUGUGCAUGUAUCAGAUGCACGCAUGUAUUAUAGCAGAGUUGAGUUCAAUACGAAAAACACGUACAGCACCAAUCAGCCACUUCGAUAAUUCAUCUGUAGUUGUGAGAUGAUGAAUCAAGUUUGGUUCCCAGAAACGGCUGCGUUUUGAAGCCGUAAAAGCUUCAUUAGCUCACGUGCUGUUCAGCUGAUUCUUAACAAAAAAACGAUUUAGUGGAAACGACAUGGAUGGAGCACGUUUUACAUAUCAAUUUAAGUAACCACGUGAGGAAGCAUGUGAUGAAGGUUGUUCCGAGUUCGUUGAAGGUUGUUAAGCACGUGUCAAAACAAAGUGUUCAUGCUGGAAAGAAACAAAAUAUUAAUAAAUAAACCCUUAAAAAGAUUCUCUGAAAAUUAUGUUUAACUAGAACAAUUAUCUAGCAGUUUGAUAUAUUAAAUGAGCCUGUUAAUUAUUUCACUUACUAUCUUAUAAAUCCUCUCAAAAUUACACCGCUGCUCUGACCCCAAGUUCCAUUAUCAAUUAUAUCAUUCCCUAUCUUAUAGUAAAGGUAAAAGAAAAGAAAAGGUAUAUUGCAUUAGAGUUCGUGUACUUCUACCUUUUAGUUUAUUCUUCAUUUUAUUAAAAUGACAGAUUCCUCAUUAAAAAAGGUCACUCUACAUAGUAUGUGGGUGUAUGUUCUUUUAAAAAGGACUGAGAGAAAAUACAGUAGCACGUAAAAAUGUGCACCCAGCAGCAGAACCAUAUUAAUCCACAACAGCGCAAAAUAAAUGUGAAAAACAAGUAACAUCUGAAGAAGACAGUGAUGCCGAAACAUUGACGACCAAUAUAGUGUCUUGAUUUGGUUAAUUAAAUAUAUUUUUGUUAUCAUCCACCUGUUUGCUUUAAAUAAUUUUCAAUAUUUUUUCGUAUGCCUGAAAUUCCAAGGAAAAAUAUUUGUAUAAGGACAAGAGUUAAGGGGGACAAAAAUGGAAAAAAUAGGGCUCCUUUGUUUUCAUUCCCCUGUUUCUCCGUUUGGUAAUUGCAAAAAUUUAAAUCUAAACUUAUGAUGCAGGCUACAAGGUAGCUGGUGGACGAUUAAUAGGGUCUAUCUUUUGUUGUUAAUUAGGAAUUUAAUUUGGAAUUUGUAGUGUGCGCCUUAUCUAAGCAGACUUCCUAACAGUAAUUAAAUAAUCUAAAUUUAUGAUGCAUUAGGAUAUGAUUGUGAUAAAUUAGCUUUUUUCUCUGUAUUCUAUGAGGCUGAUUAUUAUUUUAAUUUAAGCCACACCUUUAAAUUCAGUUUUCGCAAAACUGACAGGUAGCUUGGGUGUAAAUGAAUAUACAUUAAUGAAGAACGGACAUGUGGAGUACCGAUAUACUAGCAUAAGUAAUGUUUAAUUUUAAUGUAUAAAACAAUGGUGCAUUUAGAAGGUACUACUGUAGAAAUAAAAUUUGUGCUUGCAACUCAUUUUUUAAUUCCCCUUUUUAAUAAUAAUCAAAAGAAAGCAGAGGAGAAACAGGGGAUUUUCCAGUUUUUUAUUCGGUGAUUUUUAACUUUAUCAUGGAAUUGUCAAUUUUUAGUUGAAACUUAUCUAAAUCGUCCUCUCUAUAUAAGCGAAUACAAUAAUUUUGUGAAAGAUAUAUGCAAAAACAAUACUAAUAAGUAUAUUUAUUUAUCUAAGACGUAGAGCUCUAAUGCUCAGAUAUGGAUAGUCCCAUUUUUUGUUAGAGGCAUCUCUUUCCAUGCAUUGAAUUAUUGCAAGCAAAUCGCUUCUCGCAAUUACAAACCUACCCUCAUCAUUGUCUCUCACGUAUCCAGCACCACAGUUACCCAUUCCUCUCCUCACCAAGGCACACAGAUUACAGGACAAUGCAGCGAUGCCAACCAAGAAUGCUUAGGGUAAAGACGGAAACAUAAAACAGAAUAAUAAAAAAAAAUCUAUUCCGUAAACAUAAUAAUUAAACAGAAAGUGGUACGUUCAGACAAAACACCUGCUCCUGUUUUAGAAAAGAGCUCCUCCGUUUUUAUUUCUCUGUUUUACUGUUUGGUGAUUGCAAAAAUUUUUGUCUAAAUAAUGCAUAGUAGAGUCAAGAAUAAAUUUAUGUUAAAACAAAGAAACAUCAAAGAUCCCCUGAUAUUAUUAUCCAGAACAAUAUGUUUAUUGGGCCGAAAUGGGCUAACAUACAUGGGUUCAAGCUUGCAAAAUCCACAUUUAUGUAUAAUUAUAUAGUAAUUAAAUACUGAACUUGAACUCAUACAACUCUUCAAUCAUUUGGAUUUCGAAUCUGUGUUAAUUGAACUAAAUACUGUCAGGCAUUCGAGUAAACACAUAAAGAAUUCAUGAUUUAAUGUCGUUCUGAAUUUUGACUUCAUAAUAUUCCAGCUACCGUUGCAGUUUCUAUUAUUGUGUGAUAAAUAUGAAUGAUGUCUUAGUAUAAAGACAUGUCUCAUUAAUUAUACCUUAUAGAAGAGAUAUCUUUUUAUACUAAAACUAUAUAGUGAAAAGGGGUCCGCCUAAGUUACGUUAAACGUAACUUACGGCCUGGCUGUAAAACUUCAUCCAGCCCCCUAUAUUCGAUAUUAUUUAUAUUAUAUUUGUGAAUAUUAUAAAAAUUUUUGAUUUGAAAAAUUUCGUUUAACCCCUUACACUCAAUUUUAUUUUAUUAAAAUCCUAGAGUACGAAUUUGCCUCCUAUAAUUUUAAAUUCUCAAAAUAACCUCAUUUAAUUAAAAAAUAUAAUUAUUAUUAAUUGAAUUAUAAUUAUAACUAUUAUUUUAUUAUAAUUAUAAAUAUAUUUAUAUUUUUUAAAUAGAUUAUUGUUAUUAUUAAUAACAAGAAUAAAAAGUAUUACAAUUAAUUAAUCUAUUAACAAUAAUUAAUAAUUUUUUAUUAAAUUGUUAAUAAUAAUUAAUGAUAAUUAUUAUUAAUAAUUAAGUUUUGAAUAAUAAUAAUAAUUAACAAUUAUCAUUAAUAGAUUGUGACUGACUCUGAACAAGUUGUCCGAUAUUUUAUAUCAUAUUGUAUGCAUUCACUUCUGGCUACAAAAAAAAUUAAAGAAAUAGCUUUCUCUUUAACCAAACAAGAGAUUUAACAAAAUCAUAAACACACGUUUCUCAAAACUAACAAGGACUUGGACAAUUAUGGCACUAAGUAGUACUGCAAUUAAUAUCAGUGAUGAGAGUAUGUUGCUACUUUGCUAGCUAAGCCUAGGUGGGCAUUGGCAUUCCUAGGACUCUGAACAAUUAUCGUUAAUUUUUAAAAAUCAAUUAUUAAUAAUAAUUAUCGUUAAUUACUACUAUUAUUAAUUUAAUAAAAACUAUUAUUAAUUAUUGUUAAUAGAUUAAUUAAUUGUAAUACUUUUUAUUCUUGUUAUUAAUAAUAAUAAUCUAUUUAAAAAAUAUAAAUAUAUUUAUUAUUAUAAUAAAAUAAUAAUUAUAAUUAUAAUUCAAUUAAUAAUAAUUAAAAUUUUAAUUAAAUGAGAUUAUUUUGAGAAUUUAAAAUUAUAGGGGGCGAAUUCGUACUCUAGGGUUUUAAUAAAAUAAAACUAAGUGUAAGGGGUUAAAUGAAAUUUUCUAAAUAAAAAAGUUUUAUAAUAUUCAUGAAUAUAAUAUAAAUAACAUUGAAUAUAGGGGGCUGGAUGAAAUUUUAAAGCCAGGCCGUAAGUUACGUUUAACGUAACUUAGGCGGACCCAGUGAAAAGAUAUCUCUUCUAUCAGGUACAAUUAAGUAUGGUUGCUUGCAAAGAAAUGUAAAUAUAAGUCAUAAAACAAAGUCUCUAUUAUUUGAAGUACAAUUUCAUUCACAUGUUGCACAUGAGACUUGAGCAACCACGAUGUGCAGAAGACACUUUACAAUGAUUUUGCUUGUUUUUUUCCUAAUCAUUUCUGUAAUUGAUUUUGUUAGAAAAUGUUAGUAAUGAUUAAAUUACUUUAAAAAACACACUCACACAUCUUAACUGUAAAGGUUCAGAAAAUAUAUCGAUAAAGGUCAGAAGUAUCUAAUAAAAGUUGGCCAUAAACUUCAAUAUCCAAAAUUGCUUUAAUAAAGUAGCUGCAGUAAACAAAAGUCAGUAACCAUAGGCGACAAUAAAUCACAAUCAGCAACUAGGUCUCCAAAUCAAAAUAUAAUGGAUUUGGUUAAGUCUUCUUUCGAAAAGCUCUCUCUCCUUUAGAGAGGCUUGAAUGGAAGUAUUGAGGGGUCGUAAGGACUCAUGUGUUCACUCCCUGUGAGUGGAAGGUAAUCCAAAAAAAGUCAGCUUUUGGGGUUGGUGAGCUGGUUGAGAAAGCUUCGAAAGCAAAGUUCGUGUAGAGCGUUGGGGCACGAUUUAAAGCUAGUGAGCCUAAAUAACUUACUACCUAUCCAAGCAUUAACUACCAUGGAUACUGAAGAGCUAAUUCGUAAGUGUCAAGCAAUAACUAUCACAGAGGAAGACAAAGCCAAAAUAACGCUGGAGGUGAAUUUGGAAAAAAAGAAAGAACAAAUGAUGGCAGGAUGCUUAGUGGGCAAAGUACUUCUCACAAAGGGAGUAAAAAAAGAUGGACUUAAGGUUGCGUUACAGCAGGUGUGGAGGACUUUCAAAGAAGUCAAGAUCGAAAGCGUGGGAAACAACAUCUUCAUGUUCAAAUUUGCUGAAGAAGCAGACAAAAAACGAGUUCUCAAAGGGGGACUAUGGCACUUCGACAGGGCCUUGAUUGUUCUCGCUGAGCCAAGGGGGAUUGGGGAAGUCGCAAAACAAUCUUUUAUUCACACAUCCUUUUGGGUGCAUAUUCGUAAUAUCCCACUGGCGUGUAUGGAUAAAGAUUUUCUCCGAGACUUGGGCGGGAAGAUUGGAUCAGUAUAGGAGGUUCAAACGGAUGAUAAUGGAGACUGUAUUGGGGAAUUUUCCAGAAUAAGAGUCUCAAUUAACAUAACACAGCUGCUAGAGAAGAUUUUAUUUCUAAAGCAAGAAGGUGAAACUGAUAUCCCAAUGCCGGUGGUAUAUGAACGCUUGCCAGAUUUCUUUUAUUGCUGCGGAAUUAUUAGACAUCAAUACAAAGAGUGUGGCAAGUACCAAGACCAACCAAGAGAAGAUCUACCAUUUAGGAGUUGGAUGAAAGUGAUUACGGUAGGGGGUUUUACAAAGAGGAAUUGGAACAAGGAAAGGUGGAACUAUGGGGCUGGUAAAUCGGAUGAAAAAUCAACAAGCUCAGGAACUCACAACUUCCCGCAACAGCAAGGGCAAAACCAAGAAAACUCGAUAGGGGCAAACGGGUCAGUACCCAUUGAGAAAGAAAUGGGGCAAACCAUGAAGCAUGCCAAGAAGGAUGUUAUAGGAGGAGUAGCUGAGCAACAAUUAAUGCGAAGAGUGAUACAAUCAGCGGAAAAAAAGUAAAAUGAUGGCAACAAGCAAGCUGGGGAAACUGGCAAUGCAACAACCCCAAGGAAAAUGGGCACACAAGCGGGAAAUGGCAUUCCAAAAGAGAGGGAAAAAAUGCAGAUAAGUCAUGAAGAGGAAGCUGAAAUAAACAAUGGGCCGGAAGUAUCUCAACUACAGCCCAAUAAAAGGAAAUUGAAGUAAUUAACUAGAGAUCUAAGCGAGGGGGGGGGGGGAAAUUAAGUUACGAGUUCAAAAAAGGCCUAGGGGGAAAAAAUUUGGGCAAAGCCCAAGGAAAAAAACAAAGCUCUCUAGCCCCAAUAAGCUUGAGACUAAAAACCUGGAGCAUGUCUCUCCAACAGCAACGCUUCAGCUGGGUUAGGAACUGUUGGUACUGGAAGAAGUGGUAGUCAUGGAAGCAAACAAUAUGGAGAUAUCGGCGGAGGCUGGUGGUCAGCCCCCCCGGAAGCUAUGAAUAUUCUCAGUUGGAAUGUUCGGGGUCUGGGGAAUCCCCGAGCAUUUCAAGCCUUAAGAAAAAUCCUCCAAUUGCAUGGUGCUCAGCUAGUGUUUUUGUGUGAAACAAAGGUAUCAACCAUGCAAAUGAAUGUGAUUGCAAAUAAGCUGAGUUUUGAGAAUUGCCUCGCGGUGAACUGUAAAGGAAGAUGAGGCGGAAUAGCAAUGCUCUGGAAGUCAGAUAUUGGUGCAAAUCAAUUCAUACAGUCAGCACCACAUUGAUGCCGAAACUCAAAUGCCAAAUGGAAAUCGAAUGCGAGUUACAGGAGUGUACGGACAUCCGGAAACAAGACAGAAAAAACACACUUGGAUGCUCCUCAGGCGGCUGGCAGUUUUAUCUUCUAGCCCUUGGUUGUGUUGUAGAGACUUUAAUGAAAUUUUACAUCCAGAUGAGAAGAGUGGCGGCAAUGACAGGAAUGUGAAUUUAAUUAAUGAUUUCAGAGAAGUUUUGAGAGAUUGUGGCUUAAAGGAUGUUGGGUAUCGGGGGUACGCUUUUACUUGGAAUAAUGGAAGAUAUGGGUAGGGAUUCGUGGAAGAAAGGUUGGAUAGAUUUGUUUGCAAUAAAGCUUGGAGUGAUAGAUUUGUGGAUUAUGCAGCAAGCAACCUUGACACAUGGACUUCGGAUCAUUGUCCCAUGCUGAUGGCUGUUUAGGAGAGAAGUGGGGGCAUGAACCAAAGGGGUAGACAUUCCUCACGAAUCCAUUAUGAGGAUAUGUGGAGCUCGUAUGACUUGUACAAAGAGAUAAUCAAGGAGGAAUAUAAUUUGUAUAGAAAUUAGAAUAGUGAAAAUCCAGCCCAAUCCUUUCGAAAAGCAACAAAAGAUUCGAUGGGUAGGCUGUUGGGGAGGAGCAAGUUGGUGAGGAAAUUCGGAAGGUGGAGAAGCAAAUCCAAAAUAUCCUCAUGGAUGAAGAAAUCUACUGGAAGCAGCGCUCAAGAGCAGAUUGGCUCAAGGAGGGGGACAAAAACACAAAAUUCUUUCACGGCAAGGCAUCGACUAGAAGGAAAAAAAAAAACAAAAUUUUGGGGAUUGAAGAUAAUUUCGGGAGAUGGAUUGAAAAGCCAAAAGAAGUGGAGCAUGAGUUUUGCAAUUAUUUCACCAACCUUUUUACAUCAACCCAGCCGAGACAGGAUCAAAUUGCAGCAGCCUUGAAAGGAAUAACUCCGAGAGUUUCAGCCAGCAUGAAUGAGAGUUUGGAGGAACCGUUUACAGCCGAGGAAGUCUUGGAAGCUUUGAGUCAAAUAAAGGCUUCGGGGCCGGAUGGUUUUCCAGCAGUGUUUUACCAAAAGCAUUGGCAUACGGUUAAGGAGGGAGUGCUCACCACUUGUCUGCAUAUCGUCAAUUCACAAGGUACCAUAGGCCCUCUAAAUCACACUUACAUUGCUUUGAUACCAAAAAUCGGGAAGCCUAGGAAAGUGACAAACUUUAGGCCUAUUAGUUUGUGCAAUGUUAUCUAUAGAAUUGUAGGUAAGUCAGUUGCUAAUAUAUUUAAGCAAAUUCUGCACAAAAUCAUCUCUCUAUCGCAAAGUGCCUUCAUCCCCAAUAGGUUGAUCACUGACAACAUCAUAGUUGGCUACGAAUGUUUGCACAAGAUAAGGCAUUGUAAAGGAAAGCGAAAUGGAUUAAUUGCAUUAAAGCUUUAUAUUAGUAAAGCUUAUGAUAGAUUGUAAUGGAACUUCCUAGAGCAAACUUUAAAACAACUAGGCUUCUCGCAUCAAUGGAUUAGCUUGAUCAUGGGGUGCAUUAGUUCAGUUUCCUUCUAUGUGUUAAUAAAUGGCUCAGUGAAAGGCUUAAUUAAACACCAAAGGGGCAUAAGACAAGGUUGCCCCCUCUCUUCGUAUUUGUUUAUUACAUGUGCAGAGGCUUUUUCUUCCUUGCUGUAGCAGGCUGAGCAACAACGGCUUAUUCAUAGGCUAUCAUUUGGAAACGAUUUGAAGAUUUCGCACCUUCUAUUUGCUGAUGACAGCCUUAUCUUCAGCAGAGCUUCCAUGGCUGACUGUCGAAAUCUGAAGAUGAUCCUUGAGUGCUACUCCACAACUUUCGGUCAAAUAUUUAAUUUCGAGAAAUCUUCUCUUUUUCUUAGUGGCAAUGUACAACAAGAUCAAGCUGAGGCAAUUGGGAAUCUCUUUUAGCUCAAUAUUGUGUAAAGACAUAAAAAAUAUUUAGGCUUGCCGUCUAUGAUCGGGAGAAAGAGAAGCAGCUUCUUCAAUGACAUCAAGCUGAAGGUUUUCAACAAGAUCUCAAGCUGGCAGCAUAAAUUUUUUUCUUGUGGAGGGAAAGAAGUCUUAAUCAAAGCUGUUGUGCAAGUCAUCUCAGCCUACGCAAUGAGCGUUUUUAAAAUUCCGAUGGGAGUUUGUGAUGAUAUUUAAAAAAUGGUGGCAAAGUUCUAGUGGGGCUCCAAGAGGGAAGGGAGGAAUAUUCAUUGGGCGAAGUGUGAAAAGAUGAGUCAAGCUAAGUGUAAUGGAGGGAUGGGAUUUCGUGAUUUUUCAAGCUUCAACAGAUCCCUUCUAGCAAAGCAAGGCUGGAGGAUUCAGCAAUGUCCAAACUCGUUGGUGGCUAGGGUCUUGAAAGCCAAGUAUUUCUAGUCAAAAAAUUUCUUGGAUGCAAAGCUCAACUCAAACCCUUCAUAUAUUUGGAGAAGCAUUCUUUGGCGAAGGAAAAUUAUUUGCUCGGGCUCUAGGUGGAGAGUUGGCAAUGGUCAGAAAAUUCAUAUUCAUAAGGCUAACUAGAUUCCACAACCUUCAACAUUCCAGCCAAUGGUUAAGCCAACUUUUCCUUCGAAUGCUAUGGUCUCUGAAUUAAUCAAUGAGGCAAACUACUGGGAUGAGAAGAGGAUUUAUGAGCACUUCGAAAAAAUGGAUGCUGAUUUAAUUACUAAGAUUCCUCUGCCUAGAAGACCAAGGAAGGAUGAGCUAAUUUGGCAUUAUGGAAAAAAUGGCCAGUUCUAGGUUAAAAGUGGGUACCAGACAACUCUCCAAAUAAAGUUUCUAGCCAUGCCUUCAAGCUCAGUGGCUUCAAAAAAUGAAUGGAAUAUUAUUUAGUCUCUUGCUUUGCCUCAAAAGAUCAGAAUUUUUGCAUGGAGGGCAGCCAAAAACCUACUCCCCUCAGCUGAGAAUUUGUGGAAGAAAAAGAUAAUCCAGGAACCUACUUGCCAAGUGUGUAAAAUGGGAAUGGAAAAUGUAUUUCAUGCUCUAGUGGCCUGCAAAUCGGCUAAGAAAGUAUGGAGGCUAAUCUAUUUUGAAGAUGAUAUUAAUGCUGCUCACAGUCAAGAUAUCUUCAGUUUGCCGCAUGCUAUGAAAAGAAUGAGAAGCAAAGUUGACCUGGAGCUGUUGGUAACGAUUUUUUGGGUUAAAUGGAAUGCUCGGAAUCAGUUGCUAUUCAAAGGAAAAAUGGAGACCCCCCAUGUAACACCCUAGGCGAAUCCCAUAUCGGCAAAGCACAGGAGAGAUGCUGGGUUUAUAAGAAGUGAUCCACACCUUAAUUGGCAAGACGCGUUUUGGGGUCUAUGGGCGCCCCAAGAACAAAUCCGUGCAGGCCUUGUUAAGGCCCAAAGCGGACAAUAUCUUGCCAGGUCAUGACCCAACCCAGACCUGGCAAGAUAUUGUCCGCUUUGGGCCUUAACAAGGCCCGCACGGAUUUGUUCUUGGCGUGCCCAUACACCCCAAAACGCGUCUCAUGCUCCUUCUUACUCUUAGAGUAAAUUAAUAUGUCAUCAAUAAAGACAAUGACAAACUGGUCAAGAUAAGGUUGGAAGAUCCUAUUCAUCAAAUCCAUGAACGCUGCAGGAGCAUUAGUUAAUCCAAAAGGCAUAACUAAGAACUCAUAGUGUCCAUAACGAGUUCAAAAAGCUGUCUUCGAUACAUCCUCACUUCUUAUUUUCAAUUGAUGGUAGCCAGAUCGUAAAUCAAUUUUAGAGAAUACCGCUGCACCUCGUAAUUGGUCAAAGAGGUCAUCAAUUCGAGGAAGAGGGUAUUUAUUCUUGACAGUAACCAUAUUCAACUGCCGGUAGUCAAUACACAACCUCAUUGAACCAUCUUUCUUCUUUACGAACAAAACGGGAGCACCCCAAGGCGACACACUAGGACGGAUGAAACCCUUAUCUAGUAACUCUUGUAGCUGGACCUUUAGUUCUUUUAAUUCAAUGGGUGCCAUCCGAUAUGGCGCCUUGGAUGUAAGUGUAGUACUAGGAACUAACUCUAUAGUAAACUCAACCUCUCUAUCUGGGGGUAGACCAGGAAGAUCCUCAGGAAAUACAUCAAUAAACUCCCUUACAAUAGGUAUGUCUUCAAGGCACGCCCCAUCAGGAUGGUCAGCAAUUAUAUACGCUAAAAAUCCUUCACACCCCUUCUUUAGCAUUUUCACUGCCGUCACCAUAGAAAUCAAAGCUUUAUAACUCUUAUGAUUCCCUUGAAAAUGAAAUUCUUCCUCGCCAGGUAGGCGAAAAAUAAUUUCCUUAGCAAAACAAUCUAUUGAAACAUGGUAAGGUCCUAACCAAUCCAUCCUCAAAAUCAAAUCAAAAUCAUGCAUCUCUAAUGGUAGGAGAUCCACAAGGAAUUCUCUAUCACACAAUCUGAUCACACAUGACUUAUAGACAUGAUCUAUUAACUGGCAAUCCCCCAUAGGGGUACUAAUUGUCACGUGAACACCGAGUGGCGUGAUAGGCACAUCAGCAUAACGGGCAAACACACAAGAUACAAAUGAAUGUGUAGCACCAGGAUAAAAAGGAACUUUGGCUUCUCUAGAGAAUAAGGACAAUGUACCUGAUACUACAUCAUUGGACACCUCAGCAUCUUUCUCCGUUAGCGCAAAAACACGCCCUUGCACCUUCGGUUUCUUCCUCUGCCCUUCGUUAGUCGGAGUAUUUGUAGUCUCGCCACGUCUCUUUGGGCAAUCCAUAAUCCUAUGCCCAGAUUCUCCACAAGCAAAACAAGCUCCAGUUUUCCAAUGGCAUUCACCAGGGUGCCUCCUUUCACAAUGUCGACAAAUGGGGUAAUUUCUCCGAGCAGUGUCACUAGUAACACCCUUGUUAUCCCAUUUGUUACCUCCACCAUUAUACUUCUGGGAGUGAGUGCCUUGCCUAUAGGAACUUCCAUUUCGCGGUCCACCUUGUUGAUUCUUCUUAUUUCUCUGAUACCAUAAUGUCAUGACCCAACCCAGACCUGGCAAGAUAUUGUCCGCUUUGGGCCUUAACAAGGCCCGCACGGAUUUGUUCUUGGGGUGCCCAUACACCCCAAAACGCGUCUUGCCAAUUAAGGUGUGGAUCACUUCUUAUAAACCCAGCAUCUCUCCCGUGCUUUGCCGAUGUGGGAUUCGCCCAAGAACAAAUUCGUGCGGGCCUUGUUAAGGCCCAAAGCGAACAAUAUCUUGCCAGGUCUGGGUUGGGUCAUGACAUUAUGGUAUCAGAGCGGCUCCGCGUGUCCUCUUGAGCGAUGGUGGGGCAAACCUCAGCGAGGACGCUGAGUCCCCAAGGGGGGGUGUAUGUAACACCCUAGGCGAAUCCCACAUCGGCAAAGCACGAGAGAGAUGCUGGGUUUAUAAGAAGUGAUCCACACCUUAAUUGGCAAGACGCAUUUUGGGGUGUAUGGGCACCCCAAGAACAAAUCCGUGCGGGCCUUGUUAAGGCCCAAAGCGGACAAUAUCUUGCCAGGUCUGGGUUGGGUCAUGACACCCCAUAUUAUGGUAGCUAAAGUUGAAGCUAUGAUUGCAGCUUAUAAGAGGGUGCAUUCUUCAGUUGAGGCUUCCAGUGAAACAGAGCAGAGGGUACCUCUUCAGACAUGGAAUCCCCCUCAAGAUGGUUUUGUAAAAGUCAACAUUGAUGCAGCUAUCAACUUCAAAAAGAACCUUGUAGGGCUGGGGGCAGUGAUUAGAGAUGAUUCGGGGCAUGUUACAGCAGCUGCAAUCAAGAUUUCCAAGUUUCAUGGAGAUGUUUCUUAUGCUGAGGCAGCAGCUAUGGAAUGGGGUAUGUUGGUGGAGAGAGAAGCUAAAGUGAAAGUUGUAAUCGUGGAAUCAGAUUCUCAAGGUGUGGUCAGUUUAGUUAACAACAAGCAGGGCUGCAGAUCUGAGAUCUAUUGGGUUGUUUCGGAAAUUCAGAAGUUAGCGGAAAACUUCGAGUGUGUUAGUAUUAAGUAUACAGCCUAGAUCUUGUAAUGUUAUUGCCCAGUCUUUAGCUAAGUUAGCUCUAGAAAAACGCGAGACUGUUGUGUGGAGGGUUCAUACCCUUCACAAGUGAUGUAUUUCCUUUCAUCGUUGUUUUAAUUGAAAUCUAUUUUCAAAAAAAAAAAAUCACAAUCAGCAACUACAAUGAUCCAAAACCAACAUAGAAAGACCUAGAAAUAGUAAAAAAUAUUGCAAUAUAUUAAAGAAGAUUAAUUCAUCAGAGUGCCCACAACAUAUAAAUGGAUCUAAAGAAUAGAUUAUAUAAUAGCUUGUUUCUUAUGAAUGAUACAUGGGAUUCCACAGAUAAAAAGAAAAUAAGAAUCAAGUACGUGAAUUAAAAAAAUACCUAACCAAUAGGGGUUAGUGAGAUAUUUUAGCUAAAUAUCAGUUGACAGAAUCUGACCCACAAUAAAAAUUGCUAUCUUAUCACAAUGGGAAUCUGAAUUAUAAAAUUACUGAACAAAACUUUUAACACCUACAAGUCCAAAUAAUAUCAAAUAAAAUGCCUAACCAGCUAUUAAAUAUAAAAUGUCCUUGUAGGACUAAAACCUUGUGGCCAAUCCUUCAAAGUUCCAAGCAACAAUAUGAUAAAAACAUAAUGCAUAAUAUAUAAGGAGCUUAUCUGUAAAACUUCCAUACAGUACUUAUCAUAUUAAACAAUGUACCUAAUGAAAUAUUGGCUUAUUUCUACAGAAUAUUACAAUAUAAGUACACCAAUUUCUCAAGCAAUGCCAUAUAGAAAGAUACCGAAGAAAAAAGGAAAAUAAAAAAUCGAAGCAUGUUAGUUAUGAUUUCAACUUUUGAACUCAAAGUCUGUGACAAAUUUUGCUUCGGGAAAUACUAACAAACACUUGAGAAAAACUAAAGUGUAUCACACUUGAACCGUAUAUAAAGCACAAGAAUAAAAACAACAAUGGGCAAAAAGAGGCUAGAUGUAUCAUCUUCAUUAGUUAAACAACAUAAAUAGAAUCAAAAUAUUAAUGCAUACACCAAAACCUUCAAAAUUCUCUAAACAUUCAAUUUUUUUCAGAUUAAGAAAAUAAAUUUAUAAGAAAAUCGAGAACGCGUAUUUGUUGCGGUAUUUUAUCAAGCAAUUGGCAUGCAGCAAUGUAAAUGACAAUUAAAACAUGUAAAUCUCUGUACAUUGAAAGCUCACCUUCGUUAUUCAUCCAAAGAGAGAUAUAUAGGGCAUGUAAGCUCCUUCUUUGAUAUUUAUAUAUUUUGUCAUAAAAGAUUAUAUAUUGUCCGAAAAGAGCUAACUUUGGACAGGCUUUUUAUGCCAAAAAAAAAAAAAAAAUUCUUUUGUGACUAUUAUAAAGUUCGUCAAAAAGAAAUUGAAACAGGGACCAAGUAAUGUCUCAAAAAGAAAAAAAAAUGGUUAUCAAAUAUAAAAUUAUUCAAGACAAAACAUUCAAUGACUAUUGUUUAAUUUUGUCACUGUAGGUAAUUAUAUAUGAUAAAAAAAAAUGGUCUUAAAAUUAGCCAAAAGAACAAUAAUUUUGGCUACUAAUAUUUUGUGUCAUAGAUUGUGUAGUCAAUUUUACACCCCUCUUUUAGUUACCAAAUAAUUUGGUCGCCUAUAAUUAUAUUUCGUGACUAUUUAUUUUGUCAUAAAUAGUGAAAUAUUGUCUCAAAAUAAUCACUUUUGGAGGGAAGAUUUUGCGCCAAAAAAAUAUCUUUUGGUGACUAAAAUAAUUUUUGUCAUAAAAAAAAUUAAUUAAUGACCAAUGAACAAGUCUCAAAAUAAAAAUAAUUGGUUACAAAAAACAAUAUAAGUUAGGACAAGACUAUUAGCUACGAUUUUAAAAAUUUGUCACAAUAAAUACCAUUUUGUGACCAAAUUUAAAGUUGUAAAAAAUAUCAUCUUAAAAAAUCAAAUUUCUUAUAGUGGCCGAGGCCUAUGAUAGAGCAUAGCUCUAUGCCCAUUUACCUCUUCAACUGCCAUAGAGAACUAGAAUCCCACUUGCACCCAAAACAUAAAAACAAUGUACACUUGGCAUGAACUCUGAGAAAGCUACGUAAAAAUGAUUUGAUGGCCAAGGAUUACAACAAUUGUACAACCAAAAGAGGUAGAAAUCCAUGUCUAGUAUAGUGCCCUCGUUAACACCUCUAAAUACUGAGUCAAAUCAAUAGGAAUUUCAUUGUGGGAAAAAAAAAACUAUGCUACGAAUGGUCAGCCUUGCUAGCCUUUAUAAGCAACGCACACAGAUUAUAGAACGAUGCAGUGAUGCAAACCAAGAACUAUUAGGGUAUAGACAGUAAGAUUAAAUAGAAUAAUUUGAUUCCAUUUCUAGCAAACUUUGCCUAGAGACUUGUUAAAAUCUAAUCAGUAAACCUGCUAGAUUUGACAGGAAACAGGUAAUGUCAGGCAAAUCGCCUUCUCCUAUUUUAGGGCACUCAUGUAUAAUAGUGACUUUAAAAGUGUAAACAUAUUUUGAACAAUUUUAAGGAAAUUAAAACUAUAUUUGACACAUCACGAAAUGGCUAAGAUACAAGCUUCAAUUCCAGUACAACAAAUAUAACUUCAACUGUCAAUUGAAGGAGCGAGAUAAAGAGGAGAGACACGAAGCAAUAUACCAUUAUGAGAACAUUGCAGCAUACAAAAGUGUAAACGGCAGAGCAAUAUCUCAAAAUCAUGUCGUUUCCGAUGUGUGCUCAUUUGAAAGUGCAGAAAAACCACUCAAACAUGCCUGUACAAGGAAAGCCAUGUCAGCCACCAAUGUCGUAAUUACACCAAUUACGAGGCCCAAAACUCCAUCAGCAACAGUAGAAGAACCGAUGUCAACAUCAAUCUACAGAAAGUUUCUAGCAGUCACGAGCAUUAUCACGAUCAUCGUGCCGCAGAUUGCCCUAAAAACAAGACAAAUCAAUUUGAUCAGCUUGUUCUUCCUCUAGAGCUGCGAAUAAUUGAAAAAAAAAAGAUUAAUUCCAUAGAAAUCCAUUAAUGAGGACAUUAAUCCAAUAUAUAAAAAUGAAUAUUUAAGUUUGAAGCUCCUAGCUUGAAGCUUUCCAAAUAUAAAGUUACAUAGUGAAGGACAACAUUUGUCCAUGAGGUUUCUAAAAUGGCAACUUUUGCACAGUAAAAUUAAAACGGACGGCGGAAGCUCUAGAAACCUCGGAUCGGCUUCAUUCAAAAACGAAAAUCACGAGGAAAGAUUUAAGUUUAAUUAAAUCACUUUUAGUUUCAAAAACGGCUUCGUGAAGUAGAAGAAAAAGACUGAAAACAGCACGCUACGAACACUGUCCAGAAAAUAGAGCUCUGCACGAACAGCUUCUGUUUUGCCACGAUUUGAGAUCCUUAAAGCACCCCAAUUGUGAUGCCUCUAAUUAUUCCACACUUAGAAAUGUUCUAGGAGUUCAUAGGAUUUGGAAUCUCGAAAUUUCGUUUAGAAAUGAAAGAGAUAAUGAAAAAACAUGAAUGCUAGUUCAUGAUGAUUCAUUCCAUCAAAUAAAGCUACCAUUAUCUCUAAUAAUGGCACCAAACAUUAUCAUGUGCUAGACCCACCCACUUAGUUAUUAUUUAUUGAAAGUGAUCUUAUCACUUAAAUAAAUUAUUUAAUCAAAUAAAUAAAUAGCUAAAUUAAUUAAUUUCGUAAUUAAUUAAUUAACCCCAUUUUGAUCAAAUCAAAUGGUUAAAUGUGGGCUCAUUUUGUGACAUGUUCUAAUGCUUUCUCUUAAUCCAUAUUAGAUCUAAUAAAAGCCCAAAAUUCUAAACCCAAAAUUGGUCUAGAAGUCCAUAAUCAUAUAUGAACCGGAACAUGUCCAAAAUGGUCAUUUUACGUGCUUGAUAUUGCAUAAUGUUUAAUGGGGAUUUAUGAAAUUUAUUUUGUUCCUUAAACUAUUUAUGGAACAUCUAAAUUUCUAUCUUAAAUCAUAUUUAAGAUAUAUUUAUAUAUAUAUUCAUUCUUAAUGAAUUAUAAUAUAAAUAUUGAUUUUCCUAAAAUUAGGAAAUUUAACUUCUCAUUUUCUAGUAACUCCUUUUUCAUUUCUAUUUAGUGUGUGACCUUUCAGGUUCUUAGUUAUAAGGUAGUAGAACUAUUUUAAUGAUAACUCUUUAUUCAUUAAAUGAUGCUAAACUCUUUAGUAAUCAAUUAGAACUUUUCUAAUGACCUUAAGAUGCAUAGCUAAUAGGCUUUACCAAUAUUGAUCUUAAGGUUUCUAUAAGUCAUGAGUGACACCUAGCAGUAUAUCACAACUAUCCAAAUAACAAGAAUUGUUGGAUCUAUAAAACCUAUUUUAUUGUAUCUCUAUGUCUUGGUCUCUUCAUCAUCCAUGUCUAGAGAAAAGCACGGCUUAUGGUUUAUUAUGUUAAGCAGUUAUGAUUUAUCUCAAAAUAAAUCUAAAUGAACUUAACAUGAAAAUAUAAUUUGAACUCCUUCAAAUAUAUUUCACCUUGGCCAAGGAUUUCUCAUGCCAAUUCAUAUUAUCUCAUAGGGACAUCCUUUUUGUAUAUUACAAAGUGAUUAAUUCCAUAUUAGCCAUACACUUGUCUUCAUACAUAACCAACCAUGACAGCUAUUGCUAGAUCUCUUCCGUGAUUAGGAAUCCAUGAUUAUGCUUUCACAUAUCAGAGAUGUCUAUGUAUAAGACAUCUGUUAUGCCUCAAGUCUAAAGACCAUUAUUAAACAUAGUGUCUAUUACAAUGUAUAAUAAGCCAUUAACACUCAAAACCAUAUGACUUACUAUAUUUGGUCAUGUUCAGUAAACUCGUUCUCUCAACAAGUACCUAUGUGUUUGACUUGACAUGUCAUGUCAAUGAUAUGAAACUCACCAUCCAUUUUAGUAUCACAUACCAUAAGGAGUCAUAACACAUACUAGUGUUUAUAGGAAUUUAUAAUGUCCAAUCAUAAAUCCACCACUAGGAACUAUUUUAGAAGUAUAGUACAAAGGAUGCACGUUUCAUACUCUCGACAAACUCGAGAAUGUGUUCCUUAACUAUUUUACUUCUUGGACUAUAUUCAUUAAAUUAAUUUAUGAAUGUUGAUAACUUUGCCAUUUUAUAAAUAUCAAAAUGCUAUUCAAAUACAAUAAUUCCCUAAACAAACAAACACCAUUUGAUUGGCCUUUAGGGCAUAUUACUAACACAUAGCCCUUAGAAGGCCGAUUGCAAACAUCACCUUUCCCGGGGAUGGAGAGGAGGACGUCCUCAAGGAUAUUAUAAAGGGUUCUUAGUUUGAGUAGGUCAGUAUGGGUAGUGGCACACUUGAGGUAGUCAAUGGGAUAAGAAUCGGCCUCCAUCCUAUAGCCGAGGUUUCUUUUCUUAGAGGGUCGGCUCGGCUCAGAACUAUUCUCCUUGUUAUCACUUUCUUUUUCAGGGAUCCCAGCCCCCUCAGAACUGUGAUUCUCACCAGAAGCCGAUGCUUGUCCACCGCGAUUUCCCAUAGGUUCACAAUCAGAAGGAGGCAAAAUGGCCUUUGGACGGGGGUACUCAAGGGUAUCUCUAUUAUAAGAGGGACCUAUGUUACUGGAAGGAUUUUGGGGAUCAGUGGGUCUUAAUAAAUUGGGGUAUGAAUCUAUCUCUUCAUCACUCUCAUUUACAAUUAUUUUUCCCCUUCGUCUUGACAUAGUGAAGUCUUAAGAGAAAAAUAUAACAAAUUUAAGUAUAUGGGUACAAAAGUGUUGAGUGCGGAAUGCAGAAUCAAGCACACCAAAUAAUUAUAGAAAAAUAAUUGACACAAAAUUUAUGUGGUUCAGUAAUUAAACCUACAUCCACCGGAGCAAGAGAAAAAUAAUUGUAUUAUUAACAAUUAUUUGAGUACAAAUUUGAGUAAAGAAAUCUUACUUUCCCAUAACCCAAAUACACCCAGUACUCUCACACACACACUCUCCAAUUGCUCACACUUUCAGAACUCUCAAAAGCUUAAAAACUAAUAAGCUUAACAAAUUUUUUGGGAUACUUUAGAAUGAAGAAAUGACUUUAAUUUAUAGGCUUCAAGCUUGCACUAUUCCACUUAAUCCCUCUGCAAUUUGUCAAUCUUCAUCUCCAUCAAUUUGACAAAUUUUGCUAAAUUUUCCAUUUUUCUUCAUUUAGUGCAGGAUUGUCAAAUGCCAAAUAUUUUACAGCUUGCAGUUUUGGUGCCGACUUUGAAAAAACAAAAGCAAUGCAUGUGGCUCACUUUUCUUUUUCAACCAAUUUGAAAACACUCAUUGACUUUUCAACAAUUUUCCACCUCGGCGAAGAUUUGUUCAAAUAUGAGCCGACUCCCAACCAAUCAUCAUCCCCAAAGUGGCUGCAUCUCUGUGACUGCUACGUACACAAAAUUUGGGAUCAAGCCAACCGUAGUUCAAAAUUCCUGAAGGACAUAACUUAACAUAAUCGAAGGAUUUGAAUUAGUCUCAAGCAUUGUUGAAACUUAACUCCAGAAAUCACCUUUGUCAACAUAUCUGCUGGGUUAUCCUUGGUAUUGAUCUUUUUCAACAACACAUCACCACCCUCGAUAAUCUCUCUCACAUAAUGAUAUUUCACAUCUAUGUGCUUCGACCGAGCGUGAUAUGUUUGAUUUUUCGCGAGGAAUAUCGCACUUUGGUUAUCACAAAAGACCGCAAUGUUCUCUUGGAUUACUCCCAAAUCACAAAAUAAGCCUUUCAACCAGAUAGCUUCCUUUACAGCUUCAGUUACUACCAUAUACUCUGCUUCCAUAGUGGAUAGAGCAAUUGUCGAUUGUAGAAUCGACCUCCAGCUAACUGAUCCUCUACCCAAUGUGAAUACGUAGCCAGUUGUUGAUCUUUGCUUUUUAAGGUCUCCGGCGAAAUCAGAAUCACAAUACCCAACACAUUGUUGACCACAAUCCUUUUUUAACAAUAACCCAACAUCAACUGUCCCAUAUAGAUAUCGGAGAAUCCACUUUACCGCAAGCCAUUAAUUUUUACUCGGAUUGUGCAUGUACCUACUAACCAUUCUCACUGCUUGAGAUAUAUUGGGCCUUGUGCAUACCAUAACAUACAUAAGACUACCCACAACACUAGCAUAUGGAACACGAGCCAUGUAAUCGCGCUCCUCUUGAGAUUUAGGACAUGAAGAAGAGCUUAAUUUGAAAUGAGGAGUUAGAAGUGUACAUACCAGUUUAGUUUUGUCAUCCAUACCGAAUCUUUUUAGCACUUUCUUCAAAUAAGACUUUUGAGUCAACCAUAUGCUCCCAUUCUUCUUGUCUCUAUGAAUUUCCAUCUCAAGUAUUAUAUGUGCAUCACCCAAGUCUUUCAUCUCGAACUCAGAAGCCAGCUGCUUCUUUAAUCUUUCGAUCUCAUCUCUAUUCUUCAAAACUAUAAGCAUAUCGUUGACAUAGAGUAACAAAUAGAUGAAAGCUCCAUCUAUUAGUCUUCUAAAGUAAACACAAUGAUCGUGUUCACUUUUGGUGAAUUUCUGCCCUUGUAUAAAUUAAUCAAAUCUUUUAUACUACUGCCUUGGCGAUUGCUUCAGUCCGUAUAAAGAUUUAAUCAACCUACACACAUGAUUCUCCUUUCCAGUAACUUUGAAACCACAAGGCUGAAUCAUAUAGAUUUCCUCCUUCAAAUCUUCAUGUAAGAACGCCGUCUUAACAUCCAACUGAGCCAACUCUAACUCAUAUUCUGCAACUAAGGCAAGUAGGAUACGAAUGGAAGUAUGUUUUACAACUGGAGAGAAAACUUCAUUAUAGUCAAUACUUUCCUUUUGAGCAAAACCUUUUGCCACGAGUCUUGCCUUGUAUCGAGGAGUUGAUUGAUUUGGAGAUCCUUGCUUUUUGGUGUAGACUCAUUUAUUGCCAAUAGUCCUUUUCCCUUUUGGUAACUUUACAAGUUCCCAAGUCUGGUUUUGAUGGAGAGAUUUCAUCUCUUCCUCCAUGACUAACUUCCACUGAUCACUUUCACUGCUGCGUAAUGCUUCACCGAAAGUGUUGGGGAUGUCAUCAUCAAUAACUGAAAGUGCAUAGACUACCACCAUAUCUUUAGUAAGCCAUCCGGGUUUCUUUAUCUCUCUUCUUGGUCUCCUUGUUACUAUAAAAUCAUCAUUAUCUACAGCAUCAAUUGUUUCUUCAUUUUGUGGGACAUCAGAAGAAAUAACAUAUUCUUCAACUCUAGGUAUCACCUCCAUAGUUGAACCCUUAUUUGAUGUAGAACUAACUGGUACAUAUGGAGUUGUAUCAAACUUCACCAGCUGCAAUACCUCUUUGGUUUUGUUUUCCAUUUGCUGAGAACUUGAAGUUUUCAUCAUUGAAACUUCAUCAAAUGUGACAUCUCUGCUACACACAAACUUUUUGUCUUUGAGAUCCCAAAACUUAAAGCCAUUUACUCUACCUUUGUAUCCCACAAAAAUAGCUUUUCUAGCACGAGGAUCCAGUUUACCAUCUUUGACAUAAUAAUAAGCUAGACACCCGAAUAUACGAAGGGAAUUAUAGUCUUGUGCAUGCUUUCCAGACCACAUUUCUAUAGGAGUUUUACCUCCAAUUAUAGCAUAAGGCAACUAGUUUACCAAGUGACUUACGUAGUUCACAGUUUCAGCCCAAAACUUUUUAUCUAAACCAGUAUUAGAUAACAUACACCGUACUUUCUCCAGUAAAGUACGAUUCAUACGCUCAGCUACACCGUUCUAUUGCGGAGUAUGUCUCACUGUGAAAUGUCUUUUAAUACCGUCGUUCUGGCAUACUUACAAGAAUGGAUCAGAAGUAUAUUCACCCCCAUUAUCAGGUCGUAAUACUUUGAUUUUUCUGUCAGUUUAAGUCUCCACCAAUUUCUUCCAUUUCACGAAAAUCUCUAGAACCUCAACCUUUGCUCGCAUGGUGUACACCCACACACGUCUAGAGAAAUCAUCAACAAAUGUAACAAAAUAAUGGCUUCCACCAAUUGAUGUAGUCUUGGUUGGUCCCCAUACAUCACUAUGAACAUAUUCAAGGAUUUCACGAGUAUCGUGAUUAGCUGUACCAAACUUGACCCUUGUUUUCUUGCCUACUACACAAUGCUCACAGAAAUUUAAUUUAUAGGUUUUGGUACCUUUUAAGAGUUCGUGCCUCAUCAGAGUUUGCAAAGACUUUUUGCUAGCAUGUCCUAGUCGUACAUGCCAUAGCUUGGUGGUGUCACUAUGCGCCUCAAUAAUAUUUGCUUCAUCAGUUGUACCUCCCUUCAAAUAGUACAGAUUGUGACGCCGAACCCCUUGUAGAAUCACCAUAGCCCCAUGUGUAAACUUCAUUAUACUAUUUUCAAUGGUAGCCUUGUAGCCUUUAGCUUCUAGAGCACCCACAGAAAUUAGAUUUUUCUUUAAAACUAGAACAAAUCUAACCUCUUUGAGUUCUCUGACCAUUCCAUUAAACAUUUUGAGCCGAAUUGUUCUUAUCCCCAUUGUGCGACAAUGUUGAUCAUUCCCUAUCACAACUGCACCGGAUUUUAGAUUACGAGUAUUCGUAAACUAUUCCUUAAUAGGACACAAAUGAUAGGUUGCUCCAGUAUCAAGUAUCCACUUACUCGAACUAGCCACGUAUGCUGCAAGAGUAAUACUUAGUGAAUAAUCAGAAUCUUCAUCUUUCGUGCCAUGUUUGCUGCUGUUGGUUUUUUCCCAUCUCUGUUUUGAGCUUUUAGACAAUCUUUCCUCCUAUGAACCUUUUCAUGACAAAAGGCACACUCGUCUCGAGCUAUAUCUCUGCUUCUCGAUUUGGAUCGAGAAUUCUUUCCACCACCCUUUUUCUUUUUCUCCAUCGCCCAAUCUUUACUCACCAAAACUUCAGACGAUACUCGUUCAGAAUUUUUAUUAUUAUUCUGAAUCUCCAAGUUAGUCAAUGCUGUGCAAACAUCUUUGAAGAUGAUCACGCUUUUCCCAUAUAUCAAGGUAGUCACAAAAUGGCUAUCUUCCUCUGGUAGUGAGUGUAACAGAAUCAUAGCCUUGACUUCAUCCUUAAUAUCUUCAUCAAGAUUCUUCAAAUCAGCAAGUAACUUUUCAAAUCUCGAGACAUGAUCGUGCAUUGAUACCCCAGGCUUCAUUCGAAAGCCAUAUACUUGGCUCAUUGCAUGAAGACGAUUUUCAGGACUUUUCAGCCUAUACUUCUUCUCUAAUGUAUGCCACAAAGUCACCGCACACUCCUCAACUUUCACCAAGUAUUUUACCUCCUUGGUCAAAUAAGAUCUGACCUGACCACAAACUUUCUCGUUCAUACGAUCUCAAAUUUCUUCAUCAUACAAGUGUAUUUUAUUUUUCAAAACAAUAUCGAGAUCGAUUUGAAUAAGGGCAUCCAUAACUUCGCGCAUCCACAUGCCGAAAUUGAUUUUCCCAUCAAACUUUUCAACAUCGAUCUUCUGGCCUCCUAUAACAGGUGCUGAAUAGCGAUUUUACAAGUCUCGUCUCCCACUUGAAGUGUCUUCUAAAAUAGUCUCGAUAGAUCUCUCCUUAAUUCUGGAAGUUUCACCUUAUACCAUUUUCUCAACGAACUAUUUCCACUUGAAAAACAGCCUCUAUGAUGUUAAUUUCGCGUGAAUAAAUGUCCCAGGAAAGUUCCCUAAAGACUAGACGGGAACUCGGUCCUAAUUAAAAAUCGGAAUCCUUAGACUCUUAUCGCCUUUGUUGACAGAACUUUCAUAGACAUGUAAAAAUACACACUACUUACAAUAGACUGUCUCCCAAGUACAAAUGGCCGCCUCCACCGUAUUCGUGAAUAGUACUGUAUAUGUGAACAAUACAGUAUACUGGAAUAGUACUGUAUAUGUGAAUAGUACUGUAUCCCCCCAAGUACGAACCGUCGGCUCUGAUACCAGUUGUUGAGUGCGGAAUGCGGAAUCAAGCGCACCAAAUAAUUAUAGAAAAAUAAUGGGCACAAAAUUUACAUGGUUCGGUAAUUAAACCUAUAUUCACCGGAGCAAGAGAAAAAUAAUUGUAUUAUUAAUAAUUAUUUGAGUACCAAUUUGAGUAAAAAAAUCUUAUUUUUCCAGAACCCAAAUACACCAAGUACUCUCACACACACUCUUGGUAGUGUGUCUUUUAUGGGCACGAUCUGACUAGAAAAGAUACCGACCAGAAGUUCAUACUGACCAGGUACUUGUCACUCAAAGAGAGGACGUGAUCUCACAAACACGCGACAAUUUCACCACGCCCCAAACCGCUGGGAAAACACGACGCCCCACGAUUACCCACGUUCGGUUGUUGAAGACCCAUUAAGGCCCUUAACCACCCAAAUAUGACGAGCAUGGAAAAUACCCUGAAAAAGUGGGAUGAUUGCCUAUAAAAAGCGGAGAAAUCAAUGAAGAGGGGGAGAGACAAAAAGAGAGAGAGGGGAAACUCUGUCAAAUUGACUCCAGGCAUUGUUACAUAGCCACCUUAAAUACAUUUUAUCUUAAGAACAUCGCAAUGAAUGUGUGUGAGCAUAAAUCAUAUAGUUUUCCCGUAAAUUCCAUUUCCUGACUUAAGUAUCGGAGGGUUUAUGCCGGAAAAACCAUCAGCGUCUCUGAUUUGUUUUUGUGAAUGCAGGUUUAGAAAGAAAAGGGAGAGUGAUUCGGUUCCCAGGAGCUCGGGCAAUUACUAUAGCUGGUGGAGCGCAACCUCUUCUUCAUUGUCAACACACUUGUUGAUGAUCCCAUCUGGUCGGGCAAAAGGCGACUAGAUUUCAGCAUCAACAGUACGUUCAGACAAAACACCUACUCCUGUUUUAGAAACGGCCUCCUCUAUUUUACUGUUUGGUGAUUGCAAAAAUUUGUCUAAAUAAUGCAUAGUUGUAGAGUUAAGAAAAAAAGUUAUGUUAAAAUAAAGAAGCAUCAGAGAUCCCCCGAUAUUAUUAUCAUCCAGAACAAUAUGUUUAUUGGGCCAAAGUGGGCUAACAUACAUGGGUUCAAGCUUGCAAAAUCCACAUUUAUGUAUAAUUAUAUAGUAAUUAAAUACUGAAUUUGAACUCAUACAACUAUUCAAUCAUUUGGAUUUCAAAUCUGUGUUCAUUGAACUAAAUACUGUCAUGUAUUCGAGUGAACAGAUAAAGAAUUCACAAUCUGUUCUCAAUUUUGACUUCAUAAUAUUCCAGCUAUGGUCGCAUUUCUAUUACUGUAUGGUAAAUAUGACUUUUAAAUAAUUUUUUUGACAAAAUUAGUCAAGGUGCCAUAUGUGUAUCAAAUAAUAGUUGAUAAAAUCAUCUUAUAUUUUGAACUACAGAAGUAAGUAUUCAUCAAACACUUUAUAAUUGUCAGUCAAUGUUUAUGUGAACGUGACCGAAAAUGGUUACUAAGUGCAUGUUUGGGAGUUAGGAUUAAGUAUGGGAUUAGAAUAACUUUGGUAUUAAAUAUUUUAUCCCAUGUUUGGCUACUUUGCUUGGAUUGGAUUAAGGAGGACUAAAUUUAAAUUUAGGGCUUAAAUCAUGGGAUUAACAAUCGCAAUUUAUAAGUGGAUUUAGAUGGGAUUAGAAUAAGAGAAAAAAAUUUUGUUCAUGUUUCUUUCAUAAAUAACACUAUUUUUUAUUUGAAACCUAAAAUUUAAUUACUUAAUUUAUUAUUUUAUUCAUGAUUUACAUGAAUUUAUUUUUUAUUUUAUUUUUAUAGUCUAAUUACAUUGGUACUUUACUCCAACAAAAUUAACUAUUUAAUAAUUUGUUACAAUAAUUGAUUGUAUUAAAUUCAAUAAUCAACUAUGUAAUAUUAAAAAUAAUCAUAGAAAUUAAUAAUACAAAUAAAUAAUUGAUUUUGUAUAUACAUUAUUUGCUAACUUUUUGAUAAAAUAAAAUAUAUCUAAAAUAUCCGAUAAAAAUUAAUUAAAUAAUUAAAUAGUUUUAUUAAUUUAUAUUUGUUUAUUAUGAAUAUGACUACCCAAUAACUAAUUUACUACAUAUUUAAUGCUAUUGUUAAUUAUCUUUAAAUUAAUUUUAAUUAUUACUUUUAAAUAUUCUUAACUUUUUUUUUGUAUUUAAAUAUGAUUUAACAUUGUCUAAUUCGAUAUUGUACCAAACAUAGUACAAUAUAUAAUAUAAUCUAGCUUAAUCUAAUCUAACUUAAUCCAGUCCAAUCUUAAAAAUUAGCCCAAUUCAAUUCUACGUGUCAAGCACAACCUAAGAGUUCCUAGUGUUAAAAAUUUAACAUACCCACGAUCCAUUAAUGGGAUAAUUUAUUUUAUAAUAAUCAAAUUGAAGAUCAAUUUGUACGAUGAUGAGCUUUCAUGUUUCUGUCAAACAUGAAAUAAUUUUGUAAACAAUGGCCACGUGGAACUUAUAACCAAUCAUCAUUUGUUGAUAGACAAGUGAAAUAACAAAAAAGCAGCGGGUUUGGGCUUUCUCCAGGAAUCGGCUUAACACAAACAAUGUGGGGUUUCUUGAUCUUCUUAAAGAUCAAGCAUAUACGUAUACAUGUUCUAUACCUAUCAAUCAUUCCCCUAUUCUUCGGUUUGGUGAUUGCAAAUAACAUUCUUUGCAUCUACUCUUUAUUUAUUUAUUUAUUUUUAACUCAUUAAUUCUUGUUCUUCUUAAAGCGUUUAGUAAAUAUAUCAUCACCGGGUCAAAUCCCUAACAUUAACGUACACAUAAUCUAUUAAUGAAAUUUAUUAUUUUAUCAUAAUCAAAUUGAAGAUUAGUUCAUGCAGUUUUCUAUGAUGAGGAGUAUUCACUUUUCUGUUAAAUACAAGAACGAUUCGUAAAUAAUGUCCAUUUGGAACUAGUAAUAACGAAGCAUCAUUUGUGGACCGAAUAAAUGAAAUAACAUUUUAGUUUCUCUCUAAAAUGUCAUUCUUCAUUCAAGCUUUUGCUGCAUCUUUUAUCAGGCAUCUUAUAAAGCUUUUCCCUACUAAUACUAAUAAACUUUGUAAAUCAAUAUUCUUUUCAAUUUCACAGGACACAAGUAAUGCAUAUUCAAGCACAACAGGUAUUUAUUCGUUAGAAACUCCAACUUAAUUAUUUCAUUGGAAAAUAUGAAACGCAGAGCCAUAAACUAGUGCUUUCUUCAAUUUAAUUGGGUUGAACAAACUUUUUAAUGUAUUUUCCCCAAUCCAUUUCUUUUAUCUCACUGCAUGCUUUAUUAAAGCUUUGUCUUUGUUCUUGAUUGAUGACCUUCAAAAUUAAAUCUUAAAAAUCGGGUAUAAAAGGGGUGCUUGAUUUAAGUCUUCUUCUUUUGCAAUUCAUUGUUAUUGCUCUUUUCAGCUUUUUACUCGCAAAACUUCUUACUCACAAAUUCCUCUGCAGUUAACCGUGAUCUUUUACUCAUUAAAAUUGUUCUUAUUAAUUCUUUUUUAUAGAGAGAGAGAGAGAGACUCAAAGAGAAUUAAAAAAAAAGUAAUUCUAAAUUUUUGCUUGUGCAUUGUGUGAUUUUUACCAUUUUUAAAGUUGGUGAUUUGUAUUGAAUAAAUAAAAUAAUAAAUAGAUUUAUGGACUACUCUUUUUUGUUAUAAUAAACAUCAGAGGUCCUUUCCUGAUGUUUCAUUCCAUAAGAAUAAAUUAUAAUUUUAUUGAUAUAGUAACGUCAAUAAUAGAAAUCCUAACAAACAUACAAACUUUAGAUUAUGGAUUAAAGCACUACAAGGUGAAUGGAUCACAACAAAUUAUUUAUACUACAAGGUGAAUGGAUCACAACAAAUUAUUCUGACGAAAGCAUAAACAAGAUGAUUGAAUCAAGAGACUAUUACAUGGGAAACCAAUCCAGAUGAAGCCUGUGAUAAAGAAUAGCCGUACGCCCAUUUACCUCUUUAGCUAAGCUGCCAUACUGAAGGAGGCAAUCCCACCCGCACAAAACAUGAAAAACGAUGUACACGUGGCAUGAACUUUGAGAAAGCUACAUAAAAAUGAUCUGAUGGCCAAGGGAUACAACAGUUGUACGACCAAAAAGGGUAGAAAUCCAUGUCUAGUACACUGCCCUCUUCAAUACCUCUAAAUACUGAGUCAAAUUGAUAUGAAUUUCAUGGAUGAAACUAUGCAACAAUCGAUAAACCUUGCUGGCCAUUAUAAGCCUAUGCACACAGAUUAUAGAACGAUGCAGCGAUGCAAACCAAGAAUUACUAGGGUAUAGACAGUAAGAUUAAAUAGAAUAAUUUGACUACAUUACAAGCAAACUGUCACGGACCGCAAUCGUGGCACCCAAGAUAUGCGCUUGUACGCUAGUGUCGAUGAUGGUUGUUGAUGCUGAAAUCUGCUCGCCUUUUGACCGACCAGAUUCUUUCACCAACGUUUGUGUUAUCUACUGUUGCUCGUUCACUGGGAUUGGAUUCGUCCUCCUUUCUCUCAAUAGACCUGCGCUCACUAAAAACGGAUCAGAGACGCCGGUGGUUUUGCCGGCGUAAACCCUCCGAUGUCUAAGUUAGCUCAAGGUGUUUACGGGAAAACAGUGCAAUUUAGAUCUCAAAACGGUUUCUAAAUUAUUCGGAGUUUAUAAGAAAAUGGCCUGAUUGUAAUUUGGCAGCGUUUUCCCUCUCUCAAUUUUUUCUAUCCCCAUCUUCAUCGAUUUCUUCCUCUUUUAUAGCCGUUGUCCCCACGUUCCCAUUUGCCUUUCACCCUACCUUUUUCGGGUAGUGGCAGCCUCUCAUGGAACUCUAACCGCUGCAUUACGGGCAAACGUGGGAUCUCGCAUCCUCCGCAACGGUUCUGGGAACAGCGCAACUACCGCGAUUCUGUGGGAUCUGUUCCCGCUUUUUGGGGGACGGGUACCGGCUCGGUAUAUACCUCUGGUCGGUAUAUUUCCCUGGUUGGUAAUCGCCUCUGGUCGGUUCAUGCUUGUCCCCGUGUUCUGCUCGCACCAUUUGGCUAAGAUGAUCCAUGCCGGGGUGGAGAUUAGUAGCAUGGCCGACCUGGUGCUUUUAUUUACUUAACAAUGGUUGUGCUGAUUGUUGGAGACGUGCUUCAGGGGCGUGCGUGUUGGGAAUACAAUGCCCUAGACUCUUUGGAGUUCAGGCAGGCCGACCCGGUUGAGUUUGGGGAGCUUGUCGCUAGUCAAGGACUUAACGCUGAAGAGGGGUCUAGGAAAAUCCUGACGCACACUGGUUGGGAAUUGAAGCCGUUCUCCUGAUGAGCCCAAGGCAGGGCGAAACCAGUUGACAUUGUGUCACUUCCUCUAGGCUUACUCUCGUAGUAUGGGAUGCGGGAGUGCCGCACGGGCUCGAAACCUCUCGUCCCGUGACAAAUGGUAUCAGAGCCGCGCUUGUCAUCUCUCGAAGCCCUCGUCGCGAGCUCGCCAAGCGCUCCAAUGCCGCACCACGCGGGUCCCCACCCUUUCAGAUACAAGAGUUGACAAGCGGGACGAACAGGCGGGUUCUCACACCCCCAAGCGUUCGCACCAAGUGGAUGGUGUCUCCAUGCGGGUCCUCUCCAUGGAUUGAGGACGUGCAUGUAGGCAGGGAGUUCAUGGGUUGAGUUUGGCAAGUCGAUCUUCACAUUUUUGCGUGGAAGUGCACACUUGCGAGGCGUACUCCUCAUGCACGAGGACGUGCAUGGUUAUGGCGGUGGGAGAAUGUCACGGACCGCAAUCGUGGCACCUAAGAUAUGCGCUUGUACGCUAGUGUCGAUGAUGGUUGUGCUGAUUGUUGGAGACGUGCUUCAGGGGCAUGCGUGUUGGGAAUACAAUGCCCUAAACUCUUUGGAGUUCAGGCAGGCCGACCCGAUUGAGUUUGGGGAGCUUGUCGCUAGUCAAGGACUUAACGCUGAAGAGGGGUCUAGGAAAAUCCUGACGCACACUGGUUGGGAACUGAAGCCGUUCUCCUGAUGAGCCCAAGGCAGAGCGAAACCAGUCGACAUUGUGCCACUUCCUCUAGGCUUACUCUCGUAGUAUGGGAUGCGGGAGUGCCGCACGGGCUCGAAACCUCUCGUCCCGUGACAAAACGCUGCCUACAGACUUGUUAUAAUCUAAUCAGUAAACCUAUUCGACUUGCUAGGAAAAAAAUAGGGCUUUUUUGUUUUCAUUCCCCUUUGGUGAUUGCAAAAAUUUAAAUCUAAAUUUAUGGUGCAGGCUACAUGGCACCUAGUGGAUGAUUGUUAGGGUUUGUCUUUUGCUCUUAGUUAGGAAUUUAAUUAAGAAUUUAUAGUGUGCGCCUUAUCGAAGUAGGUUUCCUAAUAGUAAUUAAAUAAUCCAAAUUUAUGAUGCAUUAGCAUAUGAUUGUGAUAAAUAAGCUUUUUAUGUAUCCUGUAAGGCUAAUUACUGUUUUAUUAGAUUCUCUUGUUAGUCUUGUGAAUCAACGAGAUUUAAUUAGUAGUAGAUAAUACUUUAGGCUUCACAGGCGCACUAUUUUAUCCGCUAAAUCAAUUUUUUUUUUAAAUUAAAAACAAUUCAUCAAACACUUUAUAGUUCUAACUUUUAAGCUGGUAAACACUUUAAGCCACAACUUUAAAUUCAGUUUACGAGAAUUCCUAAUAGUCACAGUGGCUUGGGUGGAAAUGAAUAUAAAUAAUGAAAUACUAUCUAAGCAACUCAAGGGCGGUGAAUUGAGUUUCUAAAAAUUUUGUAAAACUUAAUUCAAAUAUGAAACGAAUUAAAACAACAGUAAGUAAAUCAACCAAAAUAUAAAAAGAUAGGGGAAGAGAGAUUCAAACACAGAGAUUUUUAUGUGGUUCGGCCAACCUCGCCUACAUCCACGCCUCCAAGCACACCGAGCUUGAGGAUUCCACUAGUCAUGCCUUUAAGGCUUCAAGAACACCUACAAUUGACUUCAAAGAUGUCAAUCAACCUUUACACCAAGAAAUUAUCCUCAAUCUCUUAACCCAAGUGUAUCCUAACACUUACAAUUUCUCAAUUUGAUUUAAAAAUAAAUACAAAAUAAAUCUCUCUCACACAAUGUGUUUGAUUACAAAUGAAAUUCUAAAGUGUGAAUAAAUGAGAUGUAUACAAGAAUUUAAAACUCAAUGAAAGUUGUAUGCUCAAUAAUUUGCUCAAUGAUAAUGGUUGGAAUCGUUGUUAUUUGAAUUUGAUUGAACUUAUUUAUAGUUGGAGCUGAAAUAUAGUCGUUAUUGACUUUUUGCUCAAUGUUGGAUUGCCGUUUUGACUAUGAGCAAGUUACCGUCGGACAAAAUUUUAAAUUCUCGGACCGUCGAUUUCAAGAUGUCGAAUCGCCGUUAAUGUCCAGAGGCUGCUCUUCAAUUCUGUUCAAUGUCGGCUAGCCGUUAUCAAGAGAUCGGUUAGCCAUUUGCUACAAUGACUGCUACAGUGAACUAUUUCUAAAAUUAUAAUUUGGCCCCAAAACUUUAUAAAAUUUACUAUGACCGAUAACUUUAUAAAAUUUUGUCAAAUAAGUCCAUUUCCAAAAUUUUAAGCAAUAUUUGCUAAUUUCAAAGUUCUCAAAACUUUUUCAAUUUAAAUCAUUAACAUGAAAAUAACUAAUAUCAUAAAAUUACUUUUCAUUGAAUAUAAAGCCUUAAUAUGAAAAAAAAAUAAUUUGAGCUUUUAAAUCAAGCUUAACCAAGUUUGUUAUCAUCAAAAUCAAUAUUAAAGAAAUAUUUAUGUUGACAAAUAAUGUUUAAUUUUAAUGUACAAAGCACUGGUGCAUUUAGAAGGUACUACUGUGUAAACAAAAUUUGUGCUUGCAACUCAUCUUUUCAUUCAACUUUCUAAUAAUAAUAAAAUAAUACAGAGGAGAAAUAGGGGCUCUCUUUCCGUUUCCCAGUGUUUGUGUUUGGUGAUUUUAACUUUAUCAUGGAAUUGUCAAUUUUUAGUUGAAAGUUAUCUAAAUCUUCUUCUCUAUAUAAGCGUUUACAAUGAUUUUGUGAAACACAGCAAAAACAAUAAUAAUAAGUAUAUUUAUUCAUCUAAGAGGUCAAACUCUCAUGCUCAGAUAUGGAUAGUCCCAUUUUUUGAUCAGGGACAUCUCUUUACAAGCGUUGAAUUAUGCAAGCAAAUCGCUCCUCAAAAUUACCAAUCUACCCUCAUCGUUACCUCUCAAGUACCCAUAACUAUAGUUACCCAUUACUCUCUUCGCCAAGGCACACAGAUUAAAGAAUGCUUAGGGUGAAGGCAGUAACUGUCCUGAAAUAUGACUUUUAAAUUUUUAUUUUUUUUUUACGAAAUUAGUUAAAAUGCCAUAUGUGUGAUCAAAGUUGUUAAAUAUCUUAUCUUUCAAAUUAUAGGAGUAAAUAUUCACCAAACACUUUAUAAUUUUUAGUCAAUGUUUAUGAAAACACGGCCGCAAAAUGGUUACUAAUGCUAGGGAUCAAUAAUCAAACUGAAGUUUGUACGAUGAUGGGCUUUCGUGUUUCAGUCAAAGAUGAAAUAAUUUGUCAAUAGUGGCCAUGUGGAACUUAAAACCAAGCAUCAAUUGUUGACAUAACAAAUGAAAUAACAAAAUGGCAGCGGGGUUGGCGAUACAAAAUCAAAUCUUUUUUAUUCUUUUGAUUUUUGAUUUUUUCUAUUGCAUUCUGCUUUCUUAAAAGUUUGGUCCAAUUAAAGAGAAUACGGAGCAAUGACUUGUAUCAUCUGUGGAAUAAUCCAUAGAAAUAUAUAUGUGAAGCACGCCAAAGAAAAUGGCGCUGAUGACAUACUCCUAAGAAUUGUUCAUACUGAGUCAUCCAUCAAUCAACGGGUGGAUUAUUAUCUCACUGUAGAUGAAAUUCAACUGCAGAAGUAAUCGGAUGUGGGAUCCCAAUUUUGGCGUGACCAAUUAGAGGUUAUCAAUAUUAUAAUGCGAAAUUGAUGAUCAAUCAUCUUAAUGUGGGGUACAUGAUUUCUGAUGAUCCAUCAAAAAUACAAAGUUGAUUCAAAAGGAUGAUACGGUGAGUGGAACAGACAGGCUGAUGGGAAAUCAAGCUAUUAAAAAACGAGCUCACAUGCUUCAUAUUGCAUUUGAUCAUGGCUGUCCUAGAAGUUCAGUGGCUGCUUCGGAUGCUUUCAAAGUUCUUAUUAACCAGAAAGCAGUUUAACAAAAACAAGUAUUGUGCAUAUUAUUAACCAUAUGCUUUCAAAGAUCAUGUAUAAGCAUAUCAGAGAUCUUGUUGGCUUGAAGAUCUUCUUUGGAUGCUUUCAAUACCUACACUUAUACUACCAUAUGUAAAGCCUUUGUUACUGAUUGCAUUCAAUUAUUCAAUUAAAAGUCUUACAAAGCAUCUAAAAUGGAAGAUGGAACAUCCUCCAUCCAAAAAACAAAACGGAAGUCAAAACGUUGAUAUUGUUUUAUGUUUAAUAUCAUGAUACUAGAACUUUUUAGGCUAAAGCACCUACCUGCUGUGAGCUUUACUACAAAAAAAUGAGACUAUUUAGUUGUGAGACAAAUAGAGAGGGAAAGUUUUUACCAUUUAGCUAAAUUUCGAUCUUAUGCAAAAUAAUAUAAUUCAUUUGUUAUUAUGACCUAACCAACUCAAAACAAAAAGGAUUAUUAUGGCCUAACACAGUUCAAAAUGCAUGCAACAAUGGUGUAUUUAAAAUGGAACUAAUGUACAAAUAAAAUUUAUGCAUCUCUUGGAGGAAGGCCUUUAGGCCAACAAAUGAAAAUAGUGAGCUCGCAUUUUCUAUUAUCAUUUUCACCACUUGAAAAAGAGAGGGAAAAAAAUUGAGAGGAAAAACAGGGCUCCCCUGUUUUCAUUUCCCAUUUUUUCAGUUUGGUAAUUGUAAAUAACAUUCUUUACUUCCCUCUUUAUUUUAUUUUUUUUUUAUUUUUAACUCAUUAAUUCUUUUUCUUAUUCUUGCUAAAGCGUUUAGUAAAUCUUAUGAUCAUCUGAUCAAAUCCCUAACAUUAACAUACCCAUAAUCUAUUAAUGAAAUUUAUUUAUUUUAUAAUCAUCAAAUUGAAGAUUUGUUCAAUUUUGUAUGGCGACCAAUUUUCAUUUUUCUAUUAAACAUAAGAAGAAUUUGUACAUAAUGUUCAGGUCGAAACUCGUAAUAACGACGCAUCAUUUUUCGACAGAACAAAUGAAAUAACAAAAAAGUAUAAAUCAAGUCAUUAUUGAUCCUACUUUGAUGAUCGAACUUUGGUUUCUUUCUAAGAUGCCAUUCCUCAUUCAAGCUCUUGCUUUUCUCUUUUAUCCGACAUCUUACAAAGCCUUGUCCCUACUAAUAAGCUCUGCAUAUCAAUAUUCUUUUCAAUUUCGCAGGAUACAAGUAAUGUAUAUGCCAAAAUUAUUCAAGCACAACAGGUAUUUAUUCGUUGAAAACUUUUAACUUGAUUAUUUCGUUAGAACAUAUGAAACGUAGAGCUAUAACUUAGUGCUCUCUUCAAAUUAACUGGGUUGAACAAAAAAUUUUAAAGUAUUUUACCCGAUCCAUUUCUUGUAUCUCACUGCAUGCUUUGUUAAAAGCUUCGUCUUUUGGUCUUGAUUCUGAACUUCAAAAAUUAAAUCUUAAGACUCGGGUAUAAAAUGGGUGCAUGAUUAAGUCUUCUUCUUUUCCAAUUCAUUGCUAUAACUCACACCAACAUUUUACUCAGACAUUCCUCUGCAGUUAACAGUGGUCUUUUACUCAUUAAAAUUUUUCUUAAUAAUUUCUUUGGAUACCCGUUCUCACUUAAUAUUCAAGGCGAAUAGAGAAGCUCAUCAACUCUUUGAUCCCAGACAAUUAAAGAAGUACACAUGUUCUAAAUCAUCUAAUAAUUUCUUUUAAUAGCUGUUCUUAAUUUCCAUCUACUUUGCAAGAAAAAAUUUAUCUUGUUUGUUUUCAUCUUGUCAUCUAUUUUGCUUGAGUUUUAAGUUAUUGUUCAUUUGUAAUGUCUGUGUUCUUAUUAUUAGCUUUGGAUAAUUUGCAUCCAUGUCUUUUCUUUGUUUGUGGGCUUUUAUUCAGACCCCCUGAAACCUUUCUGUUAAUAUAAAAACUCUAAUCCUUGAGCAAAAGGUUAAAAAAAGAAAAAGAAAGAAUUCUCUGUUUAGAUAUCAGUUGGGUUAAGAACAAUGUUGUUUGUCUCCUGUCUUUUCUUUGUUUGUUUGUUUGUUUAUUUUGUCAUUUUAUUAGAUUUGCUUUGUAUCUAAUUUUACUUGAAGAUUAAAGCUGAGCGAGAAAUGCCUUUUUUUUUUUUCUGAAGCAACCUACAAAUUUUAGAAUAGGGCCAAGAGUAUUAAAGAUUCAAUUAACCGCAAAAAGUUAUUUACAUGCAUCGCUUGCAAACUUAAGCUUAUCAUCCCAAAUUGAGUUGCUUGCAUUAGAAAUUUUCAUGCAUUCACGAGCAUUAUCAUCAUAUCACAAGAUAGCCUGAAAAACAAGAUAAAUCAAUUUGAGCAACAAGUUUCCUCUGUUUUCGUUCCUCUGUUUUCAUUCCCUGUUUAUUGAUAUUUUUUUUUUUUUUUGGCCUGAAAUUAAGAAGAAAAAAGUGGUAAAACAAGUCACCACUGUUUUUAUUCCCCUGUUUUUCGUGGAAAGAAUAAAUGAAAUUGAAAAAAAAAAAAGCAGCGUUGGCAAUACAACAUGAAACUUUAAAUUUUUAUUUUAUUUUUAUUUUUGAUUUUGAAUGUGCAUAAGUCAAAUCAUAUAUUAUUGAUCUUACUUCGAUUAUUUGCUGUUUAGUUUCUCUCUUAAAUGCUUUUUGUUUGUUUCCGGUAUUUGCUUUUAUAAAAGUUUUAGUCCUCAAUCAUUCGUUCAAGGAUUUGCUUUCUCUUUUAUUAGGCAUUUACAUUGCUCUGUCGAUCAAUAUUCAUUUGAAUUUCACAGUACACAAGCAAUGUAUAUACCAAAACUUAAUUAUUUCUUUAGAAUAUAUGAAAACGUAAGAGUUGUGAACUACUGCUUUCUUCUUCAACAUGCGUCAACAGGGCAACAAUAACCAAAUACAUGAUAUACAAAAGCGGUGCAUGACUAAUUCUUUUUCUUUUGCAGGUCAUUGUUAUUGCUCUCGUCAACUUCUUUUCUCACACAUUUCCCAGCAGUUACCAGUGAUCUUUUUUCUCCUUCAACUUGUUCUUACAUAUUAAAGGCGAAAUAGAAAAGCUCACCAACUCUCUAAUCCCAGAUAAUUAAAGAGGUGCACGUUUUCUAAAUCCUUUAACUUUUUUUUUUUUUUUUUUUAUAGUAGAACCCCUGAUCCUUGAUCUUGACAUUUGUUCCUUCAUAAUUUCCAUCUACUUUCCAAGAAAAAUUUCUCUGGUUUGUUUUAAUAUUAUAACUUAUUUUGCAUGAGUUUUAAGUUACUAUUCAUUGUUAAAGCUUGUGCUCUUAUUAUUUCCUUUGGUUAACUUGCAUGCUUUUCCCCAAAAAAAAGAAAAAAGUUUAUAAAAAGAUUAUAGGUUUUUACUCAGACCCUUGAAACCUUUCUGAUAAUACCAAAAACACUAAUCCUUUAACAAAAGAAAGCAAGAAAAAAAAAGGUCCUAUAUUUUAAUAUCUGUUGGCUUUGUAUUGAUAUUGCUUGUUUGUUGUCUUUUAUUUCAUUGUUUGUAUCUAAGUUUACUUGAAGAUUAAAGAUCAGUAGGAAAAGCCCUUUUUAUAAAGCUAACAUACACAUUUUAGAAUAGGGCUCAACCGCAUGAAAAUAUUUACAUUGUAGUAUCUCAUAUUAAUAAUCUAAAAAAAACCAAUCCAACAAGUUCAAAUUCACUGAAAUCUAAAAAAGAUUGCUUUUAAGGAGUACAUGAUAGCUAUUGAAUUUUGGUUAAAGAUCUUUUAGGCAGAAUUGAAAUUCACUCAGUCAUAAAUCAACCAAUCCAACGAGUUCAAGUGCAGAGUCAAUUGAACAAAUUCAUCACUUGCAGAAUUAAGCUUAUCUUCCGCAAUUGAGUUGUUUCCAUUAGAAAUUUUCCCGCAGUCACGAGACUAUCAUCAGAACAUGAUUAUUUAUAUAAGAACAAGAGUUAAGAGGAGAAAAAUAAGGCAAAACAAGAUUCUUCUGUUUUCAUUCCCUUUUUUUUUUUUUUGUUUGGUGGUUGAAAAAUUUUAUCUCUAAAUUUUUAUAAUUUUUCGUUAAAGUUUAUAUUUAAAUAAAGGGUUAAAAAAAUCUAGUUCUAAAUUUAUGCAUUGAAUGAUUAUUAUUAUUGGUUACGAUAUCAAUUAAAUAACAAAUAGAGCUACUAAUCACUUUGUUAAAAAUGAACAUGCGUUCUGUUUAUAUGACAGAGCAAAACACGGGGUGCACGCUUAAGUCUUGUUCUUUUACAGUUCAAUUGUAUUACUUACUCUCAUAAACUCUUUACUCACAUUCCUCUGCAGUUAACCGUGAUCUUUUGCUCAUUAAAAUUUUUCUUAUAUAUUCAAUGCCAAUAGUGAAGCUCAUAAACUCUGUGAUCCUGAAUAAUAAAAGAGGUGAACUUGUUCUAAAUGAUAGCUAUUCAACUUGGUUAAAGAUCUUUUAGAAAGAGUUCAAAUUCAGUCAAUCAUAACUCAACCUAUCCAACAACUCCAAGUCUAGAGUCGAUUGAGCAAGAUUCAUCACAUGCAAAAUUAAGCUUAUCAUACCCAAAUUGAGUUGUUUCGGUUAGAAAUUUUCCAGCAGCCAUAAGCAUCAUCAUUGUGUUUCCGUUAGGAAAUUGAGUUGCUUAUCAUACCCAAAAUAUUUAUAUAAGGACAAGAGUUAAGGAAAAGAUCCCUCAAGGAAAAGGUCCCUCUGUUUUCAUUCCCCUGUUCUUUCGUUUAGUGAUUGAAAAAUUUUAUAUCUAAAUUUUAUUAUUUUCCAUUGAGGUUCAUUUAAAACAGAAAAGAAUUAAAAAUGUAAUUCUAAAUUUACCCUAAUUCACGGAGUGAUUAUUAUUAUGUUAUCUCAAAAUUGGCCAUACGAAUUAAAUGACUAAUAGAGUUAUUGACAAUUUUGUUAAAAAUGAACAACCGAUAAGUCAUUAUCUUUUGCACUUCAUUCUUAUUACUCUCAUAAACAUUUUAAUCACAUUUCUCUGUAGUUAACAAUGAUCUUUACCCAUUAAAAUUGUUCUUACAUAUUCAUGGCAAAUGAAGAAGCUCAUCAACUCUGUGAUCCCAGAUUAUUAAAGAGGUGCACAUGUUCUAAACCCUUUAAUAGUUUCUUUUGAUACCAUAAUCUAAUCCUUGAUCUUGAUAAUAGUGCUUUCGCAACAUCCAAGUAAAAAUUUCUCUUGUUUGUCUUAAUCUUGUCAUUUAGGUUUCUCGACUUUUAAUUUAUUAUUCAUUGUUGACUUCUGUGUUCUUAAUAUUAGCAUUCGUUAACUUACUUAAAUCCAUCCUUUUCAACAGCCAGAAAAAUAUAUAUUGUUAAGCAACAGGAGAUGGCAGAAGUAUGUCUUGCUAUUUUUUCCUGCGUAUCAGAAGGUACAAAGACAUUGUCUGAACCGAUUAUAGGGCAGAUGUCUUAUGUGCUCAAGUGCCAGAGCUACAUAGAUGGGCUAAAAGACCGAGUAGAGGAGCUGGGACAAAGAAGAAAAAGGGUGGAAAUACUGGUUGAUCAGGCUCCUGGACAAGGAUAUAAGAUUUUUGGGGAUGUCACAGAGUGGCUAGGGAAAGUUGAGCAAUUCACUCAAGGGUAUGCAAAACACAUCAUUAAUGAUGAAGAUGAAGUUAGGAAGCCCUGCUUUAAAGGAUUGUCCCCAAAUUUGAUGUCUCGUUAUAAACUCAGUAAACGAGCAGUGAAGGCUGCAAAAUAUGCUGAAACUCUCUUGGCAACAGGCAACUUAUGGAUCAUGAGUAAUGUUUCCCACCCUCCUUCCCCAAAGAUGAGAGAAUUUGGCAACAUGAAAGAUUACGAUAUCUUUAAUUCGAGAAAGAAAAUAUUUCAAGAUGUUAUAGAGGCGUUGAAAGAUGAUAAGCUCAACAUAAUUGGGGUCUGCGGAAUGGGCGGCGUGGGUAAAACCACGCUAGUCAAGCAAAUUGCAAAGCAAGUUAUGGAAGAUAACGUGUUCGAUAAGGUCGUUAUGGCUGAGAUAACAAAGAACCCAGAUGCUCAAAAAAUUCAAGGAGAACUCGCUUCCGAUCUAGGCAUGAACUUUGACUCGAAUGAUCACAUAUACCACAGAGCAAAACAACUAUGUCAAAGAUUGAAGAAAGAGAAGCGAGUCCUCAUUAUAUUAGAUAAUAUUUGGACAAAACUUGAGUUGGACAAAAUUGGAAUUCCUUAUGGGGAUGUUGAUGAGAAAGAUAAAAAUGAUGAUCCGAGAAGAUGACGAUAAUAUUGACGUCUAGAAGUCGAGAUUUAUUGUGCAUUGAUAUGAAUUCUCAGAAAAUGUUCUGGAUCGAUGCUUUAUCAAAAGAAGAAGCAUUGCAGUUAUUUGAGAAGAUAGUGGGUGAUUCCACAAAAGCAUCUGAUUUUCGACCUUUAGCAGAAGAGAUUGUUGGAAAAUGCGGAGGAUUGCCUGUUGCACUGAGUACAGUUGCAAAUGCUCUGAAAAAUAAGAGUCUUGCCAUUUGGAAGGAUGCGUUGAAUAAGCUGACAAGUUCCAAUCUAAGAGAAAUUCAUGGUAUGGAUGCAGAUGUGUAUUCUUCUAUAAAAUUGAGUUACGACUUCUUGGAUGAUGAAGCAAAAUCUUUGUUCCUUCUUUGUGGUCUGCACCGUGAAGGUCGUCCUAUACACGUACAUUACUUACUGAGAUAUGUUAUGGGAUUGAGAUACGAUAAGGGUUUGGGUCUAUUUAGAAAUGUUUACACAUUGGAAGCAGCAAGGAAUAGAGUGGAUGCAUUGAUCGACAAUCUAAAAGCUUCAUGCUUAUUGUUGGACGGUGAUGCUGAAGAUGAAGCUAAACUGCAUGACGUCAUUCAUGUUGUUGCUGCAUCAAUUGCAGAAGAAAAGCUUAUGUUUAAUAUUCCAAAUGUUGCUGACUUUGAGAGAGAGAUGGAAGAGACAAUACAGAAAGGUCCAAUUGCUAUUUCUUUACCUUAUAGAGAUAUUCAAGAGCUCCCUGAAAGGUUGGAAUGUCCCCAACUCAAGUUAUUUUUGUUGUUUGCAAAGUACGAUAGCACUUUGCAAAUUUCAGACCACUUUUUUGAAGGGACGGAAGAACUCAAAGUCUUAGAUUUUACUGGAAUUCGUUUCUCUCCAUUACCUUCAUCACUCGGUCGCCUCAUUAACCUUCAAACAUUGUGUUUAGAUGGUUGGCGACUAGAAGAUAUAGCAAUAGUUGGACAGCUAAAGAAAUUAGAGAUUCUCAGCCUUCGAGGUGCCGAAAUUAAGCAGUUGCCACUUCAGAUUGGACAAUUGACAAGGUUACAGUUGCUAGAUUUGAGCAAUUGUAGCAGCCUUGUGGUGAUAGCACCAAAUGUCAUAUCGAAAUUAUCUCGAUUGGAAGAACUAUAUAUGGGUGACAGCUUUUCACAGUGGGACAAGGUUGAAGGAGGAAGUAACGCCAGUCUUGCUGAAUUGAAGGGGCUGUCAAAGCUAACUACUUUGGAGAUAGAUGUUCGGGAUGCUGAAAUGCUGCCGCAGGAUUUGGUCCUUGGGGAAUCGCUAAGAUAUAGGAUAUGAAUAGGAGAAGUGUGGGGCCGCUGGUCUGUUAAAUCUGAAACAUCAAGAUUGAUGAAGCUUCAGGGGCUAGAAAAUAUUAGCAUUCUUUUGAGGAAUCAUGGAAUGAAAAUGUUGCUGAAGAAAACUGAAGAUCUCUAUCUACAGGAACUGAAGGGUGUAAAGAAUGUUGUUCCUGAAUUAGAUGAUGGGGAAGGUUUUCCACGAUUAAAGCAUCUUCAUGUAGGAAAUUUUGCGGAGCUUUUACAUAUUGUCGGUUCAAUUCAUUGCAAAGUCUUUCCCCAGCUAGAGUCAUUGUCUCUUUUUGGUUUGCUUAAUUUGGAGAAGAUAUGUUACAGCCAAAUCACAGAUCAAUCUUUUAUCAACUUAAGAAUCUUUAGCGUACGUAAUUGUAACAAAUUGAAGCAUCUCUUCUCAUUCUCUAUGGCCAAAAGCCUAUUGCGGCUUCAACAAAUAAAAGUGGGUCUUUGCAACAACCUGGAAAUGAUUAUUGGUAAGUGUUGGAAGUAUUUUGAGGAAUUAUAAAAAGCUACUAUUACUUAAUGACAGAAGUUAAUUAUUAAUUUUGUUUCUAGGACUCAACAAGGAGACAAGUAAUUUCGGUUUUAAAGAAAUCAUUGCAGAGGAUGAUCCUGUUCAGAAGGUGAUAAUUUAUGAUCCUGUUCAGAAGGUGAUAAUUUUCUCUUUAAUAAUUAAUUAAUAUAUUAUCAUGAUUUAUUUCAAUCAUCAAAAGAAUAUUAGAGAGAUAGGGAGGGGGAAAAAAAAAAAAGCUUACGGUUUUGCUUUGCAGGUCAUUCUUCCAGGCUUAGAGGAGUUGGAACUUGAUAGAUUAGCAACCAUUGAAAAAGUAUGGCCGGAUCAGUUUGAGGGAAUGUCUUGUUGUCAAAAUUUAACAAAAGUGACCGUGGAGAGGUGUCAUCGCCUGAAGUAUCUAAUAAAUUUGUUGACAUUCUCAAUGCCUGAAAGUUUUGUGAAUCUUGAAAUAAUGAAGAUAGUUGAUUGCAAAAUGAUAGAAGAAAUCAUAAAAUCACAGGUUGGAAUAGAAGCGAAACAUUGUAUUGUUUUUAGGAAAUUGAAGUACUUGAGGCUUGAUUGUUUGCCAAGCCUGACAAGCUUUUCUUCGAGUAAUUACACUCUUGAAUUCCCCUUCUUGAAACAAGUAGUUGUGAGACAGUGCCCAAAGAUGAAGAUUUUCUCUCAAGGAGGACUCUUACACACACCAAUGUUGAACAAAGUGCAACUCACUGAAGAAGACGAUGAUGAAGGGUACUGGGAAGGCGACCUCAAUAAUACCAUACAAAAGUUGUACUACAAAGAAGUGGUGAGUAUUAAUUAAGCAUUGGUGCUAGGCCACUAGCUUUAUUUUAUGAAUAACACAGGAGCCCUAACCACAUAAAAAUUAUCUUAUAUAAAGUGGUGAAAUAAUAUGGUAGGUUGACAUAUAUAUACAUGUAUGUAUGUAUGUAUGUAUCCACGUAUAUGGCCCAUGUUUUGUUUUACAUUUAACCAGUCAUAUUAUGUUACAUCAAUUUUUAUAACAUUAUUUAGAUAAUAGUGUCUGAAACUGUAUCAUUAUUCUUGAUUUAAUUUUGUUAUUAGUUUUUUUUUCUAUUAUUAGUAUUAUCAUUAAAAGGUAAACGUUUUCUUACCCACCUCAUAAAUUAGCAUGCUUUAUUUUGUCUUUAACUUAUUGAAAACAUUAACCCACGCCCAUUUAGCGUUAAAAGUACAAAAUGUUUGCCGAAGAAUAUCAUCAACACAGGCCCCUAUUCACGCUAUUCUUUUGGAUAGUAAAUGGGGGUGCGUUGAUGUUAUCAUUAAUUUGGUAGACAUCGGGAAACUGUAAUAAUAUAAAAAACAAUUGUGUGUGUCUAGUGAAUUUUUUUUUGGUUUGUGCAGGAUAGAGUUCGUGAAAUGACGAAGUUGGAACUCUCAAACUUUCCACGUUUCAGAGAAAUGUGGCAUGCCCAAGCACUGCCUGUUAGCUUCUUCAGCAAUUUAGUAAAGCUAGUGAUGGAUGACUUCAAGAAUAUGACUACUGCUAUUCCAGCCAAUCUUCUACGGUGCUUGAACAAAUUAAAAAUUCUGGAAGUGAGGAAUUGUGAUUCAUUAGAAGAGGUGCUCCAUUUAGAAGAGCUAAAUGUUGAUGAACAUUUUGGCCCUCUGUUUCCUGUUCUUGUCCAGCUAGAGCUCAUUAAUCUUCCAAAACUCAAAAGAUUCUGCAGCUUCAUUGGGAAUGUUAUUGAACUGCCUGAGUUGUUGAAUCUGAACAUUGAGAAUUGCCCUAAUAUGGAAAUAUUCACUUGCAAUUCUAUAUCUAUAUUGCACAGGACAACAAAUAAAGAACCUCUGGAAAUAACACCAAAGGAGAACUUCCCGCUAGCUGACAUACAGCCUCUCUUUGAUGAAAAGGUGAUUGUUAUUAAGUUUUUUUUUUUUUUUUCCUUCGCUUUCAUUCACAUAGAUGUAAUUCUCAUUAGAAUUAAAAUUAAUUUUAUUUAAUGAUCUUUCUGUUGUCUUUACUCUUUAUAUCUAAUCUAACGGUUCUAAUGCAGUUAUUAACUAAAAUUUCAGUAUACACUCAUAAAAAUGUCAUCAAAUUAGUUAAAUGAUUGGUAACAAGGGGUGAACUCUAUCCAUAUUAUCUCUAUUCAGAUUUGAUUUAUGUGCUUCAAGGGUAACUAUUUGAAUUUUAUUUUUUGGUUCCUCCGCAACUAAAUACAAUUUGGAUAUAAAAUGCUGUCGUCAAUCUUUUCCAUGAAACUGCUUACGAAGACUGCCGACGUUAGAUAUAUGUUCUCAUUUACAACUUUUUUUUUUCCAGGUUGCAUUCCCCAAGUUACAUAUGUUGAACCUGUCUAGAAUACCCAAGGUGUCGCAUCUAUGGAAGAAAAUUUCCGAAUCCAACGAAGUUUCCAAGUUUUUGAAUACUCUAGUAAUAUCAGAAUGUAGUAAGUUACGAAAAUUAGUACCAUCUUUGUUGCAUUUGGAAUAUCUGGCGACUCUAGAAGUGUCGAAGUGUCACGGGUUGACAAAUUUGUUGACGAUCUCAACAACUAAAAGUUUAGAACAUCUUUUAGUAAAUCUUGAAAUAAUGAAGAUAGCUGAUUGCAAAAUGAUAGAAGAAAUCCUACAAUCACAGGUUGAAAAAGAAGAAGAAAUCCUACAAUCACAGGUUAAAAAAGAGGAAGAUUGCAUUGUUUUUGGGAAAUUGAGGUACUUAGGACUUGAUUGUUUGCCAAGCCUAACAAGCUUUUAUUCGGGUAAUUACACUCUUGCAUUCCCAUCCUUAGAAGAAGUAGUUGUGAGACAGUGCCACAAGAUGAAGAUUUUCUCUCAAAAAGGGCGCUUACACACACCAAUGUUGAACAAAGUGCAAUUCACUGAAGAAGAUGAGGAUGAAGGAUGCUGGGAAGCCAACCUCAAUGAUACUAUAAAAAAAUGGUACUACAAAGAAGUGGUCAGUAUUAAUUAAGCAUUGGUGCUAGCUUUAUUUUAUCAAUAAUACUAGAGUCUCAACCUCUUAAAAAUUAUUUUAUACAAAAUGAUGUGAUAUAAUAUGGUAGGUUGUGUGUGUGUAGCCCGCGUUUUGUUUUUUGUUUAACCAAUCAUAUUAUUUUAUAUCAGCUUUAUAACAUUAUUUAGACAAUAGUGUUUGUAACUAUAUCUUUACUCAUUAUUUAAUUUUGUUAUUAGUUUUGUUACUGUUAUUAGUAUUAUUAGUAGUAUUAUUAUUAAAUGGUAAAUGUUUUUACCCAGUACCCACCUCAUAAAUUAACAUUCCUUAUUUUUGUCUUUAACUUAUUGAAAACAUUAACCCAUGCACAUUUAGCUUUAAAAGUACAAAAUGUUUGAUUAAGAAUAUCAUCAACACAGGCUCCUAUUCACUAUAUUCUUUGAAUAGUAAACGGGGUGCGUUGAUGUUAUCAUAAAUUUGAUGGACAUCUGGAAACUGUAGUAAUCUAGAAAACAAUUGUGUCCAUAUAUAUAUCCACUACAGUUUUCCUCUUUUUUUGUGGCUUUUGCAGGAUAGAGUUCGUGAAAUGAUGAAGUUGGAACUCUCAAGCUUUCCACGUUUGAGAGAAAUGUGGCAUGCCCAAGCACUGCCUGUUCGCUUCUUCAACAAUUUAGUAAAGCUAGUGAUGGAUGACUUCACGAAUAUGACUACUGCUAUUCCAGCCAAUCUUCUACGGUGCUUGAACAAAUUAAAAAUUCUGGAAGUGAGGAAUUGUGCUUCAUUAGAAGAGGUGCUCCAUUUAGAAGAGCUAAAUGUUGAUGAACAUUUUGGCCCUCUGUUUCCUGUUCUUGACCAGCUAGAGCUCAUUAAACUUCCAAAACUCAAAAGAUUCUGCAGCUUCAUUGGGAACGUUAUUGAGCUGCCUGAGUUGUUGAAUCUGAACAUUGAGGAUUGCCCUAAUAUGGAAAUAUUCACUUGCAAUUCUAUAUCUAUGUUGCACAGGACAACAAAUAAAGAACCUCUGGAAAUAACACCAAAGGAGAACUUCCCGCUAGCUGACAUACAGCCUCUCUUUGAUGAAAAGGUGAUUGUUAUUAAGUUUUUUUUUUUUCCCUUUGCUUUCAUUCACGUAGAUGUAAUUCUCAUUAGAAUCAAAAUCAAUUUUGUUUAAUCAUCUUUCUGUUGUCUUUACUCUUUAUAUCUAAUUUAACGGUUCUAAUGCUCUUAUUAACUAAAUUUUCACUAUACACUUAUGAAAAUGUCAUCAAAUUAGUUAGAUGAUUGGUAACAAGGGGGAGAACUCCAUCCAUAUUGUCUCUAUUUAGAUCGGAUUUAUGUGUUUCGAGGGUAACUAUUUGAUUUUUAUUUUUUGCUUCCUCUGCAAAUAAAUAGAAUUUGGAUAUAAAAAGUUGUGAUCAAUCUUUUCCAUGAAACAUGCUUGUGAAGACUGCCGAUGUUAGAUAUAUAUUCUUAUCUACAACUUUUUUUUUUAUUUAAUUUUCAGGUUGCAUUCCCCAAGUUAUAUAAGUUAAAACUGACUAGAAUACCCAAGGUGUCGCAUCUAUGGAAGGAAAUUUCCGAAUCCAACAAAGUUUCCAUGGUUUUGAAUACUCUAGUAAUAUCAGAAUGUAGUGAGUUACGAAAAUUAGUACCAUCUUUGUUGCAUUUGGAAUAUCUGAUGACUCUAGAAGUGUCGAAGUGUCACCGGUUGACAAAUUUGUUGACGACCUCAACAACUAAAAGUUUGGUGAAUCUUGAAAUAAUGAAGAUAGCUGAUUGCAAAAUGAUAGAAGAAAUCCUACAAUCACAUGUUCAAGAAGAAGGGAAAGAUUGCAUUGUUUUUCGGAAAUUGAGGUACGUGGGACUUGAUUGUUUGCCAAGCCUAACAAAAGCUCAUGCCUUGUUGAUGGAUGCUGUAGAAGAAGGACUAUAUUGUUGUAGCAACAAGCCUGCAGAAAAUCACAGAAUACUUAUCUGUAUAUGAACAAAAACAAGUCUGAACCAGAGAGAAUGUUGUAGUAACUAUUGCAAAAAUCUAGAUCAAAUACAAACAAAACUGUCUAGAUUGUUCAUGUGCUAACUAAUAAAGUCUACUGCAGUCGAUACUGAACUACCACUAUCAUGUGCAGACAACAGAGUGGCAGGCAGCACAAAAGGGAAUGUGCUCCUAGGAUGCCAAAAAACACAAGUGUCCUAAUGCUUUUUAGUUGCCCAAAUCCCAAGAUAUAAAAGACCAUAUUUUAAGGAAAUACAUCAUCCACGACCGACACAUGCAAAGAGAACAGAAAGAGAGAUUUCAGAGUUGCAAUAGAGGCAUUUUUCGUGUUGAAAAAUGAGAGAUAAUAGAAGAUCAAAGCAUGACGUUUUGGGUCUUUUGUAUCUCAACGUUUUUUCUUGUAUUUGUUUAUUUUGUUCUCUCUCUGAUAAUGUAUUUAAUGGCAGACACUUGUGUUGUUACUGUUUCAAAGCUCAUCAUGAGCUAAACCUUAAUUUAGUUGGGUUUUGAAUAUGCUUAAUGGUUAUUUAAUUUACAUGUGUAUGUUGCUCAGAACCUGUUAUAGCAUUUUGUUUUAACUUUACUUAUUGUAAUUGCCUACCUCGGUUGACUACCUAUUUAGUGGAUAUUAGAUAAGAAGGAGCCUAAAAGGUUUGACUUAGUGGAAUAAAUUAAGAAAUACAUGGUUCUAGAUUAGGAUUCCCAAGUUGAGUUAAUCUCGAUUUGAAUAGGGCCAUGCUUAAUCUAAGAUUAGUGAAGAACUAGAUUUAGGGAUUCACCUUGUAGGGCAAAUAGAGUCUAAAACAUAAAAUGCUAUGUCUAAUGUUAGUUUAAUAACUAAUCACUAUUAGAUUACAUAUAGAUAUAAGAUAUCCAAAAAACGACAGUUGAAGACGCUAUAACAACUGUGUCUCAAUUGAAAGAUAUUCAAUAACCAAUAAGUGAGUUUAGAACCCGACUACCCUUUUGCCAUUUAGUAUAUUUUUUUGUUUGACUUUAGAUUCUCUUUAUUGCAUUCUAUUUGUUGCAUUGUUAAUUUCAUUAGAUCAUUAAUAUCAUCAUUUAUUUUCUUUUAUUUAGUUUAUUAAAAUUGCACUGUUAAGAUUGCUAUAGUAAGUCCUAUAACAUCAAUCCAUGUGGAGACGGUUUUGAUACUCAUCAUUAUAUUAUUUCUUGUGUACACUUGUAUAUUGACACUUUACCAAGUUUUUGGCGCCGUUGCUGGGGAUUGAGUGUAACACCCCAGUCUGAAAUCCAAGGGCAAAUAUGUCCAUAACUCACAUAUGAAUUUAAAUAACCCUUUACAAUCGAAAAAAAUUCAAACCUCCAAUAUAAUAGGCAGCGGAAUAAUUUGAAAAUUUUGUCAAACCAUCUAUCAUCCUCAAUUCAAGUCUACCUUCUCACUCAUUACGAAUCAUUCCUGACUUUUGGAAACUGAAUCACAAUAAACUAUAAUGAGUACAAAACUCAGUAAGCAAAUUAGUUUUCUUAUACUAAAAUACAUCCAUACUUAUACAUAAUGCAAAUGGAUGAUAUGUCAUGAUCUUUUGGAAAUACUAUAAAACAAAUUCAUAAAAGUCUCUUUCUGUCGCUUUCAAACUUUCUCAUUUUCUUUCAAUAAAAUACGUAUCCUACAAUGUGGCACUUUGUGCUGUGCGUGGCACUUUGCACCAUGCGUGGUACUUUGCGGCGCUCUGGCCCUCAAGAGGUGGCCCCCGCAUAGUCUCAAGAGGUGGCCCCCAAUGUAAAAUCUCAUAAAACAAAAAUUCUGUUUGCUAAAAUUCACUUGUUCAUUCAUAGAAAACUCAAUGCAUUUUCGUGCUCAUGCUAAUGAACCAUCACACAUACAUAUGCCCAUGUACAUAAUCAUGCCCAUUACAUAACAACACAUCACAUAAACACAUGAGCAGAGACAUAUAAAUCCAUAUUCGUACAUAUCAAAAUAGGUUUUUCAUACAAGUCAAACAUAUAUAUUAUUUAUUGUGAUUCGUUUUAAAGUCUAGUUUACUUACCUCUUGGUAUCCUCAUGCAACAAAUGCAUAUUGAUAUCAUCAACCUUAAAUCAUCAAUAAAUUUCUCAUAAGAUAUAAUCAAGUCUCAAUCAUAAACUCUAAUGUCCUGAAGUAUCUCAAUUUAAAUGUCCUCAAUAAUCGGCCCUCAAAACAUAACAGUCCAUAUUUCUCCGAUUUUUAAUAAACUAUUCUCUUAUUGGAAGAAUCUAAAAUUUUACCGACCAUAUGCUGACACAUUGAAAGUUCAUUGAUAAAUAUUUCGUAACAUAAUUCCUUCAAAAACUAUUGAAAAUAACUGACGUUUCAGACAUCAUCAAUACUGUCAAACAGUUUUCUAUUUUGAACACACUUGCUUUAAAAAUACAAAACAAUUUAUUGCUUUAUCAUAAAAUCAUGAACAUUUUUAGAAUCAUACUAUACAUAUAUAUAAAUCAUUGGUCCAAAUUUCGUAAUUGUUGAAGAAGUCUAGCUAUGGUAAAAAUAAUUUCGUAAUUUACGUUAUUCACUGAAAUCAUAAAUUUCCAGGUUUUCAGGCUUGAAUUUGAAAAAUCGUAAUUAAUUGAAAUCUUAUCUGAUUAACUUGAAACAAGUUUCAAAACAUUCUAAACGAUAUCUAGUUUAACAUACCCAAAAAUCAGAAUCAAAAUCAACUUGUACAAAUUACUAUGAUUUCCGUAAUAAUUCACUGUCAGCAUAUUUCUGCAAAAUCUUAGAUUUCUACUUCUAUUGCAAUAAUGCUUCUCCACAACAAUUUAAUAGAGACCAAUAAUUAAAACUUACCUCCAAAACUUCUCCCAACAAUAAAAACUUAAUUCCAUGUGUUGCCUAUGGCAGAACUAAGAAGAAGAAGAAGACUUCUUCUUUUUUUCUUUUCUUGAUUUUCUCUCUUGUCUCUCCAUCUCUCUCUCUCUCUCUCUCUCUCUCUUUUCUGUCGUUUUUUUUUUGCAACCGAUCCCUCUUUUCCUCUCUCUCUUAUAAUAAAAAAGACAUCUUGUUCUAUUUAUACUAGGGCAAAAAAGGAUCACUAAAAAUUAAAAAGAGUUAAAUACCCUUAGGAGAUUUGGAAUAUUACAUUGAGUGCAUAUUGUGAGUUUUUAAGUUAAUUUUUUUUCUUUUAAUUUGUUUGUUGUGUUAACAUAAUGCUUUAGCAACCCUUGCAUGCUCAAGUAUAAACCUGUUGAAUUUUAGUUUGAUCCAAAAAUUGAAAGAACUGCAAGGAGGCUAAGAAAAGAGCAUAGAGGUUUAGGAUCUGUUGCAGACAUGGAUGGUUUGUAAAAUGUGGGAGAUUUGAAUCCCCAAGGAGGAAUGAAUCCAAUUAAUGUUCAAAGAGAUAAUCCUCUUCCCAUUUUAGAUCUAGUUAAUGCACAAAGAGUUCAAGAAUGUCAGUACGGGUAGAUUGGUCAAGGGCAACUAGAGAAUAACAACAUUUUCUGCAUGACAGUUGAUAAAGAAAAUGUUGUUAGGGACUAUAUAGUGUUAACCCCUCAAACUAUAAAUCCUGGAAUAGUCAAACCCAAAGUUCAGGCUGCUCAUUUUGAGCUCAAACCAGUAAUGUUUCAGAUGUUACAGAAAGUAGGAUAGUUCAAUAGACUACCAUCAGAAGAUCUUCAUCUUCACCUUAAACUAUUUUUGAGGUGAGUGAUGCUUUCAAGAUUGCUGGAGCAUCACAUGAGGCAUUGAGGCUAAUACUCUUAAUUUUCUUUGAAGGAUCGAGUAAGAGAAUAGUUGAACUCUUUACUACAUGAUUCAAUCUCUACAUGGAAUACCUUAGCUGACAAAUUUUUGAUAAAGUAACCUACCAAGAAUGCAAAGUUGAGGAUGAGAUCACAUUUUUCCAUUAACUUAACGAUGAAAGCUUCUAUGAUGCUUGAGAAAGAUUCAAGGAGUUGUUUAGGAAAUAUUCUCAUGAUGGUAUCCCUUGUUGUAUACAGUUGAAAACUUUCUAUAAUUGUCUAAAUUCAAGCACUAGAUUGAUGGUAAACACUUCAGGAAGUGGGGCCUUGUUAUCUAAGUCUUACAAUGAGGCUUAUGAUAUUUUGAAAAGGAUAGCCAAUAACAACUAUUAGUGGCCAUCUACCAAACAAACUACAAUAAGAAGAAUAAUAGGAGUUUACAGUGCAGAUGCCUUGAUAGCAUUAUCAGCCUAAGUAACCUUAUUGAUAAAUAUGGUAAAGGAUAUAUCCACUGUUCCAGCAACUAUCAACAAAGUUGUUAAGGCAUCAUGUAUUUAUUGUGGAGAAGGAAAUUUAUUUGAUAGUUUUCUUAGAAAUCAUGCCUCAGUCAACUAUAUGGGCAAUUAUAACAGACAGAACCACAUCAACCCUUAUUCAAACACUUACAACCCUGGAUGGAGGCAGCACCCAAACUUUUCAUGGAGCAAUCAGAAUCAGAAUCAAUAUGUUGUAGAAUCUAGUGGACAAAAUAGACUUGCUCAACCAUUUAGAUUUCAUCAGCAAAAUCAAGGGCGAAGAGACACCAACAAUGAUCAACCCAACUCCCUUGAAGCCUUAAUUAAGGAGUACAUUGUGAAGAAUGAAACAUUUAUCUAAAGUCAAGCUAUUUCCUUAAGAGACCUAGAAAAUCAGAUGGGACAAGUUACUAUAGUAUUAGGUAACAGACCUCAAGAUAAUUUACCAGGCAAUACAGAGGACCCAAGAAGAGAAUGGAAAGAGCAUUGCAAAGUAAUUAACUUAAGAUCUAGAAAGGAUGUUCACAUUCUAGUUGGUGUACUAAAAAAAAGAGUUGAGCCCACUUCAAUCUAAGAAAAAACUCAAGUUGAAGAAGAUCCAUAACCCUCUACUUCACAGUACACAGGUGAAAACAGCAAAGCACACCAAUCCAAUACUUUACAAAAAAUGAUUAUCGAAUACCUAUUGAUGAAGAUCUUGCACACUAACCACACCAAUCCAGAACAUGGCAAAAGUGAAGCAGUUUGCACAACCUUCUACAACUCAGCCGUUUAGGCACCCACCACCCUUUUCUUAAAGGUUCAAGUGACAGAAACAUGACAAGCAGUUCAGUAAAUUCUUUGAAGUGUUGAAGCAAUUGUAUAUCAACAUCCUUUUUAUGGAAGGUCUAGAGCAAAUGCCAAAUUAUGUGAAGUUCUUGAAGGAUAUUUUGACAAAGAAAAAAAGGCUAGAAGAACUUGAAAUAGUUUCUCUAACACAAAAGUACAACCACAUGCAUCAGAAUAAGAUACCUCAGAAAUUGAAGGAUUCAGAAAGCUUCACAAUUUCAUGCUCUAUAGGCAAUAAAUACAGUGACAAGACACUUUGUGAUUUAGGAGCCAGCAUUAAUCUCGUGUCCUUAUCUAUAUUUAAGCAAUUGGGUGUUGGAAAGGUCAGACCAAUAAUAGUUACCUUACUACUUGCUGAUAGAUCUCAUGCCUAUCUAGAUUGAAGAUGUACUGGUGAAAGUAGAUGAGUUUAUUUUUGCAGUUGACUUCAUAGUAUUGGAUUUUGAAGCAGAUAAAGAAGUGUUUAUCAUUUUAGGUAGACCUUUCUUGUCUGCUGGUAAGACUCUAAUUAAUGUGUAAAAAGGAGAACCAACCGUGAGGGUUAAUGAUCAGUAAGUUACAUUCAAUGUGCUAAAUGCCAUGAAGAGUCCUGAUGAUGUUGAAGAUUGUAAUUUUGUUAAUGUUGUGGAUUUUACUAUAGUAGAAAGAUUAAACAGUUGCUGCAGCAGAAAGAUUAAACAGUUGCUGCAGCAAAGAAGAAAUCAAGGUUGCAAGAUUUAAAGAACUUGAUGAUAAACCUCAAGGCCUUGAAACAACUGACAUAACAUGGCUAGAAGAAAAACAACCCUUCAAAACUGAGAAGCAAAUUAAAUAUCUUGACCUUCAAAUAGGGAUAUAAAAUAUUCUAUUUCUUUUAUUAAGUCCUCAUAUUUUAGAAUUAAAACUUUUACCUUUACACUUGAAAUAUGCUUAUCUUAGUGACCGUGAUCAACGUCAUGUAAUCAUUUCAUCAUCUUUGAAUGCAGAACAAGAAAAUAGCUUAGUUUUUGUAUUAGGGAAACAGAAGAAGGCCAUUUGAUGGACCAUGACAGAUAUCAAAGGAAUCAGCCUCUCAAUAUGCAUGCACAAGAUUCUACUGGAGGAUAGUUAUGGCAAUUCUCUAAGCAAUUGAAAAGAUUAAAUCCUAUCAUGAAGGAAGUUGUAAAGAAAGAGAUCAUCAAAUGGCUUGAUGUUGGAAUCAUCCACCUAAUAUCAAACACCUCAUGAGUGAGCCCAAUACAAUAUGUUCCAAAGAAAAUUGGAGUGACAGUUGCAGAAAAUAAAAAGAACGAGUUUAUUCUUAUAAGAACUGUAAAUGGAUGAAGAGUCUGUAUAGACUACAUAAAGCUAAAUAAGACCACAAGGAAGGAUCGCUUUCCACUGCCUUUCAUAGAUCAGAUACUGGAUAGACUCGCUAGAAAGGAGUAUUAUUAUUUCUUAGAUGGAUACUCAGGAUACAACCAUAUUGACGUAGCACUAGAAGACCAGGAGAAGACAAAAUUCAUUUUUCCUUAUGGAACCUUUGCCUUUAGAAAGAUGCCAUUUGGCAUGUGCAAUGCUUCACCAACUUUCCAAAUGUGUAUAAUGUCCAUCGUUUCAGAUAUGAUUGAGCAAAUACUUGAGGUAUUUAUGAAUGAUUUGUUUCAGUUUUUGGGGAAUCAUAUGAUGACUAUUUGUAUAAUUUAAAAAAUAGACUUAGAAGAUGUAAAGAGACAAACUUAGUAUUGAAUUCGGAAAAAUGUCAUUUCAUUGUACAAGACGAGGAUAGUCCUAGGCUAUAAACUCUCUAAAAAAAUGAUAGAAGUGGAUAAGGUAAAAAUAGAGGUGAUUAAUAAACGUCUAUUAUCCACUUCAGUUAAAGGCAUAAGGAGUUUCUUGAGGCAUGCUGGAUUUUAUAGAAGGUUUAUUAAGGAUUUCUCCAAAAUAUCAAAACCUUUAUACAUGUUGUUGGAGUGUAACAAACCUUUUAAUUUUGAUGAUGAUUGCUUGAAGGCCUUCGUUGAGUUAAAGAGAGCUUUUGUUACAACACAAGUUGUUGUAACACCUAAUUAGAGUAUGCCUUUUGAGUUGAUGUGUGAUGCUAAUGAUCAUUCGGUUGGAGCAGUGUUAGGGCAAAGAAAAGGCAAGACUUUCCAUUCCAUUUAUUAUGCCAGUAUGACUCUAGCUAAUGCAAAUUCAACUAUACCACAACUGAAAAUGAGAUGCUGACAAUUGUAUUUGUAUUUGAUAAAUUUAGAGCCUAUUUGGUUGGCAGCAAAGUGACUGUUUACAUAGAUCACUCAGCCAUAAAAUAUUUGACUCCAAAGAAAGAUGUCAAACUAAGGCUAAUCAAGUGGAUUCUCUUCCUACAAGAGUUUGACUUAUAGAUCAAGGAUAGAAAAUGAACGGAGAAUUAAGUAGCAAAAUAUCUUUCAAGGCUUGAAGUAGAUGCAAGCACUUUGACCAAGCAGGAUAUCAUAGAAAUAUUUCCUUAUGAGCAAUUGUUCAUAUUGCAGCAUGCACAGAUGCUGCAGUAAUCUGAAUUUCCAUGGUUCACGGAUUUUGUUAAUUUUCUAGAAAGUGGAUUGCCACCACCUAACUUGAGCUACCAGCAAAAGAAGAUAUUAAUUUAUCCAUGAUGUCAGAAGCUAUUAGUGGGAUGAGCCCUACUUGUACAAGAUGUGUUUGUUAACAUAUAUGUUUCCAUAAUAUUGAUUUUGAUGAUAACAAACAAGAUUAAGAAUGAUUAAUCUUUUAAGCUCAAAUUAUUUUUAUACUUUUUAAAUAAAUCAUUAUUUUUACAUUAUAAAAGUUUUAUAUUUAAUGGAAAAAUGAUUUUAUGAAAUUGAUUGUUUUUAUUCUUUUUAAAUAAAUCAUUAUUUUCACAUUAUAAAUGUUUCAUAUUUAAUGGAAAAAAGAUUUUAUGAAAUUGGUUGUUUUUCAAAGUUUAUGGUUUAAUUGAAAGAAUUUUGAAAACUUUGAAAUAAACAAGUAUUGCUUGAAAUUUUGGAGAAGGACUUAUUUGAAAAGUGUCAUAGCUUUUUGGGCUAUAUCAUAAUUUCAAAAAGUUUUGGGAUUAACAAAGCAUUACUUAGAAAUUCUGAAAUUGGACCUAUUUGCAAAGUUUCAUGACGUUUUGGGCCAUAGUAUAGUUUUAUAAAGUUUUGGGGUCAAACCAUAAUUUCAGAAAAUAGUGCACUGUGAAGGUUACUGUAGCAUCCGGCUUAUCGGAUAUAAAAACCAAAAAACUGGAUACGGGGCAGAAUGUAUCCAGAACGUAAACGGCUUACCGGAUUUCGUAACCGGCAAGCCGGAUAGGCAAAAUUCAAAUUUUUGCCUUAAUGGUAACAUAAAUCCGGCUUACCGGAUUCCAAAAACGGCAAACCCGAUACGUCCAGAAUGUGCAUAACGGCUAGUUUUUGAGUUCAAACUAUAUAAACUCAAAACCAAUUCAUUUUUCGUAAUCCAAGCAAGCAAGAACAAGUGCACACAACAUAUAUUAAGCUUCAAUUUCGUAACUCAUCAUUUAUUAAAUCAUCUUUGUUCUUCAAUUUGUAUAUCCACUCUUAAAGAGAGAUUCAUUGUUGUAUUUUUCAUUUCUCAUUAAAUUGUGAGUGUACAAGUGUGAGAAACACUUGGAGUGAAGAGAUUGGAGAGAUAAUCUCUUGUUGUAAAGGUUCAUUGACACCUUAAAGUCAAUUGUAAACGUUUGAAGCCUUGGAAAGGCUUGGAUAGUGAAAUCCUCAAGCCCGGUGUGCUUGGAGGCGUGGACGUAGGCGGGGAUUGCCGAACUACGUAAAAAUCCUUGAGUUUGCUUUCUCUUCCCUUGCUCAUUUAUUAUUGUGCUUUCAUUGAAUUUAUUGUUUUCGAAUUUAUUAAGGAAUUAGAUUGGAUUUGUGUGUGGUUUGCUUAGCUUAAUUUUUAAAAAUCCAAUUCACCCCCCCUCUUGGAUUGCCUAGUUAGUAUUUCAUUUGGUAUUAGAGCGAGGUGCUCUUGUGUAAACUUAACCGUCUAGAGUUAAAGAUCCAUGGAAACCCAUAAUGACUCAAUCUUUAGGGAAGGACAAUCCACAAUUAGACCACCGUUCUUUGACGGUAAUGACUACCCAUAUUGGAAAACUAGGAUGAGAAUUUAUUUACAAGCUUUAGAUUAUGAAAUUUGGGAAAUUGUUUGUGAUGGUCCAUUUAUGCCUUUGACUAAAAAUGAAGUCGGGGACGAUAUUCCAAAACCUUCACAGGAAUGGAAUGAAUUGGAAAAGAAAAAAUCUACUCUAAAUUCCAAAGGUAUGAAUGCCUUGUUUUGUGCACUAGAUAAGAAAGAAUUUCAUAGAGUUUCUAGUUGUGAGAGUGCUAAUGAAAUUUGGCACAAACUUGAAGUUGUUUAUAAAGGCACAAAUCAAGUGAAAAGAGUCUAAAAUUAGUAGGUACACUCGGCAAUAUGAAUUAUUCCAAAUGGAACAAAAUGAGAGUGUGUAUUCUAUGUAUACUAGAUUUACGGACAUAGUGAACACUCUAGGAGCCCUAGGAAAGACUUUUUCAAAUAGCGAUAAGGUUACGAAAACUAUUAGGUCGCUACCUAAGGAAUGGAGACCAAAAAGGACUGCUAUUGAGGAAGCUAAGGAUUUAAAUAUCUUACCUAUUGAUGAUUUAAUUAGUUCUCUUAUUUCUUAUGAGGAAGACUUGGCAGCCGAAAGAGGCAAUAAGGAGAAGAAGAAAAACAUUGCUCUCAAAGCCUCGAAACAAGAGAGUGAUGAGGAAAGCGAGCUGGAUGAGGAGGAGAUGAAUAUGUUGGCUAGGAGGUUCAGAAAACUCUUUAAGAAAUCCGGUGAGCGAAGAAAAUUUAAAGACCUCAAGAACUGAAAGGAGAAGAAGGAAUUAAUCAAAUGUUAUGAGUGCAAGAAGCUUGGCCAUAUAAGAACGGAAUGUCCUCUUCUCAACAAGCUCAAGAAGAAAGCAAUGGUUGCCACAUGGGAUGAUAGCGAUGAGGAAACAAGUGAUGAUGAAGAGAAUCAAGAAAUGACAAAUCUAGCUCUCAUGGCAAUUGGAGAUGAAUCGGAUGAUGAACUUGAUGAGGUAAAUGAUCUUUUUACUUAUGAUGAAUUAUAUGAUGCUUUUAAAGAAUUGCAUGAUAAUUGGAUAAAAAUUGGUAAAAAGAAUGCAUGUCUUAAAAAGAAAAUGGUAGAGCUCAAAAAUGAAAAUGAAUCUCUAUGUGCAAAGAUUACAUGCCUAGAAUUAGAGAAUAAAACAUUGCAUGAUAGAGUUGCAUUAUUUGAGAAUUCUAGCACUUUACAUGAGCACUUAGAGUCACACAUGAAUGACUUGAAAAAUGAGAAUGAAAUGCUUAGAAAGAAGAGCAAUGAGUUAAAUGAGAUUGUUUUAAAAUUUACAGAUGGACAAAAGAUGUUGGAUAACUUGAUUAAUUCUCAAAAAUGUGUGUUUGAUAAAGGAGGUAUUGGUUAUAAGCCAAAUUUGAAACAAAAAUAUUAUAAAAGUUAUUUUGUUAAAACUACCUCCAUUAAUAAUCAAAUUGUAUGUCAUUAUUGCAAUCAAAAUGGUCAUAUGAAGAAUAGAUGUCCAAUUAAAAGAAAUGUGUAUUAUGGAGUAAAAUGUGUUUGGGUUCCAAAAGGAACCAUUGCUAACACUCAAGGACCCAAGAGCAUUUGGGUACCAAAGGGCACAACUUGAAUAUUCUUUUGUAUGUACCACAAACAAGGAAUGGUGGAGAGUUCCUUGAUGAAGCUUGUGAGGAUAAUCAUUUGAGCAUGAUCUAGGAGAAAAAGAUGAGGCAAGAUGAUUUAAUUGUUUUGGUAAUAAUUCUUGCCAUAUUAAUUUUGUUGAAUGGAUCAUGAUAAAUGGAUAAUAGCUUGAAUUUGUGAAAGUAUACUUGUAUGUUUACAUGAUAGAAUUAUCAUUGUGUUUAACAUUGAGUGCUUUAUCAUAAUGCAUGGUUAUAUAUAUAAGAUGAUAGCUUGUCAACUCAUCAUGAUAGCUUUGUUUGAUUUUGAUGAUUAUGUAAUGCCUAAGCUUGAUAAAUGAAUGAUAUGCUUGAAUUAUUAAUCUUUGAAUGCUUAUAUGUUUCAUGAUUGUGUAAAAUAUAUACAUGAUGAAUGAAUUAUAUGUGUAAAUUCUUGUGUCGUUAAUUGUGUUAUAUCAUCAUUCACUUAUAAAAUUGACAUCAUUGGUUGAUAUGAUUUCAUAUGUUUGGUCUUGUAUGCAUUUAUGUCUCAUGUAUUAAAUGACUUAUUGAAAAGUUUUAAAUCUCGAAAUGAUUUAAAAUUAAUCAAUUUUUAAAGCCAAAAAUAAAAUGGUGAGUGUAAUACAAGUAUAAGAGCUAGCCAAUAUUCAAUUAGAGCCAAAUAGAUUUCCAAGUCCAAACCGGUAAGCCAAAUCAUCUUUUGUUGCUCUCGGGUUAUCAUUCGGAUAACCGGAUUUUCAAUCCGGAAAACCGGAUUUGCUAAGCCUUCUCUCUGCCUCAAAACCGGAUAACCGGUUCUUAAAAUCCGGAAAACCGAAUUCAAGAGGAAACUUUUUGCCUCAAACCGGACUACCGGUUAGCAAAACCGGAAAGCCGGAUUCGCUUGAAAAGCUUACUGGAACAAAACCGGAUUUCCGGUUAUGCAUAUCCGGCACGUCGGUUUCGGGUUUCAUCUUUCUGCUCACAACCGGCUAGCCGGUUAGUGAAAUCCGGCAAGCCGGAUUCGUGAGCUUUUAGCUUUGUUCUUCCUCUUCCUCUCAUUCGGCUUUCCGUUUCUCUCUCUCUCACUAAAAGCUGAUUACUCCUCACUUGAUUUCAUUCCAAAAUCCAUCAAUCUCAUCCUUUUUCACUUCAAAUCCUUUAUGCUUGUAUUUGAACACACCAACAUUUACUAUUUUUUUUGGAUUAUAUGGAUGUUUGCUAUGAUUUUGGAUUAUAUGUCUAUUUUGAAUUAUAUGGAUUUGAUAUAGUUAUAUGUUAUGUUCUUUACUUAUGUUUUGGAUAAUAUGCAUUUUGAAUUUUUUUGUUGUCCAAAGGGGGAGACAAAAUAGUAUAUCAUUUCGAUGUUAUCAAAAGGAGGAGAAUAAUAUGCUUUUUGAGUAAUUGUUUUGAUAAUUGGUAUUUGAUUAUGAUGAUGAUUUUGAUGAAUUUGAGAUAAUGAUGAUUUGAUUACAUGGGUGUUUUAUAUGAUAAUUUCAUGUUAUGAGUUGUUGAUUUGGUAAUUAAUGGAAUAAUGGUUCAUGAUAUUUUAGUGUGAUUAUUUGUGUAUGGAGUUGGCUUUUAUCAUGAUUUAUAAUAAUUUGGAUGUGAUAUUACUAAUCUUGUAUUUGAGGUGAUGCUUGUUGUUAGGGAGAGAUUUUGUUGAAAUUUCUAUUCGGACAACAUUGGUAACAAAUUUGCUACUCUUAUUCUUUUCCUUUAAGUUUUAUUUUUGAUGAUGAAGGGGGAGAAGAAUACAUGUUUUUAAAUUUAUAAAAAUUUACUACUCUUUUUUCUUUGCCAAUUAAGUUUUCUUUUUGAUGAUGAAGGGGGAGAAAAAUCCAUGUAUUUAAAUCGUUAAUUUAGCUAAUUGGCAAAUUGUAAAAGAGGAUUAUAUUUAGGGGGAGCAAUUGUGGAAUCAUUCUUUAAAUACAUGAAAUGUUUGUCAUCAUCAAAAAGGGGGAGAUUGUUAACAUAUAUGUUAACAUAAUAUUGAUUUUGAUGAUAACAAACAAGAUUAAGAAUGAUUAAUCUUUUAAACUCAAAUUAUUUUUUAUACAUUUUAAAUAAAUCAUUAUUUUUACAUUAUAAAUGUUUUAUAUUUAAUGAAAAAAUGAUUUUGUAAAAAAUGAUUGUUUAAAUACAUGAAAUGUUUGUCAUCAUCAAAAAGGGGGAGAUUGUUAACAUAUAUGUUUCCAUAAUAUUGAUUUUGAUGAUAACAAACAAGAUUAAUAAUGAUUAAUCUUUUAAGCUCAAAUUAUUUUUAUACUUUUUAAAUAAAUCAUUAUUUUUACAUUAUAAAGGUUUUAUAUUUAAUGGAAAAAUGAUUUUAUGAAAUUGAUUGUUUUUAUUCUUUUUAAAUAAAUCAUUAUUUUCACAUUAUAAAUGUUUCAUAUUUAAUGGAAAAAUGAUUUUAUGAAAUUCGUUGUUUUUCAAAGUUUAUGGUUUAAUUGAAAGAAUUUUGAAAACUUUGAAAUAAACAAGUAUUGCUUGAAAUUUUAGAGGACUUAUUUGAAAAGUGUCAUAGCUAUUUGGGCUAUAUCAUAAUUUCAGAAAGUUUUGGGAUUAACAAAGCAUUACUUAGAAAUUCUAAAAUUGGACCUAUUUGUAAAGUUUCAUGACGUUUUGGGCCAUAGUAUAGUUUUAUAAAGUUUUAGGGUCAAACUAUAAUUUCAGAAAAUAGUGCACUGUGCAGGUGACUGUAGCAUCCGGCUUACCGGAUAUAAAAACCAGAAAACUGAAUAUGGGGCAGAAUGUAUCUAGAACGUAAACGGCUUACCAGAUUUCGUAACCGGCAAGCCGGAUAGGCAAAAUUCAAAUUUUUUCCUAACGGUAACAUAAAUCCGGCUUACCGGAUUCCAAAAACGGCAAACCCGAUACGCCCAGAAUGUGCAUAACGGCUAGUUUUUGAGUUGCAUAACGGCUAAUUUUUGAGUUCAAACUAUAUAAACUCAAAACCAAAUCAUUUUUAGUAAUCAAAGCAAGCAAGAACAAGUGCACACAACAUAUAUUGAGCUUCAAUUUCGUAACUCAUCAUUUAUUAAAUCAUCUUUGUUCUUCAAUUUGUAUAUCCACUCUUAAAGAGAGAUUCAUUGUUGUAUUUUUCAUUUCUCAUCAAAUUGUGAGUGUACAAGUGUGAGAAACACUUGGAGUGAAGAGAUUGGAGAGAUAAUCUCUUGUUGUAAAGGUUCAUUGACACCUUGAAGUCAAUUGUAAACGUUUGAAGCCUUGGAAAGGCUUGGAUAGUGAAAUCCUCAAGCCUGGUGUGCUUGGAGGCGUGGAUGUAGGCGGGGAUUGCCGAACCACGUAAAAAUCCUUGAGUUUGCUUUCUCUUCCCUUGCUAAUUUAUUAUUGUGCUUUCAUUGAAUUUAUUGUUUUCGAAUUUAUUAAGGAAUUAGAUUGGAUUUGUGUAUGGUUUGCUUAGCUUAAUUUUUAAAAAUCCAAUUCACCCCCCCCCCUCUUGGAUUGCCUAGUUAGUAUUUCAGUGUUCAGACUAGAUAAUUAGAAGAUAUGUCCCUGACGAAGAGAUUUCAAGCAUUUUAUAGUCUUAUCUUGCUGCAGUAUAUGGUAGACACUUUGGAGGACACUAAAUAGCAGUAAAAGUUUUUCAAUCAGGUUAUUACUAGCCCUCCAGCUUUAGAGAUGCUUACAAGUUUGUUAGUGCUGUGAUAGUUGUCAAAGAGCAUGAACCAUUUCUAAAAAACAUGAAAUGCCACUGACCAAUAUUUUAAAAGUUGAGCUUUUUGAUAUAUAAGGGAUAGACUUUAUGAAGUCGUUCUCACAAUCUUUUAGAAACUUAUAUAUCUUAGUUGUUGUGGACUAUAUGUUGAAAUGGGUAGAAGCUACAGCAUUGCCAACAAAUGAUGCCAAGGCAAUGGCAAAUCCUUUAUAGGAAUAUUUUCACAAGAUUUGACACCCCAGAGUUGUCAUCAGUGAUGAAAGAAGCCAUUUUUGCAACAGGAUAUUUGCUGUAGCAUUGGCUAAGUAUAAGAUCAAGCUUAAAGUUGCUACAUCAUAUCAUCCACAAACGAGUAGUCAGGUAACAUUGUCCAAUAGGGAGAUCAAAAAGAUUUUAGAAAAAGAAGCGAAUCUUAGUAGAAGGGAUUGGUUUACUAGACUAAAUGAUUCUCUAUGGGGUUACAGAACUACUUACAAGACAUCACUUGGCAUGUCUCCAUACAAACUUGUUUAUGGCAAAGCUUGCUAUUUGUUGUUAGAACUGGAGCAUAAAGUAUAUUAGGCAGUUAAACAACUGAACAUGGGUAUGCAUGCUGUAACAGAGCAAAGGAGGCUACAACUUUUUGAGCUAGAUGAGUUGAGGUUAUUCUUCUAUGAAAAGGCAAGAAUCUAUAAGGAGAGAACCAAGCAAUGGUAUGACAAGAAAAUCCAGUAAAGAGAACUCAUUACAGGCCAACAAUUAUUGCUUUACAACUCUAGACUGAAGCUUUUCCAUGAAAAUUUAAAGUCUAGAUGGUUAGGAUGCUUCAAACUCGUCAAGGUUUAUCUUUAUGGAGUUGUUAAUCUUAAAGAUGAAAGAACUGGUUAAGAAUUCAAGGUUAAUGGGCAUAGAGUGAAGCAUUAUAUGGGAGCUAAGGUGAACAACCUAAACGAGGAUCCGGUUUGAGUAAACAAGGAAGGUGAGAAUGAAGAACCUAAAACCAAGUGCUAAUUAGAAGGGAACUAAAUGAGGGGAAGUUUAUUUUGAAUUUUUAAUCACUUUAAUUUCACUUUUGUUGUUAUUAAGUUUAUUUCUCUAUUUUGUUUUAAUUUAUGCGACUAAUUUCUAUGUUUUUUUUGUCCUUCUCCCUCUCUUUUUGAAUGUUUAAAAUUUUUAAAAUCUUUAAAUUAAUUUUAUCUCUUUCUCUCUCUAUUAUCUUUCUUUAUAAAUUUAAGCUUUUCACUGUUUCACUUUUCACUACCAAUCUCUCUUCCUCUACUGUAAUUUUUAAAAUUAUGCUCUCUAUUUCUCUCUCUCUCUCUCUCUCUCUCUCUCUCUCUCUCUCUCUCUCUCUCUUACACACACUCAAAGUCCCAAUCUCUCAUUCUAACGAAACUCCUUUAAGUGUUGCAGCAAUACUGAGAGUCAAGGCACCUACUAAAAGGUUGAAGGACUAAAAAAGAUUCCAAAAUCACAAAGUUGAAGAGAAGUAUAAUAAGUCCAUAAGAUCUCGUAUAAUUUUAGAAGAGAAUGGUUUUGAAAUUUGUUGAACAACCCACUGGCCUUAUCAGCAUCAUUCUCAUAACUGCUAUAAAAAGGGGGUGGAUCAAAUGAUCCAAGUUGUAAAGGAAUUUUAUUCUAACUUGCUGGAGCAAAUCCAAAUUCCUUAAGACUCUAGGGUGAUAAAUGUCUUUUAUGGUUUGCCCCUACUAUUAAUUGUGAAUACGCUGAAUUUAUUAAGAGCAUAACUAUUAAGAAAUAGAGGGAGAUGUUUAAAGCAUUAAUUGUGGAAGGAAGUGAGUAGGUUAAUGAAGAAGCUGGGAUUGUUAAUAGGAUUGGCCUUAAAUUGAUUAUAAAGGUUUGGGUGAACUUUAUAAAGUCUAGGCUUAUGCCCACCACGGCACACCACAACAAUGUCAAUGCUAGAGUGAAAGGAUGGACAAUUGAUGUUGGGAAAGUGAUUGAGCAAGAAAUUAGAGACUGUGCUACAAAAAAAAAAAAAAAAUCAGCUGUCUUUUUAUUCCCCUCACUCAUCAUUGGGAUUUAUGAGGCCUUUGGUGUCAAAAUUUGUUGACAAUGAUGAGAGGGUUAAAAAUGAAAUGGCCCUCACAGUAAGAAGAAUAGAGAAGAUUGUAGGAGAAUCAACUGGUACAACAACCCAAAGCAUCCAGUUGUAAGAAAAUUAAUAAAAGCCACUACAUUUGGGAAGAUUCUGAAAGAUUUGAGUGACAACUUAAAUGCAUGGAGAGAAGAUCCAAAAGAGUUAAAUCAGAGGCUUUAGGCUUACUUGCUGCAUCAAGAAGCUCAAAAACACCAGUUUGUAGUUUAUAUACAGAGCAAGAAUGUAAACUUCCCAGAGUCUCUAUUGUAGCAGUACAAUUUCCACAAAGCAACAGAGACUGUUCCAGCAAAUGAUGAAAAGGAUGAAAGUGAAAAAGAGGAAAAAGAUGAAAAAGGAGAAAAAAGUGAAAAAGAUGAAGAUGAAGAAGAGACUGAUGAGAAGUAGGAAGAGGAGCUACCAGCAAUAACUCCUAAAAGCUAUGGCAAACAGAAGAUCUUGCUUGAUGAAAAUCAAAAUGAUAAUGAUGCGGCCAUUUAAGAGACCAUUAACAAGUCUGCAAUGACAGAAGGAGAAAAGAAAAGGUUAAAGGAGCUCAAUGUCUACAUAACUGCUAAGGAACUUGCAACAACACCUCGUUCAGCAUUAGCAACAAAGAAGUCUCCCAAGAAAUCUCUAGUCAAAAUUCCCACAAUCUCCAAUAAAAGAAAAAGAGCACAAAUCACUAAAGUAGAGAUAGUUUAUGGAUAAGGGUUGAAAUUCUAUCAUAACACUUAGAUUUGGAUUAAGUUUAAUGAAUAUGUUGUAGCAAACCAAGCUGGGUAGUUUAGAAAAAUUUUCAAGAAUCUAAGGAUAAAAAUAGCUCUAGUUUGGGGGAAAUUAGGAAAAUUUUCAAAGUUAUUGCAAAUUGUACUGGAAGUAGAAUAAUUUUUUCUUCAAUGACUUAGUUGCUGAGUAACCAGGGCUGUGUUUGUAACCCAUAUCCAAACUUGAGUAAAAAGACAGUAAGAGUUAUGAGCAUUGCUGUAGCAACCCAAAAAGAAGAAAAAUCCUCUAUUUAGGAAUCUGAAUAGCUAGGUCUGUUCAUGAACCUCAUAUUCAGCCUUGAGUUAAAGAUAUAUAAAGAUAAGACCAUGGUUGUAGCAUCUUAGAUGCUUUUGUUGUAGCAGCUCUGAUUUGUGUAUUGAUUAAGUAAUUGGGUUCCAUCAUUACAAGUGAUAGGCAUUCGCAUAAAAAGAUUGAUUUUACUCUGAUGGGCCUCAUAAUAAAAAAAAAUUGAUGAAUGUUGUAGCACAAUUUGUAGUUCUUUAUGACCCUUGUCCCUUAUAAAUAAAAAUGUUUUUAUUGUUGUUAUGUUUGAGAUGCAUUUGAUGCUUGAGUGAUUCUGAAGCAACUCUGAAACUUGAUCAAAGUGACACAGACACACACACUGGAUAGAAUGAAGCCUAAGUCUAGAACUAGAACUGUUGAUGGUAAUGUUUAAGAAUGAAGUCUGAGGGUUAAUGAAUUAGAGUAAUCUAAAUAGCAGAGCUAAGUAUCCUCAUGCUUUUUGGUCCUUAAUCCCAAGAUAUAAAAGAGCACAUUUUAAAUAAAUGCAUCAUCCAUGACCGUCACAUGCAAAGAGAAUAAAAAGAGAGAUUUCGGAGUUGUAAUAGAGGUAUUUUUCGUGUAGAAGAAAAAGAGAUGACUAAAGAUUAAAGCGUGACAUUUUCAGUCCUUAGUAUUUUAACUUUUCUUUUAUUUGCUUGCUUUGUUCUUUCUUUGAUAAUUUAUUUAAUGGUAAACACUUGUGUUGUUACUAUUUCAAAGCUCAUCAUGAGCUAAACCUUAAUUUAGUAGUUAUUUAAUUUACAUGUUUAUGUUGCUUAGAAUCUGCUGUAGUAAUUUGUUUUAACUUUACUUAUUGUAAUUCCAUAUUUCACGUUGACUAUGCAUUUAUUAGAUACUAGCUAAGAAGGAGCCCCAAAAUAACUUGACUUAGUGGAACAAAUUACGACAAUACAUGGUUUUCGAUUGAGUUUUCCAAGUUGAGUUAAUCUCGAUUUGAAUAGAGUCAUGCUUGAUUUAAAAUUAUGAAGAACUAGAUAUAAGGAUUCAUCGUAUACAACAAUAGAGUCUAAAAUGUAUAAUGCAAUGUCUAAUGUUAAUUUACCAAAUAGUCACUGUUAGAUUGCAUAUAGAUAUAAGAUAUCCAAAAUGCGACCGCUGAGGAUACAUUAUAGAUUCUGUCCAAUUGUGUAGUAGAUGUUGUAGCAACUGUGCCUCAAUUAAAAGAUAAUCAAUAACCAAUAAGUGAGUUUAGAUCCCAACUACCCCUUUGCCAUUGAGUAUAUCUUUGUGUUUGACUUUAGAUUCUCUUUAUUGCAUUUUGUUUAUUGCUUUAUUAGUUUCGUUAGAUCAUUAAUUUCAUCAUUAAUUUUUUUAUUUAAUGUAGUAAAAUUACACUGUUAAAUUUACUAUAGCAAGUAAUAUAACAUUAAUCUCUAUGGAGACGAUCUUGAUACUCAUUAAUGUGCUCCAAAGUUUUAUUUGUGCGUUUGAAAUGCAAGAAACCAAAGUCUCAACAGUUUAAGCCUGCCAACUUUUGAAAUAUGCAUUUUUAUCAAUAGUACGUCAAGAAACUAAAGCAUGCCAACAUUUGAAAGAUGCAUUUCCACAGUUAAGGUUGCCAGUAGUUCGACAAAUUGUCCGCUGGGCAAAUUAUUAACCAUUGUGUUAACUCCACAAAAUUCUUGUUGGACUAGAUAUGACGCCAGUCCUUUUGUUGACUCUUUCAAUGCAAUGUUGGGUCCUUUAGAAAAAAGCUAUUUCUACUUGUUAACGCAACUGUAGAAAGAAGUUUUUUGUUCCUGGUCUUGAGGUCCCAACAGCAGACAUUAAAUUAUUGCCUUUUCAAUUCUGAGUUGUCUUCAAUUAGAUGCAUUAUGCUAGACUAGUAAUUGUUUUAAAAAAGAAAGCUUCAUAGUGAGAAGCUGAUUUUUUAAGGAAGGAUAAGUUUAUUCUUACCUGAAAGUGAAUGUUCCACUGAAGAAAACACGGCUGGUGCCUGGAAGGAGAGCUAGUUCAGGAUGAAAGACAGGCAAUGAUUAUAUAUUUGAAAAGAGAGAUGAUAAAAUCAAGUUUGCAUGGGGCAGGUAAAGCAUGGCAUUAAUCAGGCUCUCUGCACUUUAGGAGUGUAGAUAAUCAAUCAAAGGCCAUCAAUCAACUCUAUUUUGUUUUUUUUAAUAUUAUAAUCAAACAAAUGUUAGCCUUUAAUUGGCAUCCAAUUGUUCAUUGUCUUAUAUUAGGAUAUAAGCUAAAUUCAUAAGAGGAUCCCUCUACAUAUAUAUUUCAUGUGCAUAAGGUGUAUGAAUAAUGUUUUCUGUAUGCUUUUGCUACUCUGUUAGUAGUCUGUUUAAGGCCCAUUUCUGAUUAUCUAAUAUCUAUGUUCAUGAUUUGUUUCGUGAUGUUGGUCUGUCAUUUGGUUUUUAGUUUUUCCCAGAGGCAAAUGAAGUCAAAUUUGCAAGAACAUCGGUCUUUGAAGGAGCAUCAUUUAAGUUGGACUCUCUAACAAAACCUUCAUUCUUUGAGAAUUUUGGAUUCACUGAGAAGGUCAAAAUGGCAGGCCGUGUGAAGCCGGAAGAUGAAUUGUUUCUAGUGGCCUAUCCAUAUUUUAAUGUCAAUGGUAGUCUUACACCUUGUCUUCUCAUUGAUAUUCAUUCCUUAAGGUCAUUAAUUUUGCUUUUCUUUUGUCUUGUAGAAAUGCUUGUGGUUGAAGAGCUUUACAAAGAAGCUAUAUUCAAUACUGCCCGGAAACUGAUUAUAUUCAAUGGAGAACUUGACCAGAUAAUGUCUGGGUGUAUUAUUCACCAUUCUUUCAUUCUUAUUGUACUUUCUGUAAAUUUAGUAUGAUUUUGAUGCUAUAUAAUAGUUUCUAGAUGCCCGCCCAUUGAAUUGCUUAUUUACAACUUUUUGGUAUAUUAUAGCAGAUUUGUUUUAUAGCUUAUAGCAGAUUUUUUUUAUAGCUUAUAAAAGAUCAACUUAUGUGCUGAGUUCAAUCAUUAUUCCAUAAACUUUUUCUGUACCUAUUUUCACAUGGUAUCAAAGCUAGACUCCCUUUCUUUUUGAUCUCUUUCCCACCAUGUCUGACUAAUCUUCUAAAACCACAGUCACCUAAAAAAGACUAGAACAAAAAAUUUUUGAUUCUGAAUCUCAUUCUGUCCAUAUUACAACUAUCCGGCUGAAUGAAGGAAAUUUUCAAAGAUGGUCUCAGUCAGUUAGAAUGCAUAUUAGGGGAAGAAGGAAGAUUGGUUAUCUUACUAGAGAUGUUAAGGCUCCUGAAAUAUCUGAUCCCUCUUAUGGUGUAUGGGAUGACGAAAAAUCCAUGAUUAUGGCAUGGUUAGUCAACUCCAUGGAUGAAGACAUUUGUGCAAAUUAUAUGUGCUACUCUACUGCAAAGAACUCUGGGAUAAUGUGAGUCAGAUGUACUCUGACAAUGGAAAUUAGUCUUAAAUCUAUUAGUUGCAGCUUGCUCUUGGAGAUAACCAUCAAAGAGAUUAUAGGAUAACAAAAUACUUCAAUACUCUAAAGAGAUUGUGGCAAGAUCUGGACUUAUUCAACAACUACGAGUGGAAGAGCACGGAAGAUUUUAAACACCAAAAACAAACUAUCAAUAAUGAGCGAAUCUUGAAGUUCCUAGCUAGGCUCAAUGUUGAAUUGGUAAGAGGAAGAAUUAUUGGGAGAAAGCCACUUCCUACUCUUGAGGAUGUUUUCUCUGAAGUAAGGAGAAAAAAAAUUCGUCGAGGUGUUAUAUUGGGAAAAAGGAACUCCAUUGUCUUUGUGGAAAAAUCUGCCCUUGUUACAGCAGAUGCUAAUGCUACCUGCUCCUUCACUCAACAGCAACAAAAACCUCGAGUAUGGUGUGAUUACUGUAAUAAACCAUGUCAUACUCGGGAGGCUUGCUGGAAACUCCACGGAAAGCCUACAUAAUGGAAAAACAGCAAGCAUAGCCGUGCGUCUACCAAUAAAGUGGAGGAUAUAGAAAAAAAUCUUAACGAGGAGCAAAUUGAUCAUCUCAUAAAGCUGCUGACUUCUAAUCCUCCACCUGGUACUCCUAGUGGUUCACUAGCCUAAACAUGUAGUAUUAUUAAUGCUCUAUUUAGCCACUCAUCUACUGCACCAUGGAUUAUUGAUUCGGGUGCUUCUGAUCAUAUGACCAUCAUUUCUAGUUUAUUUGAUUCCUAUUAUCCUUGUCCUAGUAACAAAAAGGUAAGAGUUGCUUAUGGAAACUUAUCUUCCAUAACUGGAAAAGGAUCAAUAAAAAUCUUUGAAACCAUUGAGCUUAAUAAAUGUGCUACAUGUCCCUAAACUUUCUUGCAAUCUGUUACUUGUCAAUCAAUUAGCCAAAGAUUCUAAUUGUUGUGCUGUCGUUUUUUACUCCCAUUGUGAAUUUCAAGACAGGGAUUUGGGGACGAUGAUUGGCAGUGCUAGUUUGCGAGAAGUUCUUUACUAUUUUGAUGACUACUUAUCAAGGAAUAAACAAGCUCAAGGUUUGAGCAAUAGGAUUAGUUCAAACUCUGCUAGGGAUCAAAUAAUGCUUUGGCACCUUAGACUAGGACACCCUACCUUUCCUUAUUUGAAAUAUUUGUCUCCAGAUUUAUUUAAAAAUGUUGAUUGUACUACUUUUCAGUGUGAAAGUUGUUUUUAAUCUAAAAGUCAUCGAGUUUCAUAUAAAGCACUUACUUAUUGUGCCUCAAAACCAUUUUAUUUAAUUCAUAGUGAUGUUUGGGGACCCUAAAAAAUCAUUACUUUAACUGGCAAAAAAUGGUUUGUAACAUUCAUAGAUGAUCAUACGCGGCUUCAUUGGGUUUAUUUAAUGAGAGAAAAAUCUGAAGUUGAGGGUUAUUCAAAGAUUUUUAUAACAUGGUUGAAAAUUAAUUUCAAACAAAAAUAAGCCUACUCGAUACAGAUAAUGGUCUGAAUAUUUUAAUAAUUAUCUAGAGGUGUUUUGUAAGGAAAAGGGUAUAAUUCACACAUCCACUAGUCGUGAUACUCCACAACAAAAUGGAAUUGCGGAAUGAAAAAACCGCCAUUUACUUGAAGUUAGUCUGGCUAUCAUACUCUCUAUGCAUGUUCCUAAAUAUUUGUGGGGUGAUGUUGUUUUAACAGCAUGUUAUUUGAUUAAUAGGAUGCCUACCCGUGUUUUAAAGUAUCAAUCACCUUUAGAAUACUUUACACUUAUAUAUCCUUCUAGUAGGAUUACCUCGAAUAUUCAGUUAAGAGUCUUUGGGUGCACUGUAUUUGUUCACCUUCCUAACCAUCUUAGAUCUAAAUUGGAUCCUAGAUUUGAAAAUUGUGUUUUCUUGGGCUAUGCUCCUAAUAAAGAGGCUACAAAUAUUUCAAUCCUCAAACAAAGAAAUUCCAUGUCAGUAUGGAUGUUAUAUUUCUCGAAAAUCAACCUUUUUUUGGCCAAAAUUCUCUUCAGGGGGAGAAAGAAAAUAGUGAAGAUCAUUUUUGGCAUACUUAUACACCUAUGCCUAAUUUGUUUUUACCUGAUCUGAGCACUUCAAUUCAAACUCAAAAAACUAAUAUUUCUAAUAAUGAAAACUUAGGAAACUUUGAACUACAAGAACCAAGUGUUAAUGUACCAGAGACAGGGGGAGAAAUAUUACAAGAUAAAAUUCCACCACCAAAGCUUCGUGUUUAUACUCGACUAAGGUAUCAUCACAGCAAUAAAGACCCUCCCAUAAACUUGGUACAACCUCAAUUGUCGCCUCCAAGCACUGAUUCCUCAUAAAAUUUAGGUAACAUUUCUUCUCCUAAAAAUUCCAGCACUUUUUUUUUCCUGAUCUUGACUUACCCAUAGCACAUAGGAACGAAACCCGAACCUGUACUAAGCACCCCAUUGCUGGAUAUGUUUCCUAUGAAAAGUUUUCCAAUAAACGAAGAGCCUUUACCACAAAAAUCUCUCAGAUACCAAUUCCUAAAGCCAUAAAAGAAAAAUUGGACAAUGGUUUGGUCUGCAUGCUGAACAUUCCUACAGAUGAGCAAAUUGCUAAUAUACUCACCAAGGGACUACCUAAGAAACAUUUCGAGAAAUUGGUUUGCAAGCUAGCCUUGAAAGACAUUUUUAUACCAGCUUGAGGGGGAGUGUUGAAAGGUUGACCAAAUCAAAUUGAUUUGGUUUCCUUAUAUAUUUAGGUGUAUAUUAGGCGUAAAUAUAGAGUUAUUGCUUCCUAGAAAUCAGUGUGUAAUAUUCUGCUUUAAUUUUUUCUUUCCUUUCUUAGUCUCUUGUAUCCCUAUAUUAAGACUGUAUACAGUCUCAUGAAGAUAUGAAAAAGAGAAUUAUUCCAUAAACUUUUUCUCUACCUAUUUUCACACUUCCACAUCAUACGGUGAUUAAUAUGUCAUCUCUACUCAAUUUAUUUAGCAUCAAAUUAUCAGAAGAUUUUGUUACUUAAAUAGAUGGUUUUCAUUUCAACUUCAAUGUUUUUUCAGGCCUAAAGCUUCAUAGUGCUUGUUUAUAUUGUUAAUCAAUAUAUAUAAGUUUACUUGCAGGCAAUAUCAGGCAUUUUCGAAAUAUGCGUAAGUAUGACAAGGAAAUCUCAAAAAGAAACAAAAACUUAUUGCUUGGAAAAAUUUAUUUAUUUGGGGGAAGCCAUUAUGAGUUUUGGGCUCCUUAAUAGCUUUAGUAAAUUUUGGACCAUUAUUUUGAACUAUGACCCAGUUUCCCUUGUUUACACCACAGAAAAUUAGCAACACUCUCUUAUGUCUCAACUCUCUCUGUCUCAACCAACAAAAUCAACUCUGUUAGUAGUCUGUUUAAAGCCCAUUUCUGAUUAUCUGAUAUCUGUGUUCAUGAUAUGUUUCGUGAUCUUGGACUGUAAUUUGGUUUUUAGUUUUUCCAGAGGCAAAUGAAGUCAAAUUUGCAAGAACAUCGGUCUUUGAAGGAGCAUCAUUUAAGUUGGACUAUCUAACAAAACCUUCAUUCUUUGAGAAUUUUGGAUUCACUGAGAAGGUCAAAAUGGCAGACCGUGUGAAGCCGGAAGAUGAAUUGUUUCUAGUGGCCUAUCCAUAUUUUAAUGUCAAUGGUAGUCUUACACCUUGUCUUCUCAUUGAUAUUCAUUCCUUAAGGUCAUUAAUUUUGCUUUUCUUUUGUCUUGUAGAAAUGCUUGUGGUUGAAGAGCUUUACAAAGAAGCUGUCUUCAAUACUGCCCGGAAACUGAUUAUAUUCAAUGGAGAACUUGACCGGAUAAGGUCUGGGUGUAUCCUUCACCAUUCUUUCAUUAUUAUUGUACUUUCUGUAAAUUUAGUGUGAUUUUGAUGCUAUAUAACAGUUUCUAGAUGCCCACCCAUUGAAUUGCUUGUUUACAACUUUUUGGUCCUUCAAUUGGUAUCAUUUUGCAAAAAUUGAAAGUAAAGUGGGUUUUUUGCUUUUAUUUUUUAAUACAAUAAUUUGAAAUUCACUCCCAGAAAUCUAAAGGGGAAUUAAUAAGGAUGAUCGUGUUAUAUCUUUCACUAAAAUGUCGCAAGGAAGACUUUUUUUAAAAAAAUAAAUAACAAUGACUUAACCAAACUAAUUAGUGACUUGGUUGUAGUAUAGUUGUUUUGGAAUGUGCAAUAAAAGGAUCAGAGAGGAUUUCCUUAAAUGAGCAGAAGAUUAUCCAUCGUUCUUCUACCCUAAGCUGGCUGCACUAUCCAGAACACUUUUUCCUGUGAUGGAGACCAUAUAUUACAUUCACAACUUUAAGGGUGGCAAUGGAGGAACCCUUUUCAGGUUUGCCAGCUAGUUACCGACGCGUUUCCUGUGGCAACAUAUUAAUGCUUGCCUAGUAUCACUCACUGUUUUCCUGCUGUUUAACUUAUAUUUUACAUGUUUUUCUUUUCCACUUCCUGUUAGGUGCUACCCAGGUUCCUGGAAGGUCCUGAAGAAAGUGAGUAAUAAAUAUAUAUGUUUGCAUCAGCAGGAAGUGAUGCCUUCCCUUAAGGAGGUUGCUUUGGAUAUCCUUCCCUCAGCUUGAGUUUCACCAAAAUAUUUGUCUGGUGAUAAAUCCCACUUUCUUAUGUUAUAGCAGAUUUGUUUUAUAGCUUAUAAAAGAUCAACUUAUGUGCUGAGUUCAAUAAUUGGUUCAUGAUUUCUAGUUUGUAGGUCUUAUGCUGAGUAUUUUGAUACUAAUCUGCCAGUGUUUGAAAGAUCUUAUUCUUAAGAUGAAUAUAAUCAUAACUUCCACAUCAUAGCGUGAUUAAUAUGUCAUCUCUGCUCUAUUUAUUAAGCAUCAAAUUAUCAGAAGAUUUUGUUACUUAAAUAGAUGGUUUUCAUUUCAACCUCAAUGUUUUUUCAGGCCUAAAGCUUCAUAGUGCUUGUUUAUAUUGUUAAUCAAUAUAUAUAAGUUUACUUGCAGGCAAUAUCAGGCAUUUUCGAAAUAUGCGUAAGUAUGACAAGGAAAUCUCAAAAAGAAACAAAAACUUAUUGCUUGGAAAAAUUUAUUUAUUUGGGGGAAGCCAUUAUGAGUUUUGGGCUCCUUAAUAGCUUUAGUAAAUUUUGGACCAUUAUUUUGAACUAUGACCCAGUUUCCCUUGUUUACACCACAGAAAAUUAGCAACACUCUCUUAAGUCUCAACUCUCUCUCUCUCAACCAACAAAAAUCAACUCCCUUUCCAAUCUAUAUCACAAUGCACGCUAUUUCAUCAAACCCAAGACUUACUUCAACUUAGAUUCAUAUAUGUUAUUUGAUUCAUGAUUAAGAAACUGUGUUUUUUUUCUUUUUUCAAAGUACGCUUGGAGAAUAAUAAAUAAAUUUACCAACCAACACAAAAAAAGUUUAUGUGAGGCUUGGUUGACAAUUUUAUUGUGGUAAUAUGUCGUUUAAAGAUAAAUGUUGUUGAUUUAUUGAUUCUUGUGUUGACUUGGAUGGAAGAUAUGUUGAAGAAAAAGAAACCCAAAAAUUACAUAUGCAGUUUUUUUCGUCAUUUCUGACUUUCAUGAUUUUGUACAAGAUAUAAGUUUUGUUUUCUAGACUUUGUUCUAAGUAGUAUUGGAAAACUUUGCAUUGCACAUUGUAGGUGUCCUCAAAUCUAUUAAAUUGGAUUAGGCAGUCUGAACACAUUAUUAGGGUUGUAAAGGGUCCAUGCAGUAUAAUUUUCUCUUGAUGCUUUCAUAUUUUUUGGCUGUACAGAUUUGAUGCAUCAUUGAUUCUUUGAUUCUGAUGUCUAAUGAAAAUGUAUGUUUAUAUUGCAUCGAUGAAUUUUUUAAUCCGGGAAUUGUAGUAAUUGUCUGUUGUAUUUCCAUGCAGUUGAAACCUUCUUGAUUUUUUGAAAAAGGAAAAUUACUUAAUUUGAUAAAGAAGAAUAUAUGAAUUUCUGAACAAUAAAAACUGUAGGAAGCAAAAAGAUAUCCUUGUGGCAUUAAUGAGUUGCUGGAAACAAGGUUUAAGAAUUUUGUAUGCUUUUGUUAAAGCUAUAAAAUGCUAUUUAUUAUCUGUGUUGUUACAAACUAAAGUACUUUUGUGCUUUAUGCAAAUUUAAAAAUGCUAUGCUAUGCGUUAGAGCAAUAAAGUUGUUAAGAAACAGUGAAGGCUUUUGUUGCUUUACUUAAGAUGAGGUUCAAGAAUAUUAUAUAACUUUAGUGAAUGUUUGCAUGGUGGCUUUGAUCUUGUUGCUGCCCCAAACUGACUGAUUGAAGGAGAGAAUUUUACAGCUAGAUCAAGCUUCUUUCCCCAGAUUAACUUCUGACAUGGACCAAUCAAAUGGCUGUCGCAUUCUUAAAAAAAUGGUUCAAGUUUUCCAUAGUUAUGGUCCACUUAUACAGAAUCUGGAGAAAUGAAUAUAUGAAUUGUGACUUAUAUCAUCUGUGAAGGCAAGGAAUAAUCCAUGGAAUUAUAUAAGAAGCAUUGAAACUGCUUUGUUGAUGGCCUGAGGCCAGAGAAAAUGCCGAAAACAUAUUCCUAAGAAAGUUGUUCCUUCUAGUUCAGUCCGGUCCAUUAAUUAAUCCUGGCUACAGCCCUCCAAGUAGUCGGGAUUGAGGGGCUUCUGUACGUGUAAGAAUGCUCUUGUAUUUUUUUUUAAUUCUUUUUAAAUUACUAAUUGUUGAAUUGAUCAAAUUUCGCGCCAUGUUUUCAGUUUAUAACAUGGAAGAGUGCUUGCAAGUUAAGUUGGAAAAAUUAUCACCAUUGCCCUCAAACUGCUGCAUCUACAGAGUUCCGGAGCGAUUACGUCAGAUAAAUGAAAAGGCAUAUACACCUCAGGUAGUCUCAAUUGGCCCUCUUCACCAUGGCAAAGCAAACUUACAGUUCAUGGAAGCUCAUAAACAGCGGUACCUGCGUUACUUACUUCAACGGACCAUAAUAAGCUUUGACGAGUUUGUUCAAUUUAUAAAGCUCAGAGAAGCAGAAUUAAGAGGUUCUUAUGCAGAAAAAGUCGAACUAAGUAGUGAUAAAUUUGUUGAAAUGAUUCUGCUGGAUGCUGCCUUCAUCAUUGAACUCUUAUUGAGGUAUCAUUUUCGUCAACUUCAAAAAAAAGAUGAUCAUAUAUUUCAUAAACCAUAUUUAAUAGAGGAUAUAUGGUAUGAUAUGUAGUUGCUUGAGAAUCAGCUUCCUUUCUUCAUUCUUGAGGAUCUUUUUGCUCUAGCUGCAAUUGAAAUCCCUGAACAACAUGAAAAUCCAACCAUCAUCACAGUCACAUAUGAGUAUUUCAAGGGUUUAGAGGCAGUACAAGGUAAUCGGCAAAAAUUCCCUCCUUACACUGAGGUUAGGGUACAGCAUUUCCUUGAUUUUCUAAGGAUUUGUCAUCUACCAUCAUCGAGGAAUCAGGAAAAACAAGAAGGUCAGCAAUACCACAAAGGUAAAACCGCACCAAGUGUGACUGAGCUCCACCAAGCUGGAGUCCACUUCAGUUUGAGCAAGAGCAAUGAUUUGUUCGCCAUAGAAUUCAAAAACAGGACAUUGCAUAUUCCGAAACUGAAGCUACAGCUGGAAACAGAAUCCUUAUUUCGUAAUCUCAUUGCCUUUGAACAACGGCAUUACUCAGAGAAUUACAUAAAUGAUUAUGUGUUCCUUAUUCAUCAUCUCGUGAACACAGCGAAGGACGUCGAGUUGCUUGUUCAGAACGGAAUCAUUGAGAACUGGUUGCGGGAUAAAGAGACUGCGUCAAUGCUUAUAAAUAACCUUUCUAGAGGUACUACUCUGCUGUCUGAUAGCUUCUAUUUUUCUGGGCUAUGCAAAGGAUUGAAUGAUCACUGCAAAAGAACGUGCUACAAAUGGAGGGCAAACUUGAAACAAAAUUACUUCAAUACUCCAUGGGCUGGCAUUUCGGUGUGUGGCGCCGUUUUCCUUCUUAUUCUCACCGUCAUUCAGUCUGUAUGCUCUGUUAUACAAGUGUUGUCUCAACCCAAAAAUAUCUCGUGACGAAAAACCUCUGUGCGGUAUUUGUAUGUCGUUUUUGAGUUGCUGUUUUCUUUUUUUUAUUUUAAUUCUUAUUCUCAACCAAUUUUAUCAUGGAAUUGUUAAUUUUACUUGAAUGUUGAACCAAGCCUUUAUUUUUUAAUAAUGAAAUGAAAUAAAAGGUGGGGGUAUACCCUUCACAAUACCCUCUUCACUCCUUAUUUAGUGUUGCAUUUACCGCAAUAAAAAAUAAUUUUUAAACGAUAAACAUAUUUACUUGAAAACAAAAAUUAGUUUAUGCUAUUUAUUUAUCUUAUAAUGUUGGAACUUGAAAGUUAAUUUAAAUUAAUGUAAUCCUACCAACUUGAUUUGGUUUUCAUAUUGGUUGGUUUCAUGUAUCAUGCGAAUUGUUAGGCACCGACUAACUCAAGCGUAUGUUACUCAAACAUCACGCUUGAAUAAUAGUUUAAGGAAUGUUGAUUUGGAUGGUAGAUAUUUAAUCAACUAAAACUAACGUUCUCAACUCAAAGCUCAUCUACUAGUAAAAGUAAAACCCUUCUCCGUCAACUUAUCUUCUUCAUUAUAUAACAAAAGAUGUUCAAUGAAAGAAUGAAAUAUAUAUAUAUAUAUAUAUAUAUAUAUAUAUAUAUAUAAUUAAGUCAAAGUAGUCAAGAUCCAGCCACUCGGCUUGAGGGCUUGAGUUCGAACCCACAAGAACUUAUUUCAAUCCUUAUUUUAUAAAUAUGAGAUUAGGGAUAGAUUUAUCUCUAAUUAUUUAUUUAUCGAGUAAUUAAUUUUAACAAUAUUAUUAAUUGUAGUUGAAACUGGAAUGAAUUUUCUGAAAGAUGCUCUCUCAUAACUAACCAACUAAAACUAACAAUCAAAUUAUCAAACUCAGAGCUCACCUACUAGUAAAACUGUAAAACUAAAACACUUGCUUCUCCAUUAAGUCAUCUCUUUAUAUAUAAAAAAGAGUGUUUUUAUGAAAUAAUCAGUAACAAUUAGGUAUCAAAUAAUUCAUAAAAGAUGUCAAGCUCCGUUGCUACUGCUGCUGAGGCCGAGAUUUGGAUUGUCCCAUUCUUCGGUCAGGGACAUCUAUUUCCAUGCAUUGAAUUAUGCAACCAAAUCGCUUCCCGUAAUUACAAAUCUACCCUCAUCAUUCCCUCUCACAUUUCCGCCACCAGCAUUAUCCCAUCCUCGUUUCACCAAUAUCCUCUCUUUGAAGUUACUGAAAUACCCUCCUUCGCCUCCUCACCCCCAUGUUGUCGUGCACAGCCAAAUGCUUCAAGGCCUUCGAAACCUCCUUUCAACCCGGGAACCCAAAAGCCGACCCGUUUGUGCAGUCAUCGACGUUAUGAUGGGCUGGACGGCUGAUGUUUUCAAGAUUUUUGAAGUUCCCAUUGUUGGGUUCUUCACUUCUGGUGCUUGCUCAGCGGCUGUGGAGUGUGCCAUGUGGCAGGCUCACAUCCAAGAUGUCAAACCAGGAGAGGCCCGUUUACUUCCUGGGUUACCCGAGGAUAUGGCUUUAUUUGAAUCGAAUCUUAAACACAGGCCUCAUGAGCCCCCUCCUGGUGGUCCACCACCUCUGAGAGGUGCACCCGGUUCCGAGAAAAUAGGUCCACCAGAAGCCGGUGAUCAACCACACUGGAUGAAGGAAGUGGAGGGAUCAAUGGCGUUGAUGUUCAACACGUGUGAUGGUCUUGAGGGACCAUUUAUUAAUUAUUUAGCCAAUGAAUUGGGAAAGCCGAUGUGGGGAGUGGGCCCACUGUUACCUGAACAAUUUUACAAAUCGGCCGGUUCAGUGCUUCAUGAUCAUGAGAUGAGAAUCAACCGGUGGAGUUCUAACAUGACGGAAGAUGAGAUCAUUCAAUGGUUGAAUUUGAAAUCAUGCGGAUCUGUGUUAUAUGUGUCAUUUGGUACUGAAGUGGAUCCGACCUUAGAUGAGUAUUUAGUACUAGCCAAUGCUUUAGAAGCAUCAAAUCGACCGUUUAUUUGGGUAAUUUAAGGUGAUGCAAGUAGAUUGGAUCCUCUAUGUCAUUUGGACAAAACAGUAGAAGGCAGUUAUUUUCGUUAGAUGAGUUUAGUGUUGUUGACGAGGCACCAUAUGCACAACAUAGUGAUAUUGUUUAGUGUUUAAUAUUAGAGUAAUGAUAUAGCCACAAACUCUUGUACAAAUUUAUUUUGUACAAACUUAUGUGGCAUGAUAAGAUUGGUUGAAUUAAAUAUCACUUGGCCCACAUGAUUUGUUUUCAUUAUUUUAUAUUUUCAUUCAACCAAUGAAUUAGUGCCACGUCAGUUUGUAUAAAAUAAGUUUGUACAAUAGUUUGUGGCUGUAUCAUUACUCUUAAUAUUAUAGGGAAGUUUUUAAUAGAUCUUCAUUUCCGUGCAUAUUGUGAGCUUAUUGCCAAAAAUGAGACUAUAUAGUUGUGGGACAAACAAAAAGGGAAAUUCUUUACCAUUCGGCUAAAUUUUGAUGUCAUGCAAAAUAAUAUAGGAUCUUGAAUUCACUUUAAUUGGAUGUCAGCCGGGUUACCAUUCAGAGAAACGGGUCUGAAUCCGACCCGUUUCAACUCCUCCCCCCAUCUCUCCACUUUCACCUCACCCGUCCUCUUGGGUCCACCAACCGCCACUAUGUUCCUAAUUUCACACCCAAACAACUGCUGCUCCACCGUAUGCCUCUCUAUACUGUCAGCACCCAGUCCGUCCCCCAGCACAGUGACGGAAAAAAAAAAAAAAGAACACUCAGAAUAAUAACAAUAUAUAAAACAAAAAAAUACAUAAAAAUAUUAAGAAAUGGAAAAAGAAGCCAACUUCUCUUGUUCGACGAGAUGGACCCUUUCGAUCAAUAAAUUGCAGUAGCCUUCCAUCAUACCAAAAGCAUCCAACAUAUUUUGCUCCUUCAUCACAUGCUCAACCUGCAAAAACCAAACCAGGUCAUUAGACAAAUGCAAUUGAACUAGUCAAUAAUUAUAACGAAUCAAACAGAAAAAGAGACCAUGCAUGAGCGACUUUGAUUCUUCAUGCAUGUGCAUAUGUCUUACGCGAGGAGAGCACGCUCUUGAAAGCCUUGUUGGAGGAACUGAACGACGUCGGAGCGUGCUUGGGAGCACUUGACUUGGCGUUGGUUUUUGAGAACGGCCAGGCGAGAGAUUGCAAGGUUGACCUGCGGCUUGAAUUUGUAGGUCUUGAAGUUGUUUUCUCUAAGAAGAAAAUCGAGUUUCUUUCCCAUGCCGCCGCCUGCUCUUCUGAUGAGUAACUGAGCUGAUCACGCUUCCAACUCAAUCACCCAACGCACAGUGACGGAGAGAAGGAGAAGAAACAAGCAAACGAAGGCUUGUUUACUCCUUUUAGAGAUGACGAGUGAUUGCGUUGUUAUUUUAUAGUUUCAUUAGCCUGAAACUUGGACUGAAGUUGUUAUUGCUGGACAAAAGGAAAAAGAGUUCAAUCACUUCAGUACCGUUAUUAUUGCUGGAUUCAUCUCCUCUCUCGGCAGCAAAAAUCACUUCCAUAUUUUGGCAACUACUCACUUCAAUGGACUGAAGUUGUUGAAGGCCUCCGCCAAUGACCAAUGGAAAUACAUUUUUCAAUUUAUCACACCCUUCCACCCUUAUGGUCUUUAGUUUGCAAAAAGACUCUGCUGUGAGUGGACCACGACAUAUUUCCUGUAGAUUCCUUAAAUCUCUCAGAAAUAAUGACUCCAAAAGGGGGAAUGCAGGCGUCGGAGCUGGCGUACAAUCCAUUGUGUCAACAACACAAGAAAGGUUGCCAUUAUGUUUGAUUUUGUUAAGGAAGUUAAGGAAGCUCAUAUUUGUAGUCAAGCAGAGGAUCACAGCAGCUUCUAUAAUCAGUUGCAAGUUGAUGACAUGUACUGCCAGCUGGCACCAGGUGGUUAUGUAGCUGCUUGUACUCAUACAUGUGAUAAGUUUGUUAAUCAUUUUUUAAUUAGUUAGUUAGUAUUGUAACCUUCAGCUGAGAAGCAACACUUGUAUAUAUAUGCUUGUAAUCAUUCAGUAGCAUUUUAAGCUUGAGAAAAUAAAAGAAGAAAGUUUUCUAGAUCUCAGUUUAUUUUCUUAUUAGCCAAACACUCAUUUUCUGUUUUCUAACUUGGUAUCAGAGCUAGUCAUGGCGUCUCUGAAUAUUGCCUCAUCAAAUCACACUUCGAAUAUUCAUACAAACUCAACAAACUUCUCAUUCACAUUCAAUACCCCUGUGAAACUGGAUCAGGCAAACUAUCUGAUCUGGAGGUCCCAAGUUCUAGCUUCCAUACACGGCAAUAGGCUAGAAAAGUUCAUUGAUGAAAAUGUCACUCCUCCUCCAUCUCAUAUUGCUCAAAGGAUUGACGAUGAACUUAGAUCUGUUGAGAAUCCAGAUUCAUCAAGCUGGAAAGCACAAGAUCAAGUACUUCUUGGCUGGUUGCUGUCAUCGAUGAGUGAAGGUAUUAUAAGCCUGGUGUUUAAUCUGGAAACUUCUCUUGAGGUAUGGAAAGCUAUUGAAACUCAAUUUGGAUCACAGUCAAAAUCCAGACUCUUACAUUUGAGAUAUUUGAUGAAUUCAACUAGGAAAGAUGAUCUGAAAAUCAAUGAGUAUUUCAUUAAAAUGAAGAAUAUUGCUGAUAACAUGGCUGCGGCAGGAAGUGCCUUAAGCAGUGAUGAUUUAAUUUUGCAUGUACUGUCAGGACUAGGACCAGAUUAUAAUGUUGUUGCUACUUAUAUUACUGGUCAAAUAAGUGGUGAUAAAAUGAAUUUGAAUGAGGCUUAUGCUAUGUUGUUGACUCAAGAAGCUAGAAUUGAGCAACAAGCACAUAUGCUUUCUGGAAUGGAUGUUAAGCAUAAUUUUGAAGCUAAUUUUGCUCAGAACAGAGGUUUCAAGAAAGGAAAUUUCUCAGGUGGUAGAGGAUCUGGUAAUCAUAACUAUUUUACUGGAUUAGAUAAUGCUGGAAAUUUUGGAAAUAAUUACAGAAGUGGCUAUAGAAGAUCUGGUUUCUUUGGCAAUGGUUUUGGAAAUAAUCAUAGUAACCAGUUCAGAGGAUUUCAAAGUGAUAAUCAAAGGGGAUCAGGCUCAGGAAAUUGGAACAAUGAUGGGGGUGGUAACAAUAAUUCUAUCAGGCCUCAAAUGAAUCCAAAACCUCAGUGGAAUGCUUCUAAACCUACUUGUCAAAUCUGCUUCAAAACUGGUCAUACUGCAAAUGUGUGCUGGAAGCUUGAAGAAUUCUUUACCUCUGGUGCUUACAAACCUCCUCCAAACAAAAAUCCCAAAGCUACAUAUCUAGCUGAUAUGGAUGGUGCAGCUGAUCCCAACUGGUAUCUGGAUAGUGGAGCUACACACCAUCUUACCAAUGACAUGAGGAAUAUGACUAUGGCAGAAUCCUUUGCAGGUAACUCUAAACUCAUCAUUGGAAAUGGUACUGGUUUACACAUAACACAUGUUGGAAAUGCUGUGUUAAGAAUGCAUAACUCUUCUGCUCAUCAUACACUCAAAUUAAACAACAUGCUUCUUGUUCCACAAAUAUCCAAGAAUCUUAUUAGCAUAUCUCAGCUUACCAAAGAUAACAACAUUGUUAUUGAAUUUACUGAUAAAUCCUGUUUUGUGAAGGACAAGGUGAGGAAUUUGAUCAUACUGUAGGGCAAAGCUGAAAAAGGUUUAUACAGAUUGCUAUUGUUUCCCUCUAAUAAAGUCUCUUCUCAAUCAUGUCAAAGGUCUCUUGAAGCCACUCAAUCCAAAAUUUCAGAUGUUCCUCUGUUUAUGUUUUCAGUUGUUCAGUCAGUUGUCAAUAAUCAAACAAGUCCCUGCUUGCAUACUGCAGCAGAAUCUUGUAUCGGUCUAAAUUGUAUGCUGAGUGUUUCUGUUUUGCAUCAGAAACUUGGUCAUCCUAAUUCCAAAGUUUUAAGUCAUGUAAUAAACUCUUGUUCAGCUUUCAAGAAUUUAAAUGGAAGUAACUUUCUUGAUUCAUGUGAUGCAUGUAAAAUGGGAAAAAUGCAUAGAUUACACUUUCCAGUUUCUACUACCAAAACAAAGCAUGUAUUAGAAGUUUUGCACACUGAUUUAUGGGGACCUGCCCCUGUGCUUUCAGUUCAAGGUUAUAGAUAUUAUGAGUUUUGUGGAUGAUUUUUCGAGGUUCACAUGGAUAUUCCCAUUAAAAACCAAGGAUGAAACACUAGUUGUGUUUAAAAUCUUUAAGAAACAAAUUGAGAAAUAGCUAGAUAGAUCCAUUAAGUGCAUUCAAUCAGAUUGGGGUGGAGAGUAUAGAUCAUUUGUUAAUUUUCUUCAUGAGGAAGAUAUUCAAUUCAGGCACUCAUGUCCCUAUACUCACAAUCAGAAUGGCUUAGUUGAGAGAAAACAUAGACACAUAACCGACCUAGGUCUCACCUUACUUGCUCAAGCUACUUUGCCUCUCAAAUUUUGGUGGGAUUCCUUCCAUACAGCCACCUAUAUUAUCAAUAGACUUCCCACACCCAUACUAUCUAUGCAGUCACCUUAUGAAUGUGUCUUCAAAACCAAACCUGAUUACAAAUUUCUCAAGGUCUUUGGUUGUUCAUGCUUCCCUUUCUUAAGGGAUUAUAAUACUCACAAAUUUCAUUUUCAUACCUCAAAAUGUGUAUUUCUUGGUUACAGCCCUUUACAUAAGGGUUACAAGUGUAUGCAUUCUUCUGGAAAGAUUUUUAUAGCCAGUCAUGUGUUAUUUGAUGAAACUUCUUUUCCUUACACAUCAAAUUCACAAUUUUUAACUUCAUCAUCCAAACCCUCUGAUUUCCAUUACAGUCUUAUUCAAUCUUAUACUGUUUCACUUCCCAAUAGCAAUCAAGAAACCUGUGAAGCUAGCUCUGCAGAAGAUGAAGCUCCAUAUCAUCAUUUCAGUGAUCAUUCCUCACCUGACAGUCAUAAUACAACCUUUGAUGUUUCACCUUCUCAAAUACAUCUUCAACCCUCUACCAUAGCUACUUCACAAACACAACAGCCAUCAUCAUCUACUAUUCAAUCCACACAACCAUCCCAACAUUCUCUGCCAAAUCAUCCCAUGAUUACUAGAGCAAAAGCUGGUAUAUUCAAGCCUAAAGCAUUCUUAACAUCACAUAACAGCCUGGAACCAUCCACUGUUGAUGAAGCUUUGUCUGAUUCUAAGUGGAAAGCUGCAAUGCAAUUAGAGUUUGAUGCUUUAACCAGAAAUAAUACCUGGACUCUAGUACCUAUGACAUCUCAGCACAAGUUGGUUGGUUGUAAAUGGGUCUUUAGAACCAAGUACAAUACAGAUGGUACAGUUUCUAAACACAAAGCAAGAUUGGUGGCCAAGGGCUUUCACCAGACAGCAGGAGUGGAUUAUAAGGAAACUUUUAGUCCUGUGGUAAAGUCUUCUACAGUCAAAACUAUACUAAGUUUGGCAGUGAUGAAAUGUUGGAAAGUCAGGCAAAUCGAUAUAAAUAAUACUUUUCUUAAUGGAGAUAUUUCAGAGGAUAUAUACAUGACACAACCAGAGGGCUUCAUCACCAAAGAGGGCUAUGUCUGCAAACUUAGCAAGGCUCUUUAUGGCUUGAAGCAAGCUCCUAGAGCUUGGUAUGACAAACUCAAAUGGUGUCUUACAAGCUGGAAUUUCUUCAACUCCAAGGCUGAUACAUCCCUGUUCAUCAGACAUGACACAAGAGGUAUCAUUCUUGUUCUUAUCUAUGUGGAUGAUAUUCUCAUUACAGGACCAAUUCUUCCAUGUUGGAAACAUUCAUCACUAAAUUCAGUAAGGCUUUUGCCUUAAAAGAUUUGGGAUUGGUAUCCUAUUUUCUGGGUGUUGAGGUGUGUUAUACUGAUAGUGGGAUGCAUUUAUCACAAACAAAAUAUAUUAAAGAGCUCUUAAGUAGAGCUUCAAUGCAGAACUGUAAAGGUUUUGAUACACCUCUCAGCACAGGUCAAAAGUUAGAAAAGGUAGCAAAGGGCUGUUUGGGGAAAGAAUUUGAAGAUCCAACUCUCUAUAGAAGUAUUGUUGGAGGGCUCCAAUACUUGAUACUCACCAGACCUGAUAUUGCAUACUCAGUUCAUAAGCUCAUUCAAUAUCAGAGUGCUCCUACACUUCAGCAUUGGCUUGCUUGUAAGAAGGUACUUAGAUAUCUUCAAGCAACUGUCACUCAUGGAAUAUAUAUUCAAAAGGAAGGAGAGCUUGAAGUUACAGGUUUGAAUGGAUACUCAGAUGCAGAUUGGGUUUGUGAUACAGAUGAUAGAAAGCCCAUUGGAGCAUAUUGCAUCUAUCUUGGCAACAAUUUAAUUUCAUGGUCCUCUAAGAAACAAGCUAUAGUGGCCAAAUCCAGCACUGAAAGUGAGUAUAGAGCACUAUCAUCAGCAAGUUCAGAAAUCUCUUGGCUUGAAUCUCUAUUUUCUGAGCUCAACAUUGUAAAGCUGCCAACACCAGUGCUUUGGUGUGAUAAUCAGAGUGCUGGGGAAUUAGCCAAAAAUCCUGUGUUUCACUCCAGGUCUAAGCAUAUCGAGUUGGACAUUCAUUACAUUCGAGAUAAGGUACUUCAAAACCAAUUAGAAGUGAGAUACAUUCCUACAGAUGAACAAGUUGCUGAUGUCCUCACCAAAGCUUUAUCACUUCCAAAAUUCAGCUACUUCAGGUCCAAGCUCAAUGUCAUUAGCAGACCCUUGAGCUUGAGGGGGGAUGUUAAGGAAGUUAAGGAAGCUCAUAUUUGUAGUCAAGCAGAGGAUCACAGCAGCUUCUAUAAUCAGUUGCAAGUUGAUGACAUGUACUGCCAGCUGGCACCAGGUGGUUAUGUAGCUGCUUGUACUCAUACACGUGAUAAGUUUGUUAAUCAUUUUGUAAUUAGUUAGUUAGUUUUGUAACCUUCAGUUGAGAAGAAACACUUGUAUAUAUAUGCUUGUAAUCGUUCAGUAGCAUUUUAAGCUUGAGAAAAUAAAAGAAGAAAGUUUUCUAGAUCUCAGUUUAUUUUCUUAUUAGCCAAACACUCAUUUUCUGUUUUCUAACUGAUUUGGAGACGCUUCAGUUUUGGAAAGCCUUCUCUGUCUGAUCCAAAAAGAACAUUCUUCAUGUCCGGCAAUCCAUCUAAAGUUAGGUCUUCAAUACCCUUCAAUUUCAUGAUAUGCGCCCCGUUCAAGCAAAUGUUGGCACCACUGGCGAGCUUCAGUGUGAACGUUCUAGAAAUCCCAUCCGAUGGGCCAUACCGCCGCCGCCGAUCUCCUAUCAAUAUUCUGUACCUUUGCAGCAUUUUGAAGAACGACAAGUCACUUGGUAGAUUCAUUGCAUCCGGGAUGAGUAUUUCUAAAGAAGUCAAUUUAGAUAAAUGAUUCAACUCAUGAAGGCUGGCAUUUCUUCUUCUACUGUUGUUAGGUCCCAGUCAGAGACAGCCAAUGAUCACGCAUAACACAAGUGAUAUUUUUCUGCUUAUGGCGAGAAAGGACUAAAUAAUUGUUGUUUAGAAUUCUCAAUACUUUUAUUCAUAUUCUGGAGCUUAUUUAUAAUAACAAGACUUUGGUUUCCAUCCUACAAUUACGGCUAAAUAAACGAGUAUAACAACUUAGCUAAAAAUUCGAAACCGAAAGAUAAUCGAAAACAACUUCCGUGUCUUAGCUUCCCUCCUUACUCGCUGCACAAUUGUUGACAAGCGUAUUCCUAGAUCACGGCUCCAGCUCCAGCACGUAUCUUCACGAUCUCAGCACAUGCAUGUUUCAUGCAUGGCUUGCAUGGGACUCAUGCCCUUACGUAGCAAACUUAGGAUUUGGCUUUGGCAUUUCCAGAUCUUCGUGGCUCAUGCAUUUGCUGUCUAUCAUUACCCCAUCCUCGAAGAAUACCCUUGUCCUCAAGGGUCAGAUUGGGAAACUGUUGGUGCAGCAUUAUGGUGUCCUCCCAUGUUGCUUCUUCAGCCAACAUUUUUUUUCCAACGGACUAGAUUCUGCUCGAUCACUUUACCUCCUCUCUUCACCCAACGUGUGUCAAGGAUAGCUUCAGGGUCCAUGAUCACCAAGCCUUCAUCAUCCACAGGUGGUAAAUCGACGCCGUUGCUAAGGAAAUCACCCACAGCUUUCUUAAGCAAAGAGACGUGAAACACUGGGUGAAUUCGAGCAUUCUCUGGUAAUUGUAGUUCGUAGGCAACGGCUCCAACUUUGCGAAGAACUAAAUACGGCCCAAAGUACCUGCAAGUUAAUUUCUGAUGUGCCCUUCUGAACACUGAAGUCUGCCGAUAGGACUGCAACUUUAAUAACACCAUAUCUCCCUGUUUGAACUCAACGUCGCGGCGACCCUUGUCAGCUGUUUGCUUCAUCCUGUUAGCUGUUGUGGCUAAGUUUUUCUUUAAUUGUAAGAGCAGUUCAUCACGCGAAUGUAAGGCUUGAUCAACCUCAUGCACCGGCGAGGAACCAAGUUGAUACAUGGGCAUGGCUGGAGGUGGUCUUCCAUACAAAGCUUGGAAUGCAGUCAUUCCGGUGGAGACGUGGAAUGUGGUGUUGUACCAAAAUUCUGCCCACGGCAAAAAAGAAUGUCACUUUCGCAGCCACUGGUGAACAAAACAUCUCAAGUAUUGUUCCAAGCAUCGAUUAAUUACCUCCGUUUGGCCGUUGGUUUGCGGGUGGUAUGUGUUGAGUGUUAGAAAAUGCAUAUUUAUAAAGGAGAAAACCGUCAUUUUACAUUUCAAGUCUUACUAACAACCCUUACUUUUAUGUAUUUAACCUUCUUGUGAUUUAAUUACAUGUGUUUUAUUUUAAUUAAGUAUUUUAUGUAUUUUAGGGGCAUUAUAGUCAUUUCACAAUAAAGGAGAGAUUAGACGGCAAAACGGACAUCACUUUUGAACUCAGGACGGUCGAAAACCUUAGGAGGAGCAUAAAAGGAAAAAUGGAACUAUUCACAUGUACGGUACUAUUCACGUGUACGGGACUGUCUAUGUUACUGUUCACGACACUGUUCACAUAGACGGAUCGAUGACGUGGCAUUGACCGAUGAUGUGGCAUUGACUGAUGAGGUGUCACGAUCCUGUUGGGCUAAAAUUCUUAUGUACUGUUGAUGCUGACGUGGCAGCAUAUCAGUGGACGAAAAAUCUCGCGUACGGUACAUGCAUCACACAGGAUUAUUUUCAACCAAACUGCGUUACUGUUCAUCCGGGUCAAACCGUAUUACUGUUCAUCCACGUUGUCAAACCGCGUACUGUUGACUGAUGACGUGGUGCAAUCCUGAGCGUCCAAACUGUUUUUAAUCUGAUGGCCAUGAUUUACUCCAUGUAUCUAUAAAAAGGGGGCCUCUCCCCCUUAAUUUGAUAGCUCUGAAUCCAUUUUUGGGAUCCAUUUUCUAUAAUUCCCUCUCCAUCUUGUAUUUUCUACGUAUUUUAAUAAAUUCCCAUUUUGCCCCUAGUUCAAUUAUGAAUAGCUAAUUUUCUUUCAAGCUUGGGUUGAAGGUGAAGUCUCAACAUGUGUCAUGGGCUUAAUUUGGUAAAUUUAUUUUCUCUUCCCCUUUAGUUUUUGUGGAUGUUUUGACUUCUCGUCGACAAAUAAUAAUAAUCUUGUCUAGAUAUCGUCUUGGUUACACCGGCUCUCUAGUAUAAGGUUAUUAUUAUUUGGCACGAUAAGCCCUUAGCACCAUAUUGAUUAGAGUGUGGUUCAUAAGGUGUGGAUUCCCCCCUCAUGAUUUAAUUGGUAUUAAUAAGGAAUAUUUAGCCCAUGGUGCAUGUUGAUACGGAUCCAAAUACCCAAGUACGUCAUUUCAAUAGAUUUCUCUUCAAUUUAUUCUCGCCAUUUAAAUUCCAAUUUUAGAAUUUAUUCUCGCCAUUUUAAUUUAAGUUUUAGCAUAUUCCAAAUCAUUUCCAUCACAAAUCCAAUCACCCAUUUACAAAAUUAAUUCUACACACAAUUAAAAUCCACCUCCUCGUGGGAUCGACACUCGUCACCAUUGAUCUAUACUACAAUAGAUUCGUGCGCUUGCGAGUACAUUAAAAUUUGCACAACAGUAUGGUGAGCUCAUUUUGAGUUUGGUGCCUGAUAAAUUAAAGAACUCUUGCCAAAAUUUGCUGAUGAAUAUGGGGUCACGAUCGCUGAUGAUUGACUUGGGCAUACCGUGCAGCCUCACUACUCCUUCACUUUCUUCUCGAACUGGCCGCGGUGAACCAAUGGUUUCGUUGGUGCCGUGGCUAGUGGUGUCUUUGGAUGCAUUGAAAGUUUCUGCUAAUUUGCUAAUGGUGUCUUCUAAUCGCUGAAGCUUGUCAUUGAUCCCAAUCUCCAUGCGUUCCAUUCGGCUCUCCAUGCUUUUCAGAUCAGCUUCAAUUCGCUCAAUACGUUCUUUGUUGGUCAUCAUUGUUAACCCGCUCUGAUACCAAUGUUAGGUCCCAGUCAGAGACAGCCAAUGAUCAUGCGUAACACAAGUGAUAUUUUUCUGCUUAUGACGAAAAAGGACCAAAUAAUUGUUGUUUAGAAUUCUCAAUACUUUUAUUCAUAUUCUGGAGCUUAUUUAUAAUAACAAGACUUUGGUUUCCAUCCUACAAUUACGGCUAAAUAAACGAGUAUAACAACUUAGCUAAAAAUUCGAAACCGAAAGAUAAUCGAAAACAACUUCCGUGUCUUAGCUUCCCUCCUUACUCGCUGCACAAUUGUUGAUAAGCGUAUUCCUAGAUCACGGCUCCAGCUCCAGCACGUAUCUUCACGAUCUCAGCACAUGCAUGUUUCAUGCAUGGCUUGCAUGGGACUCAUGCCCUCACGUAGCAAACUUAGGAUUUGGCUUUGGCAUUUCCAGAUCUCCGUGGCUCAUGCAUUUGCUGUCUAUCAGUUGGUCCUUUCACGCUUCCCCCACUCAAUGGGACUCUCACCAAUGUACAAUUCUUCUAAUCGUGAUAAGCUUGAUAUGACAUUUGGUGGAAUAACUUUUAGAUUGAAACAGUUGCUCAGAUCCAACAACCUCAACUGAGUCAGCCGGCCUAUUUCUUCAACCAGUUUCUGCAUAUUAGAACCUCGAAGUGUAAGGAUUUCUAAUUUCUUUAGAUCUCUAAUAAUAGCGAUGUCUCCGAGUUGGCAAUCAUCGAGAGACAAUGUUUGAAGGUUUUGUAAGAGACCAAGCGAUGGAGGCAAAGGCAACAAAUGCAUCGUAGUGAAAUCUAAAACUCUAAGCCCUGUCAUCCCAGUAAAAAGGUUAUCUGGGAUUCUCAAAGAUGGAACAUUAUCAAUGGUGAGGUAUUUAAGUUGCGGACAUUCAAAAUCUUGAGGAAACUCACUAAUAUUACACCUACAUAAGGAAAUAACUUUGCAAACCUUCAGUCUCUCCUUAUCUGGCCAGCUGGUCAGCGGAAUAACCUCGUUUUCCACCGCAAACACAUGUUGGUCUCUAGAUGCAAUUGAUAUGGCUACAUCACGAACAACAUCAUGCAUAGAAAACCAUUCACUUGUAUUGCCAUCAAGCAACAAACAAGAUUUUUUGAGUUUUUCAACCAAUUCAUGUGCUCUAUCCCGCGCCUCUUCCAACGUGUUGAUGUUUUGAAACAGACCCAAACCCAUUCCAUAAAAGAGCACGUCUUCAACGCAAGAGAUGAAGGCGUACCUUAUUAGCAAAAAUGUACUCUUGAGCUCCUCCCCGUUUAAAUGACUGUAACUUAGCUCUAUACUUUUAUAUGCCACCUCCAGUGUUCCACUGAAGUUCCUCAAGGAAGGCCUUCUUAAUUCUAGCAAAGCAUCAUUCCAUUCACACAAUCUCUUAUUUCUCAAUGCCCUUGCUACGGGUACAAUGGCAAUGGGCAAACCAGCACAUUCCUUGACUAUAUCUUUUGCUACCGAUCUCAAUUCAUCAUUUUCUAUGCAAUCACCUGUCGUCUUCGUAAAAAGACUACAAGCUUCUCCUCCAUUCAAAACAUCAACACGAAAAUUCUGUUGACAAUCAAUCUUACAGGACAACACAUCUACACUUCUUGAUGUCAGCAGAACUUUACGUCCGCUGUUAUCAUCUGCCAAUGGAAUUCCAAUCGCCUCCAAAUCAAGACUCCCCCAAAUAUCAUCCAAGAUUAUAAGGAUCUUCUUCUCUACUUUCAAUCGUUCAUAUAGCCUCCCUGCUCUUACAGUUUCAGUCUCUUUAACUAAUCGCAAGCCCAUCUUCUCUGCAAUUUCUUCACCAGCGUCGUCUUUCCAACCCCACCCAUCCCGUAGACCCCAAUCAUGUUGAAUUUACGGUUGCUGAGUGCGUCUAGUAUCUCCUUCAAAGUGCACUUCCUCGAUUGAAAGUGCACGAAACCCUGGGUAGACUUAAGCCAUGGCUCUUCUGGAAUGGUUCGAAAAGAAACACUGUCCAAUCUCCCUUUUUCAAGGAGUUCAACAAUAGCAUUCACCUCCCUCACUGCUUUCUUGCUAAGCUGGUACCGAGUCUUCAAAUCAGGGCAUAACCCCUUCAAACACCGGUUGUUUGAAUUCUCUUUGUAUCCAAUAAGUUCUCCGACUUCAUUGAUGAGCCUGUGCGCACUAAUCAGCCACUCCGCAACUUUCGGUAGAAUUCCAUCCCCAUUAUUUCUGGAAUCAUCAACUUUAUGCUGCACACUGUCUCUAGCAUUCUUUAGGUUACCAACUUCAUUCUUCAGCUUCUCGAAGUUGGUCUUGUAGCUGCGGCAGUAAGUAAAUGGGUGAAAAAUGGGACCAACCAAGUUCUUUGAAGCUUUUGUAACAAUGGAGAUAACAAUUUCCAUUAUCCUUUUUUUUCCCCCCGCUUUCAGAAAACAGGGAAAAGCAAAACUAAUCAAACUAAGCAGAGCUAAUCAAUCGGCUGGGAAUUUGGAUAAAUUGCUGAAAUAAGAAGUUGUCCGAAUGAAAUUGAUGAAACAAAUAUUUAAGGGAGAAGGAGGGGAAAGGAGUGAAAAAUCUAGAGAUGAAGCGAAGAGGAGACAAAUUAAAAAGUGAGUGCAAUGAAAGAUUUGCAAAGAAGGUAUGGGAGGACAAGGAUGAUUCAGACAAGGGAAACAGAAUAUGAAGAAAGGGAUUUCAGAGAACUCUAAAGAUUAGGGAAGAAUGAUGAUUAGGAAAAUGAAGAGGCAGACAGUUGUGAUCUCGAGACUCAAGGGGUAAACUGAAUCAUGCAAAAAUGCCAAACUAAAUUCAUACAAGGAGAAGACUCGUGCUUCCAAGUCAACUAGAUUCUCCAUAAGUAAAUAGCGUUAAAGUCGCAGGUUAAAUGCUAAAUGGCAUUUUGGCAUUUCGUUGAAUUUUCUUGUUACCAGUAAGUGCUGUGCUGCCGACAUUUUUCAACUUGUAAUUGUAAGACUUUCCAAGCAAUUUUUGUGGUAGUUUUAAUUAAUUUUAAUUGUAUAUCAAAUAUUUUAUUACUGUAAUUUAAAAAUCACAAUUGAUAAACAACAAUAGUAGAGAGAACGUUAAAUAGUUUGAGAAUGAUUUUUUAUUUAGGGCAUGUUUGUGAUUGCUUUACGAACAAUCAAAAUGCUAAUUCUAUUAGCCAAUAAACACAAGCGCUUUGUCAAGAACAUUACGCGAAGAACCCUUUAUAUAAAUAGCAAUCAUGUAAUUACGGAAGGCUUAUCCUAAUUACAUUUUAGUUACAUUCAAUAACAAAUUAACAACAAUAUUACUUAAAAAUUUUCGUUUGGCAAUGAGUAUAUUGGAGGUAGCAUAAAAAAAUCUGAAAACUUUGCAAACUUUUUAUGAAAAUGCAUUAGAGUUGUUAUGUUCUUUCACUGUUGAUAAUGGAAAUAUAAUGCAGGCCAAGAGACCCAAAGUGAAAGUGACCCAUGUGCUUUUCUAAUUACUCUGCUAUAAAGCCAAAGUUUGCGGACUUUAUGAUUUUUUUUUUCAGAAAUAGAUAUGCAAAUAAAUUGAAAAGAAAAAAAAAAACCCUGUUGCGUGGUCAUGUGGGUCCUCGAAAUCAUUUCGGCAUUUAAUCGAACAGUUGGAUGUACUCGGCAAGACGGCAACUAUACUUCCUCGAAGGUUCCUGGAUGUUGCAAGUGCUGCCGGCAUUUUCAAACUCGGAAGGUUUCAAUAAUUUUUUUUCUUUGAAAUAAAGGUUUCAAUAAUUAGCUUUGAUUAUUGUGUAAUAUACGAUAAUCUAGUGAUGAUGGUCACUUAUAUAUGUGAUUAAAAGCUAAGCUGGUUGAUUUGUAAGUAAGAACACACGGCAAAGUAUUUGAGCAAGCAUUUUUAUCUUCUUAUUACCACAUUCUUCUAACCAAUUUGCUUUCACCAACAAAAUAAUUAAUAAUUUGUAAAUAGUUGGAUCUUAAGCUCAGAUUUUGACAAUACAUGAAUGAUAAUAUAUACUUAUUUUCCAAGAGUAUACUCUAUUCAAGAGAGGAUCUCAAAUUUUUAUUAGAGAAGAUCAUAUUUAAAGCUCAAGUGCAAGAAUAAUAAUGGUUGCGUUGACUGGAGAACAUCAAAUACAAACAAAGACCAUGCUAAAGGAAAAGCAAAAGCUGGCGAGAUUGAUAAAGAAAGACUAAUAAAGCUUUCCUUUCAGCAUUAAUCAUGAUUAUUGGAUGAACUAGAGGUGAUCACUGUUUUAUAUUUUUAGUGCAAAAUAGAAUACACUGCAAGAGCUGAUGGCUUUCUUUGUUGUCCUCUUAUUGUCACGUAUUUUGUAGCUUUCUCAUUUUGAUUAGUUGUUCGCUCAAUAACCUAAAUGGGUCAGGGUUUUGAUGAAUUGAAAUUGACAUCAUUUCUGUUAAGAGUAGUUUGUUAUAGUUAGUUAUAGCUGCUGACUUAUGCUGACGUGUUAGAUGAGCUAAUAAUUGUUAGUUAUAUUGGUUGUAGUUUGUUAGUAAUCUUUUAGCACAUGUAUAAGCUAAGCUCAGCUCGCGUGAAUUGAUUCCAGAAUAUUCAAGAGCUUAGUAUAAAUACUCUUGUAACAAAUACAACAAUUAAUUCUAAGCUCUCCAUUCUUCUUUCAAACUUUCUUUCGUUUUCUCUGUUUUUCUCAGAUGCUAAACACUUUUCUUAUAUUUUAACUUGGUAUCAGAGCUUCAAUCUUCAAUUCUCAUGGCAUCAUCAAGCUCAAACUCAAACACAAACUCAAUUAUUUCAUCAUUUACUUUCAUCUCACCGAUCAAACUUGAUCGUUCAAAUUAAACAAUCUGGAAGUCUCAAAUUCUUUCAUUUGUUCAAGCCAAUGGUCUAGAAGAUUUGCUUGAUGGAUAAAAAACCUAUCCAGAUCAAUUUCUUCAAGGUGAAACUGAAAACGCCUCUGCUAAUACUCAGCUAAAUCCAGCAUAUACUACAUGAGAGGGAAAGGGUCAGUUGCUACUGAACUGGUUGAUGUCAUCUAUCAGUAUUGAGAUUCUGAGUCUUGUAGUAAACUCUGAAACUUCUCUAGAACUUUGGACUAGUUUGGAACAACAGUUUGGAUUUGAAACUUUUGCUAAGAAAAUUCAUCUAAAAAAUGAUGCUUAAUAACCUUAAAAAAAGUUCGAUGACAGUCACUGAAUUUUUUGGCAAGUUAAAAACAAUUACUGAUGAGUUAGUCAUUACUGGUAAUCCAAUAAGUUCUCUGGACUUUCUUACACACCUGAUUUCUGGAUUAGGUCAGCCUUAUUAUCCUGUUGUAGUUUAUCUUGAAGCAAAUCUUGUUAAGAUCUCUAUCAAUGAGGCAUAUUCUAUGUUAUUAACUCAUGAAGUUAGUCUAUAGGCAAAUCAGUUAAGUGCAAGCAAGGAAGUUAAGUUGAACUAUACUGCAAAUAUUGCUCAAACUGGAUCUAGAUCUAAUAAUAACAAGAAACAAGGUGGUCAAUUCAAUAACAAUUGGACUGGUGGUCAAUUUAACAAUAAUUGGAACAAGAAUGCUAGCUUUAGAGGUGGAUAUGCUGGAGGCAAAGGUGGUUAUGGUAGAAAUUUUUCACAAGGAUAACGAAGAGGAAACUGGAAUGGUGUGCCAUUUGGAAAUUUUUCACAAGGAGGCAAAGGAAGUAAUUACAAUGGCAAUCCUAGUCAAAAUGAGGGAUUUACUAGUGGAUUUACUAAUGGCACAGGUGUUAUGGAUCAGGCUACUGCCACUGUAAUUUGCCAGAUUUGCUUUAAACCUAAGCGCACUGCAGCUGAGUGCAGAAACUGAUUCAACAAGGAUUAUGUUCCUUUCAACAAUCCAUUUCAGAACUCAUCAAGAAUUGCCCAUCUUACAACUUCAGAAGGGGCAAUAGCUGAUCAAGGAUGGUAUAUCGAUAGUGGUGCCACAUAUCACAUCACUAACAACUUACAAAAUCUACAAAUUGGAAGUGAGUAUUCAGGUAAUCAGCUGCUCCUUGUAGGUAAUAGUCAGGGUUUACAUAUUUCACAUAUUGGCUAUGCAUAUCUUCAAACAUCAUGCAAUACAACUUUAUACUUAAGAGAUACUUUGUGUGCUCCUAAACUUACUAAAAAUCUCAUAAGUGUUUCGAAAUUGCUUGAAGAUAACAUUGAUGUAACCAUUGAGUUUGUUGCCAAUAUGUGUUUUAUAAAAGAUAAGAGGAAGGAACGACAUCUGGCUCAAGGGAUUGCUAGAGGAGGAUUGUAUCUGUUGUUGUCAAAGAAUGACUUUGUUUCGAAUUCUAGUUGUCUCACUUAUGCACCUAGCUCUAUGCUUUCUGUUUUGAAUAAUUCAGCUUGUAAAAUUUUUGAUACUGCUACAAAUAAAGUUUGUAAUCCACAAUGUCAAAUGAACACAACCAAGAUAACAAACUUGUUUCAUCAGAAAUUUGGUCAUCCUAAUAAACAUGUGUUGAAAUCCAUUUUAUCUUCUCUUUCUAUUGAGUACUCAUCUAUAUCAGCACCUGAUUUUUGUGAUGCCUGUCAAUAUGGUAAAGUCCCUCAAAUGCCCUUUUACACAACUAGAAUCAUAACUAAAGCUCCUUUAGAGCUUAUCCACACUAAUCUUUGGGGUCCAACACCCUUACCAUCUCUACAUGGCUAUAGUUAUUACAUUAGCUUUGUAGAUGACCAUAGUAGAUAUUGCUGGAUUUUUCCAUUGACCCUCAAAUUAGAAGCAUUAGGCACUUUCAAAUUCUUCAAAACCUUAGUCAAAAAAUAGUUUGGCUACACUCUAAAAUCACUGCAGUCUAAUUGAGGGGGUGAGUAUAGAAGCUCUCAAAGUUUCCUUGAAGAAGAAGGGAUAAGGUUUAGACAUAGUUGUCCUCACACACACCAUCAAAAUGGUGUGGUUGAAAGAAAACAUAGACACUUGGUUCAAACAGGACUUACCCUUCUGACACAAGCCAAAAUGCCUCUGUCUUUCUGGUGAGAAUCAUUCCAUACAGCUUCCUUGUUAACAUAUAUGUUUCCAUAAUGUUGAUUUUGAUGAUAACAAAUAAGAUUAAGAGUGAUAAAUCUUUUAAGCUCAAAUUAUUUUUUAUACAUUUUAAAUAAAUCAUUAUUUUUACAUUAUAAAGGUUUUAUAUUUAAUGGAAAAAUGAUUUUAUGAAAUUGAUUGUUUUUAUUCUUUUUAAAUAAAUCAUUAUUUUUGCAUUAUAAAUGUUUCAUAUUUAAUGGAAAAAUGAUUUUAUGAAAUUGGUUGUUUUUCAAAGUUUAUGGUUUAAUUGAAAGAAUUUUGAAAACUUUGAAAUAAACAAGUAUUGCUUGAAAUUUUAGAGAAGGACUUAUUUGAAAAGUAUCAUAGCAUUUUGGGCUAUACCAUAAUUUCAAAAAAUUUUGGGAUUAACAAAGCAUUAUUUAGAAAUUCUGGAAUCGGACCUAUUUACAAAGUUUUAUAAUAUUUUGGGUCGUAAUACAGUUUUAUAAAGUUUUGGGGUCAAACUAUAAAUUUGGGAAAUAUUUCACUGUAGCAGUUACUGUAGUAGCUACUGUAGAAAACGGCGAUCCGACAUCUUGAUAACGGCUCGCCGAUAUCUAACAGAGUUGAAGAUUAGCCUCUGGACCUAAACGGCGAUCCGACAAUUGUGAUAAACGGCUCGCCGAUAUUUAACAGAACUGAAGAUCAGCCUCUGGACCUAAACGGCGAUCCGACAUCUAGAAUAAACGGCGAUCCGACAAUUUGAAAAAUCAGCCCAACGGUCAUAUUGACCAGUCAAACGGCGAUCCGACAGUGUGCAGACAGUCUAUAACGGCUAGUUUUCAGCUGCAGCUAUAAAUAAGCUCAUUCAAAUUCAAACAAAGGUUAAUCACAACACGACUAUUGAGCUUAUAUCCGAGAAUACAAUCUUCAUAGAGCUUUAAACACAUUCUCUCUUCAUCUAUUCACAUAUUGGGCAUUGAUUUGUAAUCUUAAAUAUUGUGUGAGAGAAAAACAAUUUGUAAUCUUUUACUUUGAGUGAUUGUAAGUGUUGGGAUACACUUGGGUUAAGAGAUUGGGGAUAAUCUCUUGUUGUAAAGGUCCAUUGACACCUUGGAAGUCAAUUGUAAGCGUUUGAAGCCUUGGGAGGCUAGCUUAGUGAAAUCCUCAAGCCCGGUGAGCUUGGAGGCGUGGACGUAGGCGGGGAUUGCCGAACCACGUAAAAAUCCUUGAGUUUGCUUUCUCUUCCCUUGCUCAUUUAUUAUUGUGCUUUCAUUGAAUUUAUUGUUUUCAAAUUUAUUAAGGCAUUAGAUUGGAUUGUUGUGUGGUUUGCUUAGCUUAAUUUUUAAAUCCCAAUUCACCCUCCCUCUUGGGUUGCCUAGUUAGUAUUUCAUUUGGUAUCAGAGCGAGGUGCUCUUGUGUAGACUUAACGUCUAGAGUCAAAGAUCCAUAGCAACCCAAAUUAGCUCAACCAUCAUGGAAGGCCAAUCUAUCACUAGACCUCCAUUUUUCGACGGAAAUGAUUAUCCUUAUUGGAAAACUAGGAUGAGAAUUUAUUUACAAGCUUUAGAUUAUGAAAUUUGGGAAGUUGUUUGUGAUGAUUUACUCAUUCCUAGAAAGAAUGCUUUAAGUGAGUUGGAUAAGAAAAAGAUGUCUUUAAAUUCCAAGGCUAUGAAUGCUUUAUUUUGUGCCUUAGAUAAAAAGGAAUUUCAUAGAGUUUCAAAUUGUUCUAAUGCUUAUGAAAUUUGGAGAAAACUUGAAAUUGUGUAUGAGGAGACUACAAACGAGGAGAAUUUUCAUGAAGUGUCAAAUUUGGCACUUAUGGCAAUUGGAGAUGAAUCGGAUGAUGACCCAUGUGCUUUUCUAAUUACCCUGCUGAAAACUAUAAAGCCAAAGUUUGCAGAUUUUAUUAUCAAUUUUUUUUUUCAAAAUAGAUAUGCAAAUAAAAAGACAAAAGAUGAGACUUAUUAUAGUACCAGUGGCGGGCCCCCUGGGUCCUCAACUUCUUCAAAUGGGCAUUUUAAUAUAUUUACAUAUAAAUAAAUGAAUAUCUUAUGUAAUAUUCACUCCAUCAAGCAUGAAGUAUAUAAUUAAUUGAAUGUACAAGCAUCGGCAUUAGUUGACAGGAAAAGAGCUCGUUAAUAAAUUAUAUGAGUGAUAAUACUACUUGAAUCAAACUCACGUCCAAAGUUGGGACUCGCCUAUUGUGCAACAGUGGCACCAUGCCACCGUUUUUGUCUUUUUCUGUGUAAAAUUUCAUGAAGCCCUUUCACUUAUUCUUAUUUGAACUUUGCUUCACAAAUAUUAAGUUCAUUUCUCCCAAACUCGUGAAUCCUUCAACGGCCGAUCAACGGCAAAUCGGCUCCUCCAAUGGCUGUGGUUGGUCAGAAAAGACAAAGGGAACUGUGGAGAACAAAACCCAAGUGGUGGUGUCACCGGAAACCGGAGAAACCGCAGUGAAUUGAAGCGGGGAUUCUGUGACUUUUUGCGGCUUUGAUCAACAGCUUUCCGAAUGCUUUACGGCAACAAGGAUGGCAUGAAGAUGACCAGCGUCGCACGAGCUUCCGAUCGGUACCAACCUUGGCUGGUGGAGUAGGCAGAAACGUAAAAAAAAUUUGGGUCGGGUUCACGAGUCAGGUUGACUCAGUUAUUUUUGCGACAAGGAUGGUGUGGAGAUGACCGGCAUCGCAUGAUCUUCCGAUCGGUACCAACCUUGGCCGGUGGCAUGGACGAAAAUGGAAACGAAAUUCGGGUCGGGUUCGUGGGUAUUUGUGAUAAAGAGAGGGGUAUUGUGAUAAAAGGUGCAAUAUAGAAGGAAAAUGUAUAAAUAGGAAAUAGUAUAAGGUGCUAAUUAUAAUGUUUAUAUGGAUGCAAUAGAAAUUAAUUUAAUAUUUAUGAGGUAAAGUUUAAAUAAAAAUGAAUGAAAGUGGUUCAAUGAAAUUUUACAACAAUGCUGGCACAAAAGACAAAACCAGUGGUACGGUACCACGGUGGUACCGUAGCUGGAUCCCCAAAGUUGAUAAGAGUUAAAUUAAAUAAAGCUUUGAUGAUUUAAUGUGCAUAAAAUUAUAAAUUUAUAAUCAUCAAAUGGAUCCACCUAUGUCACAAUAGUUGCACCAUACCACACUUUUUGUCUCUAUUUCGCAGAGCCGUAAGAUGUUUUAUUGUUCAAUCUAACUAUUGAUGCCAAAAUCGGCUCGUCCUUGGACCGACCAGAUUCGUUCACCAACGUUUAAGUUAUCCACUGCUGCACGAACCGCUAAGGCUGGAAUUACCCUCCUUUCUCUCACUAGACCUGCGUUCACCAAAAACAGAUCAGAGACGCCGGUGGUUUUGCCGGCGUAAACCCUCCGAUGCCUAAGUUAGCACAAGGUGUUUACGGGAAAACAGUUAAAUUUUGAUUCAACAGUGGUUCUAAUUUGUUCGAAGUUUGUAAUAAAAUUGUCUGGUUUCAAUUUGGCAGCGUUUUCCCUCUCCCAGUUUUGUUAUCUCCAUCUUCAUCGAUUUCUUCUUCUUUUAUAGCUGCUGUUUGUCCCACGUCUUCCGCUUACCCUCUAUCCCCCCUUUUCUCGGGUUGUGGCAGCCCCUCAUGGGGCUCUGACUGUUGCAUUGUGGCAAACGUGGGAUCUUAUGUGUCCUUCAACGGUUCCGGGAAAGGCGCAGCAGCCGCGAUUCUGUGGGAUCGUGUUCCCGCUUUUCUGGGGAGUGUGUAUCGGUUCGGUAUUAACAUCUGGUCGGCAUACGCUCCCGUGCUCUGCUCGUACCCACGGCUGAGGUGAUCCAUGCCGGGGUGGAGGUAGUAGCAUGGUCGACCUGGUGCUUUUAUUAACUUAACACCAGUCCCCCAGUUUCUGGUCUUGCGAGUGAAAUGAGUUAGGAGUAGAAACUGAUAGUCAAAUCUUACCAACCUGGGGAGCGUCUCGCCUGGUCUUCCGCUUACCAGGACAGAUCUCAGGUACCAUUUUCCUUCUAGGGAGAUUCCGACCUGAGCAUGGGCCUAAAUGAGCCUGUCCGUUGCAUAUCUGGGCUUUCAUCUAACCCGGUCUCUUGUAACGGUUGGUGACGUGGUGCUUCCCGACUCUUCGUAUUUGAAAUUUGAAACGACGGGCUAUCCGUCCUCGAUAUAUGGGGGGGUGAGCUGGCAUAUCCCAUCACUUAAAUGCUUCCAUUUCCCCCUUUUCGUUUUAAAUCCCUAGACUGGAGUCUUCACCAUCUUGUUACUCGUUUCUCCGCCGUUAACCAAAUUUUCUCUGAACUUUGCUCACACUUCCAGCGUCCGGAGUAUCCAUUUGCUGGGUGUUUUCUCUGUUACGGCAGCGCUAUCAGUGUCAGUCUAUUCCAGGUAUAGCCUUUAACCUUUUCUUCGGCUGUUGUUGAUUGGGUUCUGUGUUGCCCCUUUGUGUCCAUAUACUCGAGUUUUCUCUGUUUUCUUUUGGGAUUCCGGUAUGUCAAAUCGGAAGAGGAAGUUAAUUGUUGAUGAGGGUGAUGACGAAUCAGGGGAUUCAGGCCUCAACGUGCCAAUACCCACCGAUUUUUUAGGUCCCUCCAGUAGUGUAGGUCCUCCCCAUGGUAGGGAUACCCUUGAUUACCUACGCCCCCUGGUUGUCUCUCCCUCUCCCGAAUUAGAGCUUGUAGGAAAUAGGGGUGGACCUGCGUCGGGCUCUGGUGAGAACCACAGCUUUGGUGGGGUUGGGAUCCCUGAAGGAGUUGGUGAUGGUGAGGGGGAGCAGUUCCGGACCGAGCAGACCUGCUCAGAAAAGGAACCUAGGCCAUAGGGUGGAGGUUGAUUCCUACCCUAUUGAUUUCAUGGCUUGUGCCACCACCCCCACCGAUCUAUUUAAACUUAGGAAUCUCUACAACAUCCCCAACGAGGUUCUUCUUGUAGUUCCUGGAAAAGGUGAUGUCCCUAGUCGGCCUCCGAAAGGGUAUGUGACGAUGCACUUGGAGAGUUUCAGACUAGGAGCUCGGCUGCCCCUUCAACCUUACUUUGCCAAGAUACUGGGCGGUAUGCACCUGGCCCCAGGUCAGCUACACCCAAAUGGGUGGAGGGUUCUCUCGGCAAUGUUUGUGUUGUGGGAGAGGUGCGGGUCGGAGGAGCCUUCUCUUGUUGAAGUGAAACAUCUGUACCAGUUGCGGAGUAGCCCGAAAGAGGCAGGCUGGUACUAUUUCAUGUCCAGUUCCGCAAAGAGGAAACCGAUCACUGGGUUUCCAUCUUCAUGUAAAAAUUGGAAGAAUAAAUUCUUCUUUGCUGGAGGGAACUGGUGUCCAGCGGUUCGGUCGCUUGGUGGGGAGAUUUAUCUUCCCACCCAUUUUGUCACCCCAGGUCGUUCAUUUUUUGCCUAUAUUCUUUCUCAAAUUGACACUCAUUGGGUUCUUUAACCUUGUUUGUUUUUUCAGAAUCGUGGGGUUUGGUGAAGGACCUUGAAGACCGACCUUUGCUUCAGGUGGAAACUGCUCUGUUGAACGCGUCUACUUGCCAAGACCUCCUGUCGCCAACAAACUUGGUCGGUUCCCGCUUAGUCGAUAUUGCCGCUGGAAUGGAUAACAAGAUCCUCAGCGCGUUGAGCAGAAAGCGUGGUCGGGCUCCGAGUAGCUCCAGCAACCCUCCUCCUCCUCCAAAGAAACCCAGCGUCGGUCCUUCCAAGGUGCCAGUUCCUGCUCUGCCCCCUCCUCCACCUCGUAAGAGUGGUGGGGAUAAAACCUCCGACAAGAGUCCUGAGGUCAGCUUGCAGUCUGGGGACCGCUCUUCUCCUCUUCCAUCUCGGGAUCAGGGUGACUACCUAAGCCCAUAUCAGAAGGAUUAUAGAAAAUCGGUUGGGCCCAAGAUGGUGAAGGACAUCGAGAGCAUGAGCCUCUCCGAGUUAACUGCUUCUGUUCAAAGAGUCUCCUUCAGGCUGGCCACAAUGGUCUCGUGCUACAAGACCGGGUCCGCGCGUCAUGAGAGGAAGCUUCAAGCUGAUAACCAGGAGUUGAAAAAGAAAGUUGAAUCUGCUGACCGCUCCAAGGAGAAACUGGCCGAGCUGAACAAGCAGCUUACGGAGCUUGAGGAGAAAGUUGCUGUUGCUGAGUCCACUUCCUCCAAGCUUGAGGGUGAGUUGGGUGAUCUGAAGUCCGAUCUUCAGGCUACCCAAAGUGAAAAGGAUACUCUGAGGAUCGCCCUUGAAGGAGAGAUCAACUUCCUGAAGGACAGCUGGCUGAGGAGAAAAGCAAAUCCGCUGACGUGGAUGAUCGGCUGGAUGCCGAGUAUGACUCCGGGGUUGCUUUCAGCUAUAAGUGCAUCAUGUCUGUGCUUAAGGAAGAAUACCACGAGCUCGACAUGAGCAAGCUGGAAUCUGGGGUGGAGAGGUAUAUGGCUGGGGCCGGCCAGGGAGAUAAGGAGCAGGUGGAGGUUCCUUUUGAUGAGGUGCGGGAGGGAGGAGCUGGUCAGUGUGUUUUUUAAGUGGGACAAGGGUCUGUGCCUCCUCCUCCCGUUAUUGCUGAUCUUCCACCUCCCGAGAUAGCCGACCCUUCUCCUACUGAGGCCGUUGACCUUCCUAAUCCUUAGGUCUAUUUUUGUAAAAACUCUAGAUUGUUAUUCGCUUUGUAAACAUUUGAACAUUUAUAAAUUUUUAAAUGCUCUCUAUUGGCUUUCUUGUCUGGUUUUGCUCACGGGUUGCUUCUGCAAAACAACUUGGCAAUUUAUCUGAUUUUGCCUGUUGGUUCUUUAGUGCAUUGAGCAGGAAUAGGCAUCCGUUUGCCUUAGCGAAAUUUUCGCAAAAUUGCCUGCUGGUCUUCGGUGACCGAGCAGGAUUGGACACUUAUUUGCCUUAGUAGAAUUGUCGUAAAUUUAACUGCUGCUUUUCGUUGACCGAGUAGAGGUAGGCACUUGCCUUAGUAGAGUUUUCGUAGCUUUAGCUGCUGAUCUUUUACUUCACCGAGCAGAAGUAGGCACCGAUUUGCCUUAGUAGAAUUUUCGUAGCUUUAGCUGCUGGUCUUACGUUGACCGAGCAGAAGUAGGCACUGAUUUGCCUUAGUAGAAUUUUCGUAGCUUUAGCUGCUGGUCUUACGUUGACCGAGCAGAAGUAGGCACUGAUUUGCCUUAAUAGAAUUUUCGUAGCUUUAGCUGCUGGUCUUACGUUGACCGAGCAGAAGUAGGCACUUAUUUGCCUUAGUAGAAUUUCCGUAGCUUAAGCUGCUGGUCUUUCGUUGACCGAGCAGAAGUAGGCACUGAUUUGCCUUAGUAGAAUUUCCGUAGCUUAAGCUGCUGGUCUUUCGUUGACCGAGCAGAAGUAGGCACUGAUUUGCCUUAGUAGAAUUUUCGUAGCUUUAGCUGCUGGUCUUUCGUUGACCGAGCAGAAGUAGGCACUGAUUUGCCUUAGUAGAAUUUUGGUAGCUUUAGCUGCUGGUCUUUCGUUGACCGAGCAGAAGUAGGCACUGAUUUGCCUUAGUGAACUUUCAAGAAUUUAGCUGCUGGUCUUUCGUUGACCGAGCAGAAGCAGGCACUGAUUUGCCUUAGUGAACUUUCAAGAAUUUAGCUGCUGGUCUUUCGUUGACCGAGCAGAAGCAGGCACUUGCCUUAGUGAAAUUUUUAUUGAUCUUGCUAGCAGGGGGAUUUCAUGUUGAAUUCAUCUUUAUUGAAAUUUGAAUGUAUUACAAAAAACAUAGAAUAUAUGCAUGUGCGACAGGCCAUCGGGCAUUGUAACAGAAAUAACUUGCCAGAGUGAGGAUUUAAUAGAGCAUUUUGCUUACUGGAAAUACUUCUUCAGGUGUUCGGCGUUCCAUGACCUCUUCACGUCUCGUCCGUCUUGGCACGCUAAUUUAUAUGCUCCUGGUCCAGUGGCUCGUAUCACUCGGUAUGGGCCUUCCCACUUUGGGCCAAGAGCGCCAUGGUUAGGAUUCCUGGUGUUCUGGUUCACCUUCCUAAGUACCCAAUCUCAUGCUCGGAACUGCCUCACGCGUAAAUUCUUGUUGUAAUAACGCAUGACCCUUUGCUGACAUUGGGCCACUUUCUGCGAGGCCUCUUCCCUUUUCUCCUCCAGCAGGUCUAGGCUUAAGCAGAUCUGCUCGUCAUUUUGCUCCUCAACGAAAUGUUCUGUUCGAUGUGUCCCCACUCCAAUUUCCGCUGGGGCUACCGCCUCAUGACCAAAAGCUAAAGCAAACAGGUUUCCCCUGUGGCGGUUUUGUGGGUUGUCCGAUAGGCCCAUAAUACCCCUGGUAGUUCGUCAACCCAAGCUCCCUUCUUCUCUCCCAAUCUAGUUUUCAAGAGCUUCUUUAUUACUUUGUUAGCUGCCUCCACUUGUCCGUUUGCCUGGGGGUGCGAGGGGGUGCAAAACUUCAGGUCCACCCCCAGAUUCCGACAAAAUUCUCUGAAGUUGUUGUUGUCAAAUUGCCUCCCAUUGUCGGUAAUAAUGGCAUAAGGGAUUCCGUAUCUGCAGAUGAUAUUCUUCCAAAUAAAAUCUGUUGUCUUUCUUUCCGUGAUUUGGCUGAGGGUCCCCACUUCUAUCCACUUGGUGAAGUAGUCUAUUGCUACAAUCGCAUGGGUUGCCGCUCAUCGGCCUUUCGGUAACGGACCAAUCAGUUCUAUUCCCCAUUGAGCAAAUGGCCAUGGGGAUGUCAUAGUAGUCAGCUUUUCUGGGGUUGUGUGGGAACCUCUGAAAAGCUUUGGCAGAUAUUGCACCUCUUUGUCAUCCAUUUUGCAUCCUGGUGCAUGGUCGGCCAGAAGUAUCCUUGCCGGAGUGCCUUGAAGGCUAAAGCUCUGGCUCCUGAAUGAUUUCCACAUAUCCCUUCAUGAAUCUCCCUUAGUACAUAGUUUACCUCCUCGUCAUCCAAACAUCUCAAAAGGGGUAAGGUGAACCCUCGGCGGUAUAACACUCCAUCUAGUAGCGUGUACCUCGCUGCUCGGCAUUUUAACUUUCUUGCUUGCCUUUUGUCUUUCGGUAAAACUCCGUCGCGGACAUACGCGCAAAUCGGGUCCAUCCAGGAUUCUCCAGCGCUUACUCUCAUCACCUCUACUUCCUCCCCUAUACUCGGCGAGGUCCUCACCUCUAGUGGAACCGACUUAGGUAAUUUUGGAUCUGCAAUUGCAGCCAUCCUAGCCAACAUAUCCGCUCGGUAAUUCUCAUUCCGAGAUAUCUGCUUUACUUCCACCUCUUGGAAAAGCCCGACCAUCUGCUUCGCUUUUUUUAAAUAAAGACCCAUCUUCUCUCCCCUUGCUUGGAACUGAUCAUUGAGCUGAUUACAUACCAAUUGGGAAUCUGCUCGGAUUUCUACCCUUUCUGCUCUCAAAGCGUGUGCAAGCCCGAGCCCGGUGAUAAAGGCUUCAUACUCAGCUUGGUUGUUUGUGAGCUGAAAUUCGAACUUCACCGCAUAUGUUAUCUCGGUUCCCUCUGGGCUUCGUAUUACAACUCCUGCUCCGGAUCCUUGCUCACUACAUGAUCCGUCAACCAUUACCAGCCAUAUCCCCUUUGAAUCAUGUUGCUCUGCCGGUUGUUCCUCUUGGACCUCUUCCCCCGGUUCAACACGGUCCACCAUAAAAUCUACCAGGGCUUGGGCCUUGAUUGCUCCUCGGGGCCUGUAGGACAGGUCAAAUUCGCUCAGCUCCAUGGACCAUUUUACUAACCGACCAGACACAUCUGGUUUUUGAAACACUUGCCGAAGUGGCUGGUCAGUCAUCACAACGAUCUGGUGGGCUUGGAAGUAUGGUCGGAGUUUGCGUGCUGCCGUUAUCAAAGCCAGCGCCCACUUCUCCAUUAGCGGAUAUCUGGUUUCUGCAUCCACCAGGGCCUUGCUUGUGUAGUAUACCGGGUGUUGCUUCCCUUCUUCUUCCCUGACUAAGACCGAGCUGGUAGCCUGCUUAGAGAUUGCCAAGUACAAGAGCAGCUGAUCACCCUCUCUCGAAGUUGAUAGUAACGGGGCGCGGGCUAGGUAUUCCUUCAGCUGUCCAAAUGCCCCCUCGCAUUCCGGUGUCCAUUCUAGCUUCUUCCCUUUCUUUAUGACUUGGAAGAAAGGGUGGCACUUAUCAGUGGCUCGCGAAAUGAAUCGGUUCAAUGCUGUCAAUUUCCCCGUAAGGCUCUGCACCUCCUUAACUGUUCGUGGGGACCUCAUUUCUAUUACCGCCCGUAUUUUUUCUGGGUUGGCUUCAAUACCCCGAUGGCUCACCAGGUAUCCCAAAAAUUUGCCCGAGCCGACCCCAAAUGCACAUUUCUCCGGGUUCAGCUUCAUUUCGUACCUCCUCAGCAAUUCGAAAGUCUCCUCCAAGUGCUUCACAUGAUCUCUCGGGUCUCUUGACUUGGUGAUCAUAUCGUCCACAUAUACUUCCAUAGUGUGACCGAUCAAUGGUUUGAAGACCUUGUUCACUAACCUUUGAUAGGUAGCUCCUGCAUUUUUCAGGCCAAAGGGCAUCACCCUGUAACAAAACAGACCCAUGUUAGUUAUAAAGGUGGUGCUUUCCUCAUCCUGCUCGUUCAUGGGUAUCUGGUUGUAUCCGGAGAAGGCAUCUAUGAAACUGAGCAGACUAUGACCCGCGGUUGAGUCCACCAACUGAUCUAUUUUUGGUAGGGGAAAUCUAUCCUUCGGGCAUGCCUUAUUAAGGUCCGUGAAGUCUACACACAUUCUCCACUUCCCAUUGGCCUUCUUUACCAGUACCACAUUGGAAAUCCACUCCGGGUACUUGGCUUCCCUUAUAAAUCCUGCUUUUAGCAGCUUUUCCACUUCGGCAUUUAUGGCCUCGUACCUUUCAUGAUUGAAGCACCUCCUUUUCUGCCUCACCGGCCUUGCCCCUCUCUUGACCGCCAGCUUGUGACAAGCUAUCCCGCGGUCAAUACCUGGCAUAUCCUCAUGAGACCAGGCAAAUAUGUCUGCAUGGGACUGUAGACACUUCACCAGCUCGGCCUUUAUUGCUUCGCCCAAUUCUGAUCCGAUCUUAACAACUCUGCUAGGGUCACUCCUGCUUACAACAACUUCCUCCAGCUUCUCAACAGGUUCCUGACGACCAUUUUUUGAAUCCCCUCGGUUAUCUAGAGAGGUAACCUGCAGCGUUUCCUUGGCCGCUGUAGCAUAGCAGCUCCUGGCCAUUCUCUGGUCGCCCUUUACCACACCCACAACUCCAUUUAUUCUGUACUUCAUCGCCAGAUAAUGCGUGGACAUUACACAUUGGCUUAUCCUCAUGAACGGUGUCCCCAAUAUCAUCUGGUAAGGACUUCUUUCCUCUACCACUACAAAGUCCAACAUCAUCGUUCUUUCAAAUGGCUUUGUCCCCACAGUAAUCGGGAGUUCAAUGACCCCCAUGGGAGUUAACCGUCCCCCUCCAAAUCCCUUCAAGGAUGUAUUCGUUCGCUCCAGCUUGAAGUCUAAAAUCCCCAUAUCAUCUAGGGCCGACUUAAACAGAAUGUCUACUGAGCUGCCCGUAUCUACCAGUAUUCGUCGCAAUUCUGUACUGGCCACCAAUGCUUUAAUCACCAGUGCAUCCUCGUGAGGGUACAAAAUGCCCUCUUCGUCGUCCUCUGUCCACAUAAUAGGAACUUGCCGCACUUUUGCCCUAUUGGCUACUGGCAAAUUGAGAAGCACUUCCUUGCCAGUCAUGGCAUAUCUCCUAUAGUUUUUUCGUGCUCUGUUUGAAUCCCCGGCCAAUGUUGGCCCUCCUGCUAUCACCUGGAUAGUCGGCUGUUCUCGUUCCAAACCCCUUUCAACUCCUUCAUCCUGUGCAUAUUGCGACUCACUGACGGGCGACACUCUAUCUACGUACUCACCCAAGUACUGGUUCCUCACCAAAUCCUCCACCUGAAUCCUUAGGUCACGGCAUUGGCUGAUGGUAUGACCGUGAGUAUUGUGAAAUUUGCAGAACCUGCUCUUAUCACGCCGGUGAGCGGGUUUCGUUAUAGGGGCCGGAGUAUACAGCAGUCCUCGUCCCUCGAUCCUUUCAUAUAGUUCCUCCAUGGAGAUUUUUAAUGGAGUAUAUUGUCUAUAUGCCGCGCUCUGGUCAACCAACUGAACUGCUCGGCUAUGAUGGAUGUCACCUCGGUCUGGUAUAGCCGGUAGCUGCUCUGGUCGGCCAGACCUGUAAUUAGUUGCAUUUACCGCUCUGGGGGUGCUGUGAUAAGGGUGAGCAGUCAUCUGCCUGAAUUCUCGCUGCCGCUCUGGGAUCGGGGGGCGCGGAGGUUGAGCCCGGCUGUGUUGGAACUGUUGUGCUCUCUGAGCUAUGGGGUAAGGGCGAGACCGAACUGAUAUUCCGCCCAUCCCUGAAGAUUCUCCAGUUCGCUUUCCCGACCCGCUCCCUUUCGGGGCUCUCCGUUCCCUUCGCCUCAGCUCUUCUAGCUGUUCACUUUUAAUUCUUGCUGAUUUCUCCUCUUCUAUUUCUAUAUCUCAUCUCGCCUGCUCAUACCCCGACGAGUAAUUCUGUACGAGGGGGCUUCUUAAGUUAUACCACAAUCGGCCGAUUCUUACACCUUCUUUUAAUCCCCUCAAUGCCUGCGGGUGAUUAAAAGCUCCCAAAUCCAGCACGGCUCGGUGAUAUCGUUUUACGAAAUCUCGAAGGGAUUCAUUCUCCUCCUGCUUCAUCCCCAUCAAUUCCAUCAUGUCAUCCUCUGGGGCCACUGCCCCUCGGAACUGCUCGGCCAACUCCUGGCACAUCUGCUCAUACCCCUUUAUUCCUCCUCGGGGCUGCUUGCGGUACCAUUCUCGGGCUCGUCCCUCUAGUGUCAACGGGAACACCCUGCACCUCUGAGCUGGUGUCAGCCCCUGCACACCCGUCAUGUCGUUGAAACGCUCAAUGUGCACCAACGGGUCACUUCGCCCGGAGUAUUUGAGGUCGGGGAAGCGGAAAUCUCUUGGGAUUAUGGUACUCAUGAUCUUAGUUGAUAACGGGGAUUCUUCAUCUAGCAUUAUCCUCCAGCUCGGGGGCUUUCUCUUGCCCUGCAUCUCCUCUAUCACCUGCGCCAAUCUGCGCACCUCCCCCUCCAAUUCUAUAGCACGAUCAGGAUCAUGUGCAGCUAUCUGGUCUCGCUCCUGCUCGACGUUCUGCAACCGCUGUCUGAGCUCUCCUUCAUCAACACUGGCCCCUCGGCCAUUUAUUUCCAGUACCCGUCUGGGGCGAGGUUGGUCUCUCCCUUCAUCCACGUGUUCCCCUGGGACCCGACCAGUACUUCGGUGAGGAUGCACUCCGUUAGGUUGGUCUGCGGGCGGGGGGAUUUCCCCGACCCUACGCCCCCGGAGGCUGGGUUCUGCUCCAACUCCAUCUCUUCCCACGGGGGUUUCACAAUCCCUUCUCUGCUCGUCCCUCAGCUCAAACAAUACAGCCGCGAGAGUCUCCAUUUGUUUCUCCAUCUGCUCCAGUCUAUCUUGCAUCAUCCUCUCUCGGGCUUCAUUUGCAAUCUCCCGGAGAGUGAUUGUCUCCACCGUUUCAUUGCCCUCCCUUAAAGUAUCCUUUCUUGACGCAUCCAUAUCCAAUCGUUCGCUGCUUCUCCGGUACUUACUAAUUUGGUGGUAGCUUUUUAUUCAGCUCCCCACAGACGGCGCCAAAAUGUUGAUGCCAAAAUCGGCUCGUCCUUGGACCGACCAGAUUCGUUCACCAACGUUUAAGUUAUCCACUGCUGCACGAACCGCUAAGGCUGGAAUUACCCUCCUUUCUCUCACUAGACCUGCGUUCACCAAAAACAGAUCAGAGAUGCCGGUGGUUUUGCCGGCGUAAACCCUCCGAUGCCUAAGUUAGCACAAGGUGUUUACGGGAAAACAGUUAAAUUUUGAUUCAAGAGUGGUUCUAAUUUGCUCGAAGUUUGUAAUAAAAUUGCCUGGUUUCAAUUUGGCAGCGUUUUCCCUCUCCCAGUUUUGUUAUCUCCGUCUUCAUCGAUUUCUUCUUCUUUUAUAGCUGCUGUUUGUCCCACGUCUUCCGCUUACCCUCUAUCCCCCCUUUUCUCGGGUUGUGGCAGCCCCUCAUGGGGCUCUGACUGUUGCAUUGUGGCAAACGUGGGAUCUUAUGUGUCCUUCAACGGUUCCGGGAAAGGCGCAGCAGCCGCGAUUCUGUGGGAUCGUGUUCCCGCUUUUCUGGGGAGUGUGUAUCGGUUCGGUAUUAACAUCUGGUCGGCAUACGCUCCCGUGCUCUGCUCGUACCCACGGCUGAGGUGAUCCAUGCCGGGGUGGAGGUAGUAGCAUGGUCGACCUGGUGCUUUUAUUAACUUAACACUAACGACUACAAAUUUUUUUUAAAAAUCAAAUAGCUACUGAUCAACUGUGCAAUUGCUUUAUACAAUUAGGGUUCUUGCCUUAAUGAUGUCAUGGAGAUGGGUGAAUCAAUGGCCACCAGGCACCAAAUUCAUGACCAAUCAAUGACCAACAAGCACCAAAGUAAUGCCAAGCACACCAACAACCACCGAUUAAUGGCAAGCUUAGUGUUUAGAAUUUGGAGAAGCACUUGGUACUGUAUCGAGGUAUUAAAUCAUCAAAAACCAAUUUGGUUUGGACUCUUCAAUUUCAACUUGACUCCUACACCAAAGCCGCCCAACAACAACUCAACAACCGAAUCACUCGUCCUAAUAGCAUAACAAUCCAGUCGUCAGUUGCCUGCACAUGAGAGACCAUUUUCUAAUUUAUGAUCGAAAUUGUUGAAUUAAUUUUACAAUUCUCUUGUACCAAUUUUCAUCAUAUAUGUUGCCUCAAGAAGUGAAGAUUGAUGUCGGAAUCACUUUCAGUUUCAAUUACAUGAUGUUUGCGAUCUUCUUAUACCAAUUCGGUUUACAGUUGCCUUAAGUAUCCAUGUCCGUCAAAUCUUAUCUAUAUUAAAGUAACCGCCUAAACUGUUAACCAGUGGCUGUUUGAUUUUAAAAAAAUAUUUGCAGCCGUUAGAUUGAACAAUAAAGCAUCCGACGGCUCUGCCAAAUAGAGACAAAAAGUGUGGUAUAGUGCAACUGUUGUAACAUAGGUGGAUCCUCAUCAAUAUAUCUCGAGACUUUGUAAAGUUACUAUGAAAAUCCAUCACAGCUGUAGUUAUUAUGAUUUAUUUGGUCCAAAUAGUCUAAUGCCAGUGGCGUGACCUCGUGGGUCCUCAAAUUAUUCAAAUGGGCAUUUCAUCGAAUAGUUGAUAUACUCGGCAUCUGCAAUUGGAAGACACGUUCAAAAACUCUAAAUCAUGUUAAAGUCAACCAGAAAGACGAAACAUAGAAAGCAACAAUCCAACAACUUGUUUAAAAUAUUCGCUUCAACAAAUGGUUGCGUUGACGUGUAUUUUGGGGGAUCAUCAAAUAUAAACAAAGACCAUGUUAAAGACAAGCAAAAGCUGGCGAGAUUGGUACUGAUAUACUAAAAGAAAGACUAAUAAAGCUUUCCUAGCGGCAUCACUCGUGAUUAUUUGAUAAACUAGCGGUAAUAAAUGAUUAUAUUUUUAGUGGAUAACAGAGUACGUUACAAGAGCUGAUAACUGAUCGCUUUCUUUAUUUUUUGUCAAUAUUCAAGCAAAAAUACAAGUCAAUCAAAAUAACGUACCAUAUUAACAUUAAAUAAACAGAGAGGGAUAAGCUGGGCCAAGUCUUUAAAUCAGCUACGUCAUGGAAGAUUAAAAAAAUAGAUCAACUAGAAUAUAAUAUAAUGCUCUCACAUUUAAUUAAUUAGGAGGCUAAUGCACUAUAACUCAGCAUUAAUCAAAAUUAUUUCAUAAACUAGUAUAUACUGGAUAUCUCGAUCGGUGCAAAACCGAGUACUGAGAGAUAAAAAUUAACCUGGUGUCUUUGGCAGGUCUUUAAUAUAAUUGCUAAGCUUGCCCCAUGCCAUUGCCAACUUUGGCCAUCGGCUAGCUGCUACUUAUGAAGCAACUCAAGGAAACAUAAAGCAGCCGUCGUAAGAUCAAGCACAACAAGUGUGAUCACUGAUCAUGCAUCCAGGACAAUUUUAUAUUUAUUCAAUUUCAAUAAUCAUAAUAUACUAUUGAAUUAUAGACCAGGAUUUCUAUUUUUAAGAAUAUAAGACACAAGCACGAGCAUAUUCGCGCAUCUUUAAUAAAUUUAUUGGGACACACUAUUUCUGCUUAUUGAAGAAAAUCAAGAAAUGCUGAUUCCACCGUGCAUGGUUUAAUGUUAAUUAAAGUUUAAAGGGAUCAGAUUCAUAUUCAUUAAUAUGCUUUUAUACGAAUCGUUCUGUUUGAAUAUAAUAAUGGUUUCAGAAAUGCAUACCUGUUAAUUCUCCAUUUCUUGUCUCCGAGGAAAGUUUGACUUCAAGCAAUGUUAUAAGAGGUUUAAUUGUGGGUCAAUUUCUUGCGAGCAUUUCAACAAACAGGUGAUAUGCAUGCACAUCUCCUACGCUAUCACUGCCAUACUUGCCCUGUAGUUGCUUCCAGUUGUAACAGGAUGCUGACAUGUCAUCAUACUUGGACAGAUCUUUAGAGGCCAUUCUUCGAAGCGCUUGAUGAUGCAAACACGUGAGGACAAAUCAUGCACGUAUGAUAUGUGUUUAUUAAUUAAAUAUAACUAUUAAUUACAAGAUUAUUUUUUUAAAUAAAUACAUACAUGUCAUGUAUCUAUUAAUUAUAUAGAAAUAGAAUACAACAAAAUAUUUUUAGAAUCUGUGGGUGAACACAAUGUAAUUAUUAUAAUAAAAGAAAAACUUUAGAGCCUUUGGUGUACUCAUUAGUGAAAUUUGAGCAAAAGAAAAAUUCAUGUUUGUAAACCUCGAAACCACAAUAACCUUAAAUUUGAGAUCAUUAAUCAUUGAAUGUUUUGUUUGUAAUAUCAGUGGCAACACGUUUAAUGAUUUGAUUAAAUUUGUGUUUUGUUCUAUGAAUGAUUUCAUUCAUUUUUAUGAUUUUUUUGGGUUGACUCAACGGAACAACUAAUAAUUACCCAGUUCCAUAACCGUAAUUAUAACAGCGGCAAUUAGAUUUUUUUAUUGUUAUUAUUUUAAUGUGUAUUUUAUAGAAUAUAGAUAUUUUAGGCUAAUGAUAUUUAAGGGUGUUUUAAUUUAUUUUUUUUUUUAAGUUUCAAAUCACUUAACUUUUUUACCAAUCUAUUAAGGGUCCGCCUAAGUUACGUUUAAUGUAACUUACGGCUUGGCCCUAAAAUUUUGGCAACUACUCACUUCAAUGGACUGAAGUUGUUAUUGCUGGACAAAAGGAAAAAGAGCGGGUUCAAUAGAUGAGUUGUUCCCAUUGAAGCUAUCAAAGAAAGAAAAGGAAAAAGAGCGGCUGCAAAAGGGAGGAAAGUGGGAGGAGUUGAAAGGCUGUCACAGUAAAUUGAUCGCCUUGUUGAUACUGUGGAAAUGGAGGUCGAAUUCAAGAAGAAGAUCAUGGUAUUAAUGUUCCUAAAGGUAAAGGUCGAGAGAUGGGGAGAUUGAGAAAUAAUAGUGCUGCAAGUUUAAUGAGUGGACAAUAUUGUAGUUAUAUAUAUAUAUUUUUUUACACACAUGUAUAAAAUAUUUUAUUUUUAUGAGCUACUUCGAUUGCAAUAGUUUUAUGUACAUAAAAGUUUACAUAAAGAUUAAAUUUUUGCAUUUUCUUUUUGCACUUAUUUAUCAAUCAAUUUAAUAAUAUGUUAGCAUUUGUGCACAUUACAAACUGCAUAACAAUUUUUUUAGUUAAAAAAAAAUUAAAGUUAGUUUUAUUGCAAAUUAAAAUAGUUAAUAAAAAUUAUAUAAGUAUGUAAUAAAGAAAAUAGAAUAUACUCUUUAAAAAUCCAGUAAAUAAAAAAAUGAUGUUAAUAAUAAUAUUCUAAAUAAACUACAAAUAAACAAACAAGUACAUUUUUAUUAUUGCACAUGAAUAUUACACUUUGAAUUUUCACUUAUCAAAUUUGUAUAGUAGAUUAUUUGAAAAAUGAUUGUCAAAUAAUCAUCAUUUACCAAACACCCUACUAAAUUAUUCGUGAAAUUAAUUAUUGGGAAGUAAAAGAAAUCCCCAAUGUACCCUCAAUCAAUCACAAGAAGUUAUUUAAGUUAUGAUAUCUAAUGAAUUCUAUUAAUAGUGAGCGUGUUUAUCAAAAAUAUAAAAAUAAAUAUUUUAGUUAUUAUCCACCUGUUUUCCUGAAAUCAUUCCCAAUUUUUUUUCGUUUGCCGAAAAUUCCAAGGAAAAUAUAAAAAGAAGAAGAGUUGGGGGAAAAAAGAAAAGGAAGGAAAAACAGGUUCCUCUGUUUUCAUUCCCCUGUUUUGAAAUUAUCUAUCAUCGAUAUAAUUUAAUCCCCCUGUUACUAAAGGAGAAUGGUUCAGAUUAGUUGCCUGGACUCGCUUAUCUUGAUCUGGGUGGUCAAACCCGCCCAUCAGGAGGAUUCAGAUUUUGAAUUACCUGUCAUAAUUUGUUUUCCCACCUAAGCAUCUUGAGCAUGCUUAUUAAAAGAAUUGUUGUUCCACUCGUAUAGUCAAUGGAUUCCCACCUACGCGUUUGCUUAUUAAAAGAAUUAAUCUUGCUUUUCUAGGAAAAUAAUGCAAUACGCAUGACGGUACGUGUCCAUGUGAGAAAGUUGAUGAAAUCUUCACUUUCAGUGUUGGAACUCCACAAUCGAAACAAUCAAUACGACAAUUUUUCUCCAUCGUUUCAAUCUUAAUUAAAUAGAAAACAAGUACGGUCAAAUAAAUUCUGGUCUACCAAUUUAAUUAGUAUAAACAUAUGGAUCCCAUCAUUAAUAUUAUAAAUAUGUGGGUAUUUUUAAUUAUUACAUUAUAUGACUAUUUACAGAUUGCUUUCAUUAUGUCAUAUUAGGUAAGGAGAUUCCCCUUAAAAAAACAAAAAGAGGGAGAGAUUCCCUCUUCGGCGAAUGAAAAUAAAAGAAAUUAAAAAUAAAAUAAGACUUGGUAAAUUUCGCUCUUUUUUUCUCUUUUUGCUGUUGGCAUUUUAUUCAUAAAAGAAAUGAUCACAAGUCAUUCAAUAAAUAUUAAGGGCUGCAUGAUUAAGUCUUCUUCUUUUCCAAAUCAUUGUCAUUACUCUCAUAAGCUCUCUAUAAUCACAUUCCUCUGCAGGUAACAGAAAUUUUUUGUUCAUUGAAAUUGCUCUUAAAUGUUCAAGGCGAUCACAGAGGCUCAUCAACUUUCUGACCCCACAUAAUUAAACAGGUGCACUUGUUCUAAAACCUUCAAUUAAUUUCUUUUAAUAGCAUAAUCUCUAAUGCUUGAUCUUUAUAGCAUUUCUUUCUUAAUUUCCAUCCACUUUCCAAGAUAAAAAUUAUGUGGCUUGUUUUGCUUGAGUUUUGUAGUUAUUGUUCAUUUAUGGUAAAUUUAUGGUUGUUUUUUUUUUAAGACGCUUGAAGUAGGUUUUGUUAAUAGCAAAAACUCUGAUCCUUAACAAAGAAGAAAAAAUGUUGCGAUACUGUUUACUGUCUUUUCCUUUUUUGUCUUUCCCUCUAGUUCAUUUUAAUUUAUUUGAAUUCCUUUCUUUGACAUUUUAUUAGAUUUGUUAAGCAGCAGGCAAUGGCAGAGGUGGGUCUUGCAGCUCUCUCCAGCAUCGUAUCAGAAGGUGCAAAUUCACUGUUCAAAGCGAUUAUACGGCAGAUAUCUUAUGUGUUCAGGUACCAGAGCUACAUAGAUGGGCUAAAAGAUCAAGUGAAGCAGCUGGGAUAUAAAAGAGAAAUGGUGCAGCAACCAGUUAAUCAUGCUAGGCUACAAGGGGAUGAGCUUUAUGAGGGUGUCACAGACUGGCUACAUAACGUUGAUGAAUUCAUCAGUGAAGGGGUUGCAAAAUCCAUCAUUGAUGAUGAAGAUAGAGCUAAGAAGUCCUGCUUCAAAGGGUUAUGCCCAAACUUGAUUUCUCGUUACAAGCUUAGUAAACAAGCAGCAAAGGCGGCAGAAGCUGCCGCUAGUCUCGUGGGAAAAGGCAACUUCUCCAAUGUUUCCUACCGUCCUGCUCCAAAGCUGGCAGAACAUAUGCAAGUGAAAGAUUUUGAGGCGUUUGAUUCAAGAAUGAAAGUAUUUCAAGAUGUUGUGGAGGCAGUGAAGGAUGACAAGGUCAACAUAAUUGGGGUCUAUGGGAUGGGCGGCGUGGGCAAAACCACGCUGGUCAAACAAGUUGCAAACCAAGUGAUGGAAGAUAAGUUGUUCGAUAAGUUCGUUAUGGCUGAGAUAACACAGACCCCAGAUUAUCAUAAAAUUCAAGACAAACUUGCUUUUGAUUUAGGCAUGGAAUUUGACUUGAAUGAGAAUGAAUUUCAAAGAGCUUCUCGACUGUGUCAAAGGUUGAAGCAAGAGAAGCGGCUCCUCAUUAUACUGGAUAAUAUUUGGACAAAACUUGAGUUCGAUACAGUUGGAAUUCCUUAUGGGGAUGUUGAUGAGAAAGAUAGAGAGGACGAUCGGAGAAGUCGCACAAUAAUAUUGACGUCUAGAAGUCGAGAUUUAUUGCGCAAUGAUAUGAAAUCUCAAAAGGAUUUCUCAAUUGAAGUUUUAUCCAAGGAAGAAGCAUUGCAAUUGUUUGGAAAGAUAGUGUGUAAUUCUGCAAAAGCAUCUGCUUUUCAACCUUUAGCAGAUGCGAUCGUUGAAAAAUGCGGAGGAUUGCCUGUUGCACUGAUUACACUUGCAAAAGCUUUGAAAAAUGAGAGCUUUGACACUUGGAAGGAUGUGCUGCGUCAGCUAAGAAGUUCCUGUGCAAAAGAAAUUGAUGGAAUGGAAAGAAAUGUGUACACCUCCAUAAAAUUGAGUUACGACUUGUUGGGAAAUAAGGAAGCAAAAUCUCUGUUCCUUCUUUGUGGUCUAUAUACUGAAGGUGAUGUCAUACACGUUUCUGACUUAUUGAGAUAUGGUAUGGGUAUGGGCUAUUUUAAAAACGUUUACACGCUGGAAGAAGCAAGGAGUAGAGUGCAUACGUUGAUCGGCAAACUCAAAUCUUCAUGCUUAUUGUUGGACGGUGAUGCUGAAGAUGAAGUUAAAAUGCAUGACAUCAUUCAUGCUGUUGCUAUAUCAAUUGCAGAAGAGGAGCUCAUGUUUAAUAUUCCAAAUGUUGCCUACGUGGAGAAAAAGAUGGAAGAGACAAUACGGGAUGGUCCAAUAGCUAUUUCUUUACCUUAUAGAGAUAUUCAAGAGCUUCCCAAAAGGUUGGAAUGCCCCCGUCUCGAGUUACUUUUGUUGUUUUCAAAGCGUUAUAGCUCUUUGCAAAUUUCAGACCUCUUUUUUCAAGGGACAGAAGAACUCAAAGUUUUAGAUUUUACUGGAAUAUUUUUCUCUUCAUUACCUUCAUCACUUGGUUGCCUCAUUAACGUUCAAACAUUAUGUUUAGAUGGUUGCCGACUGAACGAUAUAACUGUAAUUGGACAGCUAAGGAAAUUAGAGAUUCUCAGCUUCCGAGAUUCUGAUGUCAAGGAGUUGCCACUUGUAAUUGGACAAUUGACGAGAUUACAGUUGCUAGAUUUGAGCAAUUGUAGCAGCCUUGUGGUGAUAGCUCCAAAUGUCAUAUCAAAAUUAUCUCGAUUAGAAGAACUAUAUAUUGGUAACAGCUUUUCACAGUGGGAGAAGGUUGAAGUAGGAAGUAACGCCAGUCUUGCUGAAUUGAAUGGGCUGUCAAAGCUAACUACUUUGGAGAUACACGUUCGGCAUGCCGAAAUUCUACCGCGGGAUUUGGUCUCUGUGGAAUUGCAAAGCUAUAGGAUAUGUAUAGGAAAUGAGUGGUGGAGCAGCUGGUCCGUUAAAUCUGGAUUAUCAAGAUUGAUGAAGCUCCAGGGGCUAGUAAAGUUUGGCAUUCUUUUGCAGAAUUAUAGGAUGAAACUGUUGUUGAAGAGAACUGAAUAUCUCUAUCUAGAAGAACUGAAGGGUGUUCAGAAUGUUGUUCAUGAAUUAGAUGAUGGGGAAGGUUAUCCACGAUUGAAGCAUCUUUCUGUAGAAAGAUGUUAUGAGAUUUUGCAUAUUGUCGGUUCAGUUGGACGGGUUCGUCGUAAAGUCUUCCCCUUGCUGGAGUCAUUGUCUCUUAUUGAUUUGAACAAUUUGGAGACAAUAUGUGACAGCCAACUCACAGAAGAUCAAUCUUUCAGCAACUUAAGGAUUAUAGAAGUAAAAUCCUGUCACAAAUUGAAGCAUCUUUUCUCAUUCUCCAUAGCCAAAAACCUAUUGCGGCUUCAAAAUGUAGAAGUGGAUGAUUGCGAUGAUCUGGAAAUGAUUUUUGGUAAGUGUUGAAAUUAAGAAUUGGUGGGAUAAUGGACUUCGCCUCAAUUAUUUUGAAAAAAAAAAACAACAAAGAUUAAUUAUGUAUAUAUUGUUUUUGUUUGUUUAUAGGACCCGACAGGGAGAAACCAACAACUUCUUUGGGAUUCAACGAAAUCAUUGCUGAUGAUGAUACUGCUCCAAAGGUGAUAAUUUUCUGUUCAAUAAUUAAUUGAUUAAUUUAUUAUCACCAUUAAUCUUCGAUCAUCAAAAGAAUAUUAUACUGGACGGUUGUACUUGAAGGAACAAAAAUGUACGGGUUUUCUUUGCAGGUUAUUCUUCCGAGGUUAGAGGAAUUGAAUCUCGCGCAUUUAAGAAACAUCAAAAAAUUAUGGGCCGAUCAUAAUCAAGGAAUGUACUGUUGUCAAAAUUUAACAAAAGUGACUGUGAGAUGGUAUUAUCGUCUGAAGUAUCUGUUUUCGUAUUCUAUGGUUAAUAGUCUUUUGCAACUCCAACAUCUUGAGAUAAGUUAUUGUUCGUCAAUGGAAGGGGUAGUCGACACCACGGGAUGGUUAGGAAGGGAUGAAGGAAAGUUGAUUGAAUUGAAGGUUUUUCCUAAACUACACUCCCUCAAGCUCUCUCAUCUUCCAGAACUAACAAGCUUUGCCAAUACGGGACAUAUUCAUUCAGAUUUAGUUGUUGAAUUCCCUUCAUUGCUAAACCUGAAGAUCCAUUGUUGCACUAAUAUGUUAAGAUUUAUCUCUACAAGCUCACCAGAAGACACCAUUCAUUCUGAAAUGCAACCUCCUCCUCUCUUUGACGAAAAGGUUUUUUUUUUUAUAAAAAAAAUAAUUUUAGUCACAAUACUUAAUUUGUCUUUUCCUUGAGUCUUCGAAUUUAGUUAAUACCUGCCUCUAAUUUAGUUAUCAAUUGAUUAUGCCAUUAAUUGAUUAAUUAGUUAUUUAAUCUUUAACUGCCAGGUACGACUUCCUAGGUUGGAGGUAUUAGAUAUUAAGUGGACGGAUAAUUUGAGAAGAAUAUGGCACCACCAGCUUGCUUCGGAGUCUUUCAGCAAAUUGAAGAAUUUAGAGAUAUUUGAGUGUAAUAACCUAAAGAAUAUUUUUCCUCCAUUGGUAAGGUUGCUGUAUUCAUUUCGAAUCUUUUUUUUUUUCAAAUUACAUCCAACAAUAUUUUAACCAUUUUUGGGUUUACAAAUGAUAUUCAGCCACUAAUUCUUUAUUUCAAGUAUUGUACUUCGAACCACCACUCUCAAAUCUACAUUUUAAGUCCAGUUUUUAGGUUCGCCAGCAUUACAAUCAACAAUAUAAUUUUUUUAAUCACGAUUCAACAGCAUAAUAUAAUUCAAUUUAAUUGUUUCUGCUCAUAUCUUAAUAAGUACAAUUUUCAACAAUUAAAGGAUAGUCACUCAUCUUAUAGGUUCACAAAUUCAUCUAUAUAUUUCUCUUUUCCUUAAUUCAUCUAUAACAGUCCCAUGUUGAUGGCGUUGGGAAGUGUUUUCCAGAAAUGUUUUCCAUUUUUAAAAGCAUGAAUAUCGGGAAAAAAUGUGAAAUACAGCGUUUUAGUUUAGUUAUUUUAAAAAUAGGCAUGUUUGAAAAUUAAAUUUUUUUAAAAAACUAGAAUCAAGAUGAAAAAUGAAUUUAGAAUAUUUAAAAAUUACCUGAAAUUCUUUCUCCGUUCCUAAUACUAAAUAGUGUAAAUACAUUUUCAUUAUCUUUGUUUUUCUGGACUUCUAUUUAUUUGUUUUUGUUUUAAUUUUUUCCUUUUUUCUUUAACAAAAAAUAUCUAGUAGACAUUCAUGGUUUGUUAUUUUUCAUAAAACAAUUGUAUGAUUUUGACAUACUUUGAAUCUAGUUGAAUGCUACUCUUUAUUUUCAGGUUGGAAUUCCCAAUAGUCUGGUGAAUCUUAAUGUAUCGGACUGCAAAAAAUUAGAAGAAAUCGUAGGACAUGUUGGAGAAGAAGCGAAGGAGAAUCGUAUUGCUUUCAACGAAUUAAAACUUUUGGAACUUGAUGAUUUACCAAGGCUUACCAGCUUUUGUUUGGAGAAUUACACUCUUGAAUUCCCAUCAUUGGAGCGAAUUUCUAUGACAGGUUGCCUGAACAUGAAGACUUUUUCUCAGGGAAUCGUAUCCACACCAAAGCUGCACGAAGUGCAGGUGAGUAAAAAGGAAGUAUUAAGUUUUAUAUGAAACUGUGAUGUUGUUUGGUUACUAAGAAAAUAGGAAGAAAGAAAACUUCUGUAAGCUGAGAAUUCUGUUAUUAUUGAUCUAAUGAAUCUGGAAAUUACAAGCCUUUUUAUAUGUGCAUAGAAGAUUCUACACACAUUGCACACACGCACAGUUUACUACUAACAACCUUUAGCUGACUCAGCUGCCAUGUCAGCAUACUCAUUAACUAACUAAUUCUAUUCUUAACAGGAAGAGGGUGAAUUGCGCCGUUGGGAAGGCAACCUUAAUUCCACUAUACAAAAGUGUUACAAAGAAAUGGUAUGUGUUAAAUCGAUUCGUCGAAAUUACUUAUGCAUCUCCCUUGCACUUGCACAUUUGAACAUAUACACCUGCCUUGUAUAUAUAGUUUUAGAAGUUAAAACACAAAACAUGUAAGUUUAAUGUAUAUAUAUAUCUAAUGCCUUUCAAAAAAAAAAUUUAUAUAUAUCCAGUGCAAUUGUUUUGGUUUGUGCAGAUUGGAUUCCAUGACAUACAGUAUUUGCAACUCUCACAUUUUCCACGUUUGAAAGAAAUAUGGCAUGGCCAAGCACUGCCUGUCAGCUUCUUCAACAAUUUAUUUAAGCUGGUGGUGGAUGACUGCACGAAUAUGUCGAGUGCUAUUCCUGCCAAUCUGCUACGUUGCUUGAACAAUUUGGAAUGGCUGGAAGUGAGGAAUUGUGAUUCACUAGAAGAGGUGCUUCAUUUGGAAGAGCUAAGUGCUGACAAAGAACAUAUAGGACCCCUGUUUCCUAAGCUUUCCGACCUAAGGCUCAUUGAUCUUCCAAAACUCAAAAGAUUCUGCAACUUCACUGGGAAUAUAAUUGAAAUGCCUGAGUUGGGAUAUCUAACUAUUGAGAAUUGCCGAGAUAUGGAAACAUUCAUAUCCAACUCUGUAGUGCACAUGACAACAGAUAACAAGGAACCUCAAAAAUUAACAUCAGAAGAGAACUUCUUGCUGGCUCAUCAAGUACAACCUCUCUUCGAUGAAAAGGUGAUUAUUGUUAUUAUUAUUAUUAUUUUUCCCUUCACUUUCGUUCGCAUAGAUGUAAUUUCAUUAGAAUCAAAUCAAAUUUAAUGACUCAUCUUUUUGCACGUCGUCUUAAUUUAUAUCUGAUUUAACAAUAUAACCUCCGUUAUUAACUAACUUUAUAGUAUGAAUUAUAAAAAUGUCUUAAAUUAAUUGGAUGCCUGAUAACACGAGGUGAUGAACUAUAUUAAUUAUGUGUAUUGCAUCUCUGUUUUCCUAGCUAAUUCAUAUUGGAUUUAGCAUCAGAUUUCAUUUAUGUGUUUCAAAGGGUAAUCGAUUUGAUACUUAUAUUUGGGAUCCUACUGCAAAGCAUACUAAUUUGGAAAUAAAAUAUAAAAUGCCGUGAUUAAUCUUGUCCAUAAAAUAUGCAGGGGAAGACUGCAGAGAUUGGAUACAUAUUUUCAUUUACAACUUAAUUUUGUUGAUUUUCAGGUUGCUUUCCCUCAAUUGGGGAAUUUAAGACUGUCUGGAUUACACAAAGUGCAGCAUCUCUGGAAGGAAAAUGACGAAUCCAACAAAGCGUUUGCAAACUUGGAAAGGCUAGAAAUAUCGGAAUGUAGUAAGUUGCAAAAAUUAGUACCACCUUCGUGGCAUUUGGAAAAUCUUGAGGCUUUGAAAGUAUCGAAGUGUCACGGGUUGAUAAAUAUGUGGACGCUCUCAGCAUCUAAAAAUCUAGUGAAUCUCGGAAGAAUGAUGAUAGCUGAUUGCAAAAUGAUAGAAGAAAUCAUACAAUUGCAGGUUGGAGAAGAAGUGAAAGGCUGCAUUGUCUUCGAGAAAAUGAACUACUUGACACUUGAUUGUUUGCCAAGCCUAACAAGCUUUUGUUCGAGUAAUUACACUCUUCAAUUCCCAUUCUUGCAAAAAGUUGUUGUGAGACAGUGCCCAAAGAUGAAGAUUUUCUCUCAAGGAGUCAUAGACACACCAAAUCUAAACAAAGUGAAACUCACCGAAGAAAAAGAUGAUGAUGAUGAAGGAUGUUGGGAAGGCAACCUCAAUGCACCAUAAAAAAAUUGUUCAAUGAAAUGGUGAGUAUCAAUUAAGUUUUGGUGCUAUUUAGCAAAUUAUUUUAUAGAAACUAAUGUGAUAUAAUAUGAUUGGUUGACUGAAAAUAUAUAAUAAUAAUAAUAAAUAAAUAAAUAAAUUAUGAGGGCCAUGUAAUGUUUUUGUUUAACCAAUCAUAUUAUGUCGCAUUAGUUUAUAUAAUAUUGUUUGUGCACAAGAGGUGGUGGUCAUAUCAUUACUCUAGCUUUAUUAUUCUUAUGGUGGCAAUGUAUGCUUGCUUACACGAGUAAUUUACAAAAUCUGCAGAAUUCUAAAGAAGAGAUUGAGCCAGCCCUUGAGGUACAGUGAAGAAGCUAUCUCGAACCAGGCCAAUCUCUUAUACAUGAUUCAGCUUGCUCGUUCUUCUGUACUUGAAUAAUCUGGUUCUAAACGUAUUUACAAUUUUUUGGUCAUGCUACAGACUUGCAAGACACUUUGGAUUUUGUUUGAUGCAUUCUCCGUUUAAGGAAGCACUUGAAUUGAUGUUUCAUGUUUCAUGCAAUAUCCAAUUAGAUUCUGACUAAAUUUCUGUGUUAUUUAUUCAAUUGGUCUUUUAAGCAUUUGAUUUCUAACCUGUCCUAAUAGAAGAUCAUUAUCUGAAGAAAACAGCAUAACAUUUGUGGCAUUAUGAGAAUAAGAAUUUUUUUGAGUAUAGUAAAAUUAUCUCGACCAUUGUUAAAAAGAAUUAAUCCGUCAAACUGACCUUCUCAGACCAGCACGCUUUAAAUUAAAAGAAUUUUGUGAAAGUCUAGACCAUGUUAUAGAUCUCGUGGAAAUAAGAAAACCCGUAAUUUUUUUCACAGCAUCAUAAGAAAAAAUCAUUUUUUUUUUAGUAUUUUUGUUAGCUGUUGAGUUUUAAUAGUAGUAGCUAUUAAACAAGAACAAUAUGUGUAUAUUAAAAAGUUGGAAACUGGUUGAUAGCACUUGGGAGUCGAGCAGUUCACUUGUUUGCGAGUAGAAACCAACUUUACUACUAAUUACACUCAUACAAAAAAUAGUAACUAAAGAAUCAGGAAAUUUCCUAUUCACUAUUCUUCAUUUUUUAAUGCAAAAUUCCCAUUCGAAAACACCAAUGACUUUCAUUCAAAGUAAAUGAGAAAUUACAAUGAAAAUAGAAUCAAAAUACAUGUAUGUAUACCUAAAACAAAUGAUUUUUUAAUUUAAAAAAAAAAAAACCCGGUUGAGGUGAAAUGAAACCAGAGUCAUGAUAUCUCUGGUUCCAACUUUGGGACAACAGCAGACUUGAGUUCUAUAUGAGAAACACGUACAGCACCAAUCAGCCGCUCCAGUAAUUCAUCUGUAGUAUUUGCCUGCAUACAAAAGAGCAAGAUAAAGAAGACACACACGAAGCAUUAUACCAUUCUGAGAACAUUCAAGUAUGCAAAAAUGCAAUUUAAAAUGCAAAUUGCAGUGCAAUAUCUCAAAAUCAUGUCUUUUCCCUUGUGUCCAUUUAGAAGUGGGGGAAAAAAACAAUCAUACAUACCUGUACAAGGAAAGCCAUGUCAACCACCAAUGUCGUAAUUACACCAAUUACAAGGCCCAAAACUCCAUUAGCAACAGUAGAAGAACCGAUGUCAACAUUAAUCUACAGAAAGAUGAACAAUGUUAAACCAUGUUAAUGGUAUCGGACGCUAUUUGAAAGGGGAACAAUUCAUCUGUAGUUACAAUCAACCGCUUUCACUAAUGAACAAGGGGUGCUUCCAACACUCUUGGCGCACGAUCCAUGACCCCUGCAUGAUUCAGUGCUUAAAAUCAAGAACAAGUGCAAAACAAAUUCAAGAGGGUAAAAUGGACAUGAAGUUUGAAGGUACAACCCAUCAAUACAUUUACACCUAAAUGCAUGCCUUCUUUGGACAAAUUGAAGUGUACCAUGCAGUAAAGGGUUAGUAUACGUUAAUAUAGUCCUAAUACAUGAAGGCCAAGAUGGAUACCUUAGGAACAGAUGGAAUCAGUUUCAACCUACUAUUGCGAAACUCAUCAUCGCCAUCAACAAACCGUUGCAAAAGUGAUCCCAUAACCAAUUGCCUUGCGACUAAAUAAAAUACCAUACUAUAAUGUGUUGAUCCAGGAACCUGCAGAUGCUUAGGUUACAACUAUACAACCUCCCAAUACAAUAAGUUUGAAACUUAAUACCUUCUGAAAUGAAACAAACUUACUUGAAGAUUAAAGAUCAGCGAGAAAAGCCCUUUUUCAGAAGCAACCUACAUUUUUUAGAAGAGGGUCAGUGUGUUAUAGAUUCAAUGAACCAUGAGAAGUUAUUUACAUUGUAGUAUCUCACAGGCAGUAUUUUCUCCUAAUGCAUCAAUGGAAAAGGAAAAAUAAAAAGAAAAGAAUAGUUACUUGUGCAGCACAGCCUUGACGCCUAGCUACAUGGUCCAUUCUCUUUGUGUCUUUGAACCAAUCAACAGCAACAAGAUCCAUUAAAUGUUUUCCCGCAGGUAUCUGCAGUUACAAAUUGCACAAAGCACAAGAAGAGCCAACCAAACUACAUCAUAACCUGUCUACCUAGCCUAUGCAGGAUAUAUAAAUACCAUAACAAACAAACAAAAUAUGGGGGAACCUUUGUUUUGUCAUAACAAAAAUGCUUGCUACGAACUCUAAAGUUAUUUCCAUCAGAAAGUUUCCAGCAGUCACGAGCAUUAUCACAGUCAUCGUGUCGUAGAUUGCCCGAAAAACAAGACAAAUCAAUUUGAUCAGCCUGCUCUUCCUCUAGGGCUGCAACUAAUUGAAAUUUUUUUUUAAAAAAAAAAGAUCAAUACCAUAAAAAUCCACUAGCCAAAUAUACAAAAAUGAAUACUUAUCAUCCACCUGUCCUCUUGAAAUCAUUCUCAAUCUUUUUUUCAUUUGCCUGAAAUCCCAAGGAAAAAUAUGUAACUAAUACUUCCCAUUCAUGAAUAUUGUCUAUCGUAUAAACAUGACAUUUUUAAUUGGAAUAAUAAAAUUAUUUAAUUAUUUUAAUUAAAUGUUAAUCCUACAAAUUAUUUUUGUUAAAUCUAGCAAGAAUAACUAAAAUUUCUUUAAGAUAUAUUUUGGUGGUAAAUUAAAAAAAAAUUAAUUAUUUGGCGGGAAUUAUUGAAAUUGGAGCCAUUUUUUUUGUGGGAAUUGAAAUAUAUUCUUUAAAUUAUUACAUAAAUAGCAAAAUGUACAUACACACACAUACAUAUAAUUCAUAUAUAAAAAUUCUCUAAUUUGUUCACAAGUACCAUAGAUUAUAAUUCAGUUAUGAAAUAAAAUAACUACAAUAAUUAUAGUUAAAUGAAUACUUCAUUAAUUCUUAAUUUGCUUCCUAACAUUAAAUGAACAACUUGAGUCAGCCACCUGAAUUAACCAGUAACAAUGCCUGAGUCAACUAUCUGAAUAAACCAGCAACCCUAGCUGAUUCCAGCACCUGCAAUUAACAUCAGCACAACAGGAACAAUCUUAAAUCAACACCAAGAACAGACCAAACUGCCAUCAAAUGUCACAAAACCAAACAGUCUGCUACUGCCAUCAAAUGCAAGCAAACAUAUGCAACAAAACCAGAUGCAAGUGAAAUUCUGGAGAAUAUCGGAUAAACCAAACCAAAUAACACACUUCUAGUAAUUAGACUAGAUGCAGUGUUCAAUUAAACUAAAUGUAGUCUCAUAUUACAUUCAAAAUUUCUAAAAGAAGCAGUGUUCCAUCAGAGAAGCACCAAAACCAAACCAAUCUAAUCCAGCAUAAUUACCAGCUCAACCCAAAACAAUUACACAUUAUAUUGACAUAUCAAAAUUCGCUAUCAAAACAUAGCCAAAUAAAUGAAAAUAAACUCAAAACAGACCCAAACCAACUGAUGUUGCGGCCCUAGUAGUCGUUGUCCGUUCCACUGCCAUGGGAGCGAGGGUAGGCUCCGUUGUCGAUGAGUGAGUAAGAUAAGGCUCCAAAUCAAUAGUUCCACCUCCUUUCUGCAAUUCAAAAAACAGAAAUUCAUAUAUGUAAAACUAUUAAAAAGUGUGAAACAACCUGUAAGUAUUCAACUUCUGUCAACUCAAUAGCACUUACUAAAGUUUUUAUACAGAAGAAAAAGGCAUUUUAAGUCCAAAAAAUUAGAAUUAUUGGUUGAACUCCAACUCCAUCAAUCCAUGCAACCAUCCAAUCUUUAACGAAAAAUGAAGCAUAAUUAACCAGACAUCUGAAUCAGAAAGAUUGUGCUUUCAUUUGGCACGAGGUGUUGGAAACAACUUAACAAAUCUAGACACAAUCUAUAACCAUCAUGUCCAAACAAAAGUCAGGAUCUAAAAUACUUUGAAAAAUCAGAAAAACAGUUUCAAUUUCUUUUUCAUCCAUUGUAAGCUCAAACUAAAGGUAGCCACGAUACCUUUAAACAUCAUUUGGGCUUAUACAUGCGACAUUUGCUCAUGAACAACUAAAGUUGAAUAAGAUUUUUAUAUGAAACAGAAUACAAAAGUCAAAGUAGAAUAUGACAGGAGCUACAAUAUAUUAUUCAGCAUCAGCAUUAUGUAUAAAAUAAAUUUAGAGGCAUUAUAUUCAUUCACAAUCUUGCAGAGGUAACACCAGAUUAUGGCACGCAUCUCUUGAAUAGCAGAUAAAGGAGGAGAUGCAGUGGGAAGGUAGUAACUUGCUUGCAUGAGAACUAGAAAGUAAUAUCCCAAGAUCAAUUAUAGAUCUCAUAAAACAAAAACAGUGAGGCAAACACAAUUAUACAAUCCAUCUGUCAAAAGGCUAAGCAAAUGAAUAUACAAUCAACACCAUUCUUCCAAACGAAUAUACAGUCAACACCAUUCUUCUAAACACAAACAAAGUUUGAACGUAUGACAGAUUUUUAGCCCUUUAAUAUUCCAUCAAAGAUAAUUAGAUAACACCUACCAAGGAUUUUUGAAAAGAAUGCAUUCUCAUCUUAAGCAGCAACCUCACCAGUAACACAUUUUCAUACCCUGUUUCCACCUCUGGUCGCACCACCAAAAAAAUUCAGUACUAAUUAGCUUCAACAGAAUCUAUUUUUUAAUUUCCUUUUUUUUUUUUCAAAAUAAACCUCCAUUCUUAUACAUAAAAUUAAAAUAUCAAUUAAAUAAACAAAGUCUAUGCUUACUAGUAAAACACGUCCAUUUUUAGGUAGAGGCAGAUAAUAAAAGAAAAUUGAAACUGAGAUAAAAUAAGAAGAGCUUACUAGGUGCAUUUGAUCAACAAUCCAAUCCUCAACGAUGGAAUCGAUGCCAUCAAAUAAACAUGACUUAAUCUUGAAACCACAAACUGCACUAAGCAUAGCACCAAAGCCAGAGCGUGACUAUAAAGAAGAAGAAAAAAGAAGGCAAAGAAGAAUUAAAUUAACAUGAAAUUCAACUGGAACAAUACAAAAUAUGAAAUUUUUAGCAAAUCUUACUAGCGUUAGGGUUAAGGCUUACCAUAGGGAACUGGAUGGCGCUAACUAAAUGACAAGUUGAAACGGCAUCUGCAAUCGUAUUGAAUGACAUUGAACCGCGAGGUAGGGUUUAAAUGAAUACCGAGCAGAGAUAAAUUGGUGUGGUGAAUUAGGGUUUUGUGGCUACGUUUUAUUUCGAUUGAAAAAAGGAAUUUGAGCUUUUGCUUUAAUACAACGGUGUCGUUAAUUUAAACAUUCAUUUUAGGUUGCAGUGGCCAGUGGAGAGAGGGGGAUUCAUUCAACGCUUAGCCAAAAUUUGGCUGUAAGUGUUGAUGUGUUUUAAGUUAUACAGAACGGUGUCGUUAAUUUAAACAAUACUGUUUUACAAUCUUAUAAGAUCACAAAACCUAAGCAUGACUUAUAUGUAUCAUUUAUUUAGGACGGUUAAGUUAUAAGUCAUGAAUAUGUCAUAUAUUCUGGACAUAUGAAUAUAUAUUAUGAAUCUAUUAUAUUUUUAUGACACAUUCGUGACACAAUGAUAUAUGUCAUCAAAUUUAUGUCAUUAUUUAAUAUUUUUCUAGUGGUGUCAGAUUUUUGAAACAUUUUUGUUAAUAGCAAAAACUCUAAUCCUUUAGCAAAAGACUAAAAAUUAAAAAAAAAAUCUGUUUAAAUAUCAGUUGGCUCAUGAUCAACACUUCAAUACUGUUUGUUGUAUUUUCUUUCUUUCUUUCUUUGUCAUUUUAUUAGAUUUUUUUUGUAUCAUAGUUUGUUUUGCUUAAGUAAUUGUUCAUUGUUUAUGUCUGUGUUCUUACUAACAGAGUAAAAGAUUUUGAGAGAAUGAAUUGCACCCUUUUCCAUUGAUUGUAAGACUUUUAUAUGCAGCAAUAUAUAUAACAACUGUGCCUAUUUUAAAGAGAUAAGAUAACAGAAAGAUAUACUUUACAUUUGAAUUAGUUUGAAUGAGUAAACUAGAUAGGUCCCAUAUUCUAAGAGGAGAAUCUGCUGACACUUACUGGCUUUUGAUAAUUUAUGGUUGGUUUUUUAUUCAGACCCUCGAAGUACCUUUUUGUUAAUAUUAAAACCUCUGAUCCUUAAGAAAGAAAAAGAAAUUCUCUAUUUAGUUAUUAGUUAGUUCAAGAUCAAUAUAGCGAUAUUGUUUGUGGUCUUUUCAUUCUCUAUCUUUCCCUCUAGUUCAUUUUAAUUUAUUUGUAUUCCUUUCUUUGACACUUGUAUUUAUAUAUAUAUAUUGUUAAGCAACAGGCAAUGGCUGUUGAAGGGUGUCUCCCUGCUUUUUCCAGCAUUGUAUCACAAGGUUCAAAAGCAUUAUUCGAACCGAUUAUGCGGCACAUAUCUUAUGUGUUCGAUUACCAAAGCUACAUAGAUGGGCUAAAAGAUUGAGUGAAGGAGCUGGAAUAUAUAAGAGAAAGGGUGCAAACGCUGGUUAGAGAGGCUACUCUACAAGGAGAUGAGAUUUAUAAGGGUGUCUGAGACUGGCUAAAUAGAGUUGCUGAAUUCAGUGAAGGGGUUGCAAAAUCCAUCAUUGAUGAUAAAGAUAGAGCUAAGAUAGAGCUAAGACUGAGCAUGAUUGCAAAUGCACGAUUGCAAAUGCAUUGGAUCAAUUAAGAAGUUCCAAUCUAGGAGAAAUUCAAGGAAUGCGUGCAGAUGUAUAAACCUCCAUAAAAUUGUUACGACUUGAAGGAUUGUAUAUAAGCAUUAAAUUGAUCUAAUUUAAUUUGUAUGUAAACAUUAAAUUGUAUAUAAAUACACAGAACAGAACCAUAUCAGUGUUGGAAAAAAAAAAAAAGAAUCCAGAGUUAUAUAAAUUCAAUUAAAAAUUACUGAAUUUUUUAUUACUAACUUUGAACACUCUAAUUUCAAUAAAAAAAUUAUAUUACUAAAAUAGUCUUAAUUGAAUUUACUAUUAAAGACAUUAGAAUAACUCAACACUAAUAUUCUAAAAUAUAUUUCUCUCCAUAGUCUAAUCUAAUCCAUUCUAAGAAUCCUAUAGAAAAUAUAUUAUUUACUUUUUCCUUAUUAAACACAAAAACAUGUCAUUUUGUUGCUAACUAAAAUUUUGGAACUAACAACAUCAGAUUAACAAAAUUAUCAGAAAAAGAAAUCAAACAAGAUUUUAAUUGUCGUCAUCUUCACUCUUGUCUUUUUCUUUUUCUUCACACAUGUGGCUUGCACACGCAUUCCCCUCUCUCAUCCUUAGGGCCGCCCUUCAACAAUAUCCAAUCAUCGAUUAUAAUUAUUUAGAUUGACCAAAUCAAGCAUUGAUCAUAUAUUGGUUGAGGUUAGAAAUAGGCAGGCAGCAGCAAUAAUACUACUAAUUAAUAUCUCAUGAGAAUUUUAAAGAAAAAUCUAACGUUGUCAAAUUCGUUUGAUUUCAAUGAAGUCUUUCUCCUACUUAUACUUUCACAUAUUCUCUUUUAUUUCCAAAGUUAAGGUUAUGGAUGUUGUAGAGUAAAAAGAUGAACAUUGCUAGGAAAGCAAUAAAAGGAAAUAAAUAAAAAUUAAAAAUAUAAAAAGAGUUAAGUCAUUUUUUUUUCUAUUAGUGUUUUUGUAUUUAAUAACGAAAGAUAAAAAUAAAGUAGAUAUUAUCUAUUGGAUUAUUAAAAUAACACAGGUAUAACACAUGUCAAAAUCUCGUUAUUAUAAUAUUAGAAAAGAUUAAAUUAGGAGAAUAUUCAAAUCGGCGAAAUAAUUAAUAAAUCGUAUUUAUUAAUCAUCCACCCAAUUCAUGCAUACCCAAAUGGCCGUCAACGAGCUAACCAAAUCCCAGCUUGUUGUAAUCUGGGUUGGGCUUUUUGGGCGAUAAUUAACUGCCCGAGCUGCUCAUCUACCCCAAUAGAGCCUAACAAAAAUUUUCGCCUAAGCUUCACAAAAAUGUUCAUAAAUCUUUUUUUUUUUGGUAUCAUAAAAACAUAAAUUUAUUUCAAACACUUUUGGAGCUUAAUAAAAAUUUCCCAACAUUUCAUCUGACAAAGGUAGUUUAAAAGUGUAUUCGUUAAAUUCUAAAAUACAUACUUAAAAUCUUUUAGUGACAAUCUAAUUAUAAAUUAAGGAUCUAUUUGGGAUUGAGAUUGAACAGUUAAAAUGUUAUAGUUGUUGUAGUUUAGAAGUUAAGAUGAUUUGAUUUUACACUUAUAUGAUAAAAAAUUUAUUAUAUCUUUUCUAAUUUUAUCAAAAUUAUUAUUAAAAAAUUAUAUUUAUUAUAUACUAUUAACUUUUAUUUUAUACUUAAAACUUUUUUUUCUUACGGCAAAAGUUUUAGCACCUCAAUACCCAACCAAGUCUAAAACUGCACAAUAAUAAUUAUGAGUGCGAAUGUUAAAAUCUACACACAUUCGUACUUGAUAAUUUCAAUCAACAGUGUUACAAACUUAAUUAAAAUAUUAUAUCUGAAAUUAUUGAGGGGAAAAAAAAGAAAAAGAAUGUUGUUUUCAUGAUAGUGACAUGUGUCGUGCACAUUUUGCUGUUGGCUCUUUGGUCUCUAACCUAGCGAAUAGGUUGUUGUGUCCUCGUUGUUAGAUGCCCGAACAGCAGCGCAAGAACUUUGUACUAUACCAUAUAUUUUAUGAAGGUGGUGAUGUUACAAAUAAAGACGAGUAAUAAACCAAACGGCGUCGCUUUGCUAGCCUGUUAGAACUAUCAACGCGCUCUGCCGCCCUCUCGUUCCAUUUAUUCAUUUAACCCGGUCAGGGGAUUGGCGAAUUAAAUAAACAACAACAGUCGUCCGAUCCACACAGAUCGCCACUCAUAUUUAAUCCAACGGCUGGGAUAUGAACCCCUCUAUAACUUUUAUUUGUCGAAUCAGCCGCUCUCUCUAUUUAAAUUAAUUUUUUUUUCAACAGCCGACGAGUGCUGACGUAUCAGAGACGCCCCAUCAAUCAAUAAAAAAAUCAAUUGAAAAGGACGGUAUAGUGAGUGGAAGAGAAAUGCCAAUGGCAGAUCAAGGGAUGAAGAUACGAGCUCACUUGCAACGAGGUAUAGUUCAUCAUGGCUUUCCUAUAAGUUCAGGUCCUUAUGAAUACUUUCAAUGAUCUUAUUAGUCAGAAAUUCAACAAUAAUUUUUACUUUUUACAUCCAGGAACAGUUUUAAGCACAAGCAACUCAGGUGGUCAAUAGGCCUCAUAUGUUAGCAAGGUCUCCGUUUUGGUCACUUAAGUCCCAUAUGUUAGGAAGACUCCCUUUUUAUUUUUGGUAUUACUUAUAAUAGCAAAUCCUCUUUUUUAGGCCUCUUUUUAUUUAGUAAUUAUCUUAUAAUGAAGAAUUUUGUUACACAUUUUAUAUUUGAUAACCUUAAUAUUAAAGAUCUCUAAUUGAUAGUAUUAUCUAAUUGUUAAUUUAUUAUUAGUUUUUCCAAAAAAAAUAAAUUCUUUAUCUAUUUAAAAAGGUUAAUUAAUUAACAUUAUAAAAAAUUUUGUGAUAUUCUCUACACAGAAAAUUAUUACAUUUAUUACUUCACUUCUGAAUUAAAAAAAAAAGAUUUAUUGAAAUAAUAGUUCUAGAGGAGGUAAAAAAGAUAUCUUCUUGAUUAUUUUUCUUUUUUGAACAUUUUAACUAUCUUGUUGAUUGUUAAUAUUCACGAUAUAGUUAAAAAUUGAUUGAAUUCUAAGCUCUUUUAUGUUUCUUUAGGUGUUGAAGCUGCUGAAUGUAGGGAGCCCUCGUAAAACAAUUCCCAUAAUGCCCCUAAUACUCUAAGGUCGACCCUGUGUAUAUCAUAUUAUUGAAAAAAAAUUGCUUCAAUACAGUAUGUGGUAAGGUUUAAUUUUAUAUGAAUUUAAGCUGAAGUUGGUACCUUUUAUUGUUUAAUACCGUGACAUCAGGGAAAUUUUUAAUAGGUCUUCAUUUUAGGCUAAAGUACCCGAACAAUACUUCCCAUGCACUUUGUGAUCUUAUUACAAAAUCUUAAACUAAAUAGCUGUGGAAGUAACAAAGAGGGCAACUUUUUACUAUAAUGUGAUGAAAAUAAUUCAUUUGUCAUCACGAACUAACCAAAUCAAAACAAAAAACUAAUGAUCAUAUGGUUCAAAUCUGUGCAACAAUGGUGCAUUUAAAAGGAAAUAAUGUACAGAUAAAAUUUGUGCUUGUAACAAGAACUCUUCUCUUCAAGCCAACAAUUCCACCUAGCAGAGAGAAGUGUUUUAGGCGACACUUUCCAACUAAUGAAAGCAGUGAGCUCUCAAACUCUGUUAUCAUUUUCUACUACUUGAAAAAGAGAGAAAGAGAAACGAGAGGAAAAACAUGGCUCCUCUGUUUUCAUUUUGGUGAUUGCAAAUAACAUUUUUUUUUUACUUUUACUCUUUAUUUAUUUAAUUUUAAAAAAAAAACUUUUAGCUCAUUAGAUCUUGUUCUUGUUAAUGCUUCUAGUAACUUAUAUGAUGAUCUGAUCAUAUCCGUAAAAUUAACAUACCCAUAAUCCAUUAUUUUAUAAUUAUAAAACUUGAAAAUUCGGUCAUGCAAUUUUGUAUGAUGAACAGUGUGUUCAUUUUUUCUGUGAAACAUAAGAACAAUUUGUAAAUAAUGUCCAUGCGGACCUUGUAAUAGCGAAGCAUCAUUAUUGAUCUUACUUUGAUGAUCGCACUUUAGUUUCUUUUUAAAGUGCCUUUUGUUUAUUUUAUCGGCAUCCGCUUUUACAAAAGUUUUGGUCCUCGUUCAUUCAUCAAAGCUUCUACUUUUAUCUUUUAUUAGGCAUCUUAUAAAAAGCUUAAUUUAAUUGGAAUCAUGUUCGGUAUGAAGAUUGUUUUACUUACUUCAGCAAUCUUUCAAUCAACCGAAUUUAUUCUUUUCUGAUCUGGAAAUUAUUCAUGAAAAAAUAGGCGCGUCAGUAGGACAACAGGGACCAAGUACAUAAUAUGAAAAUUCAUUUGUAUUGCUUACUCUAAUAAGCUCUUAACUCACACAUUCCUCUGCAGUUACCAGUGAUCUUUUGCUCACUAAAAUUGUUAUUAUAUAUUCAAGGUGAAUAAAGAAACUCAUCAUCCCAGAUAAUUAAAGAGGUGAACUUGUUCUAAAUCCUUUAAUAAUUUCUAUUAAUAAUAGCAUAUAUAAUCUCUAAUCCUUGAUCUUGGUAGUAGUUCUUUCUUAAUGUCCAAGAAAAAUAUCUCUCAUUUGUCUUAAUCUUGUCAGUUAAUUUUCUUGAAUUCUGAGUUAGUGUUUAUUGUUAAAUUCGGUUUUCGGUUAGUAGCCAUUGGUUAAUAGCUUCGGUUAAUCCUUGAAUUAAACAUAUUAAAAUCUAAUCAUAAACCCGCCUUUCCCUAUUUUACAACACCCUUUAUGUAAUAGUGACUUCAAAAGUGUAACAUAUUUUGAACAAUUGCAAGGAAAGAACAUAUUUGACACUUCACGAAACGGCUAAGAUAUAAGCUUCAAUUCUUGUACAACAAAUUAAUAUAACCAACUUCAACCGUCAAUUGAUCAAUAAUUCAGUAACAAAAAGGGACAGAUAUCCUAGUCUUUCUUUACUAAUGAAGCAAGCCAUUAAACUUCGAAAGCUAUUUCUAUUUCCACAUUCUUCAUGUACCAAAGCAGGAAAAAUAAAAAAAAAAAGCAACAAAAAUUUGGAAGUAAUCGUCUUUAUUCAGCAGCAUGCAUAUUAAUUAAACAUAUUAAAAAAGAGAUAUACAAUAUCAGGUCUGGAGACGAAAUGAGCCCACAGAGACUACCAAUAAUGUAACGGCUUGAUUAAAAAUAUUAAUCAAGCCACUACAUUAGAAGAACAAGAGUUAAUCAUGCAUAGUAAUUAAAAAUAUUUUUGCUAUCAUCCACCUGUUCUCUCUAAAUAGUUGUCCCUUUUUUUUUUCUUUUGCCUGAAAUUCCAAGCAAAAAUAUAAUUAGAAGAUCAAGAGUUAAGGGUUAAAAAAAUGGAAAAAGAGGGCUCCUCUGUUUUCAUUCCCCUGUUUUUCUGUUCGGUGAUUACAAAGAUUUAAAUCAAAAUUUAUGAUGCAGGCUACACGGCACCUGGUGGAAGACUGCUAGGGUUUACCUUUUAUUCUUAGUUAGAAAUUUAAUUUAGAAUUUGUAGUGUGCGCCUUAUAUAAGUAGGUUUCCUAAUAGUAAAAUUAAAUAAUCAACUUUAUGAUGCACUAGGAUAUGGUUGUGAUAAAUGAGCUUUUUAUGUAUCCUGUGAGGCUGAUUAUUAUUUUAUUACAUUGAAGAUUCAGUUAUCUCUUGGUAGUCUUGUGACUCAAGCGGAUUUAGUUAGUAGUAGGUAAUACUCUGGACUUCACAUACUAAACGGAAUGGAGCAUUAUUUUAUCCCGCUAAAUCAGUUUUUUUUUUUUUUAAUUAAAAAAUAAUUCAUCAAACACUUUAUAGCUCUGGUUUUAACUUGGUAAACACUUUAAGCCGCAACUUUAAAUUCAGUUUACGAGAACUCCUAACAGUCACUGUGGCUUGGGUAGAAAUGAAUAUACUAGCAUAAGUAAUGCUACCCAGGAAAUGUAGUUGAACCUAACCAAACUAAAACCAGAUGAUGAAAGCUUAUAUACACCAAGAGAUUUAUUCGUUUCUGAGUUUGUUUCCAGAAACCCGGAACCUCCCCUGUUUCUACAAACACGGCACCUUUGUUUUCAUUCCCCUGUUUUUCCAUUUGGUGAUUGUAAAAAUCUAAAUCUAAAUCUAAAUUUUUGAUGCAGUCUACACGGCACCUGCUAGAUGAUUGUUUGGGUUUAUCUUUUAUUCUUAAUUAUGAAUUUAAUUUAGAUUCGUAGUGUGCGCCUUAUGAAAGAUUAAAUAGAAUAAUGUGAAAAAAGAAAGAAUGCCUUUCUUAAUUUUGACUUCAUAAUGUUGCAGUAACCGUCCUCUCUUAUCAUUCCCCUGUUCUUUGGUUUGGUGAUUGCAAAUAACAUUCUUUGCAUCUACUCUUUAUUUAUUUAUUUUUUUAAUUUUUAGCUCAUUAAUUCUUGUUCUUCUUAAAGUGUUUAGUAAAUUAUAUGAUCACCUGAUCAAAUCCCUCACAUUAACUCUAAUCCUUUUAGAAAAGACUAAAAAUUAAAAAAAAUAUGUUUAAAUAUCAGUUGGCUCAUGAUCAACACUUCAAUACUGUUUGUUGUAUUUUCUUUCUUUCUUUGUUUGUCAUUUUAUUAGAUUUGUUUUGUAUCAUGGUCUGUUUUGCUUAAGUAAUUGUUCAUUGUUUACGUCUGUGUUCUUACUAGCUUUUGAUAAUUUAUAGUUGGUUUUUUAUUCAGACCUCGAAGUACCUUUCUGUUAAUAGCAAAACCUCUGAUCCUUAAGAAAGAAAAAGAAAUUCUCUAUUUAGUUAUUAGUUGGUUCAAGAUCAAUAUAGCGAUAUUGUUUGCGGUCUUUUCAUUCUCUAUCUUUCCCUCUAGUUCAUUUUAAUUUAUUUGUAUUCCUUUCUUUGACACUUGUAUUUAUAUAUAUAUAUUGUUAAGCAAUAGGCAAUGGCUGCAGAAGGGUGUCUCCCUGCUUUUUCCAGCAUUGUAUCACAAGGUUCAAAAGCAUUAUUCGAACAGAUUAUGCGGCACAUAAAUUAUGUGUUCGAGUACCAGAGCUACAUAGAUGGGCUAAAAGAUCGAGUGAAGGGGCUGGAAUAUAUAAGAGAAAGGGUGCAAAUGCUGGUUAGAGAGGCUACUCUACAAGGAGAUGAGAUUUAUAAGGGUGUCUGAGACUGGCUAAAUAGAGUUGCUGAAUUCAGUGAAGGGGUUGAAAAAUCCAUCAUUGAUGAUAAAGAUAGAGCUAAGAUGUUCUGCUUCAAAGGGUUGUGCCCAAAUUUGAUUUCUCGUUACAAGCUUGGUAAACAAGCAGCAGAGGCCGCAAACGAAGCUGAUAAACUUGUGAAAAAAGGCGAAUUUAACAUCUGUAAUCAUGUUUCCUACCGUCCUGCUCCAGAGAGUACAGAAUAUGUGCAAGUGAAAGAUUACGUAGCCUUUUAUUAUAAUAUCUUUUCACUCUAUUAACUUAAAAAAGAUUGACUUCAAUGUUAAAAAUGUAACAGUAUAUACAUUUUAUAAUAAUUUCAAUAUUUAAAAAAUAUUUGAAUACUUUACAAUCUUAUAUUAUAUUAAACUAAAUUUUAUAAUAAUUAGAAACAUAAUAUUAAAAUAAAUAUAUAAAAUUUUAAGUUAGGCUUAAUAUUAUUUAAAAUAAUUUAAAUAUCAUUAAUAGAUGAGAUAUAUUAUAUUAAUUAUAAAUUCUAUUUAAUCGAAAUAUAUAUUUAAAUUUUUUAUACUAAAAAUAGAUAUAUUAUUAAAAUAAAUAUAACAACUAACAUUUUAAAAAUUAACACUGAAAUUAAAAUUAUAAAUUAUAUUAAUCUACUAGAAAGAUUAAUCUAUUUGACACUAGCAGCGGACAAUGAGGUCACGGCAUAGGACAAGCAGUUAUCGUGACCCAUGGACUUUUCUACUUCUUUUGAAAAAAAAAUCAAAAUCAAAAUCAAAGUCAUUGAAGUGCGUUUGAUGAUUUGCUGUUUAGCUUCUCUCUCAAAUGCUUUUUGAGUGCCUCCGGCAUCUGCUUUUAUAUAAGCUUUUGUCUUUAAUCAUUUAUUCAAGCUUUCGCUAAGAGUGAUGCAGCACAGCACAUAAAUAUAGAAGCAUUGACAGCCGGUCAGGAGCUCUUCGGUAUUUGAAGCAAGAAUGAUUGUUUGGCUUUGUGCAUUGAAAGAGAAAAGAAAAUGAAAGACUUAUUUCAUUAAUACAAUUUAAUUAAUUAAUUUAAAAUAAUAAGCAUAUAAUAAUGAUGAAAUUAAUUAAUAAAAAGAAGAAAAUGAAAAUUGCACGUGCUAUUAGCAUAAACCAAUUGCCGGAAUGAGGUCACUUUGUAGACAAAUGAUUCUGGAAUCAGAACUUGGGCCAGCUUUGGGUUAUGGAUCCAAAAUAAAAAAAGGUGGGCCCCAUGGUCUCUUAUGAUCAAUAAAAAUCGAUUGAAAAGGAUGGUAUGGUGAGUGCAAGAGAAAUUUCGAUGGCAGAUCAAGGGAUGAAGAUACGAGCUCACUUGCAACGUGGUAUAGUUCAUCAUGGCUGGCUUUCCUAUAAGUUCAGGUCCUUUGAAUACUUUCAAUGACCUUAUUAGUCAGGAAUUUAACAAUAAUUUUUAUUUUUUACAUCCAGGAACGGUUUUAAGCAUAGGCAAAUUAGGCCUAUAAUUAAUAGCAAAUCCUCUUUUUUAACAAUUAAACAAUUAGGAAGUCUCCCUUUUUAUUUUUGGUAUUACUUAUAAUAGCAAAUCUUUUUUUUUUUUUUUUUUUGGUUGUAAACCAUCCGGUGUGCCACGACCGCAUUGGGCCUCGAUUAAUCCGGAUUCGGAGUGUAGUCACAGUUAAGGCUCUUUACCCCUCCCAAAUGGUGUGUUUAGUGGGGAUCGAACCCGAGAGCUCUUCCCACAAACUCAGCCUGCACUGCCAACUGAGCCACAACCAUUUGGUAGCAAAUCUUCUUUUUUAGGCCUCUUUUUAGUUAGUAAUUAUCUUAUAAUUAAGAAUUUUUAUACACAUUCUAUAUUUGUUAACCUUAAUAUUAAAGAUCUCCAAUUGUUAAUUUAUUAUUAGUUUUUCCAAAAAAAAAUUAAAUUCUUUAUCUAUUUAAAAAAUUUUAUUAUUUAACAUUAUAAAAUUUUUUGCUCCAUUCUCUAUAAAGAAAAUUAUUACAUUUAUUGGUUCACUUUUGAAUUAAAAAAAAAAGUUUAUUGAAAUAAUAGUUCUAGAGGAAGUAAAAAAUAUAUCUUCUUGGAAAUGUUUCAAACCCAUGAGCUUGGAUUUGUUUGAUAAUUUGUCGAAUUUGCCCACAUAUGAAAUUAGUAUGAUUUUACAGGUUAUAUUAUUUUAUUGGCUACUUCAUUAAAAAAAAAAAACACACACACACAGACACAAGGAUUUUUAUUUGAUGGUAGAAGUUAAGUUGUUUUUCAGUGAUAAAUAAUGUUGUUAACCAAAUUUAAUUGACAUUCUACGCGGCAGUAAUUCAAUUUUAUAGAAGCACGUGGAUUAAAGGACAAAAACACAUCAAGUAUUUAAUAUUGGAUAUGGAUAUGAAUUUUAUCCGUAUAGAUAUGGAGAUCCAUGGAUAUCCACGGAUAUUUUAUUUUUAUUAGGGAUAUUAUCAUUUUCCUACCAAAGAUAUUCUGACACAUCAUGUCAGUACCACGAUUUGGUAAAACCAUCAAUUUACCACUAAAUGUUUAAACUGUUAGCAUUUUCCCACCAUUCCGUUAAAACUCAGUUAAUAUGUAACAGAAAAUUCAUAAAAGGUCAAUUUUACCCCUGAAGCGUAAAAUGCCAUGUAAUUAACCUUUUAUAAAUUUUGUAAUUAAAUCAUCAUUUACUGUUCUUCUUUCUUAAUGGGCAAAAAUUACCCUUUAUGAAUUUUGUAAAAUUGACCGUGUGGUGCUAGGUACUUCAUAAAUUGAUUUAAUUUAUUUAAUUUUUAAAGGGCAAAUUUAUUUAUUUAAUUUUUUGUGUAAAAUUAUUAUCAUCAUAUCAAAGAUUAAAUUGCUUCUUUUGCACAUUCUUUUUUUUCCCUUUCAUAAAUUGAUUUUUAGUAGUAGAAUAAAUUGUCUUUAGCUCGUCAAUUUAAUAAAUAAAUUUAAUUAAAUGAGUGCGGAUUAGGUCAGUGGCAGAUAAAAGAGUCGGUUUUUCCAUUACUAAGCUUUUCAUGGAUGAAAAUUUUAUUUAUUUUUUUUGGUUUUAUAGGGUCUCUGUGAAUGCCAUUAGAAAUGAAAUUGACUAAUUCAAGCUUCCUUUUUCCCCUUAACUGACUGUGAGAGGCCAUCAAUCAGCUCUGUUUUGUAUUUUUGUACCUUUUUUUUUUUCGUAUAAUGAUCAAUCAAAUGUUAGCCCUUAGAUUGCAUCCAAUAUUUACUGAUUGUCUUAUAUUAGGAUAUAAACUAAAUUCAUAAGACAUUCCCUUAUUGAUAUUCAUUCCGACACGUCCUAGUCCUUUGCCUUGUAGAAAUGCUUGUGGUUGAAGAGCUUUACAGAGAAGCUGUCGUCAGUACUGCUGGGAAAUUUAUUAUAUUGAAUCAGAAAACUUGACCAGAUAAAGGCUGUGUGCAUGGGAAUACUUGAGGAAAUAUGAUUUACAUAUACCACUUAAUAUUUUACAAUCUCGUAUUCUAUUAAAUGUAAAUAUGAUUUACAUAUAAAAUAAUUUUCAAUAUCAUAUAAAAUAAUUUUAAUAUUAUUAAAACAUGAGAAAUAUUAUAUUAAUUAUAAAAACUAUUUAACCCAAGGAUUUGUUUAAAAUUUUUAUAAUAAAUAUAUUAAAUUACAUUUUAAAAAUUAAUUAUUUAAAUUAUACAUACUAGUCUACUAGAAAAUUUAAACUAUUUAAAUCAUAUUUACAUUUAGUAAAAAAAUUUGAAGUCAUUUUUUUUUGUGGCUACCAUAAGAGUACUAUAGUCAAAAAGGGUAUUGGUGUUCUUUAUUAAAAUUUUGGGGUCUGCAUGACUAUUUUCUAAAAUUUUAAGGGUGUCAUUUUAUUUUUGGAAAAAAAAUAAAUUUCAUUUAAAUAGCUAAAAUGGUAAAUAGUAGAAUGCUACAGUGGGCGUAAAUAGAAGGUAAAAAGCAAUCAGAUUUUGAUUAAACAUGCAAUGUAUGAAAUAUAUAUUAUGAUUAAACAGAUUUUGAUUAUUUAAUAUUAAAUUAUAUUCACAUUAAUAUCUUAAGGAUAGGUAAUACUCAAAUAAUUUUAAAAAAAAUCAAACCCAAAUUAUAUGCAUUGCUAAUGUGCGUUAUUGUCUAAUAUUUGGAUUUUGCUAAGUCACAACUACUGUAACUUACGGACUCUUCAAACAUAUGUGGAUCCCACCACAUGUUAAAUUUUUUACAUUAUUUUUUAAGGGACUGUAAGUUACAACAGCUUAACCUAACAACACCCUAAUAGUUCACUUUACUUUUAUAUCUUUACAAAACAAUGCCAACAAGACAACAAUGUAUGAAAUAAAUAAAAUAAAUAAACAAAGAACUGACAGCGAAAUUAGGGCUAUCAUUGGUUUCUCGUGGUGUGAACUCUUGACAAUCCUCCCCGAUCCCAUCCAAAACUCCCGCGUAGUGUGAACAUUUGACGAUUCUCCCAUAUCCCUCCAAAAAUUUGUCAUAUUACAAAAAGCAAUGUCAAUUGCAAUGUCGUUUCCAUUAGUCAUAGUGGCAGAUAGGACUAGAAUUUGUUGAAACCCCUGGACUUAUUUUUCCUUUUGAAAAUAAUUUUGUAGAACCUCAUAUCGGGAAUAACAGACAAUAAGACUCUUUUUUUAAUUAUAAUAUAUUUUUUUAAUUUAUUAACUAAAAAAAUUAAUUUUAAUAUUUUAUAAUAAAUAUAAGCAGGAUAUUAAAAUAAAUAUAAUCAUAUGUACAUAUUAAAAUAUUUUAAUACCUAAAUAUAUUUUAAUAUUUUACAAUCUCGUAUUCUAUUAAACCAAAUUUUAAUAAAUAGAGACAUAAUAUUCAAAUAAAUAUAUAAAAGUUUUACUUAUUUUCAAUAUCAUAUCAAAUAAUUUUAAUAUUAUUAAAACAUGAGAAAUAUUAUAUUAAUUAUAAAAUCUAUUUAACCCAAGGAUUUGUUUAAAAUUUUUAUAAUAAAUAUAUUAUUAAAAUAAAUAUAUUAAAUUACAUUUUAAAAAUUAAUUAUUUAAAUUAUACAUACUAGUCUACUAGAAAAUUUAAACUAUUUAAAUCAUAUUUACAUUUAGUAAAAACUUUUGCAGUCAUUUUUUUUUUUUUUGUUACCAUCUACUAAGAGUACUAUAGUCAAAAAGGAUAUUAGUGUUCUUUAUUAAAAUUUUGGGGUCUACAUGGCUAUUUUCUAAAAUUUUAAGGGUGUCAUUUUGUUUUUGGAAAAAAAAUAACAAUUUCAUUUAAACAACUAAAAUGGUGAAUACUACAAUGCUACAAUGGCGUAAAUGGAAGGUAAAAAGCAAUCAAAAUGACCAACAGUCUAACGCCUCAGCAAGGACAUAAGGUCAAAGUUUGUUACAUGUGGUCAGAGCCAUUUAGUCUGUGAGUGGGUCUUUCGUGUCAUUUUUGGUCAUUUCAUCUUCUUUGGCAUUGAAGAUUAAAUGUUGACGACAUUUUCAAAAUUUUGGAAGACCCAUCAUACUUUUGGAUGGUUGUCAUUAUUUGAUAUUAUCAUUAUAUGACGAAAUAAAAUUGGAUGUAACACUUGUUUCGCAUUGUGUGAACUUUUGACAAUUCCCUCAUAUCCCCCAAAAAUCUUUCGCCAUUUUGGGAAGAUGCCAUUUAUUUUCAUUUUCAUCAUUGAUAGUGGCAGAUAAUGGGUUCCGGGGACAGACCAUAAAUUAUUGUGACCCAUGGACUUUUCUAAUUUUUUUCCCUUCGGAUAGUUGUCGUUAUUUGAUAGAAGGAGAUAGAGAUAAAGUUUUUUAAUCAAAUGCCCAUUUUAUUUAACAUGGAAGAAGAUCUUUAAACUCUAAGCGAGACUAUCACUUCAACAUAUGCAGCCUUCAAGAAAGCGGUAACAAGUGAUGAGAUAGACUCAUUAUUGUCUAAUCAAACAAGGACAUCGGUAGAUGUAUCAGGAUCUUAAGUUAGAUUGGAAUUUGAUACAUUAUUGUUGGUAACGUUGGUUCAAACCUUCAAAGUGAGGUUGGAUGCAAAAUGGUUUACACCAAAGAAGUGAUUUAGGAAGUUAAUUAACGUUAUUUUAGAUAAUUUAUAAUUCUAGAAUAUUUAUUAUUUUAUGAUUUUCUAUUUUAGUUUGAGUUAAUUAUGGUAUGUAUCUUAAUCUUUUAUUUCCAUUAUAAUUAUGAUUUAAAUUUUCUUUUUAGGUUAACUUAGGAAAGCGGGUUUCUUCUAUUAUAAAUAAAGAUGUCUGUAAUAAAAAAAAUAAAGAUGUCUUGUCAUUGUUUUCAUAACUUCAAGUUCAAUUAUUAAAUAAAACCCCUCUUUUAUAAUUUCCUCUAGGAUUAUUUAUCAAAAUCUCUCUUGUAGAGUCGUUUGGAUUAGAGUGUCAUCUAAUCUCGUAUUACGCGUUAUUAAAAAUCUCAUUGAGUCAUUUGGAUUAUAACGAUAUCUAAUCACGCUUCGAUUAGAGCGUAAACUAAUCGCGUUGGCUUGGUCUGGUACUAGAACGAUAUCUAAUGUUUCUUACCCUAUCAAUUCUGCUUCCGCUACGCCUCACUCCAUCAAUUGGUAUCAAAAUGAUUAUGUGCGAAUUGCACAUCUUUCCUAGAUACACCAUACCUAUCCAAACCAAAUCCAUCAAAAAAAAAAAAUUUACAAAUUUGAAACCCCCUACCCGUCACAUCAACCUCCACCGUCGCCCACCACCGCCGAUCAGCCAGCCAACACCACCACAAACCUCACUAGCCACCGUUGACCAAGCCUUAGUCAUCGCUGCCUCAACCGUCGCUUGAACAGCCGCAAAUCACCAACCCAAACCCGCGGCUCCACCAAGCAGCCCACCACCAUUCAGCCACUUUCUCCACCAACCACCUCCACCAACAAACUCGCCGGCCUCCGUUGACCAAAAACCGACCAACUUCAGCCCUUGAUCGCCGCCCGUUGUCACCACACGAAACGACACGAGUGCUUCCUAGACGCGCCGCCACCAAAACACCUUCUUUUUCCGUCAAUUUACACCACCACCAUAAUCCUUAGCAUUCGGCAACCGUAAAUCCAGUCUUCCGCCACUGUAAAGCCGGCGUAAACCAAAAGCCACAUCACCAAAAUCAACCGCCAAUUCAAGUCGGAUUUCCCCCAAUUCAAGUUGCUGAAUAUAAAAAGGACUCAUGAAAAUUACCUAAAGUUUCAAAUAUUGUUAUUCAGCAACCACUUUUAGGUUACAUUAGUUUCAACCCAAAUUUUAUAUAAAUAAUUUAUAACUCCCAUUAUUAUCAUAAAAAAAAAAUUGUAGCAAUUGAGGUUAUAUCACAUGAAAAAAAAAAUCUAAUUAAAGAAAUUGACAUUAUAACUUAAGGGAUAGUUGCUCUUUUAAUCAUUAGAAUUUAUGUCAAUUAUCCAGCUUAUCCUUGCAUUCUUAAAAACUAUAUACAAUACCAUUAUCUCUGCUUUUGUAGCUAUUGACUUUGACUUUGACAACAUAAAUAUUUAUUAGCAACAACUUAAAAUUCAAACAAAUCUAAUAUGUAAUGUAUGAAAUACAAAUAAUAAUUAAACAAAUUUUGAUUAUUUAAUAUUAAGAUAUAAUCACAUUAAUAUCAUAAGGAUAGGUGGUACUCAAAUAAUCUUUUAAAAAUCAAACCCAAAUUAUAUGCAUUAUUGUCUAAUAUUUAGAUUUUGUUAAGUUACAACUGAUGUCACUUAAGUCUCUUAAAAAAUAUGUGGGUCCCACCACCUAUUAAAUUUUUUACAUUAUUUUUUAAAAAAUUGCAGUUACAUCAGUUGUAACUUAAUAGCACCCCUAGUAUUUUACUUUACUUUUAUACCUUUACAAAAACAAUAAUGUAUGAAAUAAAUAAAUAAAGAACUGACAACGAAAUUAGGCCUAUCAUUAGUUUCUCGUGGUGUGAACUCUUGACAAUCCUCCCCUAUCCCACCUAAAGCUCUUGCGUGUGUGAACGUUUGACAAUUCUCCCAUAUCCCUCCAAUAAUCUGUCAUAUUGCGGAAAGCAAUGUCAAUUGCAAUGUCGUUUCCCAUUAGUCAUAGUGGUAGAUAGGACCAGAAUUUUUUGAAACCCCUGAGACCCUGAACUUGUUUUUCCUUUUGAAAAUAAGAAAAGAACACCCGUCUGGAGAAAUAAUUUUGUAGAACCUCAUAUCGUGAAUAACAGACAACAAGACUUUUUUUUUAAAUUAUAAUAUUUUUUAAACUUAUAAACUAAAAAAAUUAACUCUAAUAAUUUAUGAUAAAUAUAAAUAGGAUAUUAAAAUAAAUAUAAUAAUAUAUACAUAUUAAAAUAAUUUCAAUAUCUAAAAAUUUUAAUAUUUUACAAUCUCGUAUUCUAUUAAACCAAAUUAUAAUAAAUAGAGCAUAAUAUUCAAAUAAAUAUAUAAAAAUUUAGGUUAUUUUCAAUAGCAUAUAAAAUAAUUUUAAUAUUAUUAAUACAUGAGAAAUAUUAUAUUAAUUGUAAAAUCUAUUUAACCUAAGGAUUUAGUUAAAUUUUAAAAUAAUUACAAAUAUUUUAUAAAUACAAAUAAAUUAAUUUACAUUUUAAAAAUUAAUAUUUAAAUUAAUUAUUUAAAUUAUAUAUAUUAGUCUACUGGAAAAUUUAAAUUAUUUAAAUCAUAUUUACAUUUCGUAAAACUUUUAAGCCAAUUUUUUUUUAUUACCACCUACUAAGGGUAUUGUAGUCAAGGGGAAUAUUGGUAUUCUUUAUUAAAAAUUUGGGAUUUACAUGAUUAUUUUUCUAAAUUUUAAUGGUGUCAUUUUAUUUUUGACAAAAAUAAAAUUUCAUUUAAACAGCUAAAAUGGUGAAUAAUACAGUGCUACAGUGGCGUAAGUGGAAGGUAGGAAACAAUCAAAAUGAACAGUCUAACAUCACAGCAGGCAUAUAAGGCCAAAGUUUGUUACAUCCCAAUACAACAAGUUUGAAACUUUGCACCUUCUGAAAUGAAACAAACUUACUUGGAUAUUGGCGAUCAGUGAGAAAAACCCUUUUUCCAAAGCAACCUUAGGGUACCGAGUGUUACAGAUUCAAUGAACCACAAGUACUUAUUUACAUUGUGGUAUCUCAAAGGCACCAAUUUCUUCUGAUCCGUUAAGGAAAACAAGAAAAAUAAAAAGAAAAGAAAAAGGUUACUUGUGCAACACAACCUUGACGCCUAGCUACAUGGUACAUUCUCUUUGUGUGUUUGAACUAGUUAACAAUAAUUGUGCCUUUACUUCUUGGAUUGGGGAAUCGGAAUCCGAAAUCAAAAUCAUUAAUGAUGGAGGCAGGGAUCCAAAUCAGAAUUAUGGGGCCACCCAAAUUUAGGAAUGAGGAAUGGAAGAUUGAUUCCCAAGGAAGGUGGUGGGAAUCAAUCACCCGUUCCCAAGAUUGACCAUUUUGCUCCCUCUCACAAACUAUAAAAUGUCUAUUUUGUCCUCAAUUAAAAAAUUAUUAUGAUUAAUUAAUAUAUGUUUAUAAUUUAUUAAUAUAACUAUUCUAAUCAAUUUAUACAUUUUACAUUUAUUACUAUUAUUAAAUAAUUAAUAUAUUAUUAUAAUUAAUUAAUAUAUUUUGAAUUUUUAUUAUUAUCAUCAUCAUCAUUAUUAUUAUUGUUAUGAAUGAUAAAAAAUUUUACAAUUAAUUAAUAUAUUAAUAUAUUAUUGACAAUAAUUAUUAAUAAUAAUAAUUUUUGAAUAAAUAAAAAUGUAUAAUUAAUUACUGAAUUUGAACAUUUUACAAUUAUUCUAUUAUUUGGACUUAUCGUACAUGCAGAGUAGCUAGUUUGCUAGCAUAUAUGUAAGGUUUAAUUUGAAUGCAUGCAGCAUUGAGAAGAGACAACGCAGAAACAAAAUUUCCGCUUGCGAUCUUUUCAUUUCCCUGUUUAAUAACAAACAAAACAGAGGAGAAACAGGGGCUCUCUUUUAAUUCCCCUGUUUUUCUGUUUGGUGAUUUUAAAAUGGGUCAUUCUAUAAUGCCGUAACUAAAUUUACGGCAUUGAUGCCGUAAUGGACGUGGACCGUUAGAUUUGAAUAAAAAAUCUCUACCAUUAAUUCUAAAUAAAUAAGUAAUAUGUUACCUAAAUAGCAGGUAAUUACUCUUUUUUGUUCAAGUUUCAGGUUACAUUUACUAAUUUUAUGUGUGAUUUACAAGUUUUAUGAAACUUUUACAAGUUAAUGCUGAUUUACAAGUUAUAUGUAACAUUUACAAGUUUUUGUUUUGUUUACAAGUUCUUCUUACAAUUUACAACUCUAACAUUAAUUUACUAGUUGUAUGUGUGGUUUACAAAUUUUUUGUUUUAUUUAACACUUAAUGUCAAUUUACAAGUUCUAUGUAAUUUUUCUAAAUUUUGGUUUUGUUUACAAGUUCUUCUUACAAUUUACAACUCCAACAUUAAUUUAUUCAUUUUUCCAUCAAUUUACUAGUUUUAUGUGUGAUUUACACAUUUUUUGUUUCAUUUCACAAUUAAUGUCAAUUUACUAGUUAUAUGUCAUUUUUAUAAGUUUUUGUUUUGUUUACAAGUUCUUCUUACAAUUUACAACUCUAACAUUAAUUUACCAAUUUUUCCAUUAAUUUACUAGUUUUAUGUGUGAUUUACACAUUUUUUGUUUCAUUUCACACUUAAUGUCAAUUUACUAGUUGUAUGUCAUUUUUCUAAGUUUUUGUUUUAUUUACAAGUUCUUCUUACAAUUUACAACUCCAACACUAAUUUACCAAUUUUUUUCAUUAAUUUACUAGUUUUAUGUGUGAUUUACACAUUUUUUGUUUCAUUUCACACUUAAUGUCAAUUUACUAGUUGUAUGUCAUUUUUCUAAGUUUUUGUUUUGUUUACAAGUUCUUCUUGUAAUUUACAACUCCAACAUUAAUUUACCAAUUUUUUCAUUAAUUUACUAGUUUUAUGUGUGAUUUACAUAUUUUUUGUUUCAUUUCACACUUAAUGUCAAUUUACAAGUUCUAUGUCAUUUUUCUAAGUUUUUGUUUUGUUUACAAGUUCUUCUUACAAUUUACAACUCCAACAUUAAUUUACCAAUUGUUCUAUCAAUUUACUAGUUUUAUGUGUGAUUUACAUAUUUUUUGUUUCAUUUCACAAUUAAUGUCAAUUUACUAGUUGUAUGUCAUUUUUCUAAGUUUUUGUUUUGUUUACAAGUUCUUCUUACAAUUUUCAACUCUAACAUUAAUUUACCAAAUUUUUCAUUAAUUUACUAGUUUUAUGUGUGAUUUACAUAUUUUUUGUUUCAUUUUACACUUAAUGUCAAUUUAAAAGUUCUAUGUCAUUUUUCUAAGUUUUUGUUUUGUUUACAAGUUCUUCUUGCAAUUUACAACUCCAACAUUAAUUUACUCAUUUUUCCAUUAAUUUACUAGUUUUAUGUGUGAUUUACAAAUUUAUUGUUUUAUUUCACACUUAAUGUCAAUUUACUAGUUGUAUGUCAUUAUUCUAAGUUUUUGUUUUGUUUACAAGUUCUUCUUACAAUUUACAACUCUAACAUUAAUUUACCAAUUUUUCCAUUAAUUUACUAGUUUUAUGUGUGAUUUACAUAUUUUUUGUUUCAUUUCAUACUUAAUGUCAAUUUGCAAGUUCUAUGUCAUUUUUCUAAGUUUUUGUUUUGUUUACAAGUUCUUCUUGCAAUUUACAACUCCAACAUUAAUUUACUCAUUUUUCCAUUAAUUUACUAGUUUUAUGUGUGAUUUACAAAUUUAUUGUUUUAUUUCACACUUAAUGUCAAUUUGCAAGUUCUAUGUCAUUUUUCUAAUUUUUUUUUUGUUUACAAGUUCUUCUUGCAAUUUACAACUCUAACAUUAAUUUACUCAUUUUUCCAUUAAUUUACUAGUUUUAUGUGUGAUUUACAAAUUUAUUGUUUUAUUUCACACUUAAUGUCAAUUUGCAAGUUCUAUGUCAUUUUUCUAAUUUUUUUUUUUUGUUUACAAGUUCUUCUUGCAAUUUACAACUCCAACAUUAAUUUACUCAUUUUUCCAUUAAUUUACUAGUUUUUUGUGUGAUUUACAAAUUUAUUAUUUUAUUUCACACUUAAUGUCAAUUUACAAGUUCUAUGUCAUUUUUCUAAGUUUUUAUUUUGUUUACAAGUUCUUCUUGCAAUUUACAACUCCAACAUUAAUUUACUCAUUUUUCCAUCAAUUUACUAGUUUUAUGUGUGAUUUACACAUUUUUUGUUUCAUUUCACACUUAAUGUCAAUUUACAAGUUCUAUGUCAUUUUUCUAAGUUUUUGUUUUGUUUACAAGUUCUUCUUACAAUUUACAACUCCAACAUUAAUUUACCAAUUUUUCCAUCAAUUUACUAGUUUUAUGUGUGAUUUACAUAUUUUUUGUUUCAUUUCACACUUAAUGUCAAUUUACAAGUUCUAUGUCAUUUUUCUAAGUUUUUGUUUUGUUUACAAGUUCUUCUUACAAUUUACAACUCUAACAUUAAUUUACCAAAUUUUUCAUUAAUUUACUAAUUUUAUGUUGAUUUACAUAUUUUUUGUUUCAUUUCACAAUUAAUGUCAAUUUACUAGUUGUAUGUCAUUUUUCUAAGUUUUUGUUUUGUUUACAAGUUCUUCUUACAAUUUUCAACUCUAAUAUUAAUUUACCAAAUUUUUCAUUAAUUUACUAGUUUUAUGUGUGAUUUACAUAUUUUUUGUUUCAUUUCACACUUAAUGUCAAUUUACAGGUUCUAUGUCAUUUUUCUAAGUUUUUGUUUUGUUUACAAUUUCUUCUUAUAAUUUACAACUCCAACAUUAAUUUACUAGUUUUUUUCUAUUUUUUAUUUUUUUAAAUUUUGUAGACCAAUUUACCACUCUAACGUUGAUUAUUGGCAUUUUAUGAUUUAGAUAGAAUGAUAUAAGGGUGGGCAUGAGUUGGGUUUGAUAGGGUUAGUGAAAUUCUAACCUGAUCUACUUUUUAAUGAGCUGACAUAAAAUCCAUCCAACUUAACUAAAUAAACUUGUUUAACCCAAUUCUACCCAAGCCUUAUAUCGUCUGGUUAAGUUGAUUAGGUUGAAGGUCAAAUCAAAAUUUUAAUUUGAACAAUGAAAAUGAUAUGAAACUUGAAAUGAAACUUAUUAAAAUCAAAUAUAAAUCUUUUAUAAAAUGAAAUUUUCAUUCACUAUCUAGUGUACGUAAAGAAAGUUAAUAAAUUAACUAUCUUUAAAUUAAGAAAAUUUCCACAAAAAGCAUAUAGACUUUAUUUCUCCUACAUCUCCUUUUCCAAUUCCAAAUUCAGACUUUUUAGAUAAUUAGCUAGCAUCAUAUACAAAAAUAAAAUGAAAGUGAUAUAUAAUUAUAUGCCGUUAAGUAUUCACUAAAAAAAUAAAAAGAAAUUAAAACCAACUUACUUUUAUAUUAAUCUUAUAAAAUAAUAAAUUUACUUAUAAGAGAGUGUGAUUUUGGUUUUGGAAUUGUAGUCUAGAGCAACAUGUAGGUCCCGAACCCUGAUUUCAAUUUAAUUGGGCUCUAAUAUUUAGGCCCGAGCCUAACCAUUAAAUUCGAGUCAAAGGAUAGAAAAUUCAGGUCAAGUCAAUUAGACUAAAAGUCGAUCCGAGUCUUCCUUGCAUGUAUAUAUGUUUGCAUCUUGAUUUUUUAUUUUUAUAUAUCAUAUAAACUCUUCUAUAAAUUUAUAGGUAUAUAUAGAAUGCUGCGUUUACUUGUCAUUAAUUGGAAUAGGUAAUGAGAAUCAGAAUAAGUUGUUUACUUGAUCUACAAGAAUCGAAAUCGGAAUGGACUGGAACCCCAUUAAUGUGUUUAUUUUAUCUUGGAAUUGGCUUCGGAAUGAGUUAAAUUGUAACAAAUUACUAAAAAGUACUUAAUGGAUUAUUAUCAUAAUUAUUAUUUUAUAUUUUAAUUAUAGUGAUUAUUUAUUCAAAAAUUAUUAUUAUUAUUAUUAAUUGUAAUAUAUAUUAAUAUAUUAAUAAAAUCAUAAAUCUAUCAUUUUUCUUUAAAUUAGUUUAUAAAAAUCGACAUUGUCCCUUUCCCGAAUGAGAAAUUGGGUAUAAAAUCAUAAAUUUAAAAUUUAACUAAAAAUCAUAAAUCUAAACCCCAAAAAAGUCAUAACAUAAGUGGUUCUAUAUAUAUUUUAGGUAUAUAUAUAAAUGUUUGUGUGUGUGUGUGUGUGUGUCUCUCUCUCUCUCUCUAUAUAUAUAUAUAUAUAUAUAUAUCUUAUUUUUAAUGAAUUGUCAUAUUACUGGAAUUACUUAGUAUGAUGUCAUAAUUAUAGAAUUAAGUCACUUUUAUGGCAUAAACAAUAUAAUUUUCUAAAAAAAAAUUAGGUUCAACUAAAGAUUGAUAUGUUACUAAUUUUUUUUUUUUUUGGAUGGACCUCUUUACUAGUUUAAAAUCGAAUCAUUGGCAUGUUUAAUUUAAACCUUAUGGUCCUUUUUAGUUACAAUUUUUUUUUUAAAUAUCAAGGUAUUUUUUAAUCUGCUAUCAAAUUUCACUUAACACUUUUACACUCUUUUUAUUUCAAUUUUUUUAAAAUAAAUAUUACAGUACUUUUUUCUUACAUUCACGACAAAUUAUGUAAUCUCAAUAGCUCCAACUAAAGAUUGUAAUCUCACGACAAAUUAUGUCAUAUUUAUAGAAUUAAGUCACUUUUUUCCUUGUUCCCGUAAUAUUUUUGCUUCUUGCUUGCUGCAGUCAAUUAAAUAUUUUGAAAAAAAAAUAUAAUCAGUGCACUGUCACAUUAUUAUGCUUGACUUUACUAAAUAUUCAUAAAUUUACCAACAAUCAAAUACGUAAUAUUUAAUGUAAUUAGACUUACAAAUACUUAACGAAAGACCGAUUAUUUCUUAAAAUUUCAAUUUCUUGGUUCACGUUAUCCUUGAAAUCAUUCUCGUUACCCUUAUCUACAUUUUCAGCCAUUUUCGAGUUUAUAACAAGAACCUGUACAUGAAGAUAUUAGGCACAAAAAGAAAUGUCAAAGAUCACAAGUUUUGGAUCCUGUAAAAAUAUUUUACAGAUAAACAUUUCAAUUCAAAAUUCAAUCGCCCGAGCAAUAAUUAGGAACACCUGGAAAGUUAAACUGGUAUUUGCUUCCAUAACAGUGACAAACAAUAACCAUUCACAACAUUAGUUAUAAUCCUUAAAAAGAAAUAACAAACUUCAAAAAAAAAUAUAUAGACGUUUUACAAUGACUGUUGGCUUGGCACAUCAAUCUAAAGCUCACAAGCAGUUUGCAUUUCUCAUCAUCUCUUUCUUCUUCCCUCUAUUAUCAAUGGAUUGUAGAAGCUCAAAUGAAGCAAGUAGCAGCAGGAACAACACAAGCAACUUUUACUAUCAAUCCCCAUCCUUCUCCAUUCAAAAUGCAUCAUGACCAUUUUCCGGCCAGCUCCAUACACAAAAACAACAGUAAAUAUAUCCGGAAACAACAAAAAAAUUAACCCAAAAGUAGUAGUAAAUUUAUACAAAAACAGAAAAAAAUUUAACUGAAAUACGGCAGCAAAUUAACCCAAAACCAGCAGAAUUUUAACACAGAAAUAGCAGCAACUGAAGCCCAAAACACCCGAAAAUUUUACCCAAAAACAGCAGUAAAUUUAUCCAGAAACAGCAGAAAAAUUAAUUGAAAAACAGCAGCAAAUUUACCCAGAAGCAGCAGAAAAUUUAACCCAAAAAUAGCAGUAAAUUUAUCUAGAAACAGCAGAAAAUUUAAUUGAAAAACAGCAGCAAAUUUACCCAGAAGUAGCAGAAAAUUUAACACAAAAACAGCAGCAAAUGAAGCCCAAAACAGCAGAAAAUUUAACCACAAAACAGCAGAAAAUUUAACCCAAAAACAGCAGUAAAUUUAUCCAGAAACAGCAAAAAAUUUAACUGAAAAACAGCAGCAAAUUUACCGAGAAACAACAGAAAAUUUAACACAAAAACAGUAGCAAAUGAAGCCCAAAACACCAGAAAAAUUUACCUCCAAACAGCAGAAAAUAUAACCCAAAAACAGCAGUAAAUUGAUCCAAAAACAGCAGAAAAUUAGACUAAAAACAGCAGCCAAUUUACCCAGAAACAGCAAAAAAUUUAACUCAAAAUCAGCAGCAAAUGAAGCCCAAAACACCAGAAAAAUUUAACCCAAGAACAACAGCAAAUCAUUCCAAAUACAGCAUAAAAUUUACCCAGAAAAAAAAAGCAUAUCAAAUCAUCCCAAAUACAGCAGCAAAUCAUCCCUACGUUUCAAACAUGCUUCUCUAGGCUAACUCUAGACUUAAUUUUCCCUUCAUUACCACAGUGGAACUCAUUCUAACUGGUAAAUUUAUUUGUAUAAACAAUAAUUCACUUUCUAUUGAACUAAGAGUUGAUGAAAUUCAUUGAUAUUGAAAUUAUUUGCAGUUGAUGAACCUCGUAUUCUAUUAAACUUCCAACCAAAAUCAAUGCACAUGAGAAUACAAAAUCAAGGGCACAACAAUUAACGAAAUUUACUUUUAAUUUCGUCCAAACCUAUACAUCGCACCAAAUUAAGGUUCAGUUUCUAUUUCUUCAUUAACCCAAGUGACACAAAACAAUUCUAUUAAAUUUUAUGUUGAAAUUAUUUGUAGCAAACAAACAAAUAUACCAAAAAUAGGCUUACUUGGUGGAAUUAACAACAAUGCAAACGCGGUGGAGGGGAAUCAGUGGCUGGAACUUGCCUUGCCUUCUCUUCCAAUCAAUAAGAUUGAGGGCAGCAGCAACAACUUAUGAUCAACACCUGGUACUCCGCUUCAGGCACUGUCAAAUCUCAUCAAAAUUUCUUUAUCCCUUAAUUCUCUUGGAAACCAAACAAAAUACCACAACCAAUCCAGAUGCACAGUAUCCAAAAAUUAUAAAAAAAUCCACUUAAAAAACUUAAAAAAGGGUUAAAAAAAGUCUUAAGAAGAGUUUACCUCCUGAAUCACUGAUGCCCAGCCGGUAUCGUUGUUCCAAAACCCCUUGACGAAUACGAACACAGCCUGGUUCUCCUCAACCAAGUUGUUGUAGAGCUUCUUCUUGUCCGAUUAAAUAAUCUAUUGGUAUUUAGUGAUGGAUUUAAAGAGGAACGCCUUGGCGAUGGGCAAAUUUCAAAUCCGCUUCUGUUUUGCUGCAAGCAGAUUUCAAAUCGGUGAUGGGCAGGAACACAAACUCAGCCCCUUCACCAACAUGAACCGUUGUAGAGCUUCUUAUUUCUCGCUUCUUUUUGGCUUCAGGCAGUUUUCAAAGCGAUGAUUGGCAGGAAAAGAGGAACGAUUGAGGAAAACAAAAUUUGGGUUAGCCAGCAAGCACAAUCGCUUCGAAAAUACAAGAUCCGGCGUGCUGCAAUUUCUUAGACUCGAUGUUGUGCCCUUCGAAUUAUGAGAUUCUAUUUGGAUUUUUGUAGAUUCGGUUUUAAAAAAAUAUAUAUAUAUAUAUAUAUGUAUGUAUAUAAUUUUGAAAAUUUUAACCAGUUAAUUUUUUUAAAUAAAUGUUUAGCCGGUUAACAACCGGUUAAUGAAAAAAAUUUACAAAUUUUUUUAUUAUGUUAUAGUUAUUGCAUGCUGUUGAUUUAAUCCAACGGUGUACAGUAAUUACGGCAUUAAUACCGUAAUUUUUAUUACGGUAUUAUAGAAUUUUCCUUUUAAAAUUUUAUGUCUAUAUUUAUCAAAAAAAGUUAUCCAGAAUUAUUAUCUAUUUUUGAUACACAUUGAUUUAUUAAAAAAACAAUUAAAAACUGCAAUUCUAAACUUAUCGUUGUGCACUGUGCUUUGACCUUGGGGUGGUUUUUUUCUGUUUUUUUACGUAGGCCAGAACCUUAAUGAAGAAAGUUUUCAUCGUUAAUUGCUUUUGACCUAGGAGAAUUUAUUACUUGGACAAAUUAACACCAUUGUCCUUUGAUGCGGCUCCUAGAUAUCUAUGCAAUUUGUGUCAUUUACUUUUGCUUUGUAUUCUUUUUUAAAUGAGUCCUGACUGGUUCAUUGGCAGAUAAAUGAGUCGGUUUUUCUGUUUUUAUUUUUUAUUUUUUAUUUUUUGAAAGACGGUUUUUCUGUUACGAAACUUUUCAUGGAUGAAUUUUUUUUUUAAUUUUAUAGAUUCUCUGCGAAGGCAGUUUAGAAGUACUAAGUUUUGUUAGGUAGAAGGGUAUUUAAGUAUUUUCAUUUCAUAUUUUGACAUUUCCUUGACCUUUGAAGUAUUGAAUCAUUGUGUUGGUAUUUAAGUAAAUCUGCCCACAAUGAGGAAUAUAUAGUUCAGAACAGUUGAGGAAGCAUGAGAAUACUUGAGGAAAACCUGAUCUGCACUCUUUCCUCUAUAUGUGUCUUCAAUAUAAAUGGCUCAAAUAUAUGCGUUAUGAUCUUUUAAUAUUUCGCCUCUGAUAUUGCCCACAUUGCUUACUGCAAUAGAUAAAGCACUUCGUUUACCCCAAAUCCUGAUAGGGAAGUAUAAAUAUAUGCUUCCGAAAUAGCGCAACUCUCCAUAAUUAUUUAAUAUGCCUCUCAAUGAAGCAAUCACUUCAUUUACAAUUCUUCGAUUAUUAAUCCUACAUACACGUGUUUCUUUUGUCUCUAAAAGUAUUCUCAAUUAAUUUACAUAAUUUAAUAUAAUAAGUACCUAAGACUAGACAAAUUACCAUUACAAUAAAAUGAAUAAAUUAUAAUAGUAUUGACACAAUAAUGUCAAUAAUAAAUGCCUUAACAAACCUAUAAAUUUUAGAAUAUGGCUCAGAGUGCUACAAUGAACCACAACAAGUUAUUAUAUUAUCUAUAAUCAAUAUUCCAAUGAUAAUAGAGCUUUUCUAUUUUCAAUCCGCUGCUUUUCUGUUUAGCGAUUGCCAAAUUUUAUAUCUAAAAUUCUUCUAAUUUUACACUAAGGUUUAUUUAAAAAAAAAAAAAAGGGGGUAGGAGAGAGAGACUCAGAGAGUAUUAAAAAAUGUAAUUCUAAAUUUUUACUUGAGCGUUGUGUGAUUUUUAUCAUUUUUUUUAAGUUGGCCAUUUAUAUUGAGUAAAUAAAAGAAUGAAUAGACGUUUGGACCACUUCUUUUCUGUUAUAAUAAAACAUGAGAUGUCUUUUCUUGAUGUUUUCGUCACAAAAGAAUAUGUUUAUGUCAUCAUAGGCUUAAAUGGGGUAAGUAAAUUAAGAUCGAGGAAAAGUUUGUUUAAGCACUAAAGUCGCUAAAUAAACGAAAGGCUCAUAUAAAAAUUACCUAAAGCACCAAAUAUUGUUAUUUAGCUACUUCUUUUAUGUUACAUUAGUUUCUACGCAAAUUUAUAUAAAUAAUUUAUAACUCCCAUCAUUAUUAAAAAAAAAAAAAAACUGUAGCAAUUGUGGUUAUAUCACGUGGUGUGAUCUUUUGACAAUUCUCCCACAUCCCACCAAAAACUCUUACGCGGCAUGAACUUUUGACAAUUCUCCCAUAUCCCACCAAAAAUUUGUCAUGUUGCGAAAGGCAAUGUCAAUUGCAAUGUCAUUUCCAUUAGUCAUAGUAGCAGACAAUGGAGGUCCCGGGAUAGGACUAGAAGUUUUUGAAAUCUUGGACUUAUUCUUACUUUAUUUUUUCUUUUGAAAAUGAGAAAAGGACACCCGUUUGAGGAAAUAAUUUUGUAGAACCUCAUAUCGUGAAUAGGGGAUAAUAAGACUUUUUUUUUUUUUUACUUCACUGCAAUAUUCUUUAAUUUUAUUAAUUUUAUAUUUUAUAAUAAAUAUAAAUGUGAUAUUAAAAUAAAUGUAAUAAUAUAUACAUAUUAAAAUAACUUGAUAUUGAAAAAUAUUUUAAUAUUUUACAAUCCCGUAUUACAUUAAACCAAACUAUAAUAAAUAGAUAUAAUAUUAAAAUAAAUAUAUAAAAGUUUAAAUUAUUUUGAAUAUCAUAUAAAAUAAUUUUAAUAUUAUUAAUAAAUCAGAAGUAUUACAUUAAUUGUAAAAUCUAUCUAAUCCAAGGAUUUAUUUAAAUUUUUUAUAAUAAAUUAAAAAUAUAUUAAUUAACAUUUUAAAAAUUAAUAAUGAAAUUAAUUAUAUAAGUUAUACAUAUUAGUCUACUAGAAAGAUUUAAACUAUUUCAAUCAGAUUUACAUUUAGUGAAAAUUUUUGAAGUUAAUGGUUUUGGUUAUCGUCUACUAAGAAUCUUGCAGUUAAAAGGGGUAUUGACAUUCUUUAUUAAAAAUUUGAGGUCUACAUAACUAUUUUUUAAAAAUUUAAGGGUGUCAUUUUUAUUUUUAACAAAAAUAAAAUUUCAUUUAAAUGGCUAAAAUGGUGAAUAAUACAAUGUUACAGCUGGCGUAACAUUGUAUUAUAUGUUAAAUUUUUUUAAAUAUUUGUAUAUAUUGUUAUAUGAUAUUAUAAUAUUAUAUUUAUAUUUAUUAAAAUAUAAGAGUUAAUAUUUUUAAAUUAAUAAAGACAAAAAGUAUUAUAAUAAAAAAGAAUUCUUUUAUUAAAAAUAUAAUCAUUCUCCCAAACUUAUCCUUGUCCCUUUUUGAAAGGAAAAAAUAAAUUAGAAAAGUCUUUGGUCAUGAUAACUUCUAGCCUUGUCCCAUGGGACAUGGCUACGGUGCAGAAGCUGAAAGUAACAGCUUCGAACUUUCCCAUUUCCAUCACCUUGCAUUGGGACCUCUUUCUCUCUCCUCUAGCACCAGUGGAAGUUCCCCAUUGGCCGCUGUUACUUACAGAAGCUGUAACAUAGACUUCUAGCCAUGUCCCGUGAUGUCCAUUGUCUGCCACUAUCAAUAAUGGCAAUGACAUUGCAAAUGAAACAUUGAAAAUGUAUUUUCACAAUAUGACAAAAUGGGAGGAUUGUCAAAAGUUCACUGAAACUAGAGUUAGAUCUAAUUUCAUUUAUUUCAUAAAUUAGAAAAGUCUAUGGUCGUGAUAACUUCUAGCCAUGUCCCGUGAUGUCCAUUGUCUGCCACUAUGAAUAAUGAAAAUGACAUUGCAAUUGAAACUUUGAAAGGUAUUUUCGCAAUAUGACAAAGCUUUUGUUGGGAUACGGGAGGAUUGUCAAAAAUUCACACCACGUGAAACUAGCGUUAGAUCUAAUUUUAUGUCGUCAGUUCCUUAUAUAUUUAUUUCAUUUAUUUUAUACAUAGCUGUUUUAGGGUGAUAUUGUUUUGUAAAGAUAUAAUAGUAUGGUACUAUAAAAAGAAAAGAGGUGUGUGUAUACUUCCCAGUGUAAUAAUUAUAUGUAGAAGAAAACUAACAAGAGGAAAAAUGACAAAGAGCAAGGCGCUGGUUGUGGGGAGAAGAGGAUAGAGAAGGCAAUCUUAGCUUGUUGAUUGAGGGCUCAUUUUCUGAUCAUCGUAGCCUUGUUGGAGCUGUCAAACAAGUCGAUGUUGUCAUUUGCACCAUGUCGGGGGCUCAUUUAAGGAGCCACAAACAUUUUGAUGUUGCUUAAACCUGUUGAGUCCAUCAAAUAAGCUGUAAAUAUUAAGGUACGUAAUCCUUAAUUUUUAUGUAAUUUUAAUUUCAGAUCCAAAAUUGCAUGCAAGUCAUUAAAUUUCUUUCCUUUUUUUAUUUUUUAUUUGAUGAGUUACUUGAUUUGGUCGGGUGCCUUUUUUUUUCCUUUGGUUUUUCUUUUUCCAAAACAUAAAUAGACCAAGCACAUCUCCAAAUCGGGUUGGAGCGGGGAUUCUAACUCUACGAUGGCCAUAUUAAAAUUUAAAAUUUUUUAAUUUAUUUUUUCUUUUAUAACUACAUCUCAAUAUUUGAAAAAAUGAUUAUAUAGAUCUAUAUAUUAUCGAACCCAAAAUUAUAAUAAUACAUGUAAUUAUUCUAUACAUGCGUCAACAAGGCAACAGUAACCAAAUACAUGAUAUGCGAAGGGGGUGCAUGAUUAAGUCCUUUUUUUAUUCAAUUCAUUGUUAUUAUUUUUCAGCAGUUACCAGUGAUCUUUUUGCUCAUUAAAAUUAUUCUUAAAUAUUCAACGCCCAGAAGAGAAGCUCAUCAACUAUCAGAUCCCGGAUAAUUAAAGAGGUGAACUUGUUCUAAAUCCUUUGAUAAUUUCUAUUAAUAGCAUAAUCUCCUUGAUCCAAGAAAAAAUAUCUCCUGUUUGUCUUAAUCUUGUCAUUUAAUUUUUUCAACAGCAAAUAUAUAUACACACGCACACACACAUAUUGUUAAAAAGUGCAGAAAAACCACUCAAAAACGUGGAGAAAAACCACUCAAAUUUAUACAUGCGUCAACAGGGAAACAGUAACCAAAUACGUGAUACAAAAAGGGGUGAAUGAUUCUGUCUUUGCCUUUUGCAAGUCGCUGUUAUUACUCUCAUCAACUCCUUUCUCGCACAUUUCUCAGCAGUUACCAGUAAUAUUUAAAAUCGCUGUGUAGAUAUGCAAAGUUCCGUAAGUGCAUUAAUAAUUAUUUGCCAGAAAAAAAUAGUUGCGUCAAUAUUAAAGGAAUUGACAUCCAGGGGACCCAAUUUAGUUGCUUAAUGAUUAUUUAAUUAAUUAAUUUAUAAUAUAUUAAUCUUUUAAGUUGAAUAUUUAAAAUCUUAGACCCGAAACAAUAAAUCAUCUGAGGCAAAUAAAAGAGAAAUUAUCAUCCUUUUUUCUUUUUUUAACUUCUUGUAGCUUAUAAAAGAGAAAUUAUCAGUCAUUUACUCAAAGUUUAUUCAAUUAUUAAAAUUAUUAUAAAAAUUUAAAUUUAUUUAAUUUUACAUCCAAUGUAUGCAAUUUGUAUGAAACAUCUGUUAAAAAUAUAAAGUUAUUCGUUCAAAGUGACAAAAUAGAAGCGAACACAAAAUUGUAGUGGUGAUUAUGUUUUAGGAGUAACUUUAUUUUUUUAGUAAACAGUUGAUACACAUUUUAUAACUUUUGGAUAAUAAAAUAAUUUUUAGGUGGAUGAUUGAAAAUUUUUCUUUUCAAAAUAUUUUGAAAACAAUACCAAAUGUACCAAAACAUUGUUUACUUUCACUCUCUCUCUCUCUCUCUCUAUCUAUCUAUCUAUAUAUAUAUAUAUAUAUAUAUUAUUUCUUAACUCAUUCUUAUCCUUAUUCUUUCUAACAUAUCCACAAUCUGUCAAUGAAAUUUACUUUUAUAAAUUUAAAGAUUUUUUCAUGCAAUUUUGUACGAUGAUGAGUUCUCAUAUUUAUGUUAAAAAAUAAUUCGUAAAUAAUACAAAUGAAAAAAACAAAAAGUAGCAGGGCUGGCAAUACAAAACCAUAACUUUUUUUCUUUGAAUUUUGCAUAAAUAAAGUCAAUAGUGAUUUGUCAGCGCGAUCUUGAGAGCACGGCUUGGAGUCUCAAUAAUUAUUGACACUCAUAUUUGAAAACUUUCGAAAAGAUAAAAUCCAAUAUGAAAGGUGAAACGUUAUAAUCAUAGUAACUAGAAAAUUGAUUGAUUUACAAAUAUCAAUUUAAACAAUUUUCAUGUUGAUCGACAAUUUAAGUAGAUUGACAAAGAUUGAAGUAAUUACUGUUGGUGAUGAUUGACUUUGUCCUUAUCCUUGCCUUCUUCUUAUCAAAAAUCCAGUGUCAAUUAAAUUGGGCCAGGGUUUCUGAUUGCAACUAAUGGACUUCAUAUACGCAUAAUGGUCCCUACGUAUAUGCGUACCAAUAUUUGAUUGAAAAAGGGGGUGCAUGCUUAAUGCUCAAGUCGUCUUCUUUUGGAAAUUCAUUGUUAUUACUCUCAUCAACUCGUUCCUCACAUUCCUCUUUAGUCAAAACCUGUAAUAUUUCUUCUAUAUUCAAGGUGAAUACAGCAGCUCAUCAACUCUUAUCCCAGACAGGUAAAGAGGUGCACUUGUUCUAAAACCUGUAAUAUUCUUUUAGUAGCAGAAUCUCUGAUACUUGAUCUUCAUAGCGGUUCUUUCUUAAUUUCCAUAAACUUUCCUAGGAAAAAAAUUCUCUGGUUUUUCUUAAUCAUAUCAUUUACUUUUCUUAAGUCAUAUCAUUUAUUUUUAGUAGCAGAAUACUUGAUCUUGAUAGCCAUUCUUUCUUAAUUUCCAUCAACUUUCCUUGAAGGAUACCUUUCUGUUAAUAGCGAAACCUCUGAUCCUUAAGAUAGAAAAAGAAAUUCUCUACUUAGGUAUCAGUUGGUUCAAAAUCAAUAUCGCGAUGUUGUUUGCGGUCUUUUCUUUCUCUGUCUUUCCCUCUAGUUCAUUUUAAUUUAUUUGUAUUCCUUUCUUUGACAUUUUUAUUCAUUUUAUAUAUAUAUAUAUAUUGUUAAGCAAUAGGCAAUGGCUGCAGAAGUGGGUCUGGCUGCUUUUUCCAGCAUCGUAUCAGAAGGUGCAAAGUCACUGUUCAAACCGAUUAUACGGCAGAUCUCUUAUGUGUUCAAGUACCAGAGCUACGUAGAUGAGCUAAAAGAUCAAGUGAAACAGCUGGGAUAUAAAAGAGAAAUGGUGCAGCAACCAGUUAAUCAUGCUAGGCUACAAGGUGAUGAGCUUUAUGAGGGUGUCACAGACUGGCUACAUAGCGUUGAUGAAUUCAUCAGUAAAGGGGUUGCAAAAUCCAUUAUUGAUGAUGAAGAUAGAGCUAAGAAGUCCUGCUUCAAAGGAUCGUGCCCAAAUUUGAUUUCCCGUUACAAGGUCAGUAAACAUGCAGCAAAGGCCGCAGAAGCUGCCGCUAGUCUCAUGGGAAAAGGCAACUUCUCUAAUGUUUCCUACCGUCCUGCUCCAAAGCGGGCAAAACAUAUGCAAGUGAAAGAUUUCGAGGCCUUUGAUUCAAGAAUGAAAGUAUUUCAAGAUGUUAUGGAGGCGUUGAGGGAUGAUAAGCUCAACAUAAUUGGGGUCUACGGGAUGGGCGGCGUGGGUAAAACCACGAUAGUCAAGCAAGUUGCAAAGCAAGUGAUGGAAGAAAACUUGUUCGAUAAGGUCGUUAUGGCUGAGGUAACACAGACCCCAGAUCAUCAUAAAAUUCAAAACAAACUUGCUUUUGAUUUGGGCAUGGAAUUUGGCUUGAAUGAGAAUGAAUUCCAAAGAGCUGAACGAUUACAUAAAAGAUUGAAGAAAGAGAAGCAGCUCCUCAUUAUAUUAGAUAAUAUUUGGACAAAACUUGAGUUGGAUAAAAUUGGAAUUCCAACCGGGGAUGUUGCUGAGAAAGAUAGAAAGGAUGAUCAGAGAAGAUGCACAAUAAUAUUGACGUCUAGAAAGCAAGAUUUAUUGCGCAUUGAUAUGAAUUCUCAGAAAAAUUUCCCGAUCGAUGCUUUGCCACGAAAAGAAGCAUUGCAGUUAUUUGAGAAGAUAGUGGGUGAUUCAACUAAAAUAUCUACUUUUCAAAGUAUAGCAAAUGAGAUCGUUGAAAGAUGCGGAGGUUUGCCUGUUGCACUGAGUACAGUUGCAAAUGCUCUGAAAACUAAGGAGCUUGACUUUUGGAAAGAUGCAUUGAAUCAGCUAAGAAGAUCGGAUGCAAGAGAAAUUCAUGGCAUGCAAGCAAAUGUUUACACCUCCAUAAAAUUGAGUUAUGACUUCUUGGAAAGUGAGGAGGCAAAAUCUUUGUUUCGUCUUUGUGGUCUAUACAGUGAAGGUAAUGUCAUACAAGUUUCUAACUUAUUGAGAUAUGGUGUGGGUUGGGGUUUGUUUGAAAAUGUUUACACAUUAGAAGAAGCAAGGAGUAGAGUGCAUCGGUUGAUCGACAACCUCAAAUCUUCAUGCUUAUUGUUGGGCGGUGAUGCUAAAGAUGAAGUUAAAAUACAUGACGUCAUUCAUGUUGUUGCCGUAUCAAUUGCCGCAGAGAAGCGCAUGUUUAAUAUUCCAAAUGUUGCCGACUUAGAGAAAAAGAUGGAAGAGACAAUACGGAAAGAUCCAAUUGCCAUUUCAUUACCCCAGAGAAAUAUUCAAGAGCUCCCUGAAAGGUUGCAAUGUCCCAAUCUCCAGUUAUUUUUGUUGUUUAGAAAGGGUAAUGGCCCUAUGCAAAUUUCAGACCUCUUUUUUGAAGGGACAGAAGAACUCAAAGUGUUAAGUCUUAUCAGAAUUCCUUUCUCUUCAUUACCUUCGUCACUUGGUCGCCUCAUUAACCUUCAAACAUUGUGUUUAGAUGGUUGCGGACUAAAAGAUAUAGCAAUAGUUGGACAGCUAAAGAAAUUAGAGAUUCUCAGCCUUCGAGAUUCUGAUGUUAAGGAGUUGCCACUUGUAAUUGGACAAUUGACGAGAUUACAGUUGCUAGAUUUGAGCAAUUGUAGCAGCCUUGUGGUGAUAGCUCCAAAUGUCAUAUCAAAAUUAUCUCGAUUAGAAGAACUAUAUAUGGGUAACAGCUUUUCACAUUGGGAGAAGGUUGAAGGAGGAAGUAACGCCAAUCUUGUUGAGUUGAAGGGGUUGUCAAAGCUAACUACUUUGGAGAUACACGUUCGGGAUGCCGAAAUUCUACCGCAGGAUUUGGUCUCUGUGGAAUUGCAAAGAUACAGGAUAUGUAUAGGAAAUAAGUGGUGGAGCAGCUGGUCCGUUAAAUCUGGAUUAUCAAGAUUGAUGAAGCUCCAGGGGCUGGAAAAGUUUGGCAUUCUUUUGCAAAAUUACAGAAUGAAAAUGUUGCUGCAGAGAACUGAAGAUCUCUAUCUAGAAGAACUGAAGGGUGUUCAGAAUGUUGUUCAUGAAUUAGACGAUGGGGAGGGUUAUCCACGAUUGAAGCGUCUUCGUGUAGAAAGUUGUUCUGAGAUUUUACAUAUUGUCGGUUCAGUUAGACGGGUUGGUUGCGAAGUCUUUCCCUUGCUGGAGUCAUUGUCUCUUAUGUUUUUAACUAAUUUGGAGACGAUAUGCUACAGCCAACUCAAUGAAGAUCAAUCUUUCAGCAACUUAAGGAUUAUAUACGUAUAUUGUUGUGACAAACUGAAGCAUCUCUUCUCAUUCUCUAUGGCCAAAAGACUAUUGCGGCUUCAAAAAGUAGAAGUGGAAAACUGCUAUGAUUUGAAAAUGAUUAUUGGUAAGUGUUGAAAUUAAUUAUUGGUAGGAUUAUUGACACUGACUAAUUCUUUUUUUCUUUUUUUUUUUGGUGAAAAAAACAACGGAUGUUUAUAAUAUAUUGUUUUUGUUCAUUUAUAGGGCCCGACAUGGAGAAACCAACAACUACUGAGGGAUUCACAGAAAUCAAUGCAGAGGAUGAUCAGGUGAUAAUUUUCUGUUUAAUAAUUAAUUAAAAAAUAUAUUAUCGCGAUUGAUCUUCAAUCAUCGAAAGAAUAUUAUAUUAGAAGUUGUAGUUGAAGGAACAAAAAUGUACGGUUUUGCUUUGCAGGUUAUUUUUCCACACUUGGAGGAACUGAAACUUGGCCGUUUAAGAAGCAUCAAAAAAUUAUGGCCCGAUCAAUUUCAGGGAAUGAAUUGUUGUCAAAAUUUAACAAAAGUGACCGUGUGGAGAUGUGAUGGUCUGAAGUAUCUGUUUUCAUAUUCUAUGGUUAAUAGUCUUGGGCAACUCCAACAUCUUAAAAUAAGUUUUUGUAAGUCAAUGGAAGGGGUAGUCAACAACACCACGGGGAGGUUAGGAGGAAGAGAUGAAUUUAAGGUUUUUCCUAAACUACACUCCCUGCAGCUCACUGGUCUUCCAAAACUAAGUAGCUUUGCCUCACCAGAAGACGUCAUUCACACUGAAAUGCAACCUCAAUCUUUCUUUGAUGAAAAGGUUUUUUUUUUUUUAAUUAAUUUUAUUCUCAAUAGUUAAUUUCUUCUUUCGUUGAGUCUUCAAAUCUAAUUGUAUUGAAUUUUUAACUUCAGGUACGACUCCCAAGUCUGGAGGUAUUACAUAUUGUUUGGAUGGAUAAGUUGAGAAAAAUAUGGCACCACCAGCUUGCUUCGAAGUCUUUUAGCAAAUUGAAAAAAUUGGAGAUAUCUGAGUGUGAUAAUCUACUGAAUAUUUUUCCUCCAUUGGUAAGAUUGCUCUAUUCAUUUUCAAUUUUUAUUUCAAAUAACAUUCAACAAUUAUUUUAAUCAUUUUUGUGUUUACAAAUAAUUUUCAUUCACAAAUUAUUUAUUGCAAGUAUUGUACUUCAAACUUCUGGAGGGAAAAAAAGUAUUGUACUUCAAAUCACCAUUCUGAACUCUGCAUUUUCAAUCUAAUUUAUAGGUUCACCUGCAUUAAAGUCAACAAUAUAAUUGUUUUAAACACGAUUUAACAGCAUAAUAUAAUUCAAUUUACUUGUUUUUUUUCUUAAAUCCUAAUAAAUAAGAUUUUCAGAAAUUAAAAGAUACUUAGUUACUCAGCUUUUAAGUUCACAAAUUCAUGAUGGUCAUUUUGAAUCGAUCGUCGAUUAAAAAGUUUCCUCAAAUAUUCACUCUAUAACAGUCCCAUGUUGAUGGCGUUAGGAAGUGUUUUCCAAAAAUGUUUUCCAUUUUUAAAAGCAUGAAUAUCGGGAAAAAAUGGGAAAUACAGCGUUUUAGUUUAGUUAUUUUAAAAAUAGGCAUGUUUGAAAAUUAAAAUUUUUUAAAAACUAGCAUCAAGAUGAAAAAUGAAUUUAGAAUAUUUAAAAAUUACCUGAAAUUCUUUCUCUAUUCCUAAUACUAAAUAGUGUAAAUACAUUUUCAUUAUCUUUAUUUUUCUGGACUUCUAUUUAUUUAUUUUUGUUUUAAUUUUUUCCUUUUUUCUUUAACAAAAAAUAUCUAGUAGACAUUCAUGGUUUGUUAUUUUUCAUAAAACAAUUGUAUGAUUUUGACAUACUUUGAAUCUAGUUGAAUGCUACUCUUUAUUUUCAGGUUGGAAUUCCCAAUAGUCUAGUGAAUCUUAAUGUAUCAUACUGCAAAAAAUUAGAAGAAAUCAUAGGACAUGUUGGAGAAGAAGCGAAGGAGAAUCGUAUUGCUUUAAGUGAAUUAAAACUUUUGGAACUUGAUCAUUUACCAAGGCUUGCCAGCUUUUGUUUGGAGAAUUACACUCUUGAAUUCCCAUCAUUGGAACGAAUUUCAACGACACAGUGUCCGAGCAUGAAGACUUUUUCUCAGGGAACCUUAUCCACACCAAAGCUGCACGAAGUGCAGGUGAGUAAAAAGGAAGUAUUAAUUUACCAAGCCUUUUUAUAUGUGCAUAGAAGAUUCUACACACAUUGCACACACGCACAGUUUACUACUAACAACCUCUAUAACAACCUUUAGCUGACUCAGCUGCCAUGUCAGCAUACUCAUUAACUAACUAAUUCUAUUCUUAACAGGAAGAGGGUGGAUUGCGCCGUUGGGAAGGCAACCUUAAUUCCACUAUACAAAAGUGUUACGAAGAAAUGGUAUGUGUUAAAUCGAUUCGUCGAAAUUACUUAUGCAUCUCCCUUGCACUUGCACAUUUAAGUAUAUACACCUGCCUUGUAUAUAUAGUUUUAGAAGUUAAAACACAAAACAUGUAAGUUUAAUGUACAUAUAUCUAAUGCCUUUCAAAAAGAAAAAAAUUUAUAUAUAUCCAGUGCAAUUGUUUUGGUUUGUGCAGAUUGGAUUCCAUGACAUACAGUAUUUGCAACUCUCACAUUUUCCACGUUUGAAAGAAAUAUGGCAUGGCCAAGCACUGCCUGUCAGCUUCUUCAACAAUUUAGUAGUGCUCACGGUGGAUGACUGCACGAAUAUGUCGAGUGCUAUUCCUGCCAAUCUGCUACGGUGCUUGAACAAUUUGGAAUGGCUGGAAGUGAGGAAUUGUGAUUCACUAGAAGAGGUGCUUCAUUUGGAAGAGCUAAAUGCUAAGGAAGAACAUAUAGGCCCCCGGUUUCCUAGGCUUAACAGACUAAGGCUCAUUGAUCUUCCAAAACUCAAAAGAUUCUGCAACUUCACUGGGAAUAUAAUUGAACUGCCUGAGUUGAGAUAUCUAACUAUUGAGAAUUGCCCUGAUAUGGAAACAUUCAUAUCCAACUCUUUAGUGCACGUGACAACAGAUAACAAGAAACCUCAAAAAUUAACAUCAGAAGAGAACUUUUUGCUGGCUCAUCAAGUACAACCUCUCUUCGAUGAAAAGGUGAUUAUUAUUAUUAUUAUUAUUAUUAUUAUUAUUAUUAUUAUUAUUAUUGUUAUUAUUAUUAUUAUUAUUAUUAUUUUUCCCUUCACUUUCGUUCGCAUAGAUGUAAUUUCAUUAGAAUCAAGCCAAAUUUAAUGACUCAUCUUUUUGCAUGUCAUCUUAAUUUAUAUCUGAUUUAACAAUAUAACCGCAGUUAUUAACUAUCUUUAUAGUAUGAAUUAUAAAAAUGUCUGAAAUUAAUUGGAUGCCUGAUAACACGAGGUGAUGAACUAUAUUAAUUAUGUGUGUUACAUCUCUGUUUUCCUAGCUAAUUCAUAUUGGAUUUAGCCUCAGAUUUCAUUUAUGUGUUUCAAAGAGUAAGCGAUUUGAUACUUUUAUUUGGGAUCCUACUGCAAAGCAUACUAAUUUGGAAAUAAAAUAUAAAAUGCCGUGAUCAACCUUGUCCAUAAAAUAUGCAGGGGAAGACGGCAGAGAUUGGAUACAUAUUUUCAUUUACAACUUAAUUUUGUUGAUUUUCAGGUUGCAUUCCCUAAAUUGUGGGGGUUAAAGCUGUCUAGAUUACCCAAUGUGUUGCAUUUCUGGAAGGAAAAUGCCGAAUCCAACAAAGUGUUUGCAAACUUGGAAACUCUAGAAAUAUCGGAAUGCAGUAAGUUGCAAAAAUUAGUACCACCUUCAUGGCAUUUGGAAAAUCUUGCGACUCUGGAAGUAUCGAAAUGUCACGGGUUGAUAAAUUUGUUGACGCUCUCAGCAUCUAAAAAUCUAGUGACUCUUCAAAGAAUGAAGAUAGCUGAUUGCAAAAUGAUAGAACAAAUCAUACAAUUGCAGGUUGGAGAAGAAGCGAAAGGUUGCGUUGUCUUCGAGGAAUUGGAGUACUUGGGACUUGAUUGUUUGCCAAGCCUAACAAGCUUUUGUUUGGGUAAUUACGCUCUUGAAUUCCCGUCCUUGAAACAAGUAGUUGUGAGACAGUGUCCAAAAAUGAAGAUCUUCUCUCAAGGAGUCUUAGACACACCAAUGCUAAACAAAGUGAACGUCACCGAAGAAGAAAAAGAUGAUGAUGAAGAAGAUGAUGAUGAUGAUGAUGAUGAUGAUGAUGAUGAUGAUGAUGAUGAUGAUGACGACGACGACGACGACGAUGAAGAAGAAGUAGAUGAUGAUGAUGAUGAUGUUGGGAAGGCAACCUCAAUGACACCAUAAAAAAAUUGUUCAAUGAAAUGGUGAGUAUCAAUUAAGUUUUGGUGCUAUUUAGCAAAUAAUUUUAUAGAAACCAAUGUGAUAUAAUAUGAUUGGUUGACUGAAAAUAUAUAAUAAUAAAAAAUAAAUAAAUUAUGAGGACCAUGUAAUGUUUUUGUUUAACUAAUCAUAUUAUAUCGCAUCAGUUUAUACAAUAUUGUUUGUGCACAAGAGGUGGUGGUCAUAUAAUUACUCUAGCUUUAUUAUUCUUAUGGUGGCAAUGUAUGCUUGCUUACACGAGUAAUUACAAAAUCUGCAGAAUUCUAAAGAAGAGAUUGAGCCAAUCCUUCAGGUACAGUGAAGAAGCUAUCCCGAACCAGGCCAAUCUCUUAUACAUGAUUUAGCUUGCUCGUUCUUCUGUACUUGAAUAAUUUGGUUCUACACAUAUUUACAAUUUUUUGCUCAUGCUACAGACUUGCAAGACACUUUGGAUUUUGUUUGAUGUAUUCUCUGUUUAAGAAAGGACUUGAAUUGAUGUUUCAUGUUUCAUGUUUCAUGCAAUAUUCGAUUAGAUUCUGCCUAAAUUUCUGUAUUAUUCAUUCAAUUGGUCUUUUAAGCAUUUGAUUUCUAACCUCUCCUGAUAGAAGAUCAUUAGCCAAAGAAAACAGCAUAAAAUUUGUGGCAUUAUGAGAAUAAGAAUUUUUUUAAGUAUAGUAAAAUUAUCUCAACCAUUGUUAAAAAUAAUUAAUCCGUCAAACUGACCUUCUCACACCAACAUGCUUUAAAUUAAAAGAAUUUCGUGAAAGUCAAGACCAUGUUAUAGAUCUCGUGGAAAUAAGUAAACCCGUAAUUUUUUUCACAGCAUCAUAAGAAAAAAUCAUUUUUUAAAAGUAUUUUUGUUAGCUGUUGAGUUUUAAUAGUAGUAGCUAUUAAACAAUAACAAUUAGUGUAUAUUAAAAAGUUGGAAACCGGUUGACACCACUCGGGAAUCGAGCAGUUCACUUGUUUGCGAGUAGAAACCAACUUUACUACUAUUUACAAUCAUACCAAAAAUAGUAACUAAAGAAUCAGGAAAUUUCCUAUUCACUAUUCUUCAUUUUUUAAUGCAAAAUUCCCAUUCGAAAACACCAAUGACUUUCAUUCAAAGUAAAUGAGAAAUUACAAUGAAAAUAGAAUCAAAAUACAUGUAUGUAUACCUAAAACAAAUGAUUUUUUUUAAUUAAAAAAAAAAAGCACAGUUGAGGUGAAAUGAAACCAGAGUCAUGAUAUCUCUGGUUCCAGCUUUGGGACAACAGCAGACUUGAGUUCUAUAUGAGAAACACGUACAGCACCAAUCAGCCGCUCCGGUAAUUCAGCUGUAGUAUUUGCCUGCAUACAGAAGAGCAAGAUAAAGAAGACACACACAGAAGCAUUAUAUCAUUCUGAGAACAUUCAAGUAUGCAAAAAUGCAAGUGGCAGUGCAAUAUCUCAAAAUCAUGUCUUUUCCCUUGUGUCCAUUUAGCAGUGGGGGAAAAAAACAAUCAUACAUACCUGUACAAGGAAAGCCAUAUCAACCACCAAUGUCGUAAUUACACCAAUUACAAGGCCCAAAACUCCAUUAGCAACAGUAGAAGAAUCGAUGUCAACAUCAAUCUACAGAAAGAUGAACAAUGUUAAACCUUUUUAAAGGUAUUGGACGCUAUUUGAAAGGGGAACAUCUCAUGUACUAUAGAAAUUCCAAGAGCAUUUACUUCUAAGUACUUGGGACCGCGAAUAUAGUUACAAUCAACUGCCUUCCCCAAUAAACAAGGGGUGAUUCCAACACUCUGGCGCACUAUCCAUGAACCCUGCAUGAUUCAGUGCUUAAAAUCAAGAACAAGUGCAAAACAAAUUCAAGAGGGUAAAAAGGACAUAAAGUUUGAAGGUACAACCCAUCAAUACAUUCACACCUAAAUGCAUGCCUUCUUUGUACAAAUUGAAGUGUACCAUGCAGUAAAGGGUAAGUAUACGUUAAUAUAGUCCUACUACAUGAAGGCCAAGAUGGAUACCUUAGGAACAUAUGGAAUAAGUUUCAACCUACUAUUGCGAAAUUCAUCAUCGCCAUCAACAAACCGUUGCAAAAGUGAUCCCGUAACCAAUUGCCUUGUAACAAAAUAAAAUACCAUACUAUAAUGUGUUGAACCAGGAACCUGCAGAUGCUUAGGUUACAACUAUACAACCUCCCAAUACAAUAAGUUUGAAACUUAUACCUUCUGAAAUGAAACAAACUUUCUUGAAGAUUAAAGAUCAGUGAGAAAAGCCCUUUUUCAGAAGCAACCUACAUAUUUUAGAAUAGGGCUCAGUGCGUUAUAGAUUCAAUGAACCAUGAGAAGUUAUUUACAUUGUUGUAUCUCACAGGCAGUAUUUUCUCCUAAUGUAUCAAUGGAAAAUGCUAGUGAAUUGAAUGAAGCUAGAGCAGAGCAUGAUGUUGCUGUGUAGCUGACUUUAGCAGAUCAACUCACUAAGCUGACCUGGCAAAGUUAUUUAGCUAGUUGAGCUGAUGUGUCAAAUUAGUUAUGCAGCAAAUGGUUAUGUGAUGUAACAAACUCGUGUGUGUGUUGAGCAAAUUGUAGCUUAAUAUAAAUAUCAGUCUAUAUUCAUUCAGUUGUAAUGCUAAAGUAAUAAAGGUUCUACAAACUUCUUUACAGAGCUUUCUUUUAUUUUCUUCAUUUUCUAGCUUGCCAAACAAUACAAAACUAAGUUUCUUUCAUGGUAUUAGAGCCAUAAAUGGCGAAUACAGUUCAAAAUAACAACUCUUUUAGUUUUGUUACGCCUGUAAAGCUAGACCAAAACAACUUCAUUUUAUGGCGCGCACAAAUUUUAGCAUCGAUCUAAGGAAACGGUCUGGAAGGGUUUAUCAAUGGUGAUCAAGAAUGUCUUGAGCAGUUUCUUUCUUCUGGAAACAACAAUGGAGCUGAAAUUUUAACUGAAUCUGAAUCCAAAUCUAUUAAUCCAGAGUUCAUAGCUUGGAUGAAGACUGAUCAACUUCUGUUGAGUUGGAUGAUGUCGUCGAUACAGCAAAAUCUACUUGCUACUGUGAUUGACUCCACAACUUCAAAACAGCUCUGGGAGACUCUUACUAGUAUGUUUAUUUCUUAUCUUAAUCACAAGCUAGAAUUCAAACACUUAGAAUGCAGAUUCAAACUAUUAAGAAAGGUGCAAUGCAUAUGUCUGAUUACUUUGCAAAAGUAAAAUGUAUAGCUGAUACUUUAGCUCUAGCUGGAAAACCUGUUGAGUUAAGUGAUCUUGUGAUGCAUGUAUUAACUGGUCUUGAUUCAUCAGAUUAUGAAUCUUUAGUCACAGCUGUUUUAGCUCAAGGUGAGAAGAUAACAUUAGAUGAACUAUAUCCUUUGCUAUUGAAUCAUGAAAAUAGAGUUGAGCAAAAGAAAGGAAAAAUUGCUGGUGAUGUGAUGCACAAUAUGACAGCAAAUAUUGCUCAGAAGAACUCAUAUGCUGGAAAGAAUAAUGGCAAUUUUCAAAAAAAUUAUGGAAAUAAUUCUGGAGGUGGAAAUAAUUCUAGGUAUGGAGGUUUUAGUGGAUAUGGAUAGGGUCAGUUUAAUAAUGGUGGUAAUUCCUCUGAAAUUGUUUGUCAAAUCUGCUUCAUACCUGGUCAUGCAGCCAAUAGAUGCAAAAAUAGGUACAAUUCAUCUUUUGUUCCACAGAGAAACUAUGGCAGAGGUAAUAUGAAUGGUGGCAGAGGUUUUAAUCAAGGGCAAUAUGGUAGAGGAAGAGCUUUUAAUGGUAAUGGUGGCAGAGGUUUUGGAGGUUUUGGUUUAAAUGCUGGUUUUGGCUAUGCACCCAGGGGUUUUGGCUAUCAAGGAAAUAUAGUGUAUCCAGAUAGUAAUCCUUCUGCUUAUUACUCAUUCACCCCUGGACCAUCUACUUUUGUUUCUAGUCAAGGAAAUAAUAAUCCUGGACAGUCAAGUGCUUCAUCUUCCUCAGCUAUGCCUUCUUCACUUCCACCAGAACACAUUGAAGAUCCUUCAUGGUAUAUUGAUAGUGGGGCAACAAAUCACAUUACAAAUGAUCUAGGUAAACUUCUGGAUUCACAAGUUUAUACUAGUACUGAAAAAUUGUUUGUUGGAGAUGGAAAUGCAUUAGCUAUUACACAUGUAGGAUCAGUUGUGCUAAAUACUUCAACUUCUAAACCUUUAAGAACCAUGUUCUUCAUGUCCCUUUUAUUACUAAGAAUUUGCUUAGCAUUUCAAAAUUAUUGGCUAACAAUCCAGUUACUGUUGAAUUUCUUAGUGAUUUGUGUUUUAUAAAGGCUAGGAACACAGGGAAAAUUUUACUUGAAGGUGUUGCUAAAGGUGACUUGUAUAGAGUCUCUUCACAUGUUGCUGCUCAUUCAGUCUUUCUCAAUUCAGUUGGUCAAAAUAAAGUUCACUCUCUUUGCUUGUUCUCCUGUUUUCAAUUCUGAUCAGCUCACUGCUGUUAGUUCUUAUGAAUUGAAUAAAAAGUCAUGUCUGUCAAUUGUUACAAAGAGUUCUAUUGAUGUAAAUCUUCUUCAUAGAGAAAUUAGGACGCCCAGCAUCUUAUACUCUCAAAACUAUACUCAAAACUUGUAACAACUCUACUGCUUAUAAUAAAAUUGAAAGCUUGAAAUUUUGUUCAGCAUGUCAAUAUGGGAAAAAUCAUAUGCUGCAUUUUGAUUCAGUUGAAACAAAAACUUCAGCACCCUUAAAAGUGAUAUAUGCAGAUCUUUGGGGUCCUUCUCAUGUAUGUUCUACCCAAGGAUAUAAUUACUACUUAUCAAUCUUAGAUGAUUAUAGUAGAUUUACCUGGAUAUUUCCAUUGUCAGCCAAAUCUGAUGCUCUUGAAGUGUUUACCAAUUUCAAAAUUUUUAUUGAAAAGCAUCUUCAACUUCAAAUCAAAACUGUCCAAACUGACUGGGGAGGAGAGUUCAGAACAUUUUCCUCAUUACUCAAUGCUUCUGGUAUCCAUUUUAGACACCCUUGCCCACAUAUUCAUCAUCAAAAUGGAAGAAUUGAGAGGAAACAUAGACACAUAGUUGAUGUAGGUCUGACCUUAUUAGCUCAAGCACAUUUACCACUCAAAUUUUGGUGGAAUGCAUCCCACACAGCUGUCUAUUUGAUAAACAGACUUCCAACUCCAAUUCUAAACAACAUUUCUCCUUUCCAAAAGUUAUUUCAUCAUCAACCAGAUUAUUCAACACUUAAAACCUUCGGUUGUGUUUGUUAUCCAACACUCAGACCAUACAAUAGACAUAAGUUUGAUUUCAGAACUACAAGAUGUAUAUUCAUUGGCUACAAUUCACAACACAAGGGAUAUCAGUGUCUUCACUCUUCUAAGAGGGUUUACAUUUCAAAUCAUGUCACCUUUGAUGAAAAUUCUUUUCCUUGUGAGUCUGGAGCAGAUUUUCUUCACUCUCUUCAAGUUGUCAGUCAACAAAAAAUUAUAAGUCUUCUUUCAAUUCCUCUGUUCCUUCUGUUACUCAGUUACAAGCACCUUUAGCAGCAUCAUCAGAACACCAUCAAAAUGUUCAUCAUUCAGAUGCUCCUACUCCCUCACCAAAUUCUACUCCACUUUAUUUUUCUGAUAAUUCCAACUCAGCUUCUUCUUCUUCACCACCACAUAAUUCACCUCCACAUACAUUGCCACAACCUGCAUCAACUGGUCAUCCAAUGAUAACCAGGUCAAAAGCAGGUAUUUUCAAGCCAAAAAUUUAUUUGUCAGCUUUAUUAGCCUAGAAAUCAGAACCAACUUCUGUUUCCCAAGCACUUUCUAAUCCUAUGUGGUAUAAGGCUAUGCAAGAAGGGUAGCACUUAAAACUAAUCACACCUGGGAUUUAGUUUUACCUGCUACUCCAGUGAAGAUAGUUGGCAGCAAAUGGGUGUUUCGAAUAAAGUACAACUCAGAUGGUUCAAUUUCAAGAUAUAAAGUCAGGCUUGUUGCAAAGGGGUUUCAUCAAACACAUGGGAUUGACCAUACAGAAACUUUUAGUCCAGUGGUUAAAGCUUCAACUGUUAAGAGUUAUUCUUAGCUUAGCAGUAUUGAAUCAAUGGGUGAUUAGGCAAGUAGAUGUUAAUAAUGCCUUUCUAAAUGGCAUUUUAAUUGAAGAGGUGUACAAGGCUCAACCUGAAGGUUUUGUUGACUCAACUAAACCUAAUCAUAUCUGCAAGCUGAAUAAAGCUUUGUAUGGCUUAAAACAGGCACCUAGAGCCUGGUUUGAUAGAUUCAAGGAUGCAAUGAUCUCUAAACGGCAUUUCCAACAUUCAAGGUCUGAUAACUCUCUGUUUCAUGCCUGGAACAGUGGUCAUCUAACUCUUGUUUCGGUCUAAGUUGAUAUUAUCAUCACUAGUUCCAGUCCAACACUAAUUCAGCAAGUUAUUCAGAGUAUGAAUCAAGCCUUUGCUUUAAAAGACAUGGGGGAACUUAGCUAUUUUCUGGGGAUUGAAGUCAGCAAGUCUUCACAAGGGGUUUCCUUGACACAAGCAAAGUAUAUUACUGACAUUCUGGAUAAACAUGGCAUGACAGAUUGCAGUCCUGUGCCUACUCCAAUGUCUACUGGUUAUUAUCUCACAAAAGAAUCAGGAGAGCUAAUUGAUAAUGUUUCUCAAUAUAGGAGUGUUAUAGGAGUUCUUCAAUAUGUUACUCUUACCAGACCUGACAUUGCUUUCUCUGUAAACAAGCUAAGUCAAUUCCUUUCAAGUCCUAGAACACAACAUUGGGAAGCAUGCAAAAGGUUAUUGAGGUACUUAAAAGGCACUAUAUAUCUUGGGCUGCAAUUUAAUAACAAAGGAGCUUUGCAACUACAUUGUUUUUCAGAUUCUGACUGGGCUUGUGAUCGUGAUGAUAAGAAGUCAGUGGCUGGCUUUGCUGUUUACCUAGGCCCUAAUCUAGUCUCAUGGUCAUCAAAGAAACAAGCUGUUGUUUCUAGGUCCAGCACAGAGGCUGAGUAUAGAUCUCUUGCUCAUGCUGCUUCAGAGGUUCCCUGGAUAUAAUCUUUACUUGGUGAACUUAACAUCAAAUUGAGCUCUACUCCUAUGAUGUGGUGUGAUAAUCAAGAAGCAAUUGCUUUAGCUUACAAUCCAGUCUAUCAUGCUAAAACUAAGCAUGUCGAAUUGGAUAUACAUUUUAUCCGAGAUAAAGUUACUGCUAUAGAGAUUGAAAUAUGUUUUGUGCCCAGUCAAGAUCAAACAGCAGAUGUGUUGACUAAGGCUUACUUUCAAACAGUUUAGUUACUUAAGAAGGAAGCUGAAUGUUCAUCCUAAACAUUUUAGCUUGAGGGGGGAUGUUAGUGAAUUGAAUGACGUUGGAGCAGAGCAUGAUGUUGUUGUGUAGCUGACUGUAGCAGAUCAACUCACUAGGCUAACCUGGCAAAGUUAGUUAGCUGGUUGAGCUGAUGUGUCAAAUUAGUUAUGCAGCACUUGUGUGUGUGUUGAGCAAAUUGUAGCUUAAUAUAAAUAUCAGUCUGUAUUCAUUCAGUUGUAAUGCUAGAGUAAUAAAGGUUCUACAAACUUCUUUACAGCGCUUUCUUUUAUUUUCUUUCAUUUUCUAGCUUGCCAAACAAUACAAAACUAAGUUUCUUUCAGAAAAGGAAAAAUAAAAAGAAAAGAAUAGUUACUUGUGCAGUACAGCCUUGACGCCUAGCUACAUGGUCCAUUCUCUUUGUGUCUUUGAACCAAUCAACAGCAACAAGAUCCAUUAAAUGUUUUCCCGCAGGUAUCUGCAGUUACAAAUUGCACAAAGCACAAGAGCCAACCAAACUACAUCAUAACCUGUCGACCUAGCAUAUGCAGGAUAUAUAAAUACCAUAACAAACAACCAAAAUAUGGGGGAACCUUUGUUUUGUCAUAACAAAAAUGCUUGCUACGAACUCUAAAGUUAUUUCCACCAGAAAGUUUCCAGCAGUCACGAGCAUUAUCACAGUCAUCGUGUCGCAGGUUGCCUGAAAAAUAAGACAAAUCAAUUUGAUCAGCCUGCUCUUCCUCUAGGGUAGCAACUAAUUGAAAAUUAUAAACCAAAAAAAAAAAAAAAAUCAAUACCAUAAAAAUCCACUAAUGAGGACAUUAGCCAAAUAUACAAAAAUGAAUACUUAUCAUCCACCUGUCCUCUUGAAAUCAUUCUCAAUCUUUUUUUCAUUUGUCUGAAAUCCCAAGGAAAAAUAUGUAACUAAUACUUCCCAUUCAUGACUAUUGUCUGUCAUAUAAACAUGACAUUUAAUUGAAAUAGUAAAAUUAUUUAAUUAUUUUAAUUAACUGUUAAUCCUAUAAAUUAUUUUUGUUAAAUCUAGCAAGAAUAACUAACAUUUCUUUAAGAUAUAUUUUGGCGGUAAAUUAAAAAAAAAUUAAUUAUUUGGCGGGAAUUAUUGAAAUUGGAGCCAUUUUUUUGUGGGAAUUGAAAUAUAUUCUUUAAAUUAUUAUAUAAAAAGCAAAAUGUACAUACACACACAUAUAUAUAAUUUAUAUAUAAAAAUUCUCUAAUUUGUUCACAAGUAUCAUAGAUUAUAAUUCAGUUAUGAAAUAAAAUAACUACAAUAAUUAUAGUUAAGUGAAUACUUCAUUAAUUCUUAAUUUGCUUCCUAACAUUAAAUGAACUUGAGUCAGCCACCUGAAUCAACCAGUAACAACGCCUGAGUCAACCAUCUGAAAAAACCAGCAACCCUAGCUGAUUCAAGCACCUGCAAUUAACAUCAACACAACAGGAACAAUCGUAAAUCAGCACCAAGAACAGACCAAACCGCCAUCAAAUGCCACAAAACCAAACAGUCUGCUACUGCCAUCAAAUGCAAGCAAGCAUAUGCAACAAAACCAGAUGCAAGUGAAAUUCUGGAGAAUAUCGGAUAAACCAAACCAAAUGCCACACUUCUAGUAAUUAGACUAGAUGCAGUGUUCAAUUAAACUAAAUGUAGUCUCAUAUUACAUUCAAAUUUUCUAAAAAAACCAGUGUUCCAUCAGAGAAGCACCAAAACCAAACCAAUCUAAUCCAGCAUAAUUACCAGCUCAACCCAAAACAAUUACACAUUAUAUUGACAUAUCAAAAUUCGCUAUCAAAACAUAGCCAAAUAAAUGACAAUAAACUGAAAACAGACCCGAACCAACUGAUGUUGCAGCCCUAGUAGUCAUUGUCCGUUCCACUGCCAUAGGAGCGAGGGUAGGCUCCGUUGUUGAUGAGUGAGUAAGAUAAGGCUCCAAAUCAAUAGUUCCACCUCCUUUCUGCAAUUCAAAAAACAGAAAUUCAUAUAUGUAAAACUAUUAAAAAGUGUGAAACAACCUGUAAGUAUUCAACUUCUGUCAACUCAAUAGCACUUACUAAAGUUUUUAUACAGAAGAAAAAGGCAUUUUAAGUCCAAAAAAUUAGAAUUAUUGGUUGAACUCCAACUCCAUCAAUCCAUGCAACCAUCGAACCUUUAACGAAAAAAUGAAGCAUAAUUAACAAGACAUCUGAAUCAGAAAGAUUGUGCUUUGAUUUGGCACGAGGUGUUGGAAACAACUUAACAAAUCUAGACACAAUCUAUAACCAUCAAGUCCAAACAAAAGUCAGGAUCUAAAAUACUUUGAAAAAUCAGAAAAACCGCAAACUAUCAGUUUCAAUUUCUUUUUCACCCAUUGUAAGCUCAAACUGAAGGUAGCGGCGCUACCUUUAAACAUCAUUUGGGCUUAUACAUGUGACAUUUGCUCAUGAACAACUAAAGUUGAAUAAGAUUUUUAUAUGAAACGGAAUAUAAAAAGUCAAAGUAGAAUAUGACAGGAGCUACAAUAUAUUAUUCAGCAUUAGCAUUAUGUAUAAAAUAAAUUUAGAGGCAUCAUAUUCAUUCACAAUCUUGCAGAGGUAAUACCAGAUUAUGGCACGCAACUCUUGAAUAGCAGAUAAAGGAGGAGAUGCAGUAGGAAGGUAGUAACUUGCUUGCAUGAGAACUAAAAAGUAAUCUCCCAAGAUCAAUUAUAGAUCUCAUAAAACAAAAACAGUGAGGCAAACACAAUUAUUGUGAACAAUUAUUCAUAGAACCACAUACCAGCAACAAGAUCAAAGUCAUCUGUGUAUAAAUCGAUUCCCCACAGCUGACUGCCUCUGACCUAAACAUAAUGAAAUUACAUAAAUAAGAAGUAGAGUCAUAAAAUAUGCUGCUGUAACAGCUAUCAAUAAAUUUCCAGACAAAUGGAAUUUGAUAUGUAAGGCUAUAACUAGCAACACUUCAAAAUAAUUUGAAGUAGCAUGAUCUUACUUUAAGGAUCAAUACUACAAUCUUUCAGAAAAAUUAAAGUCUAACCAAAAUUAAAACCUUAAACAUACUAAAAUCUGGUAAAUAGACCUAUAGGAAUUCCAAUGACCUCCAAAAUAUUUGAAAAAAAAAUUAAUUUACAGCAAAAAAUGUUAAAGAUUUGUAAAAUGGAGGCCCACACUACUAUUCAAAUUACAAAAGAGGAAAGGGAGCUGGCCAUUAAAUGAUAAAGGCAUGCAUAAAGAAAUACGAGCACCACAUUAAGUGAUAAAGGCAUGCAUCGAGAAAUACAAAAAAUAUGCCCAUAAAGACGUCCACUCAAGCCUUAUAAGCGGCUUUAUGCAAAGGAAAGCCAAUUAGUUAACAGUAAAUGAAUUUCAAGGUGCAAUAAUUAAACUCCCUGAUCAGCACAUUUAAGGUUCAUGCAUUUCUACAAAACAUGUAAAUCAUAAGAACUUUUUUGGUCCAAAUGCUAACCAGUAAUUAAGUAGAUUAUCAAAGUUGUCACAGAACAAGCACCACAUUGAUUGCUAUGCAAAAGAUGAAAGUAAAAGUUAAUACUUUAUUUUAUUUUACUUUUCGAGAGUUUUGAUCAUCAUGUGCAAAAUAGUAGUAUAACUUGCUCAGUGUUAUCUCAAAAAGCUUGCUUAAAAUACCUAUUAGCACCAGUCCAAGUUGUCAAAUAAAUCCUUAUCUAUCCAUUCAUCUCUGACCUUGCCAAAAAGAUUUAAACGAGCAUCUAUAUUCUCACUCCAAUCUUUCACAAUCAUAGGCUUUAACUUAGACCAGUUCUUCAAUAUCCCUUCCACUGUGAGCCCCUCGAAAACCUUGUAAAUUGAAUCACAUUUAUCAUCAGUUCCAAAUCCAUCUGUCAAAAGGCUAAGCAAAUGAAUAUACAAUCAACACCAUUCUUCCAAACGAAUAUACAGUCAACACCAUUCUUCUAAACACAAACAAAGUUUGAACGUAUGACAGAUUUUUAGCCAUUUAAUAUUCCAUCAAAUAUAAUUAGAUCACACCUACCAAGGAUUUUUGAAAAGAAUGCAUUCUCAUCUUAAGCAGCAACCUCACCAGUAACACAUUUUCAUACCCUGUUUCCACCUCUGGUCGCACCACCAAAAAAAAUUCAGUACUAAUUAGCUUCAACAGAGUCUAUUUUUUAUUUCUUUUUUUUCCGAAAUAAACCUCCAUUCUUAUACAUAAAAUUAAAAUAUCAAUUAAAUAAACAAGGUCUAUGCUUACUAGUAAAACACGUCCAUUUUCAGGUAGAGGCAGAUAAUAAAAGAAAAUUAAAAUUGAGAUAAAAUAAGAAGAGCUUACUAUGUGCAUUUGAUCAACAAUCCAAUCCUCAACGAUGGAAUCGAUGCCAUCAAAUAAACAUGACUUAAUCUUGAAACCAUAAACUGCACUAAGCAUAGCACCAAAGCCAGAGCGUGACUAUAAAGAAGAAAAAUAAAAAGAAGGAAAAGAAGAAUUAAAUCAACAUGAAAUUGAACUUUUGUUUUAUCUUCCACAAGCAAGAAAUUCAACUGGAACAAUACAAAAUAUGAAAUUUUUAGCAAUCUUACUAGCAUUAUGCACAAAUCUCAAUUCACGACAAAUAGGGGAAUGAAUCACUAACAUCACUCAAUUCAUAUAUUCAAAUAAUGUAUCCCCACUCCUAACAAGCAACGUGCUACCACAGUCGAUUAGUUGUUAGGGUUAAGGCUUACCAUAGAGAACUGGAUGGCGCUAACUAAAUGACAAGUUGAAACGGCAUCUGCAAUCGUAUUGAAUGACAUUGAACCGCGAGGUAGGGUUUAAAUGAAUACCGGGCAGAGAUAAAUUGGUGUGGUGAAUUAGGGUUUUGUGGCUACGUUUUAUUUCGAUUGAAAAAAGGAAUUUGAGCCAGGCUUUAAUAUGUAAAUUUUCGCUUAGUUGAAACAGAGGAAAGCUUUUGGGUUAUUAAAGUGAAAGAUAUGGAAUAAUACAAAAAAUUAUUGAAGUGAAAGAGCAGGAAUACAAAAAAUCAGCAGAUGAGAUCGUUGAAGAUGCGGAGGUUUGUAUAUAAAUAUUAAAUUGAUCGUUGAAAGAUGUAUAAACCUCCAUAAAAUUGAGUUACGACUUGAAGGAUUGUAUAUAAACAUUAAAUUGGUCUAAUUUAACUUGUAUGUAAACAUUAAAUUCUAUAUAAAUACACAGAACAGAACCAUAUCAGUGUUGGAAAAAAAAAAUCCAGAGUUACAUAAAUUCAAUAAAAAAUUAUUGAAUUUUUUAUUACUAACUUUGAACACUCUAAUUUCAAUAAAAAAAUUAUAUUACUAAAAUAGUCUUAAUUGAAUUUACUAUUAAAGACAUUAGAAUAACUCAAUACUAAUAUUCUCAAAUAUAUUUCUCUCCAUAGUCUAAUCUAAUUCAUUCUAAGAAUCCUAUAGAAAAUCUAUUAUUUACUUUUUCCUUAUUAAACAGAAAAACAUGUCAUUUGUUGCUAACUAACAUUUUAGAACUAACAACAGCAGAUUAAAUAAAAUUAUCAGAAAAAGAAAUCAAACAGGAUUUUGAUCGUCGUCAUCUUCACUCUUGCCUUUUUCUUUUUCUUCACACAUGUGGCUUGCGCACACAUCCCCUCUCUCAUCCUUAGGGCCGCCCUUCAACAAUAUCCAAUCAUCGAUUAUAAUUAUUUAGAUUGACCAAAUCAAGCUUUGAUAAGAUAUUGGUUGAGAUUAGAAGUAGGCAGCCAGCAACGACAAUACUAAUUAAUAUCUCAUGAGAAUUUUAAAGAAGAAUCUAACGUUGCCCAAUUCGUUUGAUUUCAAUGAAGUCUUUCUCCUACCUAUACUUUCGCAUAUUCUCUUUUAUUUCCAAAGUUAAGGUUAUGGAUGUUGUAGAGUUAAAAGCUGAACAUUGCUAGGAAAGCAAUAAAAGGAAAUAAAUAAAAAUUAAAAAUAUAAAAAGAGUUAAGUCUUUUUUUUUUGUCUAUUAGUGUUUUUGUAUUUAAUAACGAAAGAAAAAAAUAAAGUAAAUAUUAUCUGUUAGAUUAUUAAAAUAACACUUGUCCAAAUCUCAAUAUCAUGAUAUUAGGGAAAUUUUUAAUUAAUAGAUCUUCAUUUUUAAUUAGUAGAUAUUGUUUAAUGUAUAAUAUCAUGAUAUUAGGGAAAUUUUUAAUGAAUAGAUCUUCAUUUUAGGCUAAAGCACCCAUACAGUAGUCCCCCCUACGUACUGCGAGCUUACUACAAAAGAUAAGACUAUUUAGUUGUGGGACAAAUAAAGAGGGAAAGUUAAAUAAUAUAAUUCAUUUGUUAUUAUGAACUAACCAACUCAAAACAAAAAGGAUUGAUAAUACAGUUCAAAAUGCAUGCAACAAUGGUGUAUUUAAAAUGGAACUAAUGCACAAAUAAAAUUUAUGCAUCUCUUUGAGGAAGGCUUUUAGGGCAACAAAUGAAAAUAGUGAGCUCGCAUUUUCUGUUAUCAUUCUCACCACUUGAAAAAGAGAGAAAAAAAACUGAGAGGAAAAACAGGGCUCCCUUGUUUUCAUUCCCUAUUUUUUCAGUUUGGGAAUUGCAAAUAACUUCUUUACUUCUCUCUUAUUUUAUUUUUAAAAUUUGUUUUAACUCAUUAAUUCUUUUUCUUGUUCUUGUUAAAGCGUUUAGUAAAUCAUAUGAUCAUCUGAUCAAAUCCCUAACGUUAACAUACCCAUAAUCUAUUAAUAAAAUUUAUUUGAUUUUAUAAUCAUUAAAUUGAAGAUUUGUUCAUGCAAUUUUGUAUGGUGACCAGCUUUCAUUUUUUUCUGUUAAACAUAAGAACAAUUUGUGCAUAACGUCCAGGUUGGAACUCGUAAUAACGAGGCAUCAUUUGUGGACAGAACAAAUGAAAUAACAAAAAAGCAUAAAUCAAGUCAUUAUUGAUCCUACUUUGAUGUUUAGUUUCUUUCUAAGAUGUCAUUCCUCAUUCAAGCUUUUGCUUUCUCUUUUAUCAGGCAUCUCACAAAGCUUUCUCUCUACUAAUAUGCUCUGCAUAUCAUUAGAACAUAUGAAAGCUUUUGCUUUCAAGCGCAAAAGGUAUUUAUUCGUUGAAAACUUUUAACUUGAUUAUUUCAUUAGAACAUAUGAAAUUAGUGCUUUCUUCAAGUUAAUUGAGUUGAACAACAUUUUUUAAAGUAUUUUACCCGAUCCAUUUCUUGUAUCUCACUGCAUGCCUUGUUAAAGAUUCGGCUUUUGGUCUUGAUUCUGAACUUCAAAAAUUAAAUCUUAAAACUCGGGUAUAAAAGGGGUGCAUGAUUAAGUCUUCUUCUUUUGCAAUUCAUUGUUAUUACACACAUCAACAUUUUACUAGGACAUUCGUCUGCAGUUAACAGUGAUCUUUUACUCAUUAAAAUUUUUCCUAAUAAUUUCUUUGAAUACCCGUUCUUACUUAAUAUUCAAUGCGAAUGGAGAAGCUCACCAAUUCUCUGAUCCCAGACAAUUAAAGAGGUACACAUGUUCUAAAUCAUCUAAUAAUAUCUUUUACUAGCAGUUCUUAAUUUCCAAGAAAAAAAUUUCUCUUGUUUGUUUUCAUCUUGUCAUUUAUUUUGCUUGAGUUUUAAGUUAUUGUUCAUUUGUAAUGUCUGUGUUCUUAUUAUUAGCUUUGGAUAAUUUGCAUCCAUUUUUCCCAAAAAAAAAAAAACAAUUAGAGAAAUUGUGGGCUUUUAUUCAGACCCCUGAAACCUUUCUGUUAAUAUAAAAACUCUAAUCCUUGAGCAAAAGGUGGUUAAAAAAAUAAAAGAAAAGAAUUCUCUGUUUAAAUAUCAGUUGGCUUAAGAUCAAUGUUGCUUGCCUCCUGUCUUUUCUUUGUUUUGUUUGUUUGUUUGUCAUUUUAUUAGAUUUGCUUUGUAUCUAAUUUUACUUGGAGAUUAAAGAUGAGUGAGAACUGCCCUUUCUUCUGAAGCAACCUACAAAUUUUAGAAUAGGGCCCAGAGUAUUAAAGAUUCAAUUAACCGCAAAAAGUUAUUUACUUGCAUCACUUGAAAAUUGAGCUGUUUACAUUAGAAAUUUUCAUGCAUUCACGAGCAAUAUCAUCAUGUCACAAGAUAGCCUGAAAAGCAAGUUUCCUCUGUUUUCGUUCCUUUGUUUUCAUUCCCCUGUUUAUUGAAUUUUUUUUUUUUGGCCGGAAAUUAAGAAGAAAAAAUUGGUAAAACAAGUUGCCUCUGUUUUCAUUCCCCUGUUUUUUGUGGAAAGAAUAAACCAAACUUUAAUUUUUUAUUUUAUUUUAUAUUUUGGUUUUUGAAUAUGCAUAAAUCAAAUCAUAUAUUAUUGAUCUUACUUCGGUUAUUUGCUGUUUAGUUUCUCUCUUAAAUGCUUUUUGUGUGUUUCCGGUAUUUGCUUUUAUAAAAGUUUUAGUCCCGAAUCAUUCGUUCAAGGAUUUGCUUUAUGUUUUAUUAGGCAUAUACAUUGCUCUGUCAAUCAAUAUUCAUUUCAAUUUCACAGUACACAAGCAAUGUAUAUACCAAAAUUACUCAAAACACAACAGGUAUUAUUCUAUGAAAACUUAAUUAUUUCUUUAGAAUAUAUGAAAACGUAGAGUUGUGAACUGGUGCUUUCUUCUUCAACAUGCGUCAACAGGGCAACAAUAACCAAAUACAUGAUAUAGAAAAGCGGUGCAUGACUAAUUCUUUUUCUUUUGCAGGUCUUUGUUAUUGCUCUCAUCAACUCUUUUCUCACACAUUCCUCAGCAGUUACCAGUGAUCUUUUUCCUCUUUCAACUUGUUCUUAAAUAUUGAAGGCCAAAUAGAGAAGCUCACCAACUCUCUAAUCCCAGAUAAUUAAAGAGGUGCACGAUUUCUAAAUCAUUGAAUUUUUUUUUUUUUUUGAUAGUAGAAUCCCUGAUCCUUGAUCUUGACAUCUGCUCUUUCUUAAGUUCCAUCUACUUUCCAAGAAAAAAUUUCCUCUGGUUUGUUUUAAUAUUGUAACUUAUUUUGCAUGAGUUUUAAGUUAGUAUUCAUUGUUAAAGCCUGUGCUCUUAUUAUUUCUUUUGGUUAAUUUGCAUGCUCUCCCCCCCCCCCCCCCAAAAAAAAAAGGUUAGAAAAAGAUUAUAGGCUUUUACUCAGACCCUUGAAACCUUUACUGAUAAUACCAAAAACUCUAAUCCUUCAACAAAAGAAAGCAAGAAAAAAAGGUCCUAAGUUUAUUGUCUUUUAUUGGCUUUGUACCAAAAACUCUGAUCUGUUGGCUUUGUAUCAGUAUUGCUUGUUUGUUGUCUUUUAUUUCAUUAUUUGUAUCUAAGUUUAUUUGAAGAAUACAGAUCAGCAGGAAAAGCCCUUUUUCUAAAGCUAACUAUACAGAUUUUAGAAUAGGGCUCAACCACAUGAAAAUAUUUACGUUGUAAUAUCUCAUAUUAAUAAUCUAAAAACAACCAAUCCAACAAGUUCAAAUUCAGUCAAAUCUUAAAAAAAAUUGCUUUUAAGGAGUACAUGAUAGCUAUUAAACUUUGGUUAAAGAUCUUUUGGGCAAACGUGAAAUUAAGUCAAUCAUAAAUCAACCAAUCCAACGAGUUCAAAUUCAUCACUUGCAAAAUUAAGUUUUCUUCCGAAAUUGAGUUGUUUCCAGUAGAAAUUUUCCCGCAGUCACGAGCACCAUCAUCAAAACAAGAUUAUUAAUAUAAGAACAAGAGUUGAGGAAAAAAAAAUAGUUAAAACAAGAUUCCUCUGUUUUCAUUCCCCUGUUUUUUUUCGUUUGGUGAUUGAAAAAUUUUAUCUCUAAACUUUUAUAAUUUUCCAUUAAGGUUUAUAUUUAAAUAAAGAGUUAAAAAAAUCUAAUUCUAAAUUUAUGGAUUGAAUGAUUAUUAUUAUAUUCUCUUAGAAUUGGUUACAAUAUCAAUUAAAUAACGAAUAGAGUUAUUGAUCACUUUGUUAAAAAUGAACAUGUGUUCUGUUUAUAUGAACACGGGCUGCACGCUUUAAGUCUUGUUCUUUUACAAUUCAAUUGUAUUGCUUACUCCCAUAAACUCUUUACUCACAUUCUUCUGCAGUUAACAGUGAUCUUUUGCUCAUUAAAAGUUUUCUUAUAAAUCGAAGGCCAAGAGUGAAGCUCAUAAACUCUGUGAUCCUAGAUAAUUGAAGAGGUGCGUUUGUUCUAAAUACUUUAAUAAUUUCUUUCAAUAGAAUAAUUUCUAAUCUUUGAUCUUGAUAGCAGUUGUUUCUUAAUGUCCAACAAAAACUAUCUCUUGUUUGUCUUAAUCUUGUCAUUUAAUUUUCUUGAGUUUUAAGUUACUGUUUAUUGUUAACUUCUGUGUUCUUUUGCAGUAUUAUUAAUGGUUAAUUUGCAUCCAUCUUCCAAAAAAGUUUUCUUUCCUCAAAAAAUUGUUGGUUUUCCAUUCAGGCCCCUGAAACCUUUUUCUAAAAAGUUGUUUGUUGUCGUUUCUUUCUUUUUCUUCCCCGGUAGUUCAUUUAAUUUAUUUGAAUCCAUUUUUUUUUCAACAGCCAAAAACUAGAUAUAUAUUGUUAAGCAACCGGCAAUGGCUAUAGAAGCGUGUCUGGCUUUUUUAACCAACUGCGUAUCAGAAGGUGCAAAGUCACUGUUCAACCCGAUUACACGGCAGAUAUCUUAUGUGUUCAAGUACCAGAGCUAGGCUACAAGGGGAUGAGCUUUAUGAGGGUGUCACAGACUGGCUACAUAGCAUUGAUGAAUUCAUCAGUGAAGGAGUUGCAAAAUCCAUCAUUGAUGAUGAAGAAAGAGCUAAGAAGUUCUGCUUCAAAGGAUUGUGCCCAAAUUUGAUGUCCCGUUACAAGCUUAGUAAACAAGCAGCAAAGGCCGCAGAAGCUGCCGCUGGUCUCGUGGGAAAAGGCAACUUCUCUAAUGUUUCCUACCGUCCUACUCCAAAGAGCACAGGACUUAAUGACGGGAAAGAUAACGAGGCCUUUGAUUCAAGAAUGAAAGUAUUUCAGGAUGUUAUGGAGGCGUUGAAGGAUGAUAAGCUCAACAUAAUUGGGGUCUACGGCAUGGGCGGCGUGGGUAAAACCACGCUAGUCAAGCAAGUUGCUAAGAAAGUGAAGGAAGAUAAGUUGAUCGAUAAGGUCAUUAUGGCUGAGGUAACACAGAACCCAGAUCCCCAGAAAAUUCAAGACAAGCUCGCUUCUGAUUUAGGCAUGAAAUUUGACUUGAAUGAUAGUAUACACCAUAGAGCUUCUCGACUGCGUGAAAGGUUGAAGCAAGAGAAGCGGGUCCUCAUUAUAUUGGACAAUAUUUGGACAAAACUUGAGUUAGAUGCGGUUGGAAUUCCUUCUGGAGAUGUUGAUGAGAAAGAUAGAGAGGAUGUCAAGAUUGGGUGUCUUGAUAUUCAAAGUUUGAAUAUCAAAAUCAAACUUCUAGAUAUUCAAACUUUGAAUAUCAAAUUCAAAAUUCUAGAUAUUCAAAGUUUGAAUAUCAAACUUUGAAUUUUGAAAUUUUGAACAAUAAUAAAUAAUUAAAAAAAUACGUGAAUAGUAGCCAAGAUUUUGGCUAUAAAUAGAGGGACUCAUUCCCUCAUUUGUUCAUCCAAUUUUGAGAAGAGUUUUCUUGUAUUUAGAGAGAGUUUAGAGAGCUUGAAAUUAUAAGCUUUUGUUUUAGUGUUUUGAGAGUUUGGGUGUAUUGGGAUUUUGGGAAGUGAGCUAAAAUACUACAAUACUUGUAACUCCUUUUCACUAGUAAAAUAUUUCCUUCUGUCUUCGCCCGUGGACGUAGGCUAAAAGUCGAACCACGUAAUUUCUAGUGUCCUCUUUUGUGCUUGUUCUUUAUUUUCUUCCAAUUUUACUUUAGCUGCGUGUCUGCUUCACCCACCAAUUUCCUAACAGUGGUAUCAGAGCUAUUGGUUGUAUUUUUGGAGUCGGGUACUGUUCACGUAAGGGGUACUAUUCACGUAUACGGUACUAUUCAUAAGAAACGGUGGGAGCGAUCCAAGAAUUUUGUGGUGUAAAGCAGGGAAUAGUGGUGUGAGUAAAACAACUGUGUGGUUUUGUACAUGUCUAGGAAAGUUUUGUCACAAAGGCGAUAAGAGCUUAAGGAGUCUGGGUUUUAAGUAGGACCAUUGUGACCCCUCCAGUCUUUCUUGGGAACUUUCCUGGUGUACAUUCUCACACAUACUCACAACUAUUCAAGGAGGUACACUAGCUUGUGUGCGGUAUUUAUCAACAAAAUGGCGGCAAAGUAUGAAAUUGAGAAGUUUAACGGAAAUAAUUUUUCGUUGUGGAAAAUGAAGAUGAAAGCUGUAUUGAGGAAAAAUAAUUGCUUGGCAGCAAUUGGAGAAAGGCCCACGGAGAUAACUGAUGACAAGUGGAACGAGGUAGACGGCAACACCAUUUCUGAUCUACACUUGGCACUUGCAGACAGAGUAUUAUCCAGUGUGGCAGAGAAAAACACAGCGAAGGAAAUAUGAGAUACUCUCACAAAAUUGUACGAGGCCAAGUCACUACACAACAAAAUCUUCUUGAAGAGAAAACUCUAUACUCUUCGAAUGGCGGAAUCUACAAUGGUGACCGACCACAUCAACACCUUGAAGACUCUAUUUUCACAAUUCACAACGUUGAGUCAUAAUAUAGAGGAAAAUGAACGUGCAGAGCUUCUACUUCAAAGUCUACCAGAUUCAUAUGAUCAACUCAUCAUCAACCUGACAAACAACAAUCCAGCGGACAGUCUAGUUUUCGACGAUGUUGCAGCCUCCGUAUUAAAUGAGGAGAGCAGGCAGAAAAAUAAGGAAAACAGACAAGCAAGUUCGCAGCAAGUGGAGGCACUAUCAGUGACGAGAGGGAGAUCAACGGAACUUGGCCCCAGUGGGAGUCAAAAUCAGGGUAGAUCAAAAUCCAGAAGUAAAAUGUUAAAUGCUACAAAUGUGGCAAUUAAGGGCACGUCAAGAAAGAAUGUUGGAGUAACUAGAAGAGAAAAGAGGGCAAAGAACCUGAGUCAUCAAAUGCUCAAGGUUGUGUAGCAAGUACCUCGGAUGAUGGCGAAAUUCUUUACAGCGAGGCAACAACUGUUUCAGAAGGCAGAAAACGACUUUCUGAUGUCUGGCUUAUAGACUCAGGAGCUACCUGGCACAUGACCUCUGGGAGAGAAUGGUUCCACACAUAUGAACCUAUCUCAGGAGGAUCUGUAUAUAUGGGAGAUGAUCAUGCCUUGGAGAUCGCCGGUAUUGGUGCUAUCAAAAUAAAAAUGUUUGAUGGUACAAUUCGCACAAUUGGAGAGGUACGACAUGUCAACGGCCUGAAGAAAAAUCUAUUGUCUUUGGGACAAAUGGAUAGUCAUGGGUACAAAACUCAUGUGGAGAAUGGAAUAAUGAAGAUCGUUAAAGGCGCGCUUGUAUUGAUGAAGGCAGAAAAGAUCGGUGCUAAUUUAUUCAUGCUUAAAGGAGAAACACUACAGGAGGCUAAUGCGUGUGUCGUGUCAAAUGGAGAAGAAUCAACGAUGAUGUGGCAUCUCAAACUUGGCCACAUGUCAGAACAAGGCUUGAAGAUUCUCUCUGAGUGAAAAUUGCUUCCGGGGCUCAAAUCGGUAAGUUUACCAUUUUGCGAGCAUUGUGUUACAAGUAAGCAGCAUAGAUUAAAAUUCAGUAGAUCUAUUGCUAGAAGUAAAUGCAUUUUAGACUUGAUCCAUUCUGAUGUUUGGGAAUCACCGAAUAUAUCCAUGGGAGGUGCAAAGUACAUGGUGACUUUCAUUGAUGAUUAUUCCAGAAGAUGUUGGGUGUAUCCAAUUAAGAAAAAGUCAGAUGUAUUUCCUGUGUUUAAAGAAUACAAAGCGCGGGUGGAACUUGAAUCUGGUAAAAAGAUCAAGUGCUUGAGGACAGAUAAUGGUGGAGAGUAUACAGACGGUGAGUUUCUUGCUUUCUGUAAGCAAGAGGGUAUUCAGAGGCAAUUCACGGUGGCAUACACUCCUCAACAAAACGGAGUGGCAGAGCGGAUGAACAGAACUCUUACAGAAAGAAUAAGAGCUAUGUUGAGGACUGCUGGUCUACCCAAUUCAUUCUGGGCAGAAGCAGCCAAAACUGCCUGUUAUAUAGUAAAUCGGUCGCCAUCUACAACUAUUGGGUUGAAGACGGCGAUGGAGAUGUGGACUGGAAAGCCAGCUGAUUAUUCCUACCUACAUGCAUUUGGAUGUCCUGUGUACGUGAUGUACAAUGCCCAAGAAAGAACAAAGCUGGAUGCAAAAUCUAGAAGAUGUAUCUUCUUGAGGUAUGCUGAUGGAGUAAAGGGGUAUCGUUUGUGGGACACCACUGCCCACAAGAUCGUCAUCAGCAGAGAUGUUAUUUUUGUAGAAGAUCAACUGCAAAGAAAAGAUGGAGAUGAUGACACUGUAAAAGAAAAGUCAGAGACUGUGCCGGUAUAUGUCGAAAAUAAUCCAGAAGAUUCAGAUUCUUUUGAAGCAGCACUAGAGCACGAAGAACAAGAACCAGUCGAGUCUGAGGCUCCAGAAGUUCGUCGGUCAACUCGUGAGAGACGACCGCCGGUGUGGCACUCGGAGUAUGUCACAGAGAUCAACGUUGCAUACUAUCUUCUAACAGAGGAUGGAGAGCCUUCAACUUUCCAUGAAUCUUUAAACAGCUCAGAUGUUGCUUUGUGGAUGACAGCAAUGCAGGAAGAAAUUGAAGCUCUAUACAAGAACAAGACAUGGGAACUUGUACCACUACCACACGGAAGAAAAGCCAUUGGAAACAAAUGGGUCUACAAGAUCAAACGUGAUGGCAAUGAUCAAGUGGAGCGGUAUCGUGCGAGAUUGGUGGUGAAAGGAUAUGCUCAGAAAGAAGGUAUUGACUUCAACGAGAUAUUUUCUCCGGUGGUUCGACUCACAACAGUCAGAGUAGUCUUGGCGAUGUGUGCUACAUUUGACUUACAUCUUGAGCAGUUGGAUGUGAAAACUGCAUUUCUUCAUAGAGAACUUGAAGAAGAAAUAUAUAUGCUCCAACCAGAAGGUUUUGUAGAAAUAGGAAAUGAGAACUUGGUUUGCAGGUUGAACAAAUCUCUAUACGGUCUCAAACAGGCGCCGAGGUGUUGGUAUAAGAGAUUUGAUUCCUUCAUCAUGAGCCUUGGAUACAACAGACUCAGUUCAGACCAUUGUACAUAUUAUAAAAGGUUUGAAGAUAAUGAUUUCAUCAUUUUGUUGUUGUAUGUGGAUGACAUGUUGAUAGCAGGUCCCAACAAAGAUCGAAUCCAAGAAUUGAAGGCACAGUUGGCUAGGGAGUUUGAAAUGAAGGACUUAGGACCAGCAAACAAGAUUCUAGGGAUGCAAAUUCACCGAGACAGAAAUAACAAGAAGAUUUGGCUUUCACAGAAGAACUACUUGAACAAAAUCUUGCGGCGCUUCAACAUGCAAGAUUGUAAGUCAAUUUCUACCCCACUUCCUGUUAAUUUCAAAUUAUCCUCAAGUAUGUGUCCUAGCAAUGAAGCAGAGAGGAAGGAGAUGUCUCGAGUACCGUAUGCAUCAGCAGUGGGAAGUUUAAUGUUCGCUAUGAUAUGUACAAGACCGGACAUUGCACAAGCAGUGGGAGCAGUCAGUCGAUACAUGGCGAAUCCUGGUGGAGAGCAUUGGAUAGCUGUGAAGAGGAUUCUGAGAUACAUCAGAGGAACCUCAGAUGUUGCAUUAUGUUAUGGAGGAUCAGAGUUUAUUGUCAGGGGCUAUGUGGAUUCAGAUUUUGCAGGUGAUCUUGAUAAAAGAAAAUCCACUACUGGUUAUGUGUUUACACUUGCGGGAGCAGCUGUAAGUUGGGUUUCGAAGCUGCAGACUGUUGUGGCUUUAUCUACAACAGAAGCAGAAUACAUGGCAGCUACACAAGUUUGCAAGGAAGCUAUUUGGAUACAAAGGUUAUUGGAGGAGUUCGGGCACAAACAAUAGAAAAUUCCUGUGUUUUGUGACAGUCAGAGUGCCUUGCACAUUGCAAGGAAUCCAGCCUUUCAUUCCAGGACAAAGCACAUAGGAGUUCAGUAUCACUUCGUUCGAGAAGUAAUGGAAGACGGAAGUGUGGAUUUACAGAAAAUCCAUACGAAGGAGAACCUAGCAGAUGUUUUGACCAAGCCGAUAAAUGCUGACAAGUUUAUCUGGAGUAGAUCCUCUUGUGGCCUAGCAGAAACGUAAGUAACCUGACAAUGGCGAAGCAGAAAGGAUGGUGUGGAGAUUGAUUGGUUCUCAAUCAAAUCUCCAAGUGGGAGAAUGUCAAGAUUGGGUGUCUUGAUAUUCAAAGUUUGAUUUUGAAAGUUUGAAUAUCAAAAUCAAACUUCUAGAUAUUCAAAGUUUGAAUAUCAAACUUUGAAUUUUGAAAUUUUGAACAAUAAUAAAUAAUUAAAAAAAUACGUGAAUAGUAGCCAAGAUUUUGGCUAUAAAUAGAGGGACUCAUUCCCUCAUUUGCUCAUCCAAUUUUGAGAAGAGUUUUCUUGUAUUUAGAGAGAGUUUAGAGAGCUUGAAAUUAUAAGCUUUUGUUUUAGUGUUUUGAGAGUUUGGGUGUAUUGGGAUUUUGGGAAGUGAGCUAACAUACUACAAUACUUGUAACUCCUUUUCACUAGUAAAAUAUUUCCUUCUGUCUUCGCCCGUGGACGUAGGCUAAAAGUCGAACCACGUAAUUUCUGGUGUCCUCUUUUGUGCUUGUUCUUUAUUUUCUUCUAAUUUUACUUUAGCUGCGUGUCUGCUUCACCCACCAAUUUCCUAACAGAGGAUGAUCAGAGAAGAUGCACAAUAAUAUUGACGUCUAGAAGUCGAGAUUUAUUGUGCAUUGAUAUGAAUUGUCAGAAAAUUUUCUGGAUCGAUGCUUUAUCGAAAGAAGAAGCAUUGCAGUUAUUUGAGAAGAUAGUGGGUGAUUCAACUAAAAUAUCUUAUUUUCAAAGUAUAGCAAAUGAGAUCGUUGAAAAAUGCGGAGGUUUGCCUGUUGCACUGAGUACAGUUGCAAAUGCUCUGAAAAAUAAGGAGCGUUACUUUUGGCAAGAUGCAUUGAAUCAGCUAACAAGAUUGGAUGCAACAGAAAUUCAUGGCAUGCAAGCAAAUGUGUACACCUCCAUAAAAUUGAGUUAUGACUUCUUGGAAAGUGCGAAGGCAAAAUCUCUGUUCCGUCUUUGUGGUCUGUACAGUGAAGGUGAUGCCAUAGAAGUUUCUGACUUAUUGAGAUAUGGUGUGGGUUGGGAUUUGUUUGAAAAUGUUUACACAUUAGAAGAAGCAAGGAGUAGAGUGCAUCGGUUGAUCGACAAUCUCAAAUCUUCAUGCUUAUUGUUGGACGGUGAUGCUGAAGAUGAAGUUAAAAUGCAUGACGUCAUUCAUGUUGUUGCUGUAUCAAUUGCUGCAGGGGAGCGCAUGUUUAAUAUUCCAAAUGUUGCUAACGUGGAGAAAAAGAUGGAAAAGACAAUACGGAAAGACCCAAUUGCCAUUUCAUUACCCCAGAGAGAUAUUCAAGAGCUCCUGAAAGGUUGCAAUGUCCCAAUCUCCAGUUAUUUUUGUUGUCUGCAGAGGGUAAUGCCCCUAUGCAAAUUUCAGACCUCUUUUUUGAAGGGACGGAAGAACUCAAAGUUUUAAGUCUUAUUGGAAUUCAUUUCUCUUCAUUAUCUUCAUCACUUGGUCACCUCAUUAACCUUCAAACAUUGUGUUUAGACUGCUGCCAACUAGAAGAUGUAGCGGCAAUUGGACAGCUAAAGAAAUUAGAGAUUCUUAGCUUUCGAUAUUCCGACAUUAAGCAGUUGCCACUUGAAAUUGGUCAAUUGGCGCGGUUACAGUUGCUAGAUUUGAGCAAUUGUAGAAGCCUUGUAGUGAUAGCACCAAAUGUCAUAUCAAAAUUUUCUCGAUUGGAAGAACUAUAUAUGGGUGACAGCUUUUCGCAGUGGGAUAAGGUUGAAGGAGGAAGUAACGCCAGUCUUGCUGAAUUGAAGGGGUUGUCAAAGCUAACUACCUUGGAGAUACAAGUUCGGGAUGCCCAAAUUCUGCCGCAGGAUUGGGUCUCUGUGGAAUUGCAAAGAUAUAAGAUAGGUAUAGGAGAAGCGUGGCGCAUGUGACGCGUUAAUUCUGAAACAUCAAGAUUGGUGGAGCUCCAAGGGCUAGAAAAUGUUAGCACUCUUUUGGAGAAUUAUGGGACUAAAAUGUUGCUGAAGAAAACUGAAGAUAUCCAUCUAAACGAACUGAAGGGUGCUCAGAAUGUUGUUCAUGAAUUAGAUGAUGGGGAAGGUUUUCCACGAUUGAAGCAUCUUUCUGUAGAAAGAUGUUCUGAGAUUUUGCAUGUUGUCGGUUCAGUUGGACGGGUUCAUUGUACAAUCUUUCCCUUGUUGGAGUCAUUGUCUCUUUGGUUUUUGAGCAAGUUGGAGACAAUAUGUGACAGCCAACUCACAGAAUAUCAAAUUUUCAGCAACUUAAGGAUUAUAGAAGUACAAUUCUGUGACAAAUUGAAGCAUCUUUUCUCAUUCUCCAUAGCCAAAAACCUACUGCGGCUUCAAAAGGUAGAAGUGGAUGUUUGCGAUGAUCUGGAAAUGAUGGUUGGUAAGAGUUGAAAUUAAGUGUUGGUGGGUUUAUGGACUUCGCCUCAAUUAUUUUGAAAAAAAAAAAAAAACAACGACAAAGAUUAAUUAUGUAUAUUGUUUUUGUUUGUUUAUAGGACCCGACAGGGAGAAACCAACAACUUCUUUGGGAUUCAACGAAAUCAUUGCUAAUGAUGAUCCUGCUCCAAAGGUGAUAAUUUUCUGAUCAAUAAUUAAUUGAUUAAUUUAUUAUCACGAUUAAUCUUCGAUCAUCAAAAGAAUAUUAUACUAGACGGUUGUACUUGAAGGAACAAAAAUGUACGGGUUUUCUUUGCAGGUUAUUCUUCCGAGCUUAGAGGAAUUGAAUCUCAGGGACUUAAGAAACAUGAAAAAAUUAUGGGCCGAUCAUAAUCAAGGAAUGUACUGUUGUCAAAAUUUAACAAAGCUGUACGUGAGCAGUUGUCAUCGUAUGAAGUAUCUGUUUUCGUAUUCUAUGGUUAAUAGUCUUGCGAAACUCCAACAUCUUGAGAUAAGCACUUGUUGGUCAAUGGAAAGGGUAGUCGACACCACGGGGUGGUCAGAAAGAGAUGAAGGAAAGUUGAUUGAAUUAAAGGUUUUUCCUAAACUACACUUCCUGCGGCUCGAGAAUCUUCCAGAACUAACAAGCUUUGCCAAUACGGGACAUAUUCAUUCAGAUUUAGUUGUUGAAUUCCCUUCUUUGCUAAGCCUCGAGAUUGAUACUUGCAGUAAUAUGUUAAGAUUCAUCUCUACGAGCUCACCAGAAGACACCAUUCAUUCUGAAAUGCAACCUCCUCCUCUCUUUGACGAAAAGGUUUCUUUUUUUUUUAAUAAAAAAAUUAAUUUUAGUCACAAUAUUUAAUUUGUCUUUUCCUUGAGUCUUCAAAUUUAGUUAAUAUCCACCUCAAAUUUAGUUAUCAAUUGAUUAUGCCAUUAAUUGAUUAAUUAGUUAUUUAAUCUUUAACUGCCAGGUACGACUUCCUGGGUUGGAGGUAUUACAUAUUAGGUCGAUGGAUAAUUUGAGAAAAAUAUGGCACCACCAGCUUGCUUCGGAGUCUUUCAGAAUAUUUUUCCUCCAUUGGUAAGGUUGCUGUAUUCAUUUCGAAUCUUUUUUUUUUUCAAAUUACAUCCAACAAUAUUUUAACCAUUUUUUGUUUACAAAUGAUAUUCAGCCACUGAUUAUUUAUUUCAAGUAUCGUACUUCGAACCACCACUCUGAAAUCUACGUUUUAAGUCCAGUUUUUAGGUUCGUCAGCAUUAGAAUCAACAAUAUAAAUUUUUUAAACACGAUUCAACAGCAUAAUAUAAUUCAAUUAAAUAGAUUUUGCUCAUAUCUUAAUAAGUACGAUUUUCAAAAAUUAAAGGAUAGUCACUCAUCUUAUAGGUUCACAAAUUCAUCUAUAUAUUUCUCUUUUCCUUAAUUCUUCACAUUUCGAUUGGAAAAAGAAAAAAAGAAAAUAAAAGUCUUCAAAUUUAAUUAAUCUCUUGUUUAGUUACGAAUUGAUUAUGCCAUUAAUUAACCACAAAUUCAUGAUUAUUUACAACUGACCCGUGAUUGUAAAGAAAUUUCCUUGAGUCUGGAAGUACUUAAUAAAGAUCCACUUUACAGCAGCAGUCCCUUGUUGACAAUAUUGGGAAGUCUUUUCCAAUUUUUUUUUCCAUUUUUAAAUGUACAUAAAAAAAGGGACCAAGGAAAAGGGAAAAGGCGGCAUUUUGGUUGAAUUUUUUUUCCCUAAAAGGAAUAGUUGAAAUUUGUAAAUUUAUGCUUAAAAACUGAUAUCAAGAUGCAAAAUAAGUCUAAUAUAUUUAGAAAUUGCCUUAAAUUCUUUCUACGUUCCUAAUAGUAAAUAGUGUAAAUGCAUUUUUAUUAUCUUUGUUUAUCUGGCUUUUAUUUAUUCAUUUAUCUUGUUGCUUUUUUUGUUUAACAAAAAAUUAUCUAGUUGAAUGAUAUUCUUACAUUUUUACUUUUUUAAUAUACACACAUAUGCACACACUUUUGUUUAUUUUCAGGUUGGAAUUCCUAGUAGUCUGGUGAAUCUUAAUGUAUCGAAUUGCCAAAAAUUAGAAGAAAUAGUAGGACAUGUUGGAGAAGAAGUGAAGGAGAAUCGUAUUGCUUUCCGCGAAUUAAAAGUUUUGAUACUUGAUUAUUUACCAAGGCUUACCAGCUUUUGUUUGGAGAAUUAUACUCUUGAAUUCCCAUCAUUGGAACGAGUUUCUGUGACACAUUGUCCGAACAUGAAGACUUUUUCUCAGGGAAUCUUAUCCACACCAAAGCUAUACAAAGUGCAAGUUAGUAAAAAGGAAGAGGGUGAAUUGUACCAUCGGGAAGGCAAUAACCUUAAUUCCUUUAUACAAAAGAGCUACGAAGAAAUGGUAUGUGCUAAUCGAUUCGUCCAAAUUACUUGCACAUUUAAAAAUAUGUUACAAAAAGAUGGUCUGUGUUAAUCGAUUCACCCAAAUUGUUCAUGCAUCUCCCCUACGCUUGCACAUUUAAACAUAUACACCUACCUUGUAUAUGUAGUUUUAGAAGUUAAAACACAAAACAUGUAAGUUUAAUAUGUGUGUGUGUAUAUAUAUACAUAUAUAUAUAUCUAAUGCCUUUCAAAAAAAGAAAUUUAUAUAUCCAGUGCAAUUGUUUUGGUUUAUGCAGAUUGGAUUCCGUGACAUAGAGCAUUUGCAACUCUCACAUUUUCCACGCUUGAGAGAAAUAUGCCAUGGCCAAGCACUGCCUGUCAGCUUCUUCAACAAUUUAUUUAAGCUGGUGGUGGAUGACUGCACGAAUAUGUCGAGUGCUAUUCCUGCCAAUCUGAUACGGUGCUUGAACAAUUUAAGGUACCUAGAAGUGAGGAAUUGUGAUUCACUAGAAGAGGUGCUUCAUUUGGAAGAGCUAAGUCCUAAGGAAGAACAUAUCGGCCCCCUGUUUCCUAGGCUUUUUAGCCUAAGGCUCAUUGAUCUUCCAAAACUCAAAAGAUUCUGCAACUUCACUGGGAAUAUAAUUGAACUGCCUUGGUUGUCGACGCUGACUAUUGAGAAUUGCCGAGAUAUAGAAACAUUCAUAUCCAACGCUGUAGUGCACGUGACAACAGAUAACAAGGAACCUCAAAAAUUAAAAUCAGAAGAGAACCUCUUGGUAGCUAAUCAAAUACAACAUCUCUUCGAUGAAAAGGUAAUCAUUAUUAUUAUUUUUUCCCUUCACUUUCAUUCGGACAGAUGUAAUUUCAUUAGAAUCAAAUCAAAUUUAAUGACUCAUCUUUUUGCACGUCGUCUUAAUUUAUAUCUGAUUUAACAAUAUAACCGUAGUUAUUAACUAACUUUAUAGUAUGAAUUAUAAAAAUGUCUCAAAUUAAUUAGAUGCCUAGUGACAGGAGGUGAUGAACUAUAUCGAUUAUGCGUGUUACAUCUCUGUUUUCCUAACUAAUUCAUAUUGGAUUUAGGAUCAGAUUUCAUUUGUGUUUUAAAGGGUAAUCGAUUUGAUACUUAUAUUUGGGAUCCUACUGCAAAGCAUACUAAUUUGGAAAUAAAAUAUAAAAUGCCGUGAUUAAUCUUGUCCAUAAAAUAUGCAGGGGAAGACUGCAGAGAUUGGAUACAUAUUUUCAUUUACAACUUAAUUUUGUUGAUUUUUAGGUUGCAUUCCCUCAAUUGAGAUAGUUAAACCUGUCUAGAUUACACAAAGUGCAGCAUCUCUGGAAGGAAAAUGACGAAUCCAACAAAGCGUUUGCAAACUUGGAAAGUCUAGAAAUAUCAUAAUGUAGUAAGUUGCAAAAAUUAGUACCACCUUCGUGGCAUUUGGAAAAUCUGUGGGAACUAGAAGUAUCGAAGUGUCACGGGUUGAUAAAUGUGUUGACGCUCUCAGCAUCUAAAAAUCUAGUGAAUCUUCGAGGAAUGAAGAUAGCUAAUUGCAAAAUGAUAGAACAAAUCAUACAAUUGCAGGUUGGAGAAGAAGCGAAAGAUUGCAAUGUUUUCAAGGAAUUGGAGUACUUGGGACUUGAUUAUUUGCCAAGCCUAACAAGCUUUAGUUUGGGUAAUUACGCUCUUGAAUUCCCGUCCUUGAAACAAGUAGUUGUGAGACAGUGUCCAAAAAUGAAGAUCUUCUCUCAAGGAGUCUUAGACACACCAAUGCUAAACAAAGUGAACGUCACCGAAGAAGAAAAAGAUGAUGAUGAAGAAGAUGAUGAUGAUGAAGGAUGUUGGGAAGGCAACCUCAAUGACACCAUAAAAAAAUUGUUCAAUGAAAUGGUGAGUAUCAAUUAAGUUUUGGUGCUAUUUAACAAAUUAUUUUAUAGAAACUAAUGUGAUAUAAUAUGAUGGGUUGACUGAAAAUAUAUAAUAAUAAUAAAUAAAUAAAU
rnacentral:lncRNA from 1 species